rnacentral:lncRNA from 1 species
CACAUGAGACUGUGUCGGGGCAGGUGGCCUCGAUCGCCGCCUUGGCCUCGUCAAUCACCUCGAACCCUCGGAGGCUGUUCUGGUUGGGAGGGCCUUCCCUCUCUGUGUCGCUGUUCUUGGAGUUGGUCGUGUUGAGGAGGACAGAACCAUCGCAGCCCUAUAUAUAAUGAACAUGAAGGACCUCAUAAUGAACAUGCUAGAAUAUAAGCUAGUAGAAUUGACGAGCUGUGUUGUGCGUACCCGAACGAAGCAGUCGUGGAAGAAGAGACGGAUGAGCCCGGCACCAAUGCCAGGGUUCGCAUCCACGGCCUUCUUCACGGCAUCCGUGACGAUCUUCUCCGCGCUAGGGCACCUGGUGUUGUAAUAGCCGGAGGUGAGCCCUGACCCCGAGGGAGCAGGUCUCCUCUGCCGCGUCUGAACGUCCGGCGCGGGGCGACAGAGCACCGGGUCGUAGGUGGGUAGCCUCAGCCAGCCGUUGAAGCAAAUGCUGGCGCCCUCGGACGCCGCCGGCCCGGCGAGGAACGCGGCCAAGACGAUGAGCGCUGCGAGCUUAGUCGCCAUCUUCCUUUCGCACUAGCCACUAGAGAGCUGAUGGUCGUUUCGUGUCGUGUGUUGUUUGCUCUGGCUGGGUUACGGAUGACAUAUUUAUAGGCCGUCCCGGAGGACCACGUACAAAGGCAAUAUAGCUUGGCAACGACGUAUGUGCAAACCGCGUUUCGUGGGCGGCGCACGUCGCGAUGGACGGAAAUUCCAAUCGUCUGACCGGCGACUUUCGGUAGAUUUCGCGGUGUCUCGCUGAUUGCCCGUCGGCGGUCCGAUCGGCCUCUGAGAUGUGCCGGUGCCGGUGUGCUGUACUGCUGUGCGUGGGGACGAGCUGGGUUGACCGUUGAAUGUUGCAUGGGAACAGUGUCUCCGCUCCUCGACGACUUGGUCUUUCUGUGGAAAAUGUCCACAACCUCACCAACCAUGCAUUUACCAUUCCAUGCAGGCAUGUGAUGCAGCUGCUAACCGGUUACAUUAACUCGGGCGAACCGGCCUGCGCUUGCAGAGCAGUAGUGUAUGUCUCCUUACUGAUUUUUUUCCUGAAACUUAAUGUUUUGUAUGCUUUCAAAAGUUUGUCAUGAAAUUGUGGCAAAACAAACAAAGUUGAUGCUCCAAAAAUGUUAUUUUUGAAAGCAUUUUGGAGAGCUCAUUUUGAUUUAUUUUUUUGCCAUGACUUUCACGAAUGUCAUUUCGUGAUAAAAAAAUUUCAAGAACUCAAAGCAUUUGCCAAAGUUUUCCCCAAACAAAUCAGAUUUUACUGUUUAUCCCUAACUCAUUUGAGCUUGGCAGCAGACGAAGAUAUUCCACUUACAAUAGGUAAAUCAGACUUUGCUUGUUUUGAUCCCAAAAGUUCAAGCUACAUAUGUUGGGGAACGAAGCAGAAAUUUAAAAUUUUCUACGCAUCACCAAGAUCAAUCUAUGGAGUAAUCUAGCAACGAGGGAAGGAGAGUGCAUCUACAUACCCUUGUAGAUCGCUAAGCGGAAGCGCUCAAGUGAACGGGGUUGAUGGAGUCGUACUCGUCGUGAUCCAAAUCACCGAUGAUCCUAGUGCCGAACGCACGGCACCUCCGCGUUCAACACACGUACAGCCCGGUGACGUCUCCUAUGCCUUGAUCCAGCAAGGGGAGCAGGAGAGGUUGGGAAGACUCCAUCCAGCAGCAGCACGACGGCGUGGUGGUGGUGGAGGAGCGCGGGACUCUAGCAGGGCUUCGCCAAGCACUACGAGAGACGAGGAGGGAGAGGGGUAGGGCUGCGCCAACAGGGAGAGCAAAUCACAUAUGUUGGGCAGCCCCAAACCUCAAGUAUAUAUAGGGGAAGGGGAGGGGCUGCGCCCCCACCUAGGGUUCCCUCCCUAGGGGUGGCGGCCAGCCCUAGAUCCCAUCUAGGGGGCGGCCAAAGGGGGAGAGAGGGGGGCACACCACUAGGUGGGCCUUAGGCCCAUCUGAGCCUAGGGUUUGCCCCCUUCCCCUCUUGGAGGCGCCUUGGCCUUGGUGGGAGGCGCCCCAGCCCACCUAGGGGCUGGUCCCUUCCCGCUAUUGGCCCAUGUAGGCCUCCGGGGCUGGUGGCCUCACCUGGUGGACCCCCGGACCCCUCCGGUGGUCCCGGUACACUACCGGUGAUGCCCGGAACACUUCCGGUGGCCAAAACCAUACUUUCUAUAUAUCAAUCUUUACCUCCGGACCAUUCCGGAACUCCUCGUGAUGUCCGGGAUCUCAUCCGGGACUACGAACAACAUUCGGUAACCGCAUACAUACUUUCCCUAUAACCCUAGCGUCAUCGAACCUUAAGUGUGUAGACCCUACGGGUUCGGAAACCAUGCAGACAUGACCGAGACAACUCUCCGGCCAAUAACCAACAGCGGGAUCUGGAUACCCAUGUUGGCUCCCACAUGUUCCACGAUGAUCUCAUCGGAUGAACCACGAUGUCAAGGACUUAAUCAAUCCCGUAUACAAUUCCCUUUGUCUAACGGUACGAUACUUGCCCGAGAUUCGAUCGUCGGUAUCCCGAUACCUUGUUCAAUCUCGUUACCGGCAAGUCUCUUUACUCGUUCCGUAACACAUCAUCCCGUGAUCAACUCCUUGAUCACAUUGUGCACAUUAUGAUGAUGUCCUACCGAGUAGGCCCAGAGAUACCUCUCCGUUUACACGGAGUGACAAAUCCCAGUCUCGAUUCGUGCCAACCCAACAGACACUUUCGGAGAUACCUGUAGUGUACCUUUAUAGCCACCCAGUUACGUUGUGACGUUUGGCACACCCAAAGCACUCCUACGGUAUCCGGGAGUUGCACAAUCUCAUGGUCUAAGGAAAUGAUACUUGACAUUAGAAAAGCUUUAGCAUACAAACUACAUGAUCUUGUGCUAGGCUUAGGAUUGGGUCUUGUCCAUCACAUCAUUCUCCUAAUGAUGUGAUCCCGUUAUCAACGACAUCCAAUGUCCAUGGUCAGGAAACCGUAACCAUCUAUUGAUCAACGAGCUAAUCAACUAGAGGCUUACUAGGGACAUGGUGUUGUCUAUGUAUCCACACAUGCAUCUGAGUUUCCUAUCAAUACAAUUCUAGCAUGGAUAAUAAACGAUUAUCAUGAAUAAGGAAAUAUAAUAAUAACCAAUUUAUUAUUGCCUCUAGGGCAUAUUUCCAACAGUCUCCCACUUGCACUAGAGUCAAUAAUCUAGUUCACAUCGAUAUGUGAUUAACACUCAAGGUCACAUCCCCAUGUGACUAACACCCAAAGAGUUCUGGGUUUGAUCAUGUUAUGCUUGUGAGAGAGGUUUCAGUCAACGGGUCUGCAACAUUCAGAUCCGUAUGUACUUCGCAAAUUUAUAUGUCAUCUUGUAGAUGCAACUACUACGCUACAUUUGGAGCCAUUUCAAAUAACUGUUCUACUUGGAGCUAUUCUAAAUUGUUGCUCCAUUAUACAUAUCCGGUAUCUCUACUCAGAGCUAUCCGGAUAGGUGUUAAGCUUGCAUUGACGUAACUCUUUACGUCGAACUCUUUAUCACCUCCAUAACCGAGAAACAUAUCCUUAUUCCUCUAAGGAUAAUUUAGACUGCUAUCUGGUGAUCUACUCCUAGAUUACCUUUGUACCCUCUUGCCAGAUAUGUGGCAAGGCACACAUCAGGUGCGGUACUCAGCAUGGCAUACCGUAUAGAGCCUAUGACAAAAGCAUAGGGGACGACCUUCGUCCUUCCUCUUUCUUCUGCCGUGGUCGAGCUUUAAGUCUUAACUUCAUACCUUACAACUCAGGCAAGAACUCCUUCUUUGACUGAUCCAUCUUGAACACCUUCAAGAUCAUGUCAAGGUAUGUGCUCAUUUGAAAGUACCAUUAAGCGUUUUGAUCUAUCCUUAUAGAUCUUGAUGCUCAAUGUUCAAGUAGCUUAAUCCAGCCUUUCCAUUGAAAAACACUUUCCAAAUAACCCUAUAUGCUUUCCAGAAAUUCUACGUCAUUUCUGAUCAACAAUAUGUCAUCCACAUAUACUUAUCAGAAAUAUUGUAGUGCUCCCACUCACUUUCUUGUAAAUAAAAGUUUCUAGUAAACAUUGUAUAAACCUGAAAGCUUUGAUCACUCUAUCAAAGCAUGUAUUCUGACUCCAAGAUGCUUGCUCUAGUCCAUAGAAGGAUUGCUGGAGCUAGCAUACCUUUUAGCAUCCUUAGGAUCGACAAAACCUUUUAUUGUAUCACAUAUAACUUUUCUUACGAAAACUGGUAAGAAAACUUGUUUUGACAUCCAUCUGUAAGAUUUCAUAAUCGAAAAAUACAGCUAAUGCUAACAUGAUUCCAACGGACUUAAGCAUCGCUACGGGUGAGAAAUUCUCAUCGUAGUCAACUCCUUGAACUUGUGAAAAGACUUUCCCACAAGUCGAGCUUCAUAGACGGUAACAUUACCGCCCACGUCCGUCUUCUCCUUAAAGAUCCAUUUAUCUCAAUGGCUUGCCGAUUAACGGGCAAGUCCACCAAAGUCCAUACUUUGUUUUGAUACAUGGAUCCUAUCUCGGAUUUCAUGGCUUCUAAGCAUUUGUCGGAAUACGGGCCCACCAUCGCUUCUCCAUAGCUCAUAGGUUCAUUGUUGUCUAACAACAUGAUAUCUAAGACAGGAUUACCGUACCACUCAGGAGCAGUACAUAUCCUUGUCGACCUACGAGGUUCGAUAGCAACUUGAUCCGAAACUUCAUGAUCACUAUCAUUAACUUCCUAUUCAACAGACGUAGGCGCCACAGAAAACAUCUUUCUGUGUUGCAUCACUCUCUGGUUGAAGUAAAGGUUCGACAACCUCAUCAAAAUCUAUCUUCCUCCCACUCAAUUCUUUCAAGAGAAACUCCUUCUCGAGAAAGGACCCGUUCUUAGCGACAAACAAUUUGCCCUCGGAUCUGAGAUAGAAGGUAUACCCAACUGCCACCUUUGGGUAUUCUAUGAAGAUGUGUUUGUCCGCUUUUGGGUUCGAGCUUAUCCGGCUGAAGCCUUAAGCAUCACAGCCCCAAACAUUAAGAAACGACAACUUUGGUUUCUUGCCAAACCAAUGUUCACACGGUGUCAUCUCAUCGGAAUUACGUGGUGCCCUAUUUAAAGUGAAUGUGGUUGUCUCUAAUGCCUAACCCAUAAACUAUCGUGGUAAUUUGAUAAGAGACAUCAUGGUAUGCAUCAUAUCCAAUAGGGUGCAGUUAUGAUGUUCGGACACACCAUCACACUAUGGUGUUCCGGGUUGUAUUAGUUGUGAAACAAUUUCCACAAUGUCUUAGUUUUGUGCCAAACUCGUAAUUCAGAUAUUCAUCUCUAUGAUCAUAUCAUAGAUAUUUUAUCCUCUUGUCACGAAGAUCUUUCAACUUCACCCUGAAAUUACUUGAACCUUUCAAUAAUUCAGACUCGUGAUUCAUCAAGUAAAUGUACUCAACAUCUACUCAAAUCAUCUGUGAAGUAAGAACAUAAUGAUAUCCACUACAUGCCUCAGCACUCAUUAGACUGCACACAUCAAAAUGUAUUACUUCCAACAAGUUGCUUUCUAGUUCCAUUUUACUGAAAACGAGGCUUUCAGUCAUCUUGCCCAUGUGGUAUGAUUUGCAUGUCUCAAGUGAUUCAAAAUCAAGUGAGUCCAAACGGUCCAUUUGCAUGGAGUUUCUUCAUGCAUAUACACCAAUAGACAUGGUUCGCAUGUCUCAAAUUUUCCAAAAACGAGUGAGCCCAAAGAUCCAUCAACAUGGAGCUUCUUCAUGUGUUUUAUACCGAUAUGACUUACGUGGCAGUGCCACAAGUAGGUGGUACUAUCAUUACUAUCUUAUAUCUUUUGGCAUGAACAUGUGUAUCACUAUGAUCGAGAUUCAAGAAAAACCAUUCAUUUUAGGUGCAAGGCCAUUGAAGGUAUUAUUCAAAUAAACAGAGUAACCAUUAUUCUCCUUAAAUGAAUAACCGUAUUGCGAUAGACAUAAUCCAAUCAUGUCUAUGCUCAACGCAAACACCAAUCUCGAUGGUAGAGGGAGCGUGCGAUGCUUGAUCACAUCAAGCUUGGGAAAAACUUCCAACACAUAUCACCAGCUCACCUUUAGCUAGUCUCCGUUUACUCCGCAGCCUUUUAUUUCGAGUUUACUAACACUUAGCAGUCGAACCGGUAUCUAAUACCAUGGUGCUACUAGGAGUACUAGUAAAGUACACAUUAACACAAUGUAUAUCCAAUAUACUUCUAUCGACCUUGCCAGCCUUCUCAUCUACCAAGUAUCUAGGGUAAUUCUGCUCCAGUGGCUGUUCCCCUUAUUACAGAAGCACUUAGUCUCGGGUUUGGGUUCAACCUUGGGUUUCUUCACUAGAGCAGCAGCUGAUUUGCCGUUUCAUGAAGUAUCCCUUUUUGCCCUUGCCCUUCUUGAAACUAGUGGUUUCACCAACCAUCAACAAUUGAUGCUCCUUCUUGAUUUCUACUUUUGUGGUGUCAAACAUCGCGAAUAUCUCAAGGAUCAUCAUAUAUGUCCCUGAUAUAUUAUAGUUCAUCACGAAGCUCUAGCAGCUUGGUGGUAAUGACUUCGGAGAAACAUCACUAUCUCAUCUGGAAGAUCAACUCCCACUCGAUUCAAAUGAUUGUUGUACUCAGACAAUCUGAGCACAAGCUCAACAAUUGAGCUUUUCUCCCUUAGUUUGCAGGCUAAGAAAAUCGUCGGAGGUCUUAUACCUCUUGACGUGGGGCACGAGCCUGAAAUCCCAAUUUCAGCCCUCGAAACAUCUCAUAUGUUUCGCGACGUUUCAAAACGUCUUCAUUGCCUCAACUCUAAACCGUUUAACCGAACUAUCACGUAGUUAUCAAAAUGUGUAUGUCAGAUGUUCGCAACAUCCACAGACGAUGUUCGAGGUUCAGCACACUGAGCGGUGCAUUAAGGACAUAAGCCUUCUAUGAAGCAAUGAGGACAAUCCUCAGUUUACGAACCUAGUCCGCAUAAUUGCUACUAUCAACUUUCAACUAAAUUUUCUCUAGGAACAUAUCUAAACAGUAGAACUAAAGCGCGAGCCAUGACAUAAUUUGCGAAGACCUUUUGACUAUGUUCAGGAUAAUUAAGUUGAUCUAAUCAAAUUAUUUAAUGAACUCCCACUCAGAUAGACAUCCCUCUAGUCAUCUAAGUGAAACAUGAUCCGAAUCGACUAGGCCGUGUCCGAUCAUCAUGUGAGACGGACUAGUCAUCAACGGUGAACAUCUCAUGUUGAUCGUAUCUUCUAUACGACUCAUGUUCGACCUUUCGGUCUUCCGUGUUCCGAGGCCAUGUCUGUACAUGCUAAGCUCGUCAAGUCAACCUAAGUGUUUCGCAUGUGUCCUGAGGCCAUGUCUGUACAUGCUAGGCUCAUCAACACCCGUUGUAUUCGAAUGUUAGAAUCUAUCGCACCCGAUCAUCACGUGGUGCUUCGAAACAACGAACCUUCGCAACGGUGCACAGUUAGGGGGAACACCUUUCUUGAAAUUUUAGUGAGGGAUCAUCUUAUUUAAGCUACCGUCGUUCUAAGCAAAUAAGAUGUAAAACAUGAUAAACAUCACAUGCAAUCAAAUAGUGACAUGAUAUGGCCAAUAUCAUUUUGCUCCUUUUGAUCUCCAUCUUCGGGGCUCCAUGAUCAUCGUUGUCACCGGCAUGACACCAUGAUCUCCAUCAUCGUGUCUUCUUGAAGUUGUCUCAUCAUCUAUUACUUCUACUACUAUGGCUAACGCUUUAGCAAUAAAGUAAAGUAAUUACAUGACGUUUAUGUUGACACGCGGGUCAUAAAUAAAUUAAGACAACUCCUAUGGCUCCUGCCGGUUGUCAUACUCAUCGACAUGCAAGUCGUGAUUCCUAUUACAAGAACAUGAUCAAUAUCAUACAUCACAUAUAUCAUUCAUCACAUCCUUUUGGCCAUAUCACAUCACACGGCACAUGCUGCAAAAACAAGUUAGACGUCCUCUAAUUGUUGUUGCAAGUUUUUACGUGGCUGCUAUAGGUUUCUAGCAAGAACGUUUCUUACCUAUGCCAAAACCACAACGUGAUAUGCCAAUUUCUAUUUACCCUUCAUAAGGACCCUUUUCAUCGAAUCCGAUCCGACUAAAGUGGGAGAGACAGACACCCGCUAGCCACCUUAUGCAACUAGUGCAUGUCAGUCGGUGGAACCAGUCUCACGUAAGAGUACGUGUAAGGUCGGUCCGGGCCGCUUCAUCCCACGAUGCCGCCGAAUCAAGAUAAGACUAGUAACGGCAAGCAAAUUGACAAAAUCGACGCCCACAACAACUUGUGUUCUACUCGUGCAUAGAAACUACGUAUAGACCUAGCUCAUGAUGCCACUGUUGGGGAACGUAGCAGAAAUUCAAAAUUUUCUAUGCAUCACCAAGAUCAAUCUAUGCUGUAAUCUAGCAAUGAGGGAAGGAGAGUGCAUCUACAUACCCUUGUAGAUCACUAAGCGGAAGCGUUCAAGUGAACGGGGUUGAUGGAGUCGUACUCAUCGUGAUCCAAAUCACCGAUGAUCCUAGUGCCGAACGCACGGCACCUCCGUGUUCAACACACGUACAUCCCGGUGACGUCUCCUACGCCUUGAUCCAGCAAGGGGAGCAGGAGAGGUUGGGAAGACUCCAUCCAGCAGCAGCACGAGGGCGUGGUGGUGGUGGAGGAGCUCGGGACUCCAGCAGGGCUUCGCCAAACACUACGAGAGACGAGGGGGGAGAGGGGUAGGGCUGCGCCAACAGGGAGAGCAAAUCACAUGUGUUGGGCAGCCCCAAACCUCAAGUAUAUAUAGGGGAAGGGGAGGGGAUGCGCCCCCACCUAGGGUUCCCUCCCUAGGGGUGGCGGCCAGCCCUAGAUCCCAUCUAGGGGGCGGCCAAAGGGGGAGAGAGGGGGCUCACCACUAGGUGGGCCUUAGGCCCAUCUGAGCCUAGGGUUUGCCCCUUCCCCUUUUGGAGGCGCCCUGGGCCUUGGUGGGAGGCGCCCCAGCCCACCUAGGGGCUGGUCCCUUCCCACUAUUGGCCCAUGUAGGCCUCCGGGGCUGGUGGCCCCACCUGGUGGACCCCCGGACCCCUCCGGUGAUGCCCGAAACACUUCCGGUGGCCAAAACCAUACUUCCUAUAUAUCAAUCUUUACCUCCGGACCAUUCCGAAACUCCUCGUGAUGUCCGAGAUCUCAUUCGGGACUCCGAACAACAUUCGGUAACCGCAUACAUACUUUCCCUAUAACCCUAGCGUCAUCGAACCUUAAGUGCGUAGACCCUACGGGUUCGGGAACCAUGCAGACAUGACCGAGACAACUCUCCAGCCAAUAACCAACAGCGGGAUCUGGAUACCCAUGUUGGCUCCCACAUGUUCCACGAUGAUCUCAUUGGAUGAACCACGAUGUCAAGGACUUAAUCAAUCCCGUAUACAAUUCCCUUUGUCUAGCGGUACAAUACUUGCCCGAGAUUCGAUCGUCGGUAUCCCGAUACCUUGUUCAAUCUCGUUACCGGCAAGUCUCUUUACUCGUUCCAUAACACAUCAUCCCGUGAUCAACUCCUUGAUCACAUUGUGCACAUUAUGAUGAUGUCCUACCGAGUGGGCCCAGAGAUACCUCUCCGUUUACACGGAGUGACAAAUCCCAGUCUCGAUUCGUGCCAACCCAAUAGACACUUUCGGAGAUACCUGUAGUGUACCUUUAUAGCCACCCAGUUACAUUGUGAAGUUUGGCACACCCAAAGCACUCCUACGGUAUCCGGGAGUUGCACAAUCUCAUGGUCUAAGGAAAUGAUACUUGACAUUAGAAAAGCUUAAGCAUACGAACUACAUGAUCUUGUGCUAGGCUUAGGAUUGGGUCUUGUCCAUCACAUCAUUCUCCUAAUGAUGUGAUCCCGUUAUCAACGACAUCCAAUGUCCAUGGUCAAGAAACUGUAACCAUCUAUUGAUCAACGAGCCAAUCAACUAGAGGCUUACUAGGGACAUGGUGUUGUCUAUGUAUCCACACAUGCAUCUGAGUUUCCUAUCAAUACAAUUCUAGCAUGGAUAAUAAACGAUUAUCAUGAACAAGGAAAUAUAAUAAUAACCAAUUUAUUAUUGCCUCUAGGGCAUAUUUCCAACAACAUAUUCCCUCUAUGAGUUUCUACCGAUUAGUUUAUGUAAUGUUGUGAUAAAAAUUAUGUCGAAAGUGCAAGCUGGCAGAUUGAAGGAAGUGCUCAGCAUUUGUCCUUGGUAGUUUGAUCACAAAUACUAUCUUGACUGUAUACGAGUGAUUACAUUUUAUGAACAAGAAGAAGAGGGGAAUCAGUUCACAAUAUUGCACUCUUAAAUUCGACAUGAUGAAGGCGUAUGAUAGAGUCGAGUGGGAUUAUCUUCGGGCUAUAAUGUUGAAGUUGAGUUUCACUGAGAGAUGGGUGAUGUCUAUCAGGGGGAUUGUUACAUCGGUUUCGUUAUCAGUGCUUUUUCACGGGGAACGUACGGAGGCUUUUAAACCGCGAGGGGAUUCGUCAAAGGGGCCCUAUACUCGUAUUUGUUUUUGUUAGAGGUUAAAGAUAUGUCUUGUUUGUUUAGGAGCAGAGGAAUUUCAGAGAACUUAUUAUGCAUUGUAUCUUAUUUCAUAAUGUCCCUGCCUUCCACUAUGAUGCUCAAUCAACUUAUUGGCUUGUCCCCUCUCAGGUAUGGAGAUUAUUAGUGGAAGACGGGGAUAUUUUGAAAUUAGGACUAGUCUAUAGAAUGGUGCAAUGGACAAACCAUGAGAGUGUGGAAAGAUAAUUGGAUCCCAGGAUGGAGUGUUUGACUCCGGUGAUGGCUUUGUCAGCAAGCCCGCAUCAGCUGGUAUAUGAACUUGUUGAUCCGUUGCCGGGCUAUGGAACAGAGAGGAACUUACUAGACACUUCCUGCCUGUGGACAUUGAGACGAUAUGCAACAUACCAAUUAGUUAGUCUCACGCGAAGAUUUUUGUGCACACCUGAUACGUCUCCAUCGUAUCUAUUUUUCCAAACACUUUUGCCAUUGUUUUGGACUCUAACUUGCAUGAUUGGAAUGGGACUAACCCAGACUGACGUUGUUUUCAGCAGAAUUGCCAUGGUGUUAUUUUUGUGCAGAAAUAAAAGUUCUCGGAAUGACAUGAAAAUUAACGGACAAUAUUUUUGGAAUAUAUAAAAAAUACUGGUGAAAGAAUCAAGGCCAGGGGGCCCACACCCUGUCCACGAGGGUGGGGGGCGCGCCUACCCCCUUGGGCAGCCCCCCUGCCUCGUGGGCCCCCUGGUGCUUCACCAACCUCAACUCCAACUCUAUAUAUUCACGUUCGGUGAGAAAAAAAUCAGAGAGAAGGAUUCAUCAUGUUUUACGAUACAGAGCCGCCACCAAGCCCUAAUCUCUCUCGGGAGGGCUGAUCUAGAGUCCGUUCGGGGCUCCGCAGAGGGGAAUCUGUCGCCAUCGUCAUCAUCAACCUUCCUUCAUCACGAAUUUCAUGAUGCUCACCGCGGUGCGUGAGUAAUUCCAUCGUAGGCUUGCUGGACGGUGAUGGGUUGGAUGAGAUUUAUCAUGUAAUCGAGUUAGUUUUGUUAGGGUUUGAUCCCUAGUAUCCAUUAUGUUCUGAGAUUGACAUUACGGAAAACUGCUUAUUUGCCGUGAGGGGGCGUCUUUGCCAUCAGCUUUUCCUCGGGCAGACGGCAAAGAAAGGGUUUGCUAUCAUCAACAGACGGCAAAGAAAAACUGACGGCAAAAUAUACUUUGCCGUCUGCGAAUAAAAACACAUACGGCAAAGAGCUCACUUUGCCGUCUGCCUAAGAAAACACAGACGACAAAGAUUCUUUGCCGUCUGUGUUUGUUUUGGCAGAUCACAAAGAAUCUUUGCUGUCUGUGAUUUUAUUCACAGACGGCAAAGUGAGCUCUUUGCCGUCUGUAUUUUGUUUCGCAGACGGCAAACUGAGAAAGCACCGUACACGGAUCCACCUCGCGGAUCGAUGACGUGGCAGCCAUCUACCACUGCAUGCUGCUCGAUCCCGCCCUCCCCAUCUUUCAUUUCACCCCACCCACGUGACCCACUCCACCACUAAGUAAAAAAAAUAACCCCCGUCCCACCCCCACCUGCCCACGACACGCACACACACCCCACCACUACCCGCGACGGGGAUGGCGAGCCGGGAGGCAGCCGCGGGCAGGGCGGCCAGGGCGUGCGAUGGCGAGCAGGGAGGCAGCCGCGGGCAGCCGGCGCGNNNNNNNNNNNNNNNNNNNNNNNNNNNNNNNNNNNNNNNNNNNNNNNNNNNNNNNNNNNNNNNNNNNNNNNNNNNNNNNNNNNNNNNNNNNNNNNNNNNNNNNNNNNNNNNNNNNNNNNNNNNNNNNNNNNNNNNNNNNNNNNNNNNNNNNNNNNNNNNNNNNNNNNNNNNNNNNNNNNNNNNNNNNNNNNNNNNNNNNNNNNNNNNNNNNNNNNNNNNNNNNNNNNNNNNNNNNNNNNNNNGUCUGCGAGGGCGGGCGUCGCGGCUGGCGUGUGCGAGGGUGGGCGGCGGCCGGCGCUGGUGAGGGCUGGCGAUGCGGGGCGCGACGGGCCACCCGCUGCUCUCCUCAGCCUCGCCUCGGUCCUCUGCUCCCCACAGCGGGUGCUCGCCUCCUCCCCAACCACGUCGACCGGAACGCCUCAUCGCGGUGCGCCUCACCGUCUAUGUCACCACCAUGGACCACCUCAUCGUGUACUGCCAGUUCGUCUGCAGCGCCACCCAAGCCCAGCCUCCUCAUCAUUGCUUUGUUCUAGCCUUGAGCAGAGGAGGCCGCCGGGCGACAGCCGCGGUGGUCAACCACGAUAUUAGAGUUCUUUGUCCGAUGUCGAAGCAAUGAAGAAGAUGGACCAGAUCGCGUUUUCCAGCUCGUGUUUCGGGUCUUUCCUGUAAAGAUCCCAUAGUGUGUUGUAAUUUCACUUUCUUUGGGGUUCUUGUGGAAGUUGUACACUGUUGCAAAUAAUAAUUAUCAAUGAAGCAGCUUCUGGGUCCUUCGUGAGCGUCUCCUGUUCAAAAAACUAAAAGUAAAAAUAAAAAAAGAACAUAAACUACCUGCCAAUUUUUUUAUAUAUAAAUAAUUAUUUGCCGUCUAUGGGUUUGAGGGCAGACGGCAAAGAAGAAGCGUUACUGACGGCAAAGAGCUUGGAUUUUGCCGUCUGUUGGUUAAUAGGCUGACGGCAAAACAUGACUUCAGCUGACGGCAAAGACUUUGCCGUCUGUACAAUAAAAAGCUGACGAAGCAUUCUUUGCCGACUUAUCUUUGCCGUUUGAGUUUGCCGUCUGCUUCCUGACGGCAAAAUCUUUGCCGUCUGGAUUUAGGUCUUUGCCGUCUGUGAUCCACAGACGGCAAAUUACCUGUUUCCUGUAGUGUGAUGUUGCUAUGACUUUGCUAUGCUUAAUACUUGUCACUAGGGCCCGAGUGCCAUGAUUUUGGAUCUGAACCUAUUAUGUUUUCAUGAAUAUAUGUGAGUUCUUCAUCCUAUCUUGCAAGUCUAUAGUGACCUAUUAUGUGUUAUGAUCCGUUAACCCCGAAGUGACAAUAAUUCGGAUACUUACCGAUGAUGACCGUAGUUUGAGGAGUUCAUGUAUUCACUAAGUGUUAAUGCUUUGGUCCGGUACUCUAUUAAAAGGAGGCCUUAAUAUCCCUUAGUUUCCAAUAGGGCCCCGCUGCCACGGGAGGGUAGGAUAAAAGAUGUCAUGCAAGUUCUUUUCCAUAAGCACGUAUGACUAUAUUCGGAAUACAUGCCUACAUUAUAUUGAUGAACUUGAGAUAGUUCUGUGUCACCCUAUGUUAUAACUAUUGCAUGAGGAAUCGCAUCCGACAUAAUUAUCCAUCACUGAUCCAUUUCCUACGAGCUUUUCACAUAUUUAUCUUUGCUUAUUUACUUUUCUGUUGUUACCGUUACAGUCACUGCAAAACCACUAUCGUUACUUUUGCUACUGUUACGUCUACUAUCAUACUACUUUGCUACUAAAUACUUUGCUGCAGAUAUUAAGUCUUUCAGGUGCAGUUGAAUUGACAACUCAACUGUUAAUAAUUGAGAAUAUUCUUUGGCUCCCCAUGUGUCGAAUCAAUAAAUUUGGGUUGAAUACUCUACCCUCGAAAACUGUUGCGAUCCCCUAUACUUGUGGGUUAUCAACACCGUCAUGAAAAAACUGACGUCUUCUUCGUUAGAUCGGCGUAUAGGAUGCUUGUUACGACGAAAAUGCUCACGGGGAUUGGCUUGAAGGGCGCCCGAGCAUAAGCUCUAGUAGAUCAAAAAAAGCAUGGAUCAAAGUAUGGAAAUUCAAGGUGCCAUCCAAGGUCAGGGUAUUUGCAUGACACCUCGCUCAAAGCAUUGAGCUUUCUAUAGCAGAGCUUCAUCGUUGACAUAUGGAGACUUCUGACGUUGUGAAUUGUGUGCGGGAGAGGAAGACAUCAGGCGCCACUCUUUGUAGAACUGCUCAUGGCAAGGUGUGUAUGGGCUCUAGUCGAUGAGUCGCUCACAGAACACAUUUACAUGAAUAGGUGCCCAGAUGAAGGAAGUGGUUGUUUCGUAUGCUAGAAAUAAACCUGGGAAAACCCUAGGAUGGGACGGGUUUUGGGGCGAGCUUGUAAAAGCCCGACCUUCUUUUCUCAAGCCCGAGAUGGCCCGAAUCCCGAAAUACACUCUGUUUUCAAUCUCGAGCCCAGGCUGACCGAAUGUUGAUUUUUAGUGUUCACACAUCUACGGGCUCGAAAUGCAGAAAAUGAAAAGCCUGAACUCAUCCCAAACUACCUUUUGGACCACAAAAAAAGCCCGAGCCCAGCCAAAAUGGCAAUCCCAACCUGGCUUGGCCUUUUUCAUGCUGGGCUUGGGCCAAGUCGUCGGGUUGGGCUGCCCAUGCUCAGGUCUAGCUGGAAACGACCUCGGAUGAUGAUUUUACCGAAUUAUUGGUCAUUGUUUGGGCGAUUUGGAGCACUCGACCGAAGGCUAUACACGAAGCUAUCUUUCAGAGCCCGGUAUCAAUCCAUGGAUUUUUUUUUAUUUUUUUAGAAAAGGAGGUUAAGACCCCUGGCCUCUGCAUCAAUUGAUGCAUGCAACCAUCGUUAUUAAUUAUUAAACAAAGCCACUCACACCUACAAGUUCGAUAAUAUGGAGUUCUCUCACUCCCCAUAUCUAAAACCGGUGUCGUCCGAUCCAUCUGCAUAACGUAUCAGAACCUAUAGCCGGUGCAGCAAAGCUAAAGAGUACACAACAUGCACACAUUUUAAAAGUCGUUAUCAUCAUUGUAUCACUAACCCAUCUUCAGGAAGGAGAUCCGCGUCACCCUUGCCAGUCCAGCCACUUGUCGCCGCCACCAUGGCGCCCAACGACACCACCUCCCUACGCGCGAACUACUACACAUGUCACGGUUGCCACCGGUACACACCUUAGCACUAUGUCGCCAAGUACCACCAGCCGACACAGCUUGAAGUCUCCGGAAGAUCUGUCAUGCGUACCACCUGCCAAACAGGCAUGAUGCAGUGUAGCACCUGUCGGCCAUGCAUGACUUGACAUCUCCACCGAAGCUCAGUGCAAGACGAAGCCGCUCCACCUCCAGCCUUAGACUUCCAGCGCUGAUCUACAAAUGAUGCUCCCAAAGAGAGAAACGACACUUCAGUGUCGCCAUCAUCCUAUGUAGAAGACCAGAUCCUAGGGUUUCCCCUAGAGCGGCACGAGUGGGUCAACAAUAGCUACACAAUGAUGCAUUCAUCAAGGGAAUUGAAGGAAAUAUGCCCUAGAGGCAAUAAUAAAGUUGUUAUUUAUAUUUCCUUAUAUCAUGAUAAAUGUUUAUUAUUCAUGCUAGAAUUGUAUUAACUGGAAACUUAGUACAUGUGUGAAUACAUAGACAAAAUAGAGUGUCCCUAGUAUGCCUCUACUUGACUAGCUCAUUAAUCGAAGAUGAUUAUGUUUCCUGACCAUAGACAUGUGUUAUCAUUUGAUGAACGGGAUCACAUCAUUAGAGAAUGAUGUGAUGGACAAGACUCAUCCGUUAGCUUAGCAUAAUGAUCAUUUAGUUUUAUUGCUAUUGCUUUCUUCAUGACUUAUACAUGUUCCUCUGACUAUGAGAUUAUGCAACUCCCGAAUAUCAGAGGAACACCUUGUGUGCUAUCAAACGUCACAACGUAACUAGGUGAUUAUAAAGAUGCUCUACAGGUGUCUCCGAUGGUGUUUAUUGAGUUGUCAUAGAUCGAGAUUAGGAUUUGUCAAUCCGUCUAUCGGAGAGGUAUCUCUGGGCCCUCUCGGUAAUGUACAUCAGUAUGAGCCUUGCAAGCAAUGUGACUAAUGAGUUACUUGCGGGAUGAUGCAUUACAGAACGAGCAAAGAGACUUGCCGGUGAUGAGAUUGAACUAGGUAUGAUGAUACUGACGAUCGAAUCUCGAGCAAGUCGAAGGAAAUAUGCCCUAGAAGCAAUAAUAAAGUUGUUUUUUUAUAUUUGCUUAUAUCAUGAUAAAUGUUUAUUAUUCAUGCCAGAAUUGUAUUAACCGGAAACUUAGUACAUGUGUGAAUACAUAGACAAACAGAGUGUCACUAGUAUGCCUCUACUUAACUAGCUCGUUGAAUCAAUGAUUGUUAUGUUCCCAAAACAUAGACAUGAGUUGUCAUUCGAUUAACGGGAUCACAUCAUUAGAGAAUGAUGUGAUUGACUUGACCCAUCUGUUAGCUUAGCACGAUGAUCAUUUAGUUUAUUGCUAUUGCUUUCUCCAUAAACUUAUACAUGUUCCUAUGACUAUGAGAUCAUGCAACUCCCGAAUACCGGAGGAACACUUAGUGUGCUAUAAAACAUCACAACGUAACUAGGUGACUAUAAAGAUGCUCUACAGGUGUCUCCGAUGGUGUUUGUCGAGUUGGCAUAGAUCGAGAUUACGAUUUGUCACUCCAAGUAUCAGAGAGGUAUCUCUGUGCCCUCUCGGUAAUGUACAUCACUAUAAGCCUUGCAAGAAAUGUAACUAAUGAUUUACUUACGGGAUGUAGCAUUACGGAACAAGUAAAGAGACUUUCCGGUAACGAGAUUGAACUAGUAUUGAGAUACCGACGAUCGAAUCUCGAGCAAGUAACAUACCGAUGACAAAGGGAACAACGUAUAUCGUUAUGCGGUUUGACCAAUAAAGAUCUUCGUAGAAUAUGUGGGAGCCAACAUGAACAUCCAGGUUCCGCAAUAGGUUAUUGACCAGAGAUGUGUCUCGGUCAUGUCUACAUAGUUCUCGAACUCGUAGGGUCCGCAUGCUUAACGUUCGGUGAUGAUCGGUAUUAUGAGUUUAUGUGUUUUGAUGUACCGAAGGUAGUUCGGAGUCCUAGAUAUGAUCACAGACACGACGAGGAAUCUCGAAAUUGUCGAGACAUAAAGAUUGAUAUACUGGAUGACUAUAUUCGGACACCAGAUGAGUUCUGGGGGUCACCGGAUAAUUAUCAGAGUGCCGGGUGGUUAUCGGAACCCCCGGGGGAACUAAUGGGCCACAUGGGCCUUAGUGGAGAGAGAGAGGACCGGCCAUGGCAGGGUCGUGCGCCCCUCCCCCUCUAGUCCGAAUUGGACUAGGGAAGGGGGGGCGGCGCCCCCCUUUCCUUCUCUUCUCUCCCUUUCUCCCCCCUUCCUCCUCCUAGUAGGACUAGGAAAGGGGAGUCCUACUCCUACUAGGAGUAGGACUCCUCCCCUCCUUGGCGCGCCACCAAGGGACGACUGGCCUCCUCCUUGCUCCUUUAUAUACGGGGGCGGGGGCACCCCAUAGACACACAAGUUGAUCAUUGAUCCCUUAGCCGUGUGCAGUGCCCCCCUCCACCAUAAUCCACCUUGGUCAUAUCAUCAUAGUGCUUACGCGAAGCCCUACUCCGGUAGCUUCAUCAUCACCGUCAUCAUGCCGUCAUGCUGAUGAAGCUCUCCCUCGACACUCGGCUGGAUCGAGAGUUCGUGGGACGUCACCGAGCCAAACGUGUGCAGAUCGCGGAGGUGCCGUACUUUCGGUACUAGGAUCGGUCGGAUCAUGAAGACGUACGACUACAUCAACCAUGUUGUCAUAACGCUUCCACUUACGGUCUACGAGGGUACAUGGACAACACUCUUCCCUUCUCGUUGCUAUGCAUCACCAUGAUAGAUCUUGCGUGUGCGUAGGAUUAUUUUUGAAAUUACUGCGUUCCCCAACAGUGGCAUCCGAGCCAGGUCUAUGCGUAGAUGUUAUAUGCACGAGUAGAACACAAAGAAGUUGUGGGCGUGGGUAUAUACAUAUUGCUUGCCGUCACUAGUUGUUUCUUGAUUCGGCAGUAUUGUUGGAUGAAGCGGCCCAGACCGACAUUACGCGUACGCUUAUGCGAGACUGGUUCUACCGACGUGCUUCGCACACAUGUGGCUGGUGGGUGUCAGUUUGUCCAGCUUUAGCUGAAUCGGAUUCAAUGAACAAGGUUCUUUCCGGAGAUAAGAAAUCAAUCACUAUACCGCGUUGUGGUUUUUGAUGCGUAGGUAAGAACGGUUCUUGCUCAGCCCAUAGCAGCCACGUAAAACUUGCAACAACAAAGUAGAGGACGUCUAACUUGUUUUUGCAGGGCAUGUUGUGAUGUGAUAUGGUCAAGACAUGAUGCUUAAUUUUAUUGUAUGAGAUGAUCAUGUUUUGUAACACAGUUAUCGGCAACUGGCAGGAGCCAUAUGGUUGUCUCUUUAUUGUACGAAAUGCAAUCGCCAUGUAAUUGCUUUACUUUAUCUCUAAGCGGUAGCGAUAGUCGUAGAAGCAAUAGUUGAUGAGACGACAAUGAUGCUUCGAUGGAGAUCAAGGUGUCAAGCCGGUGACGAUGGUGAUCAUGACGGUGCUUUGGAGAUGGAGAUCAAAGGCACAAGAUGAUGAUGGCCAUAUCAUAUCACUUAUAUUGAUUGCAUGUGAUGUUUAUCCUUUAUGCAUCUUAUUUUGCUUAGUUCGGCGGUAGCAUUAUAAGAUGAUCUCUCACUAAAUUUCAAGGUAUAAGUGUUCUCCCUGAGUAUGCACCGUUGCUACAGUUCGUCGUACCGAGACACCACGUGAUGAUCGGGUGUGAUAAGCUCUAUGUUCACAUACAACGGGUGCAAGCUAGUUUUGCACACGCGGAAUACUCGGGUGAAACCUGACGAGCCUAGCAUAUGCAGAUAUGGCCUCAGAACACUGAGACCGAAAGGUCGAGCGUGAAUCAUAUAGUAGAUAUGAUUAACAUAGUGAUGUUCACCAUUGAAAACUACUCCAUCUCACGUGAUGAUCGGACAUGGUGUAGUUGAUAUGGAUCACGUGAUCACUUAGAUGAUUAGAGGGAUGUGUAUCUAAGUGGGAGUUCUUAAGUAAUAUGAUUAAUUGGACUUAAAUUUAUCAUGAACUUAGUCCUGAUAGUUUUUGCAUAUCUAUGUUGUAGAUCAAUAGCUCGCGAUGUAGCUCCCUAUUUAUUUUUGAUAUGUUCCUAGAGAAAAACUAUGUUGAAAGAUGUUAGUAGCAAUGAUGCGGAUUGGAUCCGUGACCUGAGGAUUAUCCUCAUUGCUGCACAGAAAAAUUAUGUCCUUGAUGCACCGCUAGGUGAUAGAACUAUUGCAGGAGCAGAUGCAAACGUUAUGAACGUUUUGACAAGCUCGGUAUGAUGACUACUUGAUAGUUAAGUGCACCAUGCUUUAUGGCUUAGAACUGGGACUUCAAAAAUGUUUUUGAACACCACAGAACAUAUAAGAUGUUCUAAGAGUUGAAAUUGGUAUUUCAUACUCAUGCCCGUGUCAAGAGGUAGGAGACCUCUAACAGUACUUUGCCUACAAGAUGGAGGAGAAUAGCUCAACCAGUGAGCAUGUGCUCAGAUUGUCUAGGUACUACAAUUGCUUGAAUCAAGUGGGAGUUAAUCUUCCAGAUAAGAUAGUAAUUGACAAAGUUCUCUAGUAACUAUCACCAAGUUACUAGAACUUAGUGAUGAACUAUAAUAUGCAAGGGAUGACGAAAGUAAUUCCCAAGCUCUUCGCGAUGCUGAAAUCGGCGAAGGUAGUAAUCAAGAAAUAGCAUCAAGUGUUGAUGGUUAACAAGACCACUGGUUUCAAGAAAAAGGCAAAGGGAAAUAAAGAGGAACUUCAAAGAAGAAUAGCAAGCAAGUCGCUACUCCCAUGAAGAAGCCCAAAGCUAGACCCAAGACUGGAACUAAGUGCUUCUACUACAAAGGAAAUGGUCACUGGAAGUGGAACUGCCCUAGAUACUUGGCGGAUAAGAAGGAUGGAAAAGUGAACAAAAGUAUGUUUGAUAUACAUGGUAUUGAUGUGUACUUUACUAGUGAUUAUAGAAACCCCUCAGUAUUUGAUACUGGUUCAGUUUCUAAGAGUAGUAACUCGAAACGGGAGUUGCAAAAUAAACAGAGACUAGUUAAGGGCGAGGUGAUGAUGUGAGUUGGAAGUGAUUCCAAGGUUGAUAAGAUCACCAUCGCACACUCCCUUUACCUUCGGGAUUAGUGUUGAACCUAAAAUAAAUGUUAUUUGGUGUUUGCGUUGAGCAUAAUAUGAUUGGAUCGUGUUUAUUGCAAUACGGUUAUUCAUUUAAGUCAAAGAAUAAUUGUUAUUCUGUUUACAUGAAUAAAACCUUCUGAGGUCAUACACCCAAGGUGAAUGGUUUAUUGAAUCUCGAUCGUAGUGAUACACAUAUUCAUAAUAUUGAAGCCAAAAGAUGCAAAGUUAAUAAUGAUAGUGCAACUUAUAUGUGGCACUGCCUUUUAGGUCAUAUUGGUGUAAAGCGCAUGAAGAAACUCCAUGCUGAUGGGCUUUUGGCAUCACUUGAUUAUGAAUCAUUUGAUGCUUGUGAACCAUGCCUCGUGAGAAAGAUGACUAAAACUCCAUUCUCCAGAACAAUGGAGCAAGCAACUGGCUUAUUGGAAAUAAUACAUACUGAUGUACGCAAUCCAAUGAGUGUUGAGGCUCGAGGCGGGUAUCGUUAUUUUCCGACCUUCACAGAUGAUUUGAGCAGAUAUGGGUAUAUCUACUUGAUGAAACAUAAGUAUGAAACAUUUGAAAAGUUCAAAGAAUUUCAGAGUGAUGUGGAAAAUCAUCGUAACGAGAAAAUAAAAUUUCUGCGAUGUGAUCAUGGAGGAGAAUAUUUGAGUUACGAGUUUGGUCUUCAUUUGAAACAAUGCGGAAUAGUUUUGCAACUCACGCCACUUGGAACACCAUAGCGUAAUGGUGUCUCCAUACUUCAUAACCGUACUUUAUUAGAUAUGGUGCAAUCUAUGAUGUAUCUUAUCGAUUUAUCACUAUCGUUUUGGGGUUAUGCAUUAGAGACAACUGCAUUCACGUUAAAUAGGGCACCAUCUAAAUCCGUUGGGACGACACCAUAUGAACUAUGGUUUAGCAAGAAAUCUAAGCUGUUGUUUCUUAAAGUUUGGGGCUAUGAUGCUUAUGUGAAAAAGUUUCAACCUGAUAAGCUCAAACCCAAAUCGGAGAAAUGCGUCUUCAUAUACCCAAAGGAAACUAUUGGGAACACCUUCUAUCACAGAUCCGAAGGCAAGAUAUUCGUUGCUAAGAAUGGAUCCUUUCUAGAGAAGAAUUUCUCUCGAAAGAAGUGAGUGGGAGGAAUGUAGAACUUGAUGAGGUAAUUGUACCUUCUCCCGAAUUGGAAAGUAGUUCAUCACAAAAAUCAGUUCUAGUGAUUCCUACGCCAAUUAAUGAGGAAGCUAAUGAUGAUGAUAAUGAAACUUUAGAUCAAGUUACUACCGAACCUCGUAGGUCAACCAGAGUGAGAUCCGCACCAAAGUGGUACAGUAAUCCUGUUCUGGAGGUCAUGUUACUUGACCAUGACGAAUCUACAAACUAUGAGAAAGCAAUGAUGAACCCAGAUUCUGCAAAAUAGUUUGAGGCCAUGAAAUCUGAGAUGGGAUCAUUGUAUGAGAACAAAGUGUGGACUUUGGUUGACUUGCCCGAUGAUCGGCAGGCCAUAGAGAAUAAAUGGAUCUUGAAGAAGAAGACUGACACUGAUGGUAAUGUUACUGUCUACAAGGCUCGACUUGUUGCAAAAGGUUUUCAACAAGUUCAAGGAGUUGAUUACGAUGAGACCUUAUCACCUGUAGUGAUGCUUAAGUCUGUCCGAAUCAUGUUAGCAAUUGCCGCAUUUUAUGAUUAUGAAAUUUGGCAAAUGGAUGUCAAAACUGCAUUCCUUAAUGGAUAUCUUAAAGAAGAGUUGUAUAUGAUGCAACCAGAAGGUUUUGUCAAUCCAAAAGGUGCUAACAAAGUGUGCAAGCUCCAGCAAUCCAUCUAUGGACUGGUGCAAGCAUCUCGGAGUUGGAAUAUACGCUUUGAGAAGUUGAUCAAAGCAUAUAGUUUUAUACAGACUUGCGGUGAAGCCUGUAUUUACAAGAAAGUGAGUGGAAGCACUACAGCCUUUCUGAUAAGUAUAUGUGAAUGACAUAUUGUUGAUAGGAAAUGAUGUAGAAUUUUCUGGAAAGCAUGAAGGAGUGUUUGAAAGGAGUUUUUAAAAGAAAGACCUCGGUAAAGAUGCUUACAUAUUGAGCAUCAAGGUCUAUAGAUAUAGAUCAAGACACUUGAUAAGUUUUUUCAAUGAAUAGGUACCUUGACAAAAUUUUGAAGGAGUUCAAAAUGGAUCAGUGAAAGAAAGAGUUCUUGCCUGUGUUGCAAGGUAUGAAGUUGAGUAAAGACUCAAAUCCCGACCACGGCAGAAAAUAGAAAGAUAAUGAAAAGUCAUUCCCUAUGCCUCAGUCAUAGGUUCUAUAAAGUAUGCUAUGCUGUGUACCAGACCAAUCAUAUACCUUAGCAUGAUUUUGGCAAGGGAGUACAAUAGUGAUCUGGAAGUAAAUUAGUGGACAGCGGUCAAAAUUAUCCUUAGAGGACUAAGAAAAUAUUUCUCUGAUGUGGAGGUGAUAAAAGAGUUCAUUGUAAAGAGUUACGUCGAUGCAAGCUUUUGACACCGAUCUAGAUGACUCUAAGUCUCGAUCUAGAUACAUAUUGAAAGUGGGAGCAAUUAGCUAGAGUAGCUCCAUGCAGAGUAUUGUAGACAUAGAAAUUUGCAAAAUACAUAUAGAUCUGAAUGUUGCAGACCCGUAGACUAAACUUCUCUCGCAAGGAAAAUAUGAUCACUCUUUGGGUGUUAAACACAUAGCGAUGUGAACUAGAUUAUUGAUUCUAGUAAACCCUUGGGGUAUUAGUCACAUGAAGAUGUGAACUAAUCACAUAAAGAUGUGAACUAUUGGUGUGAAAUCACAUGAAGAUGUGAACUAGAUUAUUGACUCUAGUGCAAGUGGGAGACUGAAGGAAAUAUACCCUAGAGGCAAUAAUAAAGUUGUUAUUUAUAUUUCCUUAUAUCAUGAUAAAUGUUUAUUAUUCAUGCUAGAAUUGUAUUAACCGGAAACUUAGUACAUGUGUGAAUACAUAGACAAACAGAGUGUCACUAGUAUGCCUCUACUUGACUAGCUCAUUGAAUCAAUGAUGGUUAUGUUUCCUAACCAUAGACAUGAGUUGUCAUUUGAUUAAUGGGAUCACAUCAUUAGAGAAUGAUGUGAUUGACUUGACCCAUCCGUUAGCUUAGCACGAUGACCGUUUAGUUUAUUACUAUUGCUUUCUCCAUAAGCUUAUACAUGUUCCUAUGACUAUGAGAUCAUGCAACUCCCGAAUACCGGAGGAACACUUAGUGUGAUAUCAAACGUCACAACAUAACUGGGUGACUAUAAAGAUGCUCUACAGGUGUCUCCGAUAGUGUUUGUUAAGUUGGCAUAGACCGAGAUUAGGAUUUGUCACUCCAAGUAUUGGAGAGGUAUCUAUGGGCCCUCUCGGUAAUGUACAUAACUAUAAGCCUUGCAAGCAAUGUAACUAAUGAGUUAGUUACGGGAUGUAGCAUUACAGAACGAGUAAAGAGACUUGUCGGUAACAAGAUUGAACUAGGUAUUGAGAUACCGACAAUCGAAUCUCGAGCAAAUAACAUACCGAUGACAAAGGGAACAACGUAUUUCGUUAUGCGGUCUAACCGAUAAAUAUCUUCGUAGAAUAUGUCGGAGCCAAUAUGAACAUCCAGGUUCCGCUAUUGGUCAUUGACCGGAGAUGUGUCUCGGUCAUGUCUACAUAGUUCUCGAACCCGUAGGGUCCGCACGCUUAACAUUUGGUGACAAUCGGUAUUAUGAGUUUAUGUGUUUUGAUGUACCGAAGGUAGUUCGGAGUCCUGGAUAUGAUCACGGACAUGACGAGAAAUCUUGAAAUGGUCGAGACAUAAAGAUUGAUAUAUUGGAUGACUAUAUUCGGACACCAGAUGAGUUCCGGGGGUCACCGAAUAAUUAUUUGAGUGCCGGGGGGUUACACCGAAUAAUUAUUGGAGUGCCGGGGGGUUAUCGAAACCCCCGGGGGGAACUAAUGGGCCACAUGGGCCUUAGUGGAGAGAGAGACGGACGGCCAAGGCAGGGCCAUGCACCCCUCCCCCUCUAGUCCGAAUUGGACUGGGGAGGGGGGGGGGGCGCCCCCCUUUCCUUCUCUUCUCUCCCUCUCUUUCCUUCCCCCCUUCCUCCUCCUAGUAGGACUAGGAAAGGGGAGUCCUAGUCCUACUAGGAGGAGGACUCCUCCCCUCCUUGGCGCGCCACCAAGGGUCGGCCGGCCUCCCCCUUGCUCCUUUAUAUACGGGGGCAAGGGGCACACCAUAGACACACAAGUUGAUCAUUGAUCCCUUACCUGUGUGCGGUGCCCCCCUCCACCAUAAUCCACCUCGGUCAUAUCAUCGUAGUGCUUAGGCGAAGCCCUGCGCCGGUAGCUUCAUCAUCACCGUCAUCGCGCCAUCGUGCUGACGAAGCUCUCCCUCGACACUCAGCUGGAUCAAGAGUUCGUGGGACGUCACCAAGCCGAACAUGUGCAGAUCGCGGAGGUGCCGUACUUUCGGUACUAGGAUCGGUCGGAUCGUGAAGACGUAUGACUACAUCAACCACGUUGUCAUGACGCUUCCGCUUACGAUCUACAAGGGUACAUGGAUAACACUCUUCCCUUCUCGUUGCUAUGCAUCACCAUGAUAGAUCUUGCGUGUGCGUAGGAUUUUUUUUUGAAAUUACCUCGUUCCCCAACACAAGUAACAUACCGAUGACAAUGUGAACAACGUAUGUUGUUAUGUGGUAUGACCGAUGAAGAUCUUCAUAGAAUAUGGAGGAGCCAAUAUGAGCAUCCAGGUUCCGCUAUUGGUUAUUGAUCGGAGAUGUGUCUCAGUCAUGUCUACAUAGUUCUCGAACCCGUAGGGUCCGCACGCUUAACGUUCGAUGAGGAUUUGUAUUUUGAGUUAUGUGAUUUGAUGUACCGAAGGUUGUUCUAAGUCCCGGAUGAGAUCACAGACAUGACGAGGAGUCUCGAAAUGGUCGAGACGUAAAGAUCGAUAUAUUGGAAGGCUAUAUUCGGACAUCAGAAAGGUUCCGAGUGAUUCGGGUACUUUCGGAGUACCUGAGAGUUAUGGGAAUUCAAGGGGGAAAUAAUGGGCCCUACAGGAAAGGAGAGAAGGGCCUCAAGGGGUGGCUGCGCCCCCCCAUGGGCUGGUCCGAAUUGGAGUAGGGAUGGGGCAGCGUGCCCCUCUUUCCUUCUCUCCCUCUUCCCAUUCCUUCUUCUCCUACUCCAACUAGGGAAGGGGGGAAACCUACUCCUACUAUGAGUAGGAAUCCCCCUUGAGGCGCGCCAUAGAGAGGGCCAGCCCUCCCCUCCUCCAUUCCUUUAUAUACGGGGGAUGGGGGCACCCCAUAGAGACACAAGUUGACAGUUGUCUUAGCCGUGUGCGGUGCCUCCCUCCACAGAUUUCCACCUCGGUCAUAUCGUUGUAGUGCUUAGGCGAAGCCCUGUGUCGGUAACUUCAUCAUCACCGUCAUCACGCCGCCGUGCUGACGAAACUCUCCCUCGGCCUCAGCUGGAUCAAAAGUACGAGGGACGUCACCGAGCUGAACAUGUGCAAAUAGCGGCGGUGCCGUGCAUUCAGUACUUGGAUCGGUUGGAUCAUGAAGACGUUCGACUACAUCAACCGCGUUACUAAACGCUUCCGCUUUCGGUCUACGAGGGUACGUGGACACACUCUCCCCGCUCGUUGCUAUGCAUCACCUAUAUGGAUCUUAUGUGUGCAUAGGAUUUUUUUGAAAUUACUACGUUCCCCAACAGGAAUGAUGCAGAGUACCACCAUCACCCACCAUCGGCUCGGUUUUAUCGGCAACUAUGCCUCCCCGACUCGCAGCCGGGACUAGAUAAUGAAUAUCGAGAUCCGACCACCUAGCCGCGGGACGACCACCUUUGACGGAAGAGAUGUCCACCACUGCCGGCUGCACCGGCCAGGAUAGAUCUGACCGGAGGUGCCACCGACGGGUCCUCGCCGCCGCCGCGCCCGCCACCCACGCCGCCUCCGUUUGAGGCAGGGCCAGCCACCACGCCGCCAUGCCACAGCCAUCGUCAUCGUGCCGCAAAGAUUGGAUUGGAUGCGCCUCCACACUAUUAGGGGCCCCGCACAACCCCAGAUAUGCGGGAGAGAGGUGGUGUCCUCCGCCACCGCUGUCGGCUCCUAGGCUUAGCCCGAUGGCGUCCCCCAGCAGAGGCGGAGGGGGGGGGGGAGGAGGGAGUGUGCGCCCCCGGCGGCUGGGUUUAGGGUGCCGCCUGUGUUGCCCUAGCAGGGACGACGCGGGGGCUGGGCUCUCGGAACGCUAUUUGGGUCAGCUCGUGAGUACCAGGAAAGCCUGGUCCUCAAGAAUAAAUAGGAACCUAAAUUUGCCUCUGUGAGGAUUUGAACCCAGGUGUUGGGUUUGUACAUGCACUCCCCCAAUCAGUUGAGCUAGGCUCAGUCCCCGUCAAUCCAUGGAUUUGCAAUGCAUUUUCUAACAGACCUUGAUAUUAGAAGUUCGAUCCCACAGAAGCAUGUCAAGGUAGCGCCCUCUGUGGCACGCAGAUGGAUUCCAUCACCUACUAAUAUGGUUAAGCUCAAUGUGGAUGGAGGUAUAGAAAAACAUAGACGGAAUGGUGCGGAGGUUGUAGUGUGCAGGUGUGUGAGCCCAUUAAUCGACAACCAAGCAUAUUAAUGAAGGGAGUACGUGUUAGAAUAUUGGGCCCAUUUAUAGGGCAGCCCAAUAGCGAAUUUCUAAAAUCUCAAAGGCCCAUGUGUGUGAGAAAGUGGUGGGAGUGAGAAGUUUAGUCCCACCCCGGAAGUUGGAGGAGUUGCACACCACCUUAUAAGGUGGAGUUUUGUAGCACUUGUAAGUGAGUGAGAAUAAGAGAGUCCCUCGCACAAUCCUCCUCCUCCGCCGCCGCUCCCUCGUCUCGACACAACACGACACGAUCAUGUUUUGUGAAUUCGUGCCUCGAGCCGGCGCCGUAACACACAACAAAACAAAUCUAGGUUUUGCCACACCUUGUUCCUUGCGCCGCCACCGUAGUCCACCCCAUCCUGAGCGUCGGCGUGCACCGGCGAACGGGAGAGCAGUUCUCCAGAACCACUCGACUUUGUGAUCUAUACGGGAGAGGGCGAAUUAGGUUUUUCGGAAGCGCCACAUGCGCGACUGCACAUUGUCUUCAUCAUGGCUCGCCUACCGUCCAGGUCAGGCAAUCUUGCUUGUCAUCGUCUACAAUGUUGUCUUCUGCAACCAGUUUUCACCGAUGUUGUGAUCAACAACACCGCUGCACCAACGACUACCUCAUAUGGAAAUGAUCGGUAUAACUGUAGUGUCCCAUCUCAUUGGUUAAACAUGUUUGCCAGUUUCAUGUUUUGCGAUGUUGUGUUGCUACUGUUCAUGUUCUUUAGUGCUUCUAGUAUGCUUGAGUUCCACAUGCCAGUAGCUGCAAUCGUCAUGUUUAAUAUUCUAGAAUUAAUCAUGGAAAUUAUGCCUAAUUAUUUAACAAUCCAUGGGUGUUAGAAUCAAUACAAUGUAAUCUAGAUUAUUGACUCUAGUGCAAGUGGGAGAUUGAAGGAAAUAUGCCCUAGAGGAAAUAAUAAAGUUGAUAAAUGUUUAUUAUUCAUGCUAGAAUUGUAUUAACCGGAAACUUAGUACAUGUGUGAAUACAUAGACAAAUAGAGUGUCACUAGUAUGCCUCUACUUGACUAGCUCGUUGAAUCAAUGAUGGUUAUGUUUCCUAACCAUAGACAUGAGUUGUCAUUUGAUUAACGGGAUCACAUCAUUGGAGAAUGAUGUGACUGACUUGACCCAUCCGUUAGCUUAGCACGAUGAUCAUUUAGUUUGUUGCUAUUGCUUUCUCCGUAACUUAUACAUGUUCCUAUGACUAUGAGAUCAUGCAACUCCGGAAUACCGGAGGAACACUUAGUGUGCUAUCAAACGUCAGAACGUAACUGGGUGACUAUAAAGAUGCUCUACAGGUGUCUCCGAUGGUGUUUGUUGAGUUGCCAUAGAUCGAGAUUAGGAUUUGUCACUCCAAGUAUCGAAGAGGUAUCUUCGGGCCCUCUCGGUAAUGCACAUCACUGUAAGCCUUGCAAGCAAUGUGACUAAUGAGUUAGUCACGGGAUGAUGCAUUACACAACGAGUAAAGAGACUUGCCGGUAACGAGAUUGAACUAGGUAUUGAGAUACCGACGAUCGAAUCUCGGGCAAGUAACAUUCCGAUGGAAAAGGGAACAACGUAUAUCGUAUGCGGUUUGACCGAUAAAAAACUUCAUAGAAUAUGCGGGAGCCAAUAUGAACACCCAGGUUCCGCUAUUGGUUAUUGAUCGGAGACGUGUCUCGAUCAUGUCUACAUAGUUCUCGAACCCGUAGGGUCCGCACGCUUAACAUUCGGUGACGAACAAUAUUAUGAGUUUAUGUGUUUUGAUGUACCGAAGGUAGUUCAGAAUCCCGGAUAUGAUCACGGACCCGACGAGGAGUCUCUAAAUGGUCGAGACAUAAAGAUUGAUAUAUUGGAUGACUAUAUUCGGACAUGGGAUGAGUUCCAGGGGUCACCGGAUAAUUAUCAGAGUGUCGGGCGGUUAUCGGAACCCCCCGGGGAAACUAAUGGGCCACAUUGGCCUUAGUGGAGAGAGAGAGCCGUCCAAGGCAGGGCCACGCGCCCCUCCCCCUCUAGUCCGAAAUUGAGUAGGGAAGGGGGGCGGCGCCUGCCUUUUCUUCUCUUCUCUCCCUCUCUUUCCUUCCCCCUUCCUCUUCCUAGUAGGACUAGGAAAGGGGAGUCCUACUCUGACUAGGAGGAGGACUCCUCCCCUCCUUGGCGCGCCACCAAGGGCCGGUCGGCCUCCCCCCUUGCUCCUUUAUAUACGGGGGCAGGGGGCACACCAUAGACACACAGGUUGAUCAUUGAUCCAUUAACCGUGUGCGGUGCCCCCCUCCACCAUAAUCCACCUCGGUCAUAUCGUCGUAGUGCUUAGGUGAAGCCCUGCGCCGGUAGCUUCAUCAUCACCGUCAUCACGCCAUCGUGCUGACGAAGGUCUCCCUCGGCACUCAGCUGGAUCGAGAGUUCGUGGGACGUCACCGAGCCGAACGUGUGCAGAUCACGGAGGUGCCGUACUUUUGGUACUAGGAUCGGUCGGAUCGUGAAGACGUACGACUACAUCAACCGCAUUCUCAUAAUGCUUCCACUAAUGGUCUACGAGGGUACGUGGACAACACUCUUCCCUUCUUGUUGCUAUCCAUCACCAUGAUAGAUCUUGCAUGUACGUAGGAUUUUUUUUGAAAUUACUGCAUUCCCCAUUAGUGGCAUCCGAGCCAGGUCUAUGCGUAGAUGUUAUAUGCACGAGUAGAACAUAAAAGAGUUGUGGGCGUGGGUAUAUACAUAUUGCUUGCCAUUACUAGUUGUUUAUGUGAGACUGGUUCUACCGACGUGCUUCGCACACAGGUGGCUGGUGGGUGUCAGUUUCUCCAACUUUAGUUGAAUCGGAUUCAAUGAACAGGGUUCUUUCUGAAGAUCAAAAAGAAAUCACUAUGCCACGUUGUGGUUUUUGAUGCGUAGGUAAGAACGAUUCUUGCUCAUUCCAUAGCAGCCACGUAGAACUUGCAACAACAAAGUAGAGGUCGUCUAACUUGUUUUUGCAGGACAUGUUGUGAUGUGAUAUGGUCAAGACAUGAUGCUAAAUUUUAUUGUAUGAGAUGAUCAUGUUUUGUAACACAGUUAUCAGCAACUAACAGGAGCCAUAUGAUUGUCGCUUUAUUGUAUGAAAUGCAAUCGCCAUGUAAUUGCUUUACUUUAUGUCUAAGCGGUAGAGAUAGUCGUAGAAGCAAUAGUUGGCGAGACGACAAUGAUACUUUGAUGGAGAUCAAGGUGUCAAGCCGGUGACGAUGGUGAUCAUGACGGUGCUUUGGAGAUGGAGAUGAAAGGCACAAGAUGAUGAUGGCCAUAUCAUAUCACUUAUAUUGAUUGCAUGUGAUGUUUAUCCUUUAUGCAUCUUGUUUUUUUAGUUCGGCGGUAGCAUUAUAAGAUGAUCUCUCACUAAAUUUUAAGGUAUAAGUGUUCUCCCUGAGUAUGCACCGUUGCUACAGUUCGUCGUGCCGAGACACCACGUGAUGAUCGGGUAUGAUAAGCUCUACAUUCACAUACAACGGAUGCAAGCCAGUUUUGCACACACGGAAUACUCGGGUUAAACUUGACGAGCCUAGAAAAUGCAGAUAUGGCCUCAGAACACUGAAACCGAAAGGUCGAGCGUGAAUCAUAUAGUAGAUAUGAUCAAUAUAGUGAUGUUCACCAUUAAAAAUUACUCCAUCUCACGUGAUGAUCGAACAUGGUUUAGUUGAUAUGGAUUACAUGAUCACUUAAAUGAUUAGAAAGAUGUCUAUUUAAGUGGGAGUUCAUAAGUAAUUUGAUUAAUUAAACUUUAAUUUAUCAUGAACUUAGUACCUGAUAGUAUUUUGUAGAUAGAUGACCCGUGCUGUUGUUCCGUUGAAUUUUAAUGCGUUCUCACUACAAGAAAUAUGUCAACUUGUGACCUUCUCUCAGCGACUCCGGCUGAAUUGGUCGUAAAUCCACGGCCAUUUUGCUUGGAAGGGCUCAAACCCUGAAAUUGUCUUACACCAAAUGGUCAUAAAGCAGACAAGAGUGGUCAACAACCUUCUUUCUACCUGAUUACGACCAAUAUAAAUGGUCAUGAGGUUGUGAACGUGGAUACAUUGGUACUUAAGGUGUUGCUCAAGAUGGGCUUGGGCCUCGGUGGAAUGAGGCCACCUCCUUUUUUUAAAAAAAAUUGUGCCAUGUAGGCCUCGACCCUUCCAGGAAGAAAUGUGGGUUGCCCUUAUAUUACUCAAAAAAACAUAUAUUCGGCCCAACAAAAAUGGGAAAAUAACAAGUCUUUCAUUAAAAUAGGAAAAUAAUGAGCUCCUUCAUGAAUCUUGCUAUAUGGUUUAGCAAUGAGAAAACUAAACGUGUAAUUUAAAAAAAAAAUUAAUGUUAAUACGUCUUUCAAAAAUGUAAUCAUGUGUUUAAAAAACUUAAAUGCGUGUAUUUGAAAAGAUUCAUGCAUAUAAAAAAUGAUAAUCAUAAGUAAUAUUAGAUAUGUAUAAAGAAAGUUUCAUGUGUAUGCGAAAAUAAUCAUCAGUACGUAUAUAUGAAAAUUUUACAAUAUAUAUAUAUAUAUGGAAAAGUAGAUAACAAAACAAGAUUUUCUAAAAAUGUUAAUCAUGUAUUUAAAUUUUUCUAACCAAUAUCAACAAUGUUUUAUAUGUAUACAAAAAUGUACAAUGUGUAAAAAACAAAUAUAGACAUCAAAACGUAUGUAUGAAAAGAUGUUUUUAUGUAGUAAAUAUAUGAAAAUAUGUUAAUCAUGUAUUUGAAAAAAGUUAAACAUAUAAAAACAAUAUGUACAAUGUGUCUUAAAAAUGUAAGCAUGUGUUCAAAAUAUUUAUUAAAAAUGUUAAUGAUGUAACUAAAAAUCGUUUAAUAUCUAGUGUACACAAAUCUUUAUCUUUACCUACUAAUAAACCACCGAUUGCUUCCGGUAGUACGUCACCGGCCGUUUUGCAGAAAAGUCCUCCCGUUUUUGAGAAAUUAACCCGCACUACCUUUUCAAGUUGUUAUCUAAAAAAAGCUUCAGGUUUACAAAAAGGACCCUAUAUUGUUUGAUAUUCAACUCGCGGUCACUUCAACAGAGUUUCAGCCCGGCCAUCACGCACACAAACUCUGUCUGGUCGUGCGUUUAUGUUCGAUUUUUUUGUCACGCAUCGCUCCUCUAAACUGAUUCUCAUUAGUUUAUAUACAAUUGCAGAUUAUCCGUAAUAUUAAUCAGACUUCUCAAAAAACAACAAACAUACUGCAAAUACAUGAGAGAGAACAAUGAGGAGUGAAGAAAGAUCCGCGGGCGAGUCCCUCAGAUUCUCACGAGAAUCAGAGGCAAAAAAAGAAAUAACCCAUCAUGAUGGGAAGGCAACGAAGAGAACCGGAGUCCUCGAGAAGGAGAGGCUGUUCUGACAGCCGCCGUUGACGCGGGCGUGACGCGAACAGGAUCCAGCGGCGGGUAUCUGGUGGUCUGCAACGACGUGGCGUGACGCGGACAGGAUCCAGCGGCGGGUAUCUGGUGGUCUGCAACGGCGUGGCGUGACGCGGACAGGAUCCAGCGGCGGCACUCCGGAUCUGGUGGUCUGCAACGGCGUGUCAGCGACUGGCUUCACAUUGGCCUACAAGCAUAGAACAAGAUGAGUAUCCGUGGAUGUACGGGAUGAGAAAGAGGGAUGCAGAUGCCUGGGGGUGUGCCACCGCUGGCCGAGACGCUGGCCUCCUCCUCACGGUCAACGCGAGCAGAGGCGCGCGAGGAUGAGCGGCGCGGGAUCGGCCGGAUCCGGAGCACGGGGCGGCGAGUUCGCGGGGGCGGGGUGCGCUGGAUAGGUAGGAAGAGGAGAGAUGGGUGGUGAUGCGAGGUGGAUGGAGAGUAGAUGAGGAGGACCAGCGGCCUCAGUUCUUGAGGAUAAGAGAAGAAGAAGCGGGGCUUGCUGUUGCUACCUCUCGCUGGUGGGUGGUGAAUGAACGACUCGACCGACAAGAAAAAGCGGCUGGGUCGGGGGCAGUGCGAGGGUCCUAUGAAGCACGUGGCAAAGUUAAGUUGACGCGUGUGCGAGUCGAGCCAGCGGGGCGAGUCACGGUGUGCGCUUGAUGUCAAAGAACAAUCAGUUGGUUCGGACCAACACUAUGAAAAGAAAUUGCACUGAGUUCUGUUGGAUGGCUAUACGUGCUAGCACUGAUUAAAAGAAAUCGGAUGAACACCUAUUAUAUUACUUGCUGUUGUUUGUUACUUGAUGUUGUUUUUACAUUAUCAAAUGUAAUAAUUAAGAGUGGAUUAAAUAUUGGAAAGAAAUAUUUCUUAAGGAAUAAGAUAUUUGAGGCUCACCAGUACUUGCUGACCAGAACUUUGAAUGUCAUCGAUGUCGUUUGUGAGAUAGGGAGGGAUAAAGAGUAAAGAGAGUGCAACAACGAUGCAUCUUGCUCGCGUUCUGUUUCGCCCUCACAAUAGCUGGGAUUGCGAGAUACAGGACUUAAUAUAUGAUCUAUUUCAAGCUGCUAAAGGCAUGCGGAUGAUGCACAAUUACCCUCGCACUGAAAGAAUAAACGUUUAGAUUUUUGUAAUAUUUUGACACAGGAUUAUUGAAUAUCAACAUUUUGUUACACAUAAUUCAACUUCUUUAGAGCGAGUUGAAGUAGUGGGUUUUAUUAGCAGAGAAGAAGAUUACGAGCUUUUGGAAUACAAUGGGAUUUCAUAAAGUGGAUCCUUAUGCGAAUACCACAUGAACUCUUAAAUGUAUUUCUUAUCCGUUGCAACGCACGGGCAUUUUUGCUAGUUUGUUCAUAAAAUAUGGUCUAAUAUUCUUUAAAAAUGGAAAAGUUUUUUACAACAAAUAUUUGUCAGUUUGUCACAAAAAAACUCAUUUUGGGAAUUCGAAAAAUGGAAAAUGAAUAUGCAGAAAUUUGCCUUUUUCACGAGAGGUGGAUCAAAUUUUUUUACACACAACCAUUUGGUCAAUUAUGCAUUAAAUAUGGCCUAGUAUGUUAGAAAUUUGAUUUGGUCCAAUUUUGCAACAAUUAUUGGUAGGUUCUUCAAAAAAACUUAUUUUGGAUGCUCAAAAAAUGAAAAAUGAUUUUUUCGUCCAAAGAAAAUGAAAACAUCGUUAGACAACAUUGUUUGCCAUUCCAAAAUGUACCCUUGUGCACAAUAUGAGAUCAUUUGAACAAAUUAUUUCAUGAAUGUGGUCAUAAGAUUGAUCAUUUGCUUUGAAAGCCAUUGAUCUCCACACAUGAUAACUUGUUUCUGAGAACACUUUUUAAAAUAAUUGCCGUAUUACAAGUUUAUUAUUUUUUCGGGUAACUUGGCCACAUAUAAUGACACAAUGCGAAGGUUUUCCAUUUUUUUUUAAUUUUUCAUGGCCGUUUCAAAAUGCGGUCAAAACGGCGGGCAUGACCGUUGCUAGCUAGUGGGCGAAUCUUGGAAAACUUUUGAUGUUUCUCUGAUUAAAUAGAUACUUAUGUACAUAGAAAUGAUUUUUGAAAAAAAAUAAAGAGAAAACUAUAAGGCAACUGUCGUUAAAAUUUGACCCGCUUCCUGCUGAAUUAACAAAAAAUUGUCUUUUUCACGAGAGGUGGAUAAAAACUUUUGAUACUCAAACAUUUGGUUAAUUGUGCAUUAAAUAUCAUCUAGUAUUUUAUAAAAAUGAUUUGUUACAAUUUUACAACAAAUAUAUGGUAGGUCCUUAAAAAAUACUCAUUUCGGGCACUCGAAAAAAAUGGAAAAUGAAUUUUUCCGUCCAAAGAAAAUGAAAACUUCCUUAGGCAACAUUGUUUGCCAUUCAAUGAUGCAUCCUUUUGCACAAUAUUAUAUCAUUGCAACAAAAUAUAUCAUGAAUGUGGUCAUAAGAUUGAUCAUUUGCCUUGAAAGCCAUGAAUCUUCACACAUGAUAGCUUAUUUAUGAGAACACUUUUUUUAAAUAAUUACCGUAUUAUAAGUUUAUUAUUUUUCCCGGUAACUUAGUCACAUAUAAUGACACAACGCGAAGGUUUUUCUAUUUUUUAAUUUUUUUUGAAUUUUUAUGCCCAUUUCAAAAUGCGGUCAAAACGGCGGGUUUGGCCGUUCCUAGCUAGUGGUUGAAUCUUGGAAAACUUUUGGUGUUUCUAUGAUUAAAUAGAUACUUAUGUACCUAGAAAUUAGUUUUUGAAAAAAAUGAAGAGAAAACUAUGAGGCAGCUGUAGUUCAAACUUAACCCACUUCCUGCUGAAUCGGCGGAAACUUGUCUUUUUCACGAGAGGUGGAUCAAAACUUUUGACACUCAACCAUUUGGUCAAUUGUGCAUUAAAUAUGUCCUAGUAUUUUAGAAAAAUGAUUUGGUCCAAUUUUGCAAUAAAUAUAUGGUAGGUCCUUCACAAAAAACUCAUUUUGGGCACUCGGGAAAUGGAAAAUUGAUUUUUCAUGCAAAGAAAAUGAUAACUCCCUUAGGUAAUAUUGUUAGCCAUUCCAAGAUGCACCCUUGUGCACAAUAUGAGAUCAUUUGUACAAACUAUGCCAUGAAUGUGGCCAUAAGAUUGAUAAUUUGGGUUGAAAGCCAUGAAUCUUAACACACGCCAGCUCAUUUCUGAGAAAACUUUUUAAAAAGAGUUUCUGUAUUACAACUUUAUUAUGUUUCCUGGUAACUUGGUCACAUGUAAUGACACAAUACGAAGGUUUUCCAAUUUUUUGAUUUUUUUUGAAUUUUUUAUGCCCGUUUCAAAAUGCGGUCAAAACGGCGGGAAAGACCGUUCCUAGCUAGAUGUUGAAUCUUGGAAAAAAUUUAAUGUUUAUAUGAUUAAAUAUAUACUUAUGUACCUAGAACUGAUUUUAAAAAAUAAGGAGCAAACUAUGAGGUAGCUACAGUUCAAAUUUGACCCACUUUCAACUGAAUCGGCAGAAAUUUGUAUUUUCCACAAGAGGUGGAUCAAAGCUUUUGAAACCCAACCAUUUGGUUAAUUGUCCAUUAAAUAUGUCCUAAUAUUUUGUAAAUUUCAUUUGGUCCAAUUUUGCAACAAAUAUAUGGCAGGUCCUUCACAAAAAUACUUAUUUUGGGCAAUCAAAAAAUGGAAAAUGAAUUUUUGGUCUAAAGAAAAUGAAAACUUUCUUUAGGCAAUAUUGUUUGUCAUUCCAAGAUGCACCCUUGUGUACAAUAUGAGAUCAUUUGAACAAACUAUGUCAUGAUUGUGGCCAUAAGAUUGAUCGUCUAUUCUAUAUAAAAAGUAAUUUACGGGUUUAUGGGCUAACCAGAAAAAAUAAAUUACCACAAAAAUUACCACAAAAAUCAGAAACAUCCGACCAUUCAUUCAAUAGAACAAAAUUCUAUAGCCAUUAGAUUAGAUUUAUGUGAAAAACUACCCACCAUUGGCAUUACGUCACACACGUUGAUAUUAAAAAUUUACACAUCACGUUGCAGCCUCCUUCACGUUGAUAUACAUGCUCUUAGUGUGUGUCAUCGGUAUGGUAAAAAUGCACAUGAAGAUUUGGAGUAGAUAAAGUAAUUAUGACUUUCUUAACACAUUUCAUACUUUCGGUGAAUGUAUACUCCAAGGGUGUGCAAUUAAAAGUGGUAUUGCACAAGUAGUUGAUGAUAAUUUUUUGGUUUAACAUUUUUUACUUUGCUUUGGAUAUUACCCUAUAGUAUAUAUAUCGUGUGCUUGAAUCUUAUUUAUCACAUUGUAUAACAAACUAUUGCUCUUGUCGGAUUUCGGGUUCCGGCAGACCCUUAAGGUUCGAACACUGGGGUGCGUGCGGAGAUUUCGCCUCCUACCUUCCUGCACCCCUCCGCCACGCUAGGAUCAAAGCUAUGAAGAGAACAACACAAGGGACACAGGGUUUAUACUGAUUCGAGCCACCGUUAUGGUGUAAUACCCUACUCCAGUGUGUGGUGUGGUGGAUUGCCUCUUGGGCUGAUGAUGAUGGACAGUACAAGGAAGAACAACCUCGCGAGGGUCUGUUCUUGGCUGGGGCGAUGAACUGCUGGGAGGAGUUCAGCCACCUUUCUCUCUCUCUCUCUCUCUCUCUCUACUUACCACCUCUCUACUUGUCGAGCCCUUGGAGGAGACUGAGCCAAACCCUUUGCUACGUGGGUGGCCGGUCCUAUUUAUAGUGGCCCUGGUCCUCUCCCCAAAUAUUGAGCGGGAAGGGAGCCAACAAUGGCGGGCUAUUUUGAAAUGGGACAGCAAGUAUCAACUAUCCUGACAAAAGUAGUCUUCGCCUGCGCAAAGCUCUGGUGAUGACGCCGUCUUGGGCUCCACGGUGACCUCCAUCUCGUAGUCCUCCUGGUCUUGGUCUCGUUGCACCGAAAUGGCAACCUUUGCCUGAUGCCUCGGUACUCCACGGCUGCGCUUGCCCCCUUUGCACCAAAGAGGAAAGGAGGACGCUGCGCGGGCUGGCACCCGCCUGGCGCCCUGAGUCGUCAUGGCUUGCGUCACGGGCACCUCGCGAGGUACCCUGCCUUGAUCUCUCCGCCUCCUCGCGAGCCAGCCUGACGAGGCCGUGCCUGAGGAAGCUCCGUGUCGCCCGCCCCGCGAGGCUUGGCCCCUCGCGAGGGUCUUGAGUUUGUGUUGGGGAAGAUGGGCCGUGCUGUCCCCCUUUGAGCCACGCCGCAGGCCGCAGGCAGGCAAGUCUGGGGACCCCCGUUCCCAGAACGCCGACAGUAGCCCCCGGGCCCAAGGCGCGCCUGGACUUGGCCGUGCAGGGAGGCGGAAGGGCAAGAGCGAAGCGCCGCGGGCCCUAACAGCCUGCGGCCUUAGGCGCCGCGUGGCGGUUGAUUGGACGUGGGUGCCUUAGCAGCCGCGCGAGUUGAUAAGGGAGUGGCGUCCGCCUAGGCCCUUCUUCUUGCUUCCCCCGGUUGCUGUUCAGAUCCCCUUUCCUGCGCUUCUCCUUCCUUCCUCCGAAAUCUCCAGAUCUGCUCUGACCGUGCGACCCAGGAAGCCAUGGCGCCUCGCCAGCCCCCGGCCGCUGCUUGGUACUCGUCUGCCCUGGACCCACCGAACGUGUGGGAGGUGGGCCUUGCCCGGUUGCGCCGGAUAGCGAUGACGCGAGGCAUUGACGGGGCGAAGGUGUUCAAGGCCGGCUCCACCACCCCUGAGGGUCAGAGGAGCACCUUCUAUCCACUCUUCGUAAGUGCCAUUGUUGCUGGCGUGGUGCCUCCCUUCUCCGAGUUCUUCUUCUCUAUCCUCCGCCAUUACAAGCUGCAGGCUCUGCAUCUCCAUCCCAACUCCGUCCUCCUCCUCGCGAUCUUUGCUUAUUAUUGCGAGGCCCACGUUGGGGUGCAGCCCUCAGUGGCAUUGCUGCGCCACUACUUCUCCCUCCGGACUUCUCGCGGCCCAGCUUCGUCGCGUACGGUGGCGCCAUUGCCAUCUCGAACUCUGGGAAGAGGAUUGAGGGCUUCAGGAGCAAGUGGUUCUUGGUGGACGCUGAGCGCAUCCACCCUCGGCUGAUCUUGCCCACCGAGCAGCCCACGAGCUCCAGCAACUAGGGUCGAGCGGAGCUCACGGAUCCCCGCGCAAAGAUGGUGUUGGAGAAGAUGGACGCGGAUCUGAGGCCGGCCGACAUGGCGACGGCGAAGCUGACCGGCGCGUCGCUGCUGAGGGAGUUCCUGGAGCACCAGCUGGCUCCGGUUCGGCAGUACUCGCUCCCAAUGUGGAGGCCCCGUCCGAGCCCCGCGGCCUGGGCCGAGGGAGACUUGGCUGCGGUUCUCCAAUCUCUGGUCGGGGGCAAUGUGGCGAGGUUGGAGGGCGCUCCUACGCCCUUGUUCCUCCGCGACGACUAGGAGCGGGUAGUGAAGUCCAUGCCCGUCUUCAACGGGGAAGGGCCCGUGCCCCUGGAGGCUCCCGAGGGACCGGUGGACGUGCCCUCCGGCGACUCCAGCAAAGAGGAAGAAGGAGAGGAGCGCGGAAAAGGGCCUGGCUCCGAGGCGACUGACGGAUAGUCGAGGGCUCCCCUCCCCCGGCGCAGGUCCCGCGUUCUCCGCCUCUCUUUGAACGAUGACGUCGAGGAUGACGACGAAGACGAUGACGAGCAGGACGGCGGGAGCUCGCCCCCGAUCCCGAAGAAGGACAGGACCGGGCUGAUCUCCCGCGGGUCUCCCCCGGCCCCGGGGCGAAUCGCAGACGCACCUUCCGCCUCCAAGCUUCCCGAGGUUGACCCUUCCAGUCGGCUUUCAGGCUUCAAAUUUGGCCGGAGGCCGCUUGAGCUCACUGGCGACGACCCGUAAGCAUUCGAUUCUUGUCUUUAUCUCUUGCUCUGCUUCUGAGGCUUGACGUCCGCAUCUCUGGAUAGGUUGGCGCCCGCAGCAAAGAAGUCAAAGGGGGCUCCUGAGGUUUCGUUCGUGACAGCGCCCCUGAAGGAAGGUGACCGCGAUGCACAAGCUUCUCCCGCCCGGUCAUCCUCGCGGGGCCUGAUUGAGCCGGCUGGGGUGAGCUCUGCCCCCACGGCCCAAGUGGCUCCCGAGGUGCUCCCGUCUGCCGCCACUGCUACAGCUGUCGGGGCGCGGCAGACUCCGCCUUAGGAUGCUGCGGCCAUGCUGCCGCCUUCUUCUCCUACUCCACCGGCUGCUAUCUCCCCGACUCCUUCCACCGUUCUGGACCGCGCUGUUGCUGAGCUGGAUCGGCUGCGGCAGGAUCUUCUCGGCGCCGACCCUCGCCUGGUAGCCGGGACGCUUGGAGCUGGUUUCUGGAUGGGUUCGCUCCGACGCUUCGAUUCGGGUGGCGCUGGUCCAGGCCUCGACGGCAUGCGACGAGGAGAAGCAGGCCGUCCUUGAGGCGCAGGCUGCUCGCGAUGCAGCCCUGGGAGAGGUGGUCGACGUCCGUGGUCGCUGCAGGGUGCUGGAGGACGAGCUGCAGGGCCUGCGGGAUCAGCUCGCGAAAGAGGUUCGCCUUCGCCAAGGGCAGGAAGAAGGCAUGAAGGCUCGCGAUGCGGCCGUCGAGGGCCGGGAGGCCAAGCUCAAGAAACGCCGCGACCGCCUAGGCGCGCUGGAGUAGGAAUUGGGGGCGAGGAAGGCCGAGCUGGACGGCAAGGCCCUGGUCCUCGCCGAAGACCGCACGGCCUUCACGGAGCUGGAGGCGAAGGCUCGCUCCUCGCUGAGGACGCUUUACGACAGCGGCCUGGAGAGCCCCCUGGCCGGCGCCGAGGACGGCCCUGGCAAGGUGCUUCCCUUCUUGGUCCACGCUCUUGAAGAUGUCGCCCUUGGCCUCGGCCCCACGGCCGAGGCCGAGGCGCGUGUUCUGUCUUCUGCAGCACUGACGCGGGUUCUCACCCACAUCCACCUUCACGAUCCCGGGUUCGACCUUGCCAGUCUGCUGGAGCCCGUGAGCGGCAAGCGUGCGGCGACUGCUGCCGAGGCCAUGAAGGGUCAUGCAGAGGCUCUGCUGGGGAAGUUCUGGGCCUUCAGCACCAAGCCGGAGCAAGGCGCUGUCGACCUUGCUGCUCCGUGAGGCGAACCCACGCCGCGCUACUCCCCCGCCGCCAAGUGACUCCAUCGUGGCUCCUGUCCUGCUUUUGAUUCCUGCACAUGUAUCAUGCCUCGGGGAGGCGUUUAAACUUGCACUUGAUAUUGGGAUAACAGUGUGGACUGUAAUAUUUGCUUUCAAAUUCCUUUGAAAUUUGGGCUUUUCCUUCCUACUUGCUUACGUUCUACGCCGGCAAAGCCUGGCCCCGCGCGUACCUCACACAGCAAUAGCCCCAACCGGAAACUAGGACGGGACCAAGGAGAGAGGGGCUACGUGAUAAGUUAGGCUCCUGAGUCACGAUGCUCAGGAGUCCCCCUUGGCGCACGAACAGCAAGUAGGGAGGUGUGAUGUGGGUGGAUCCACCGUUCUACGUCUGCAGAGCCCGGCCACGCGUGUACUUCACCCAGCAAUAGCCCCGACCGGAAACCAGGACGGGACCAAGGAGUGAGGGGCUAUGUGACAAGUUAGGCUCCUGAGUCACGAUGCUCAGGAGUCCCCCUUGACGCUCAAACGGCCUUCAUACCUUGGCUCCGCUCGGGGAGAGGCGCGCGACGAACCAGGCCUGUGGGGACCUGGCUGGGCGGCGUGCGUCUGGGCGUGACCCUGGCGCAACCCCCGUGCCCAGCCCCCUCGCGCGGCACUCCCGAGGGGAGGCAUUGCGAUGAGGCUAGACACUGAGCACUGGGCUCCCUGAGGUUGAUGCGGCCCUGAGGCCACGCUCAGUUGUUUAUCACCAGCAUGGAGCAUAGCGCUUCCGUAUGAGUACGGGCAUAGCCGCUCCUGGCAGUGUCGUCAGCCAACGUGGAGCAUGGUGCUUCCACUGGUGCGUGGGAGGGGGCCCCCCUCCGGGAGGAGCCCCCGGGGCGUGUACAGCCCCGCCCUGACACAUGGCUGGCACGGUAGGGCCUGGUGAGGUGUAUCUGGGCACCCGUGAGCCAGUGCGGGACUCACGGGGCCCUACCUCUAGGCAGGUUGCGCCUGGCACUGGGCCUUAUCUUGUGUUGUGUCCCUGCAAGUUUGGUUAGAUGCCUGCACUCUACGUCCUCGGGUCCCGGCCCUCGAGCUGGUCUCAGCCGUCGCUGGUAUGCCAGGUCGCAAUGCCGUGGUCAAGGCCAGAGGGUGAGGGCUGGAGAGCCAGUAAGAGCCCCGAGUCGCGAUGCUCAGGUACCCCCCCCUUUAACGUGCAAGUGGUCAACAUGGAGAAGAGGAGGCGCCGCGGACCGGAAUCAAAUAAUCAAGCAUGGCAGUUCUAACGCUUAACCGGAAAUGAACGCAAAUGGGUACAUGCCGCUGAGCCUGGCCCGAGCGGCUUGAGGAUCAUGCAGCCCGCGGGGCGCCCCCAACAAGGUAAGCUAAUGAUGCGAAAUAAAAGGGAUACACGCCGCAAGGACGGACCCACGCGGCCUGGGAAUAACGCAGCCCUGGGGGCGCUCCCAGCUGGAAGUGAAACUUGAAAGAUGUCACCUGAUGACGCUGAAGACGAAGGGGUGUUGGUGUAGCCGGCUCGGUGGGCUGCGGAAGCCGAUCCUCAUGAGCCCCCAGGCCCAGGGGCCUCGGGAGGCUCCGGAGGCGCUGGCGGUUCCUCGCGGGCCAUCUUCAUCUCCGCCAGGGCUGCGGAGCACCUGGCCUCUUGCGCCUCCGCAAUGCCCCUUAUGAGGCGCUGGUACGCGUCAGAUGCGCUCGGCAAGCCGUAAGGCAUGCGAACGUAGCUGUGGGGUGGACCUCCGCAGCGCCCCACUCGCGAGGGCCAGAGGCGCUCCAGGGAGGCGACUUGGUUGAGCCCUGGUACGUCGACAUAGACGCGCAGCCCGCCAUCCUCGCCCGGAUGGGGAGCCACUGCUGGUAGGCGGUGGGCACCUCUCAUGACUCUGGACUCCUGUAGCUCCUGAAUGGCCUUGCUGAUGAACUAUUGUGGGUCUGGAUCUCCUUGCCUUGCUCCUCCUUGAGGGAAACGUGCUCCGAAACACGCCUCCAUGUGGUGCCCCAGCGCCUCCAUCGUGACCCUUGCUAGAUCGGUGGCCCUCCAGGGGAGAGCCCCCGAGCCCUGCCUAAGGAGGGCGCCGGGCGCGCUUUCCUAUGCGAUGGAAGGAGGUUCCCCCUGGGCAGGCACGGGCCUAGAGCGGCCUACCUCCUGAGGGGCCAGGCCGGACGAUGUCUUCUUCUUCUUGAGGGCGGCCUCGGGAAGCCUCCUGCUUCCGCGAUAUGGGUCCUCCAGUGAUGCGGCCUGAAAGGCUCGCUCUAGGGAACACACUGCGUCCUUCUCUUCACAGGGCACCGUGAUGACUCCGCCGUUUCCUGGCAUCUUGAGGACGUUCUAGCCGUGGUGAGUCAUGGCCAUGAACUUGGCCAGCGCCGGGUACCCGAGGAUGGCCUUGUACGGCAGGCGGAUGUGAGCGACGUCGAAGUCGAUGAGCUCGGUGCGCUAGUUGUCGCGUACCCCGAAGGUGACGGGGAGGCGGACCUACCCGAUCGGGACAGUGGAGCCGUCGGUGAUACCGGAGAAGGGCUUGGUUGGCUGAAGCUGGCUGUAGGGAACUUGGAGGUUGUUGAACGCCUCCACGGACAGGACGUUGAGCCCUGCCCCGCCAUCGAUGAGGGUCUUGGUGACCACCACAUUGCUGAUGAUUGGGGAACAAAGCAUCGGGAGGACUCCGGCUGUAGCCGCGCACUUGAGUUGAUCUGUUGAACUGAAGGUGAUGGCACACGCCGACCACCUGAGAGGGCGCGUGGCUUCGAGCCUGGGGAGGGCUGCAUUCACUUCGCGGGCGAACUGCUUGAAGAUGCGCUGAGAGGCUGGGGCCUGAGCUCCGCCCAGGAUGCAGGCAAUCGUGCGCGGCUCCUGGAAGCCCCCAGCCUCCUCGUCCUGGUGGCGGUCCUUGUUUCUCCUUGGCUGCGGCGGCAUCGGUGGGAGGCCUGCGUUGCCUUGUGGGCGAUCCUCGCGAGGCUGAUCCCUCCAGCCUCCCUCGCAAGGUGGGUCUUGCCAGCGAUCCUCGCGAGGUUGGUCGCACCACCCCUGGCGCGGGCCACGAUCUUCCCAGCGCCCUCUGUUCCUUCCUCCUCCUCGGCCGUAUCCCCGGUCACCAUGGUCAGGGCGACGGCCGAUCCUUCCUUCACGCACGUCUUGGAGUUCUUGGCAUUCGCUGGUGUUGUGGGUGUGGAGGUCGUGGUACACGCAGUACCGACUGCCCUUGGGAGGUUCGGGCUGAACUCUGCCCCGCUUGGUGUUUGGUUCUGCCGCGAGCACGGCAGCCCCCUUGCGCUUCACUUCCUUGGCCUUGAGCUUCUUCUCUUCUGGGUCUGCGGCACGCAGCUCAAGGAGGGAGAGACGCCCUUCCUCAGCCCUGGCGCACUUGUUCGCCAAGUUGAACAGAUCCAAAGAAGUGCACAGGUCUUCAUGCAUCGCCAGCUCAUCCUUCAUCUUGACGUCGCACACGCCGUCGGAGAAGGCUGAGAUGAUGGCCUCUUCAGUCACCUUGGGAAUCUUGAGGUGUGCGUUGUUGAAGCGCUGGAUGUACUUCUACAUGGUCUCCCCGGGUUGUUGCUUGAUGCGGCGCAUGUCGCUCACGGCGGGUGGCUGGUCGCGAGUACCUUGGAAGUUGACGAUGAAGCGGGUGCGCAUCUCUUUCCAGGAGGAGAUUGUGCCUGGAGCCAGGUUCAGGAGCCAGGUGCGGGCCUCGUCCUUGAGCGCCAUGGGAAACCAGUUCGCCAUGACCUUCUCGUCUCCGUUGGCAGCUUCGAUGCCCAGCUCGUAGAGCUGGAGGAACUCCGCAGGGUCGGCCGUGCCAUCGUAGCGAGGAGGCAGGUCCGGCUUCAACUUGCCCGGCCACGUGACGCUGCGCAGUUCGGUGGUGUAGGCGCGGCAGCCUGCUGUGGCCACGGGAGGCCUGGGGUGAUGGAGAGCCUGGUCCUGCAUGUCCCCACGCGCCGGGGCAGGAGGGUGGUCGCGACAUGCUGGAGCAGGGAGUGCCCGGGCAGCUUCUGGCGGGCGAGCGACUUCUUGGCAGCUCUGCUCUUGCCGCGCUGGCACCUGACGGAGCGGGUUCUGCCCAGGGGUCACGCGUCUUGGAGCCAUGGCGUCUUCUUGAGGAGGAGGCGGCCGGGGCACCGCCGGAGCCUCGUCGCCCGCGUGGGGCGGGGUGCGGUGCAACGGAGCGGAUGACGCGGAGGAGCCCCCUGCGGCGCGGACGAGUUCGGCGACGCGGUCGAGCCAUUCUUCGUAGACGUUGUCGACGGGACGGUAGCGCAGGAGCUCGUUUGCCGCGAUGAGUGCAGCCCGAGCCUCCAUGGGCGCGCGAAGCGCACGGGACGAAGAUCCAGCCGGGGCGAGUGAGGGAGUCGCGGUGCGGCCGUCUUGGUGCACGGAUGGAUGCUGAGACGAUGCUUGCUGCUCGUCCCUCGCCGGGCCGGUGGCGGCAUUGACGGCAAGUGACGGGGAACGGCGAGGACGCCCACCGACAGGGGCUGUCUGGGCGACGCGGGAAGCGAGGGCGGCCCGACGCUCCGCGCGGGCCCGACGUGCGUCAGACAUGACCGUGAUGGUGAGAGGAGAGCGGAGCAGUGGAAGACGAAUUCCGGCGCACCCCUACCUGGCGCGCCAAAUGUCGGAUUUCGGGUUUCGGCAGACCCUUGAGGUUCGAACACUGGGGUGCGUGCGGAGAUUUCGCCUCCUACCUUCCUGCACCCCUCCGCCACGCUAGGAUCAAAGCUAUGAAAAGAACAACACAAGGGACACAGGGUUUAUACUGGUUUGGGCCACCGUUGUGGUGUAAUACCGUACUCCAGUGUGUGAUGUGGUGGAUUGCCUCUUGGGCUGAUGAUGAUGGACAGUACAAGGAAAAAUAGCCUUGCGAGGGUCUGUUCUUGGCUGGGGCGAUGAACUGCUGGGAGGAGUUCAGCCACCUUUCUCUCUCUCUCUCUCUCUCUCUCUCUACUUACCACCUCUCUACUUGUCGAGCCCUUGGAGGAGACUGAGCCGAACCCUUUGCUACAUGGGUGGCCGGUCCUAUUUAUAGUGGCCCUGGUCCUCUCCCCAAAUAUUGAGCGGGAAGGGAGCCAACAAUGGCGGGCUAAUUUGAAAGGGGACAACAAGUAUCAACUAUCCUGACAAAAGUAGUCUUCGCCUGCGCAAAGUUCUGGUGAUGACGCCGUCUUGGGCUCCACGGUGACCUCCGUCUCGUAGUCCUCCUGGUCUUGGUCUCGUUGCACCAAAAUGGCAACCUUUGCCUGAUGCCUCGGUACUCCGCGGCUACGCUUGCCCCCUUUGCACCAAAGAGGAAAGGAGGACGCUGCGCGGGUUGGCACCCGCCUGGCGCCCUGAGUCGUCAUGGCUUGCGUCACGGGCACCUCGCGAGGUACCCCGCCUUGAUCUCUCCGCCUCCUCGCGAGCCAGCCUGACGAGGCCGUGCCUGAGGAAGCUUCGUGUCGCCCGCCCCGCGAGGCUCGGCCUGUCGCGAGGGUCUUGAGUUUGUGUUGGUGAAGAUGGGCCGUGCUGGACCCCCCUUUGAGCCACGCCGCAGGCCGCAGGCAGGCAAGUCUGGGGACCCCCGUUCCCAGAACGCCGACAGCUCUAGGUUCAUUUUUUAAAUUUAUCACAUGAACUAAAUAGUAGCAUAAAAUCGUAUUUUAGUUAUGCGUAACAUCCAUCUUCAUCAAGAUGUGAAGGCGUUAAGGAUACCCUUAGAAAUGUAGUAGGGAAUAUGUCCAUAUUUAUGAUAUUGAUUUAUUGUUGAGACAAGUUUUACUUGUAGCAUUUUUUGAAUUUCUUUCAAAAUGUUGUCAAAACGACGGGUAUGACUACGGGUCUUCGGUCACCGGGAAGGUGAUGACAACGAAGUCCUCGCUCGCGACCACCUCCUCGAUGCCCUACUCUUCUGCGUGCCGAGGUCCUUGCUGGCGGCCUUGCCGGAUAAAAAUCCAGAGUUUUUUAUUCAGUAUUGCCAUCCCCGCCCUGAAGUCGAGAUAUCGAAUGAUCCAAAAACCUAAGCUACUAGGACCCUAAAACCUAAAGCUAAAAUGAUCCACACACGCGGGAUCCGACGACCGUCCUCACCGCCGACGACCAAGAAGUCACCGACGGAGGGGAACCGCCGAAGGACGGCGCCAAAAGAGUCGGUUCUCUUAGCCAAAGAGAUCUGCAUUUUAUUUUCAGCCGGUUACGACCUACUUAGAUGGUCAUGGACGUCACACACAUGUACUCUGUUUUGAUUGGUUCAGAGGCAUGUCACGCGGAUCAUGGAUCGAGCACCGUCCGAUCCACCCGGAUCCAACGGCAGCGCUCCCUCCUCACCUUCUCACCCCACCUAGCCCAACAACCCACAGGCCACAGCCCGCACUCCUCCCUCAUCCCCCGCGAACCCUAGCGCUCCCCGAUCCCUCCCACCUCCCCUCCCCUCGCCGCCACCCACCCCUCCCCUCGCUCUCCUGCCUCCCUCCCCAAGAUCCAGCGCGCUCCAAAAUCCUCAUUGAGGGAGUCCUAGAUUACGGGGUCUCCAGACAGCCGGACUAUCUCCAUUGGCCGGACUAUUAGACUAUGAAGAUACAAGAUUGAAGACUUCGUCUCGUGUCCGGAUGGGACUCUACUUGGCGUGGAAGGCAAGCUAGGCAAUACAGAUAUGGAUAUCUCCUCCUUUGUAACCGACCUUAUGUAACCCUAACCCUCUCCGGUGUCUAUAUAAACCGAAGGGUUUUAGUCCGUAGGACAACAACCAUAACAUACAAUCAUACCAUAGGCUAGCUUCUAGGGUUUAGCCUCUGUGAUCUCGUGGUAGAUCAACUCUUGUACUACCCAUAUCAUCAAUAUCAAUCAAGCAGGACGUAGGGUUUUACCUCCAUCAAGAGGGCCCGAACCUGGGUAAAACAUUGUGUCCCCUGCCUCCUGUUACCAUCCGGCCUAGACGCACAGUUUGGGACCCCCUACCCGAGAUCCACCGGUUUUGACACCGACAUUGCUGCUUUCGUUGAGAGUUCCUCUGUGUCGUCGCCAUUAGGCUUGAUGGCUCCUACUAUCGUCGCUAGCGAUGCGGUCCAGGGUGAGACUUUUCUCCCCAGACAGAUCUUCGUAUUCAGCGGCUUUGCACUGCGGGCUAAUUCGCUUGGCCAUCUGGAGCAGAUUGAAAGCUACGCCCCUGGCCAUCAAGUUAGAUUUGGAAGUUUGAACUUCACGUCCGACAUCCGUGGAGACUUGAUCUUCGACGGAUUCGAGCCAUAGCCAGGCGCGCCGCACUGUCACGAUGGGUAUGACCUAGCUCUGCCGCCGAAUAGUACCCCAGAGGCCGCGCCCGCAUCAGCUCCGACCCUUAGCCCGGAGCCUACUACGCCAAUCGAGGACGGGUGGUUAGACACCGCCUCAGGCGCCGCAGUCUCAACGGUGAUCGAGCCGAACAACAACCUAACCCUCUGCGCAACCCGUGACUCCAAGGUGCCAGACUCUUUUCCGGACUCCAAACCAUCCGCGCCCCUGCCAAUCGAAUCUGAUUGGGCGCCGAUCAUGGAAUUCACCGCCGCGGAUAUCUUUCAGCACUCGCCCUUCGGCGACAUUCUGAAUUCACUAAGGUCUCUCUCUCUUUGUCAGGAGAGCCCUGGCCGGACUAUGGCCAACAGGAUUGGGAUGCGGACGACAAAAAAAUUCGACGCCCACCCACCACCCACUUCGUAGCCACUGUCGAUGAUUUAACCGACAUGCUCGACUUCGACUCCGAAGACAUCGACGGUAUGGACGACGAUGUAGGAGACGAACAUGAACCAGCGCCUAUAGGGCACUAGAAAGCUACCUCAUCAUAUGACAUAUACAUGGUGGAUACACCCAACGAAGGCAAUGGCGACGAGAUAGCGGAGGAUGACCCCUCCAAGAAGCAACCCAAGCGCCAACGUCAACAGCGCCGCUAUAAGUCCCGCCAAAGCAAAGGUGGUGAUACCGGCACAGGAGAUAAUAACACUCCGGAUAGUGCCGAAGACAACAACAAUCCCCUCCAGCAAGAUUUAGAGCAGGAGGAUGAAGGAGCCAGCUCUCCUGAGAGAGCGGCAGACGGAGAGGAGGAGGAGGACAAUUACAUGCCCCCUCCGAAGACGAGGCAAGCCUCGGCGAUGGUGAAUUCGCCUUACCAGAGGAUCCCGUCGAACAAGAGCGCUUCAAGCGCCGGUUUACGGCCACGGCAAAUAGCCUGAAGAAAAAGCAGCAGCAGCUUCAAGCUGAGCAAGAUCUGCUAGCUGACAGAUGGACUGAAGUCCUCGCUGCCGAGUAAUAUAAACUCGAGCGCCCCUCCAAGAAUUACCCAAAGUGCAGGUUACUACCCCGACUAGAGGAAGAAGUGUAUGAUAUGGCUGAUCGGACACCUCCUGGCUGCGAUAGAGAGGCACUCCAGCCAAAAGCUCAGCCUCCACCCUGACGCCAUUCAAAUAAAAAGGCAUGGGGAGAUACGCCAGACCUACGAGAGAUAUUGGAGGACAAAGCAAAGCAUGCAAGAUAAAUCUACGGAUCACGACGGCGCACCACUCUGCGAGACAAUAAACGUCACGCCGGAUACAGUAAAAGCAAAUCUGGCCGGGCCGAACACAGCGGGCAAGACCCAUUCGAGCUGCGUUGCAAUAUAGCCCAAUACAGAGGCGCCGUACACCCCUUAUGCUUCACAGACGAAGUAAUGGAACAUCAAUUCCCAGAAGGUUUCAAACCUGUAAAUAUUGAAUCAUACGAUGGCACAACAAAUCCCGCAGUAUGGAUUGAGGAUUUCCUCCUCCACAUCCACAUGGCCCACGGUGAUGACUUACACGCCAUCAAAUACCUCCCACUAAAGCUCAAAGGACCAGCGCGGCAUUGGCUUAACAGUUUGCCAGCGGACUCCAUUAGUUGUUGGGAAGAUCUGGAAGCCGCAUUCCUCGACAACUUUCAGGGCACUUAUGUGCGACCACCAGACGUCGAUGACUUGAGCCACAUAAUUCAGCAGCCAGAAGAGUCGGCCAGGCAAUUCUGGACUCGGUUCCUUACAAAGAAAAAUCAAAUCGUCGACUGUCCGGAUGCGGAGGCCUUAGCGGCUUUCAAACACAACAUCCGAGACGAGUGGCUAGCCCGGCACCUUGGUCAGGAAAAGCCGAAAUCUAUGGCAGCUCUCACGACGCUCAUGACCCGCUUUUGUGCGGGAGAAGACAGCUGGCUGGCUCGCAGUAAUAACAUAUCAAAGAACCAUGGUACCUCAGAUACCAAGGAUGACAAUAGCAGUUCACGUCGCAACAAACAUAAGGCCACAUUAACAACGAAAAUACUGAGGAUACGGCAGUCAAUGCCGGAUUCAAAGGCUCUAAACCCGGUUAGCGGAAAAAGCCAUUCAAACAAAGUACGCCGGGUCCGUCCAGCUUGGACCGUAUACUCGAUCGCUCGUGUCAAAUACACGACACCCCAGACAAGCCAGCCAAUCACACCAAUAGGGAUUGUUGGGUGUUCAAGAAGGCCGGCAAAUUAAUUGCCGAAAACAAGCACAAGGGGCCGCAUAGCGAUGACGAGGAGGAGCCCCGGCAGCCGCACACUGGAGGACAGAAGAGGUUUCCCCCACAAGUGCGGAUGGUGAACAUGAUAUACGCAACCCACAUCCCCAAGAGGGAGCGGAAGCGUGCGCUCAAGGACGUAUAUGCGUUGGAGCUAGUCGCCCCAAAGUUCAACCCUUGGUCCUCCUGCCCGAUCACCUUCGAUCGCAGGGACCACCCCACUAGUAUCCGUCAUGGCGGAUUCACCGCACUGGUCCUAGACCCAAUCAUUGACGGAUUUCACCCCACUCGAGUCCUUAUGGAUGGCGGCAGCAGCCUGAACCUGCUUUAUCAGGACACAGUGCGCAAAAUGGGUAUAGACCCCUCAAGGAUCAAACCCACAAAAACGACCUUUAAGGUCGUCAUUCCAGGUGUAGAGGCCCAUUGCACAGGCUCAAUUACACUGGAAGUGGUCUUCGAAUCCCCGGAUAACUUCCGAAGCGAAGAGUUAAUCUUUGAUAUAGUCCUGUUCCGCAGUGGUUAUCACGCGCUGCUCGGGCGAACCGCAUUUGCUUGAUUCAAUGCGGUAUCGCAUUAUGCAUACCUCAAGCUCAACAUGCCAGGACCUCGCAGAGUUAUUACAGUCAAUGGAAACAUAGAGCGCUCUCUCCGAACAGAGGAGCACACCGCAGCCCUCGCAGCAGAAACGCAAAGCAGCCUCUCAAGGCAAUCAACCAGUUCGGCGCUUCACAGCCCGGACACCUUCAAGCGCGCUCGGGGCAAUCGGCAAGUAGACCGCCUGGCGCGAUCUGAGCUCGCAUAGCAAUACGGCGACCACCCCAAUCCCAGCCCAGCGGCAAAACACGUGCUGCGCGUACAUAAUUACGCAUUAAAAAUACCAUGGGCACAGGUGGGGAGGGGGGCACAACUGCGGCACCCCCCAAGAUGCGGCCUAAACCGCACUAGGGGCUUCUCGUUUGGUUAUUUUUCUUUUUCUUUCAGGACCUUAAUCUCUGGAAACACUGUCCGGCAACACUAUUGCCGAACACAUGAUGCAGCAACCAAGGAGGCAGACAACUACGUUAUACCAUGGAAUUCCCAGGUUGAUUACAGUAACGAGUGAAAUAUUCAAUUUAAUAUCAUUCCUCAGCUUGCCCUUCGAAGGGACAUAGUCCUACUCUUUGCUUAUCGCACUAUCUGUAUCACUCUGCUUUAACGCAAUUUUUUAAUAAACAAUGCAUGACAUUACGACUAUUAUUGCAUUCUUGUUAUAUAUAUAUAUAUAUAUAUAUAUAUAUAUAUAUAUGUUCAUUAAUGACGCCUUGCAACCGUACACUAUGGUACGGCCAAUACACCAGGGGCUUACGACCCCACAAUGCGGUGUGAAAAGUCUGAACACUUUCACAAGUGCGGCACCCCGAACUUAUAGCAUUAUAUGCAUCAACUCCGAAUCAUGUCUUUGGUCAAAUGUUGGGUUUGCCCGGCUCCUAUGUUUUGGUACCUUACGUUCCGCUCUAUCGGCUAAGGUAGCGCUAGGAGAACUACUACGAUUGUGCCCCGGUUCUGCUGGGUUCAGCACCUCAGUAGAGAAAGCUAAAACUGACUGUCAUGAUAAGGCAAGAGACUGGUCGCUGUUCGGCGAGGUUUUCAAGUCCCUAAAGACUUAUGCCGCUUAGAGUGGGGGGCCGGCCCUGUCCGGCUUAAAGGCGUGUAUUGCGCCCCGAAUUCGGCCUUCCGAAUACCAAGGGCUUCGCCGAAAUUUAAAAUUAUAGAAUUCUAUGGCUAAGUGAGAGUGAUAAAGCAUUAUUAGUCCGGUUGCCUUGUUCGCUGUGCUGAGCACCUCCCUCGAAGGACCCAAACAUGGGAACAAGAGUGCUCAGGUUUAUCCCAAACACCCCAGCACUCGUGGCAUGGGGGCAGAAGCCGAGGACUAGCCAUCUCUUAGAUUGGAUAAACAACCAAACAGAAGGUAAUAUUUUAAAUUCCAACAAGCGUUGCAUAGCGCAUAUGAAACAAGUUUUCAUACAUACAGGAUAAAACGAGCAAGUCUCAUUCAAAUAUUACAUCUUUUGAACACUCAUCCGCGAUAAGACGGGCACCCGGCAGAACACCCUCGUAGUACAUCUCGGGUGGCGGUGCUCCUUGCCCUCCGGCGGCCCCUCCUUGAUCAGCUUCAUGGCGUCUAGCUUGACCCACUGCAAUUUCACACGGGCGAAAGCCCGACAUGCACCUUCAAUGCAAACAGAUCGCUUGACGACCUCCAACCGUGGGCAGGCAUCCACAAGCCGCCUCACCAAGCCGAAGAAGCUGUUCGAAAGGGCGUCGCCAGGCCACAGUCAGACUAUAAAGCUCUUCAUGGCCCGAUCGGCCACAUUAUGUAGCUCGACCAUCUGCUUCAGCUGGUCGCUCAUUGGCACCGGGUGUUCGGCCUCAGCAUACUGAGACCAGAACAACUUCUCCAUUGAGCUUUCAUCCUCGGCCUGGUAAAAUUGUGCGGCAUCGGACACGCUGCAGGGCAAAUCUGCGAAUACUCCUGGAGAGCUCCGGAUUUGAGUAAGUAAUCGGCAAUUUACUUUUACAUGCUUGCUUUGCAUAUAGAAAGCCUUACCCACCGCUAUCUUCUUCAUCGCGUCUAUCUCUUGGAGGGCCUUUUGGGCUUCGGCCUUGGCACUUUUUACACUCUCGAGGGCCGCAGCAAGCUCAGACUCCCGCGUCUUUGAGUCAAGCUCCAACGCCUCGUGCUUCGCCACGAGAGCCUGGAGCUCUUGCUGCACCUCGCCCACCCGAGCCUCGUGCUUCUCUCGCUCGGUGCGCUCCUUGGCCACUUUAUCUUCGGCCUUGGUUAGCGAUUGCUUCAGGCUCACCACCUCGGUCAUGGCCCCUGGCAAACAUACAAUGAUCCUGUCAUUUUGCAAUCACGUCCUCUUUUAUAUAUACAUAUCUAUAGACAGGGUAUUACUUACCCUUGUUCUCCUCGAGCUGCCUCUUGGCAAGGCCGAGCUCUUUCCUGGAUCCCUCGAGGUCCUGCUUCAGUCCGGCGACCUCCUCAGUCAGUGCGGUGGACGCCAGCAGCGAAGCCUGCAUAUGCAUAUUGACACACUUAUAUUAGACUCCUGCGAUAUUAUUUAAUCCUCUGUUCGGCUUUUCUUUGUGAACACCGAACAAAGCAUCAGGGGCUACUGUCUAUGCGGUAAUAUUUCUAGAACAUUUUAAAACACUUACCUCGAAGCCUAUUAGAAGGCUGACACAGGCUUCAGUCAAUCCACUCUUGGCGGACUGAACCUUCUGGAUCACCGCACUCAUGAUAGUGCGGUGCUCGUCGUCGAUGGAAGCGCUCCAGCAGAUUGUCCGGCGCCUUUGGAUGGACAGAGGUCACCGGCACAGGCGUCUUGCCCCUCUUAGAAGGAGGCCGGCUGACCGAGCCUGGAACCGUCGGAGGUUUCGACGCGGUGUUCGGCUGAGGGCCGAACUCGGAGCCCUCAGGGGCCCCGUCCCCUCGGCUCCCGGAGUCUGGAAGGUCGCCUUGAGGCGCCUCCGAGACUGUCUCCCCUCGAUCCGGUGCCUCUUGAGACAACACAUCGGCAUCGUCGGCAGGAUGAGGGGAGGUGGCGGUCGGGACUGGAUCGCUAUCCAUGUCCGACAAGCCCAAGGAGCCAUCCGACAAUACAUCGAUACUGGCUCGUGGCGGCCUGCAUAAUUGUGUUCAGCGUUAGGGAAAGUAGUGCGACAAAGGAAUCCUAUGGGUUACUCUGGUAUCCGAAUACUUACGAUCUCCCUCGGGGCUUGGCCCUGGGCAACCACUCGUCUUCGCCUUUGUCGAUGGCAGUGGAGCUGUCCGGAAGGAGAGUCCUUCCCUUCUUGGACCCUUCGCCCCCCCCAGUUGGGGCGGCCUUCCUUUUGCUGUCUCCCCCAGUCGGUGGGGGAGCAUCUUCUUCUUCUUCUUCCUCGUCUUCGGGGGAAGAGUGCGCCGCAGAGUCAUCGGAUGGUGAGUCCGACGACGCCUGGCGUUGGGAACUCUUUCGGGUUCCCUUGGCCUUCUUGGUCUUCUCCGGCACCGUAUAAGGGGCCUGAGUCAACAUCUUCACCAAAAGAGCGUCUGCGGGGCCUUCGGGCAAAGGAGCCGGACAAUCGAUCUUUCCGGCCAUCUUUUGCCAGUCCUGUCAAAGGUACGGGAGUUUAGAUCCCGCAUUGAGUCAAUCUAUAUAAAAAUAAGUACCCUGUGAAUGGUAAAGCAGCUUACCGCACUGGCUUGGCGCUUCGCGCUGAAUCCGCGAUCCUCAUUAAUAGGAGGGAGGACCUCAGCACUUUUGAACAGCACCCUCCAGGCAUCUUCAUGAGUCGUGUCGAAGAGCCUGUUCAGAGUUCGGUGCUGCGCCGGGUCGAACUCCCACAAGUUGAACUCCCAUUGUUGGCACGGGAGGAUCCGGCGGAUGAGCAUAACUUGGACUAUGUUGAAAAGCUUGAGCUUCUUGUUCACCAUGUUUUGAAUACAUGUUUGGAGUCUGGUCAGCUCUUCCGAACUACCCCAGGACAUGCCCUUCUCUUUCCAGGAGGUGAGUCGCGUGGGGAAGCCAGAUCGGAACUCGGGGGCCGCUGCCCAUACAGGGUCGCGCGGCUUGGUGAUGUAGAACCACCCCGAUUGCCACCCCUUUAUGGUUUCCACAAAGGCGCCCUCGAGCGAUGUUACGUUGGGCAUCUUGCCCACCAUGGCGCCUCCGCACUCCGCCUGGCGGCCGCCCACCACCUUCGGCUUGACAUUGAAGGUCUUCAGCCAUAAGCCGAAGUGGGGCUUGAUGCGGAGGAAGGCCUCGCACACGACGAUAAAUGCCAAGAUGUUGAGGAUGAAGUUCGGGGCCAGAUCGUGGAAAUCCAGGCCGUAAUAGAACAUGAGCCCCCGGACGAAUGGAUGGAGAGGGAAUCCCAGUCCGCGGAGGAAAUGGGUGAGGAAUACUACCCUCUCAUGGGGCCUGGGGGUGGGGAUGAGCUGCCCCUCAUCUAGGAGUCGGUGCGCGAUGUCGUCGGGCAGGUAUCCGGCUCUCCUCAGUUUCUCGAUGUCUCCCUCCGUGACAGAGGAGACCAUCCACCUGCCUCCCCCUCCGGACAUGGUUGGAGAACGUUGAAGUGGGAAGUGUGGACUUGGGCGCUAGAGCUCGAGUGUGCGAAAACGGAUGAGCAAAGGUGGAAGAGGGCGUGGAUAGAAAGGUGAAUCCUUAUCCCUUUAUAUGGGCGGGCGGAGCUAAGCAUCCCCACUUGCCUGGUAAAACUCGCUUAUCCCCCAAGCGCCACAGUUGAUGGCGCGGUUGGGUUACCCACGCCCGUAUUGAUGAGAAUCCCGUAAUAAGGGGACACGAUCUCUGCUUUGACAAGACGUGUCUAAAAACUGCCUUGCGUUAUGUGUGGGGCUGGUUAAAGGGAACGGUUCGAAUAAUCACCGGGCCAAGGCAUGACGUCAUACUGUUAAGACAAGUCAGCAAAUUAGAUCUGCGAAAAUAUUAUUCUCUCUACGAUGGAAUAUGGAACUUAUUUUGCAGGGUCGGACACUAUCCUCGUAUUCAAAUUCUUCUGAUGUAUUCGGAGAAGGAACCCGCCUUGCAAUGCCGAAGAAAAUAUUGCGCGUCGGACUCAUCGUCAUUGAAGCCUGGUUUAGGGGCUACUGAGGGAGUCCUGGAUUAGGGGGUCUCUGGACAGCCGGACUAUCUCCAUUGGCCGGACUGUUAGACUAUGAAGAUACAUGAUUGAAGACUUCGUCUCGUGUCCGGAUGGGACUCUACUUGGCAUGGAAGGCAAGCUAGGCAAUACGGAUAUGGAUAUCUCCUCCUUUGUAACCGACCUUAUGUAACCCUAACCCUCUCCGGUGUCUAUAUAAACCGAAGGGUUUUAGUCCGUAGGACAACAACCAUAACAUACAAUCAUACCAUAGGCUAGCUUCUAGGGUUUAGCCUCUGUGAUCUCGUGGUAGAUCAACUCUUGUACUACCCAUAUCAUCAAUAUCAAUCAAGCAGGACGUAGGGUUUUACCUCCAUCAAGAGGGCCCGAACCUGGGUAAAACAUUGUGUCCCCUGCCUCCUGUUACCAUCCGGCCUAGACGCACAGUUCGGGACCCCCUACCCGAGAUCCGCCGGUUUUGACACCGACACCCAUGCUCUGCUCCUCACUCCCCUCCGGCAAGAUCCAGCACGCGGCCUCCCUUUCCUCGAUCUAGAUCGAGGCACCCCACCGCCCCGCCUCUGUCUCCCUCCGCCUCCCACCAGAUGGAGGCCGCGGUGGGGGGAAGCGAGGGGCCAAACACCCGCUUCCAACACACAAGGUCUCGGCUUCCCCUCCCAUAGUCUCACCACUCGUCCGCUAGAUCCCCACGCAGGCGGAUUCGGAUGGAGGCGGUCGUCGCCGGCGGCGGCAGCGGGCUAGGUACCAUGAGUGUCGUGCUCGCAAUCUGUCAGAACCGCGAUCUGACACCAUCCUCCAGUGGUGGGGAUUCAACAUCGCCGUCAUCAACAAGUGGGUAUUCUAGGUAUCCCCUUCUCCCCUCUCACAUCUCAUCUUACCACUGCCCAGACUAGGGUGCCUUCUCCAUUGCUGAGAUCUGCGUUUUAGGAUGCCACCACGCUCCACUUCCUGACCAGAUUUGGUAAAGGUGCCGCCAGAUCUUGCCACACUGGGCAUCAGGACCGCUGGAUGCUUCUCUCACGGUGGUCAAGCCAAGCUCUCCUACGGUGGUCAGAACAGGCAUCGUCAACCCUGCCACUCCCUCUUCCCCAUGACUCCACCUCGACAACCUGGUAAGGUGCAGGUGCCCUCACUACAAAAAAAACACUUCCGUGAUGAUACAUGUUUGCCACAAUAGGUCACGUUUUUUGUCAUGCAUGUACAUCCAUGACAAAUUUAUGACAGAAUCAAGAUAGUCAUACCUGUCCUGUCGUAGAAGUGUUCCAUGACAUUACCAAAAUUAUCAUCACGGAAGUGUCCACUUCCAUGACGAUAAAUCGCGCGUCACAGAAGUGCUUUCAUCAAGGGUGACCGACACGUGGUAUCCACCGUAACGGAACACUGUUAAACUAUAGGGUCGGGUUUUGGAUCCGAUAACCCGUUAACAGCCCCGACCAUUGGGGAUUUUCCUCGUGUAAAAUCAUCAUUGGCUGGAGGAAACAUGUGUCGGCUCACCGUUGGGACAGAUAUCAUCCGCUCAUUGGACCGAAGGCGCCUAUGAUACGGCGACACGUGGCACGGCCCAACAGAGGCCCAUUCUUGUGAAAAGGCUGGCCCGUUUGACUUGGUCAAAAGGUGGUGGGCCGGCCCAUGGAAAGCCAGUUAACGGCCUGUUCGCAUAUAGCCCAUUUACAACCCGCUAACCCAAGGCCCGUUAUGCCCUAUCCGAAUUAGGCCCAGUAGCGUCAUCUGGGCCGUGCAAUAUGAUUCAGCCCAUUUUAACUUCUGGCCCAUGUGUGGCCCAUGACUUCUUUCGGCCCAUAUGAGGACAUUUGUAACUCUUGGCCCAUUAACGGCCCGUGGUGAAACUGGCCCGUAAUGAAUAGUGUAUCACUUUAUACCCAUUAACGGCUCGUUAUUCCAUUGGGCCGUUUCCAGCCCAAGUUAUCUUUCGGCCUUCUCAGGGCCCAUUGAUUCUUGGGCUCAUUUGCAGCAUUCGGUUACAUAUGGCUCGUUACUAUUAUUUUCUGCUUGUGGGCCAAAUUCAGCCCGUCGUUACAGUGGCCCGUUUGCGGACCGUUAAUACGUUGGGCCGUUUUCAUGUCAAAAAAACCCGUUGGGCUGUUUUCAUAGAGUUAUCAAAUACGGCCUAUUAACGGCCCGUUAUGGUCCAUGAAUAGUACGACCCAUGAUUGGCGAAAUGAUGAUACCCCCGUAGAAGGCCCAUGGAUCCUACGGCCCAUAUGAGGCCCAUGGAUAGUACGGCCCGUAGAAGGCCCAUGGACCCUACGGCCCGUAGAAGGCCCAUGGACCCUAAGGCCCGAAUAGAAGGCCGAUGGAUCCUAUGGCCGGACGAAGGCCCAUGGAUCAUAUGGCCUGCAGGAGGCCCAUGGUUACAACAGUCCGUGUGUUGCCAUGAUUAUUUUGGCCUAGUUACCAAAAAUAGGCUAUUGUGGCCACUAGAAAAAACAGAAAAAGAACUGCAGUGACUACAAGCAAACAACUAAACAAGACAAUAAGGAAAUAAAUAAGCAAGCAAUUAACGCUAGCCUAUUACCGCUAUUACACAUAUUACAUCCACUGGGCAUCGAAGUUCGCCACCAAUGCAAAUAUAGGGAACAAAGCAGCACAUUACAUACACUGGCUGUCAAAAUUGGCCACUAGUGCAAAUAAACGUGGCAGCAAAACAAGAGCAUAACUGAAUCAACUUCAGAAGAUCUCAAGAAACGUUAUCCUGGGUAUCCACCAUGCUGGCAAUAAGCUUAGCAAGCUAAUUAGCUUUGUCCUAUUUGGCGCUAAAAUCCUCCAACGCUUGUUGUUGCACCAGAAAGUAUGCAUCUGAAUGCUCCAAGGACUUCCGCAGUCCUUCCGCUUCUUGUCGCAGCAUAGCUGAUCGAUGUCUUUCAGCUUGUAAUUGAGACUCAAGAAACCAAACUGAUUCAGACAGAGAGUUUGAAUAGCUUGUGCAAGCGGUAGUGGCCAGUAACUCGAACACUAAACCAAGACAGGACUUUGGGGUUGUCUCGCUGUUUUCAAGAUAGUCUUCCUUAGCUGUUUUAUCAGCUUUGUUGGAGACCAACAAGGAUGUGUCACUUCCUGAACCUUUUCUGCAUUACUUCCUUUACCAUUGCUUAAUAAGGCACUCUUCCCCAAUAUUCUGUCAGCAUUCUAAAAGAAGAAACAAGCAGACACAUAUCAAGUUUAGCAUGUACUAGUAUAUGAAACUCAUUUCGGUGAACCAGUUCAUUAGUAAGGUGGACAGGAUUAAACUACCAAGUCUUCUAUUGCCAAGUACUAGUACAUAAUAAAAACAUCAAACAAACAUAUAUCUAUGUCCUAUGGUCACUGCAUUGUCUUGCCAAAUCAAAAUAGAGACAAGGUUCAAAUCAUAUCAGUUCAAGACAAAGCAACAGUGAAAGAAUACAAAGCGUGGGAAACUACACGGCACAACAAGAUUUCAGAUGGGUACCACGGGUCUACAUGUACAACAACACUAUUGGCUCAGUUGUGAUGCUAGUAAUGUGCAUGAUAUGAAAGUCAACUGUAUACACAAUUGAAAUUGAAAUCAACAGAGCUACUGAUAAGAGCAAACCUGUUAAAGAAACAUGAGUGAACAUACCUGCUGUUCCAUUGGAGUUUCGAUUGGAUCCUUAAAUUUAAAAAUAAGUUUGUAUGAGUAAGUACAGUGAUACAAGAGCAAAGCAAUAAUAGUUAAAAAAAGGCGCGCCUAAGUGAGCGCUUAAGCGCGCCUAGGCUCUAGGCGUUGGCAAAACGCAUUGCGCAUAACUACGCAUAAUCUGUGCAUAACUGUGGAUAAGCAUGAGCUUUGGUCAGUAAAGCGCAAGGCGGUGGCAAAACGCACAAUUAACGCCUAGCGCUUUUUUGAACUAUGAUAGCAAUGGAAUCUUAAAUUAGAACAAUUGUUCUUCAGGUUUAGGCACUUGUUCUACAUGAACAGAGUACAGUAAGACGCAAGAAUAUAAUACUUAAAAAUGAAAAUGAGCUCAUAGACCUUACCACAUUCUUGGUUCGGGACUAGUACAGAACAAGGCGUUCCCAGUCAUCGUCCAGUAAAUGUGUCUCAGGAGAACGUAAGGGAAUUUGAUGAGUUUCUUUGCCGGUGAAGUAUGUUUUCUUCAGGUAAUUUCGAUACUGCCACCAAGCAUUCUUGAAGAUAGCAGAGGUAUUAGCACAGGUUACCUCAUCCUGAGUUUCCAAAUCGGUCCUUCUCUGUAGAUAAAAAUGGGAAAAUUUGUUGUAUUAUAACCAUCAUGGAGGUAGGAUGUAUGGGACGAAGCAAAGUAAUUGCCAUGAAUAACAUUACUUACACAUAACUCCUGGAAAAACACCUGCAACUGGCAUUUUCCUUCAUCUUCAGUAUAAUAUUUCCAAGAUGGGAAGAUACGCACAUACAAUUUAACAACAUCAAAUGCGAUAGAUGCUAAACUACGACUAGCUGGUUGUGCUUCCUCCACAGGAAUAGGCGUACUAACUAGUGGAGUUGGGGUUCGCCGUGAUAGUACUGGCCCUUUGGGCACUGGAGCUGCCUUACUAACUGCUCUUGCUUGGGAGCUCUGUGGUGGAGAUGGUGUUGUGUCAACAGGAACUGGGUUACUAUCGGCUAGGGUUGGGGUUAGAUUGGGUGAAGCUGGUUCUCUGUCCAUCGUAGUAGGGGUACAGUCUGCGAGAGUUUGAGUUAUGUGUGGUAGGGCUGGUUCUUGUGCAUGUACAACCGGGGUUCUAUCUCCACCAAGAGGUAGCACUGUUUUAUUUGAAGACCGUGUUUUUAGUCUGCUAGAUACUGGCAUCACCCGCUCCAAUUCAAAUGGCUGAUAAACAGGAAACAUAGUUGAAUGUACAAACAUUGUAUGAGAGACAGAUGCAAUAGAUAGUGUGGAAAAAAGAGGGCAUCAAAUAGUUGACAUGUAUAUUGUUUAACUAAAACAGAUAACAUGACAUAAUUUCACAUAUAUGAUGUCUAUCUAAACUAGAUAGCAUAGCAUAACAUAAUUCAAAGAUAUGAUGAAUAACUAAACAAGAUCGCAUGACAUAAUUCACCUACAUGUUAUCUAAGUAAUCAGGAUCGCAUCAUUUAAUUCACAUAUGUGAUUUAUAUGCUAAACAUAGGGCAUUCGAUAUGAUGUCUAAACUAAGAACAUGGUGUUGAAUAUUGUGUAUAUGAUGUCUAAACUAUGCAAUGCAAGACACCGUAUGCAUGAUAUGAGCAGUAUAACCGUGCCAAGUUAGAGCAUACACCUCAGUGGGGGAAUAGGACUGGUCAUCUAUCUCUGAAUCCAUCUCUGAGGAGCUAUCGGGACCCAACAAGAGACCUGCUUCGACAGGUAGCACUGUCUGCUCUGAAGGCCUUGUUUUCACUCCAGAUUUUUCCAUCUCCCACCCAAAUGGAUGAUUCAGAGGAAGAGUAGUUUAAUGUACAAACAUUGUCGACAAAUGGAAAUGUAAUGAAGAAAAGGAUGGGCAAGAUAUCAUUCAAAUAUAUGAUGCCUGGUUAAACAUGAUGGCAUUGCACAUUUCACAUAUAUUAUGGCUGGCUAAAAGACAUGAGACUGCAUAAUUCCCAUAUAUGAUAUAGAAACUAAAUAUGAUGUCAAAAGUAGGCACAACAAGGCAACAUAUGCAUGAUAUGACUAACAUCAUCAUGCCAAGGUAGAGCAAACACCUUGGGGGGUAAAUAGGAGUGGUCAGCGGCGUCUGAAUCCGCCUCAGAACAGAUAUCUUCCUCUGGAUUACAAUCUGGAGAGGGAUGGGGAGGGUUUGCCAUUGAACCCACCAUGGAGCGAUGUCUGCAUGACAUUGUAUUGCGGCGCAAAACUCUUCUCUUUUUCUCUACAUGUUCAGCAUGACUAUGUACAAUAUCUGACAUGCAUACGAAAAAAAUAUGGUGAGAUUAUGUAAGGAGAGCAUGCAUAAAUUUAGAGUGAUGGUAACAACCAGUGGAUCGACGUUUUUCCAUUGAACCAAAAUAGCCCUAAUGGCUCGAUGUGAAUGUAUAGUAAUAAGUGAUGCAACAAGUGUACAACUUAUUUGCCGUAGCCGUGUCGACCUCAGCAUCAUUGGGUUGGUCGCUGAAGCAGUUGAGGCAGAGGUGGCUGUCGGAGGUGUGGAAGAAGAUCUGAGGAAUCUGUAGACGACGUCUAGGGCACUGCUCUGUUGUGAUGGAUCAUUCUGACGUUGGAGCAGCUCCGGUGAGCCGUAAUACGUCAAGGCUGAAGCAGCACAAGAAAGACAUCAUUAAUCUCAAGUGGGAUUCUAAUAGCAUCUCCAAUAGAUGAUGUAAAAUGGAUGUAAAAUUAACAUCACCAAAAACCACCUGACUACAACAGAUGAGGUAAAAACUGUUGACUCUAAACUUAAUUGUCGAAACUGAAAUUUACUGUGGAAUCUGAAUGCUACUGUCGAUACUGAACGCAACAGUAGCAGAGAGGCACUUGACAUGUAGUUUAGGGAGGGCCUGCAGUUCAUCUUCAACCUGCACCCCCCUGUGCCGCCAGCCACCACCGGCCGAACCGCCGGCCCCAGCGCCGCCUCGCCGCCCCGGCCAGCCCUCUAGGCCCCCCGCCCCCACCCUGAACCCUAAGAUAGAUAGUGGGGUACCUCUCCGGCGAGCCCCUGUCCCCGCUGCGGGUAGUUCUUCCUUAACUCCGGUGAGCCCCCCAACCCCUGAAAAUCGACUAACCCAAAAGCGAGCGAUCGAGCGAGAGCCGGAGCAGCAGCAGCAGAUCCGGCUGGUAUGGCCGCCGCCGCCACUGAAGGGGCCUCGCACUGGGGGAGAGCUGCCAUGGAGAUGUCACCCGCGGCGCCGGCUUCAAGGUAGCCGCUCCAUGGGGGUUCGGGAUGGAGCACCAUCGGCGUCGGGAGGUCGAGUUAAGGAGAAGGUGCGAUGCGAUGAGUGUACAACCUCUUUGGUGGCGCCGAGUAGUGAUGUCUACUACACAACCUUCUUCUUGUAGACAUUGUCGAGCCUCCAAGUGCAGAGGUUUGUAGGACAAUAGCAAAUUUCCCUCAAGUGGAUGACCUAAGGUUUAUCAAUCCGUAGGAGGCAUAGGAUGAAGAUGGUCUCUCUCAAGCAACCCUCCAACCAAAUAACAAAGAGUCUCUUGUGUCCCCAACACACCCAAUACAACGGUAAAUUGUAUAGGUGCACUAGUUCGGCGAAGAGAUGGCGAUACAAGUGGUAUAUGGAUAGUAGAUAAAGGUAUUUGUAAUCUGAAAUAAUAAAAACAACAAGGUAGCAAGUGAUAAAAGUGAGCGUAAACGGUAUUGCAAUGUGUUGAAACAAGGCCUAGGGUUCAUACUUUCGCUAGUGUAAGUUCCCUCAACAAUACUAACAUAAUUGGAUCACAUAACUAUCCCUCAACAUGCAACUAAGAGUCACUCCAAAGUCACUAAUAGCAGAGAACGAACGAAGAGAUUAUGGUAGGGUAUGAAACCACCUCAAAGUUUUUCUUUCCAAUCAAUCCGUUGGGCUAUUCCUAUAAGUGUCACAAACAGCUCUAGAGUUCGUACUAGAAUAACACCUUAAGAUACAAAUCAACCAAAACCCAAAUGUCACCCAGAUACUCCAAUGUCACCUCAAGUAUCCGUGGGUAUCAUUAUACGAUAUGCAUCACACAAUCUCAGAUUCAUCUAUUCAACCAACACAAAGGACCUCAAAGAGUGCCCCAAAGUUUCUACCGGAGAAUCACGACGAAAACGUGUGCCAACCCCUAUGCAUAGGUUCAUGGGAAGAACCCGCAAGUUGGUCAGCAAAAUAUACAUCAAGUGGCACGUGGUAUCCCAUUGUCACCACAGAUAUCCACGGCAAGACAUACAUCAAGUGUUCUCAAAUCUUUAAAGAUGCAAUCCGAUAAGAUAACUCCAAAGGGGAAACUCAAUUCAUUACAAGAGAGAAGAGGGGGAGGAGAAACAUCAUAGGAUCCAAAUAUAAUAGCAAAGCUCGCGAUACAUCAAGAUCAUAUCAUCUCAAGAACACGAGAGAGAGAGAGAGAUCAAACACAUAGCUACUGGUACAUACCCUCAGCCCCGAGGGAGAACUACUCCCUCCUUGUCAUGGAGAGCACCGGGAUGAUGAAGAUGGCCACCGGAGAAGGAUUGCCCCCUCCGGCAGGGUGCCGGAACGGGUCUAGAUUGGUUUUCGGUGGCUACGGAGGCUUCUGGCGGCGGAACUCCGAUCUAUUGUGUGUUCUGGAAGUUUUAGGUCACGUGGUUAUAUAUGGGUGCAGGGAGGACGUCGCAGGAGCCACGGGGGUCCCACGAGACAGGGGGCGCACCCUAGGGGGGCGCCCCCCACCCUCGUGAGCACCUCGUGUCUCCCCUGAUGUGGGGUCCAAGUUCAUCACGUGUGUUUCCUUCCAAAAAUAACUUCUCCACUUGAUUUUGUUCCGUUUCGACUCCGUCUGAUAUUCCUUUUCUUCGAAACACUGAAAUAGGCAUAAAACAGCAAAUCUGGGCUAGGCCUCCGGUUAAUAGGUUAGUCCCAAAAAUAAUAUAAAAGUGGAUAAUAAAGCCCAGUAUUGCCCAAAACAGCAGAUAAUAUAGCAUGGAGCAAUCAAAAAUUAUAGAUACGUUGGAGACGUAUCAAGCAUCCCCAAGCUUAAUUCCUGCUCGUCCUCGAGUAGGUAAAUGAUAAAAAAGAAUUUUUGAUGCGGAGUGCUAGUUGGCAUAAUUUCAAUGUAAUUCUUCUUAAUUGUGGUAUGAAUAUUCAGAUUAGAAAGAUUCAAGACAAAAGUUUAUAUUGACAUAAAAAAUAAUACUUCAAGCAUACUAAUAAAGCAAUUAUGUCUUCUCAAAAUAAUACGGCCAAAGAAAGAUGUCCCUACAAAAUCAUAUAGUCUGGCUAUGCUCUAUCUUCACCACACAAAGUAUUUAAAUCAUGCACAACCCCGAUUACAAGCUAAGCAAUUGUUUCAUACUUUUGAUGUUCUCAAACUUUUUCAAUCUUCACGUAAUAUAUGAGCGUGAGCCAUGGACAUAGCACUAUAGGUGGAAUAGAAUGGUGGUUGUGGAGAAGACAAAAAGGGAGAAGAUAGUCUCACAUCGACUAGGCGUAUCAACGGGCUAUGGAGAUGCCCAUCAAUAGAUAUCAAUGUGAGUGAGUAGGGAUUGCCAUGCAACAGAUGCACUAGAGCUAUAAGUAUAUGAAAGCUCAACAAAAGAAACUAGUGGGUGUGCAUCCAACUUGCUUGCUCAUGAAGACCUAGGGAAUUUUGAGGAAGCCCAUCAUUGGAAUACACAAGCCAAGUUCUAUAAUGAAAGAUUCCCACUAGUAUAUGAAAGUGACAACAUAGGAGACUCUCUAUCAUGAAGAUCAUGGUGCUACUUUGAAGCACAAGUGUGGUAAAAGGAUAGUAACAUUGUCCCUUCUCUCUUUUUCUCUCAUUUAUUUAUUUAUUUUUAUUUGGGCCUUUUAUCUUUUUUAUGGCCUCUUUUCUUUCUCUUUUUUUGGGCUUCUUUGGCCUCUUUUCUUUCCUUUUUUUAUUUGGGCUUCUUUGGCCUCUUUUAUUUAUUUUUCGUUCGGAGACUCAUCCCGACUUGUGGGGGAAUCAUAGUCUCCAUCAUCCUUUCCUCACUGGGACAAUGCUCUAAUAAUGAUGAUCAUCACACUUUUAUUUACUUACAACUCAAGAAUUGCAACUCGAUACUUAGAACAAGAUAUGACUCUAUAUGAAUGCCUCCGGCGGUGUACCGGGAUGUGCAAUGAUGCAUGAGUGACAUGUAUGAAAGAAUUAUGAACGGUGGCUUUGCCACAAAUACGAUGUCAACUACAUGAUCACGCAAAGCAAUAUGACAAUGAUGAAGCGUGUCAUAAUAAACAGAAUGGUGGAAAGUUGCAUGGCAAUAUAUCUCGGAAUGGCUAUGGAAAAGCCAUAAUAGGUAGGUAUGGUGGCUGUUUUGAGGAAGGUAUAUGGUGGGUUUAAGGUACAUGCAAAAGUUGCGCGGUACUAGAGAGGCUAGCAAUGGUGGAAGGGUGAGAGUGCAUAUAAUCCAUGGACUCAACAUUAGUCAUAAAGAACUCACAUACUUAUUGCAAAAAUCUACAAGUUAUCAAAGCAAAGUAUUACGCGCAUGCUCCUAGGGGGAUAGAUUGGUAGGAAAAGACCAUCGAUCAUCCCCGACCGCCACUCAUAAGGAAGACAAUCAAUAAAUAAAUCAUGCUCCGACUUCAUCACAUAACGGUUCACCAUACAUGCAUGCUACGGGAAUCACAAACUUCAACACAAGUAUCUCUCAAAUUCACAACUACUCGACUAGCAUGACUCUAAUAUUACCAUCCUCAUAUCUCAAAACAAUCAUCAAGUAUCAAACUUCUCAUAGUAUUCAACACACUCAUAAGAGAAUUUUAUUAUUAAUCUUGUAUACCUAGCAUAUUAGGAUUUUAAGCAAAUUACCAUGCUAUUUAAGACUCUCAAAAUAAUCUAAGUGAAGCAUGAGAGUUCAUCUAUUUCUUCAAAAUAAAACUACCAGCAUGCUCUAAAAGGAUAUAAGUGAAGCACUAGAGCAACAACAAACUACUCCGAAAGAUAUAAGUGGAGAUCAAUGAGUAGUCGAAUAAUUAUGCAACUAUGUGAAGACUCUCUAACAUUUAAUAAUUUUAGAUCUUGGUAUUUUAUUCAAACAGCAAGCAAAUCCUAACAAAAUAAAUUGACGCUCCAAGUAAAGUUACCGAUGAACGAAGACGAAAGAAGGGAUGCCUUCCGGGGCAUCCCCAAGCUUAGGCUCUUGGUUGUCCUUGAAUAUUACCUUGGGGUGCCUUGGAUAUCCCCAAGCUUAGGCUCUUGCCACUCCUUAUUCCAUAGUCCAUCGAAUCCUUACCCAAAACUUGAAAACUUCACAACACAAAACUUAACAGCAAACUCGUAAGCUUCGUUAGUAUAAGAAAAUAAAUCACCACUUAAAUAUACUGUAAUGAACUCAUUAUUUAUUUAUAUUGGUGUUAAACCUACUGUAUUCCAAUUUCUCUAUGGUUUAUAUACUAUUUUACUAUCCAUAGAUUCAUCAAAAUAAGCAAACAACACAUCGAAAACAGAAUCUGUCAAAAACAGAACAGUCUGUAGUAAUCAGAAUCAAACCUAUACUUAUGGAACUCAUAAAAUUCUAAAAUAAAUUUCUGGACCUGAGUAAUUCAUCUAUUAAUCAUCUUCAAAAAGAAUUAACUAAAUAUCACUCUCAAAAUAAAAAUGGCAGCAAUUCUCGUGAGCGCUAAAGUUUCUGUUUUUGACAACAUGAUCAACAAGACUCCCCCAAGUCUUCCCAAAGGUUCUACUUGGCACAAACACUAAUUAAACAUAUAAAACCACAUCUAAACAGAGGCUAGAUGAGUUAUUUAUUACUAAACAUGAGCAAAAAUCAAGGGACAAAAAUAAAAUUGGGUUGCUUCCCAACAAGCGAUAUUGUUUAAUGCCCCUAGCUAGGCAUGAUGAUUUCAAUGAUGCUCACAGAAAGGAUAAGAAUUGAAACAUAAAGAGAGUAUCAUGAAGAAUAUGAUUAGCACACUUAAGUCUAACCCUCUUACUAUGCAUAGGGAUUUUGUGAGCAAACAACUUGUGGGAACAAGGAUCAACUUGCAUAGGAAGGUAAAACAAGCAUAACUUCAAAAUUAAGCACAUAGAGAGGAAACUUGAUAUUAUUGCAAUUCCUACAAGCAUAUAUUCCUACCUCAUAAUAAUUUUCAGUAGCAUCAUGAAUGAAUUCAACAAUAUAACCAGCACCUAAAGCAUUCUUUUCAUGAUCUACAAGCAUAGAAAUUUUAUUACUCUCCACAUAAGCAAAUUUCUUCUCAUGAAUAAUAGUGGGAGCAAACUCAACAAAAUAACUAUCAUGUGAUUGAAAAUUAAGAUCAAGAAGACAAGUUUCAUGGUUAUCAUUAUUCUUUAAAGCAUACGUGUCAUCACAAUAAUCAUCAUAGAUAGGAGGCAUGCUUUCAUCAUAAUAAAUUUGCUCAUCAAAACUUGGGGGACAAAAAAUAUCAUCUUCAUCAAGCAUAGCUUCCCCAAGCUUGUGCCUUUGUAUAUCAUUAGCAUCAUGGAUAUUCAAGGAAUUCAUACUAAAAACAUUUCAAUCAUGCUCAUCAUUCAAAUAUUUAGUGCAAAACAUUUUAUAGAUUUCUUCUUCUAGCACUUGAGCACAAUUAUCCUUCCAUCAUACUUACAGAAGAUAUUAAAAAGGUGAAGCGUAUGAGACAAACUCAAUUCCAUUUUUCUAUAGUUUUCUUUUAUAAACUAAACUAGUGAUAAAACAAGAAACUAAAAGACUCGAUUGCAAGAUCUAAAGAUAUACCUUCAAGCACUCACCUCCCCGGCAACGGCGCCAGAAAAGAGCUUGAUGUCUACUACACAACCUUCUUCUUGUAGACGUUGUUGGGCCUCCAAGUGCAGAGGUUUGUAGGACAGUAGCAAAUUUCCCUCAAGUGGAUGACCUAAGGUUUAUCAAUCCGUAGGAGGCAUAGGAUGAAGAUGGUCUAUCUCAAGCAACCCUCCAACCAAAUAACAAAGAGUCUCUUGUGUCCCCAACACACCCAAUACAACGGUAAAUUGUAUAGGUGCACUAGUUCGGCAAAGAGAUGGCGACACAAGUGGUAUAUGGAUAGUAGAUAAAGGUAUUUGUAAUCUGAAAUAAUAAAAAUAGCAAGGUAGCAAGUGAUAAAAGUGGGCGUAAACGGUAUUGCAAUGUAUUGAAACAAGGCCUAGGGUUCAUACUUUCGCUAGUGUAAGUUCUCUCAACAAUACUAACAUAAUUGGAUCACAUAACUAUCCCUCAACAUGCAACAAAGAGUCACUCCAAAGUCACUAAUAUCGGAGAACGAACAAAGAUAUUAUGGUAGGGUACGAAACCACCUCAAAGUUAUUCUUUCCAAUCAAUCUGUUGGGCUAUUCCUAUAAGUGUCACAAACAGCCCUAGAGUUCGUACUAGAAUAACACCUUAAGAUAUAAAUCAACCAAAACCCUAAUGUCACCUAGAUACUCCAAUGUCACCUCAAGUAUCCGUGGGUAUGAUUAUACGAUAUGCAUCACACAAUCUCAGAUUCAUCUAUUCAACCAACACAAAGGACCUCAAAGAGUGCCCCAAAGUUUCUACCGGAGAAUCACGACGAAAACGUGUGCCAACCCCUAUGCAUAGGUUCAUGGGCGGAACCCGCAAGUUGGUCACCAAAACAUACAUCAAGUGGCACGUGGUAUCCCAUUGUCACCACAGAUAUCCACGGCAAGACAUACAUCAAGUGUUCUCAAAUCUUUAAAGACUCAAUCCGAUAAGAUAACUCCAAAGGGGAAACUCAAUUCAUUACAAGAGAGAAGAGGGGGGGGAGAAACAUCAUAGGAUCCAAAUAUAAUAGCAAAGCUCGCGAUACAUCAAGAUCAUAUCAUCUCAAGAACACGAGAGAGAGAUCAAACACAUAGCUACUGGUACAUACCCUUAGCCCCGAGGGAGAACUACUCCCUCCUCGUCAUGGAGAGCACCGGGAUGAUGAAGAUGACCACCGGAGAAGGAUUGCCCCCUCCGGCAGGGUGCCAGAACGGGUCUAGAUUGGUUUUCGGUGGCUAAGGAGGCUUCUGGCGGCGGAACUCCCGAUCUAUUAUGCGUUCUGGAAGUUUUAGGUCACGUGGGUAUAUAUGGGUGCAGGGAGGACGUCGCAGGAGCCACGGGGGUCCCAUGAGACAGGGGGCACACCCUAGGGGGGGCGCCCCCCACCCUCGUGAGCACCUCGUGUCUCCCCUGACGUGCUGUCCAAGUUCAUCACGUGUGUUUCCUUCCAAAAAUAACUUCGCCAGUUGAUUUCGUUCCGUUUCGACUCCGUCUGAUAUUCCCUUUCUUUGAAACACUGAAAUAGGCAUAAAACAACAAAUCUGGGCUAGGCCUCCGGUUAAUAGGUUAGUCCAAAAAAUAAUAUAAAAGUGGAUAAUAAAGCCCAAUAUUUCCAAAAACAGUAGAUAAUAUAGCAUGGAGCAAUAAAAAAUUAUAGAUACGUUGGAGACGUAUCAAGUAGGCCUCGGCUUCGUCCGAGGAGUCGGUGAGGAUGUCGCGGUUCCGGUGGAGCAGGUUAAGGCGGUGCUGUGGGGAUGGAGCAGCCGCGGUAGACGCGGCGAUCGUCAGAGCAGUUCCUUGGAGGUGGAGGACGGGGCGGCUGAACCGGCAGGACGGAGAGAUGGAUGACGGAUCCUCAUCGGGGGAGGUGGACGAGGGACGUCUUGAUGUUGAGGUGGACGACGUCGUCGGGGAAGAGGCUCCAGCUGGGCAGUGGUGACAUGGCGGACGGAUGAGGGUGGGGUUUCGUGGCUGGAGCAGAGAGGUUAUGGCGGCCUAGGAUUUCGAAUGGCGAAAAGGGGGCGAUGGGAGGGGGUGAAGCAUGACUUAGGGACGCGCUUGUCCAAAAUGUAGGGUGUGUUACAAAAUUACCCCCCACCGAUUUGAACUAGCGGCCCUUUCAGCUCUGGGUUAGAAGGGGGAUUUCGCGUGCCGGGAUUUGGCAGCUGGAGGGAUUUUUCGCGCGCAUUGUAAUUUCGGGAUAGCAAGGCGCGGGUUGUGAAGGCGCCAGUUUUGGGAGCACAAUAUCUGAAUUUUCGGGAUAUAACAAGACACGGGUUGAAUUUUAGGGGCAAGCCUAACGUGUAGUAAUAUUAUACUUGUACGUACCAAAUCAAUUCACACUUCCCUCAACCAAAAAUAAAACGAAAAAAAUAAAACUAUUCACACCACACAAAGAGAGAGUCUUGCCCCGUUUUACUAUACAAAUGCUAUUCAAAGCUACUCCCUCCUUCCAUCUAUAUAGGGCCUAAUGCGUUUUUUGAUGCUAACUUUGACCAAAUAUUAGAGCAAUGAUAUAUGACAUGCAACUCACACAAAAGCACACCGUUAAAUUCAUCUGUGAAAGGUUCUUUCAAUGAUAUAAUUUUCACAUUGUGCAUGUCAUGUACUAUUAAUCUUGUCAAUAGUCAAAGGCGGUCUUAAAAAUCUCAUUACGCCCUAUAUAGAUGGAAGGAGGGAGUAUGAAUCCAUGUUAUGUCCGAUUAAAUUUUUUCGCUUGCUGUAUAAUGCAUGUAACCUACUCAUACCAACAUUUGAGUGCAUUCCAAAUGUCUAUACUACCGCUGCAAUUCGAACUAAAUUUGAAUUCGUUUCUCUAUUUCAAUAAGAAUCAACAAUCAUGAUUGUUGCCAACUUCAACCAUCAUAGUUUCCUUGCUAUCCGCCAGAUAUAAAUCGGACGGCCUAUAAUGCAGGAUGGCAGGCACACCAUCAUCAACAACUCUAUUUUUUAUAAGAGUAGAGAUAAAAUAUAUUAAAUGUAGUAUAACAUGUUCAUAACCACACCAUGUGUAUCACCGUUAUAUAUAUUCACACAUGCGUCGAUUUGAAACACUAUGAUAAAUUCUUCGAAUAUCCGAAUUCGCUUUUUAUAAGGAAGUAUAUAUGAUCUCUAUUCGUCCUUUACACCCACACAACCCUCUUAUCUUUGUAGCUAGCGCUAACUUUCUCUUGUGCAUGCACACGCCCGCAUCCCUCUCACCCUCCCUCGGCAUUCUCUAGCUCCAUCGCGCAAAUUCGUCUUUUCACUUUAGGUCGUUCACCCACGGUGUGCGUAGGCCCCCCAGCUCCUCCUUUACAGCACACAUCGAUCGAUAUGCCUCUCUAGCCAGGUGUGCCUAGCACAAACACAAGCUUCCCCUCUUCUCUUGUCACCGUCCAUGCCUCACUCCCACCACUCUUUUCAUUGUUCUCGUACUCGCACACUCCUCCCCCUCGAUAUAGUAUACCUCUCGUACCACCUCCUACAUGCAUCCCUCUCUCUCUCUAUCCUUCUCCUCGUGCCUCAUUUGCUUCUAACACACACAUGCAUGUAUACCGAUCGAUCUCCCAACAUAUACCUAGAUCGACUUUAACUACCCCCCAUCGAUCAACGUACCUCACAAGUUAUGUCUCUCCUUUCUCUAACAAAGGGCGAUUGAUCUUCCUAUGUAGUUAUGUCUGCUUACCACAACCACAUCGUCCCCCCUCAUCAUUCGUGCAUGCCUCCUGGCCCGUCUCUCACACGCACGUGCACAGACAACAAGCAGACAUCUCCUCUCUUAUUGAUAUUGUGGGCGUGCCCUCCGUUUGUCUAGCAAGCCUAUCCCGCCAUUUGUUAGAAGCAACUCCACUACCACCCCCUCCAACACUCUAGCUCUGUCUCUCUCCCAACCUUAUUCCUCUCCUGCACAUAUGCAUGGAUGCUGAUCGAUCUCCCUUAAUACAUGAGGCAGAUCGAUCUCCUUAAUACAUGAGCUAGGCCUCUCUCCUCCUCCACACAUAUACCAGCCAUUGUACCUCUAUAGUUUAUUGGGCCUCCCUCUUCCCCCACCACACACCAAUAGUCGAGCGCUGUAGGUAGGUAUCCAUGCCACAGAGACAAACUGCACAUGUCCCAUCUCACGUUCUAGUAGGCCAGCCACUCUAUAUCUUUGACAUGGGCACACACAAAUUCGAUGGCACUCUUUAUCGAUCGCGCGCGCACACACACACAUCAUAAUCCCUCUCUUCGAUUGUAUGGACACCUCAAGAUGCAUUUGUAUGAGUAGUUUAUCUUGUGAGAGAAAAGGUUGAAUGAGGGAAGGCCUUAUUUGUGAACGUGGAGAGACAUGUGGGUAUAUUUUUGCAAAAUUGCCAUAGUUUCUUUCCUAUCUGUUAGAUAUAAAUCCGACGGCCUAUAUUGCAGGAUGGCACGCACACCAUCAUCACCAACUCUGUUUUCUACUCCCUCCGUCCGAAAAUACUUGUCAUCAAAAUGGAUAAAAAGAGAUGGAUCUAAAACUAAAAUACGUCUAGAUACAUUUCCUUUUAUCCAUUUUGAUGACAAGUAUUUCCGGACGGAGGGAGUAUUUGUCUUUUUAGAGAUUUCAACAAGUGACUAUGACCGGACCUUACCAACAUACUCAAAAAAGUAGUCCAUAAUUUUGAUGUUACCCUCUUUUCUUGGCGGUGCAGUGCCAUCUGGAUACCUCAUAAAUAAAUAAAGUGCUACAUGGUACUAAUAUAUGAUACAUGGUGCGGGAGUACUAAGUAUUAUUAAUACAGUUUUGCUAGAACUCAUCUAGAUGAGAUAUAAUUUGGUCUCAUUCAUCUUUUAUAGCCAUUGGAUGUGAUGCUAUAUAAGAUGCGUGUGUGCUGACGUGGGUUGUAUUUGUUCUUGUGCAACGAACUGACCACUGCAUGUCAUGUUUGAUAGUCUCAAGUCAUUAAAAGCAUACAAGCCCCACAUCUCUUCUUGGUUGAUUCCUCUAUUUAUGUCAAAAAAUAAGAAACAACGUGAGAUAUAAUGCACCACGCCUAUGUGUUUACUAUUUGGUUUUCGUAAGAUGACUUAAUACUCACCUAGAAGGAAGGAGUAUUCGAUUUGACAACAGGCGGUGUAGUUCCCGAUACGGCUUUAAUGCAGAUGAGGGAGGGAGUAGCGGUUCCCGAUAUGUUGAACGGCCAAUGCAUCCUCCUUCAAUUAAUGCAUGAGGGAAGUAAUGGGAGGAGGUCCGGGAAAAGAGGCUGCACGAUGUGAAUGCAACACAGUUUGCCCUCAUUGCCCUCAUAUAAAGGCACCCCUCCAUUCCAAUGCAUCUACCACAUCGUACACGCCUAAGCAUUUGCCUAAGCACCUACGCUAAGCGCAAAAGAGCUCACUCCAGACCCAUGGCGGCGAUGUGCGUGAGCGGCCAGUGGCUGCGCCAGAUGGUCCACGACGCCGGCCUACGGCAUGACGCCGAAGAUCGUCUCCAGACAGUGUUGGAGACCGGCUGGUGGAUGGCCGCCGUUGACGCCAACUACGACUCUCAGUUGGACCAGAUGAUCGUUGCCACCAGCAACAAGUUCACUGUCCUCAAGAAGCUCACGGACGACAUCGUUGUACUCCUCCAGCCUGCGCGCCCGGGCUCCUCACUGCCUGCCACCCUAAUCGGCCUCCAUGGCCGGAACCUCUUUCAAGCACUGGUGGCCCUGCGACUGCCCGUCGACGUCAUGAAGAAUGUCCACCUGGAGGUCGUGCUCGCCGCGAGGCGCCUCGCCCUGCAAGAAUUCGUCGACCUACACAUCCACGUGUACGAGAAAAUCGUGUACAUAGGUAUCUACAAGGCCAGUGAGGACGCUACGAUGUUGGCUUUCCUCAACCGGCUGGAAGCCUUGGAUGCCUUUGUUGAGAAGCACCUCGACCUCGCCACAAAAGCCGUCGAUCCUUAGCCGCCGGUCGGUGGCCCGACGCACUAAGUUGAGAAGGAGGAGGUCGUACGUUUGUGGAUCCAUCUUUCUUUUUGCCUUCUAUAACCACCACUGCGAUUGCAUCAUCGUGGCCUUAAUUCUUAUUGGGUUGUUCCAUUCUCGUUCCAGUCAAUACCGACAUGUGCAAUCCCUUUGCUUAAUUAUAUGCAUCACUGUAACUAGUACUCCAUCCAUCAAAUUAUAAGUUCUGCUUAACUUUUCCAUCAACUUCGUGCAACGCGCGGGCAUCUUGCUAGAAACACUAGAAUAUGUCUUCAUAAUUUGUAUGUGAUUGUCCAUUUGAAAUCUCAAAAAAGACAAAUAUUUAGGUACGGAGGGAGUAAUAUAUUAGGAGUAUAUCAAAACAAUAGUGAUUUCUUUCAAGUUUGUGAACAAAUACUACUAUUCUACUACUUUGGAUCCGUCGCAUCGCAUGAACACAUUGCUGGUAAAAGGAAAAGGACUGCCACGUUCGCGUCGCACCCCCACACGCCCGGGAAUUGGGAGUACAACAUGGCCCGUCCGGCAUGACACAUAGCUUAGGGAAGGCGUGUUGCCUAGCAUUUUCACUUUCAUGUGGGACCGCCAUUGAGCAAACCGACACUCCGCCCACCGCCGGGUUGGAAAACAGAAACGAGGGGAAGAUCUAGCUGUAGCAUGGAAGCCAAGAAAUUUGGUGUCAGACGGGGCUCGUUGAUAGAGUAGGAGCAUUCCGUACUAGUACUACUCCUACUAGUACUAAGUUUGUACUCCUAAUACUAUUUUACUAGUACUACCACUAUACAACUAGUAGGUACGUGCAUGACACAUCAUCGUAGGAACAAAAAAUGGGAAGAUCUUGUUUUGUGUGAUUUAUCUUUUUUUCAAUCAACAUAGUAUGAAUAAUAUGAUGUGGGGGGCACCCAUGAAGCUUAUGUGGCUUGGUUGCAUGGCUACGGAAGGUUAGAGAAAAAUAAAUAGAUAAUGUGUUUAAAGUGCACUCCACUAAAUAGAUAUACUUUGGAUCCAUUGCAACGGACCGGCGCAUCUAUAUCUAUACCCCCCUACAUAGUGUGUGAAAAACUUUGAAAGUUGGUCGUUGGAUGAAGCCAAUCCGACGGUACAAAGAUGGCAAGUCCGAGCACUACUGGCCGUUGGAUAUCAUCCACCAGAUUCUGCCACAUGUAUAAUCUAGAAGACUCCAUGGUUGAACUUAAUUCAUGACUAACUUUGCCACAACUAAGCUUAGGCAAAGUUAUUAGUUCUUCAAAAUGAGAGCCACAAGUUGGCAAGCCUAAGGGAAUCUUGCCACAUUUUUUGUGUGUAUGUCAUGUGGGGCCUUAGUGUGGCUUGCCUAAGGUGUGGCUUGAACCAAACACUCACCUAAGUUAAUCAAACUUGCCUAACCUUACAUUCCACCAGAUUUUGCCACAUGUUAGAAUCUAGAAAGAUCCACAUGUAGAAGCAUAAUGCACAAACCACCAGAAUCUCACGCAUGCAAUGCACGUGUACCUUACUAGUACUAGUUGGUAGUAGUAAGAAACAAAUUCCCGUUUUGGCACGAGCUCAUACUGUGGGAGCACCACAAGGCCUGCCGCAGGAGUUACAUUUCCCUCUCGGGGCCCACGAGACCGAACUUCAGUGGCUUAGUGCCCGACCUAUGAGUCAAUGACAUGCGGACCUUAAAUGCGGCUGGCCCACAUGUCAUUCUCAUGGUGGUGGCGUGGUUCGCGACUCACUCGUUCGAGAUGAACCGGCCGGUGGUGGCGUGGCCGUGGCGAGGGUGCCACAGCUGGGCGUCGGGGCAUUAUGAGGCGUAGAUGGCCACACCGGCAGGUACUACCUGUAGUACAUAAGUACUCCAGCUGAGGAUUAAUGCCCGGGACGAAAUGUGUCAUAGCCGCUGGAUGAAAAUUCAAUGGUGCGGGAGUACGGAUCAGAGCACAGCAGCGGAGCAGGCAAACCGCGUCCAAUCGGGUGUGUCUGUGGUAGAAAGUUGAUGGUCGCCGCAGUUCAGCUGGCCCGCAUGUCAUGCACACAAAGGCAGAUGAGCGGUGGGGCCGAGAGGGAUGAGGGGCACAUCGGGGGGAUGAGGAUCCCCUGACGCGAACAAUCGUACCAUUUUGUCACUGACAUGUGGGACCCAUAAGCGUGGGUCCCACCUAUCAGUGAAGGAAAGGCAGGGCAAAGCAGUGAUAGGAUUAGAUGGCUAGUCUAACUGAAGUAGUAGAUGAUUAUUUAAAGAGGUUUGGAGAAUUAGGAUUAGAUGGCUAGUCUAACUGAAGUAGUAGAUGAUUAUUUAAAGAGGUUAAAACAAUGUAAACGCAGUGGGGUUUGGAUGCAAAUGAAGACGAAGGGGAGGUGAAGAAGCCGAGGAGAAUCGGUUCCAGAUGGAGAAGUAAAUGGGAGAAGUGGCGUGCAGGCAGUUGAUUAGACUGCUAGGUAGACUAAACGAAAAGGCUAUGCGGGUAGACUGAUGAGUCGUACCUGUUCGUGUACUUGCCCAUCCUUCCUGAUAGGUGGGACCUAUGCAAACAGAUACAAAAAUGUGUCGUAGUUUUUUUGAGUGCGUGAGUGGGAGACACAACAUUCUCUGGUUAAGGAAUACUCCCUCACAAUGAAGUGACAACACCCUGCGCCUGACACUAGUCCAGGCGGCGUGUUCGGGUUACCAAAGUCAACCUCACCCUAUGCACUCUGCAGUCUGUCACCGCCGUUGUACAACACAUUGACGCCUCGCCUCAUCUCCCUCUCCGCUCCCAUAGCACCACUCCAUCUCCAUCUCCUUCUACGUCUCCGUCUCCAUCUCACUGUGCCCCCGUGUACCGUCGCCUCACUCGCCUCCCCCAGUACCACUAUUCCCUAGGGAUGGCAAUGGGUCGGGUUUGGGGUGGGUGGAGCUGGUCCAAAUCCAACCCAUGACCCAUCUUCCUACCCUCUACCUAUCCACCAAAUUAUCCAUGGGCACAACUUGUGCCCAUGCCCAAACCUGCUGGAUACCCACAUACCCAUGGAGCUCCAUGGGCAUAGAAAAGUCAGCAUGAAGCCUUCACAAAGAUGAAAUUAACUCAUCAUCAUCCACUCAUAAAUGACAACAUAAACUACAUGCAUAAGUAGGCAACAAGUAAUACGAUGAGUCCUUAAGUGUGACAUACCAGAGGUUGAUUUUGCAGCAUAUAGCUUAUGGCACCAGUUGCAUAUUGCCUGCCAUUUCCUAUUGAUUCGCUCUUUCUACUUCCACUGGCAUAUGGCCCCACAUGUCAUAUGGAUAUCCAUCGGAUAUCCAUGGAGCACAAACUAUAACCGUGCCCAACCCGGCUAUUCGUGGGUAUCCAUAUCCACAGACCCAUGGACAGAAAUGCACUCCAUACCCUUGCCCAACCGGGUUGGGUAUCCAUGGGUAUCUAGAUCCAUGGAUAAAAUUUCCAUCCCUACUAUUCCCUCGCUAGCUGCUCCAGCACCGACAUCCUUCUCCCCCGUAAAUCAAGCCCCCUUCCAAACUCCACCAUGGCCGAACGCGAACCACGCAACAUCCAUAUGAGCCGCGAUUGGAGAAAUCUCCCCAACGACAUCCUCGACCUCUGUUGUUCGUGUAUGGAUAUGUUGAGCGCCCUGCAGCUGGCUGCAUGCUCGAGGGACAUGCACACUGCCAUCGUCGAACCGAGGCCUAAGCUUUUCAAGACACCCUGCUUGCUGCUAUCUGGUCUUGCGAGAUUGGCUCACCAUGAUACGGAGGCGUGCAUGAUGCCCCUCGACUUUAAUCCGAUCUCCAUUAGCCAAAACUUCUUUGCAGGUAUGUAGUGGGUCGCUGUACAUCAUUUCCCUCGACAUCGAUCCGAUCACCAUCGCCCGAAACUUCUUGGUAGGUAUGUACUGGGUCGACAUGAACUCCCACUGGAUGGCUGCCUUCAGAGAAGACGGUAAAAAGUUGGUGCUCGUGAACUUCCAGACCUCCCAUGAGAUUAUCCUUCCUCCAUUGGAUUAUAUAGAGUAUUACCAUCGCAGUCCAUGUCAUCUAGAUUACUACGUCAGUUGGACGGACCUUGUUUUGCAGAAGAUUGUAGAAACAUGCACCACACUGUUGGUUUCAUCUAACAAUACAUUAGGGAAGUAAAUGUGCAUAUGGAGAACUCUAUAUUUGGAAGUAGUGAAAUCCUGCAAUGCUUACCAUGUGUACGUACCUAUAUUCGCCCUUCAGCAAUCAAUGGCUACAAUAAUAUCCUCACAAAAAUUUUGCCCACAGAACACGAGUAUAUAACAAUGCAUGGUCUGUUAGCUACCUUGAAGAAUUUUUUUGUGAGGACAGAACAUGAUUACAUAACAUGCAUGAUAUGGUAGUUUCCUGUGAAGAAUCGAUUGCGAGAUAACAUGAGUAUAACCAUGCAUGGCACUUCUAUAUUUACGAACCCAGUAUACAUUUCCCUGUAUUAUCCUCCCAGUUCCAACAGGGACAUAUAUAUGUUGUUUCUUGCAUUAUCCUACUCAUACUAUGAACAAUGUCGAUCUUACAUUAACAAUGCCUGUCCUUUUUGAUAUGAUGCAGUGUCCCUACAGUUACUGCCCUUUGUAAUCACACCACCUUUGCCAAAAACAGGGAAGCACAACUGGUUCCUCGCUCGAUGAGACGACGGCAAAAGACUGAUGAUCAUUCGGACACAUGAGCCGGAAAAGUUCCUCUGUGUCGUCAUUGUUAGGCUUGAUGGCUCCUUCGAUCAUCGAUAGCGAUGCAGUCCAGGGUGAGACUUUUCUCCCCGGACAGAUCUUUGUAUUCGGCGGCUUCGCACUGCGGGCCAACUCGCUUGGCCAUAUGGAGCAGAUCGAGAGUUACGCCCCUGGCCACCAGGUCAGGUUUGGGAGCUUAAACUACACGGCCGACAUCCGCGGAGACUUGAUCUUCGACGGAUUCGAGCCCCUGCCGAGUGCGCCGCACGGUCACAAUGAGCAUGAUUUAGCUCUACCAUCGGACAAUGUUCAGGAGACCGCACCGGCAACCGCUCCGACCCUUAAUUUGGAGCCAAUUGCGCCAUCCAUGGACGGGUGGAUAGACCCCGCCACGGAGGCCGCAUUCUCAGCAGCGAUCAAGCUGAGUAUCGACCUUACCCUUCACGAGAGCCGUGACGCCAAACUACCGGAUUCUUCCCUAGACACGGACUCCGAACCGCCUGCGCCCGUGCCUAUCGAAUCCAACUGGGCGCCGAUCAUGGAGUUCACCUCCGCGGAUAUCUUUCAGCACUCGCCCUUUGGUGACAUACUGAACUCAUUAAGGUCUCUCUCCUUGUCAGGAGAGUCCUGGCCGAACUACGGCCGGCCAGAUCGGGAUGCGGAUGACAAAGAAAUUCGCCGCCCACCCACCACCCACUUAGUAGCCACCGUCGAUGAUUUGACCGACACGAUCAACUUCGACUCCGAAGAUAUCGACGGUAUGGACGAUGAUGCAGGAGACGAACAAGAGCCACUGCCCACAGGGCACUGGACGCCCACUUCAUCAUAUGAUGUAUACAUGGUGGACACACCCAAAGAAAACGACGACGAGGAACAGAAGGACGCAGCGAAGGAUCGAUCCCUCGAGAAGCAGUCAAAGCGGCGGCGUAAGCGCCGCACCAAAUCCCACCUCAGCAGAAACAACGAUCAUAUAGACCCAGUGAUAGAGUAGGGUGAGCCAGCAGACGACGAACACGACACUGAACCACCGUCCGACCACCGCAACACGGAGAAUCAAACCGAACAACCCGUCUCCGGCGAAGAUAGCAGUCCGGAUGACAUCACACCGGACAGGCACCCAGAGUAACAGAAUCCCCAUCAAAGGCUUGUUGCCACUGCGAGGAGUCUGAAAAAGCAGAAGCAAAGGCUCAGGGCUGCACAAGACAUACUCACAAUUAGAUGGAGUAAAGUACUCAACACCGCAACAAAGUACGGCGGAAGUCGCCACAUAAAGAGCUAUCGAAACGACGCCACACACAAGCCAGUAAGCGAUCCACGUGAGGACGUGCAUCAAAAGGACGGCGCAACCAGAUCCAUCUACAGGCCAAGCAAGCGCGCUCCAGCAAGCAAUGCAACACAACAAAAAUCCGAACACCAUGGUACACCCAAAUACAGGGGUGCCGCACACCCCCUAUGUUUCACCGAUGAGGUGCUGGACCAUGGAUUUCUAGAGGGAUUCAAACCCGUAAACAUAGAGGCGUACGACGGAACAACAGACCCUGGGGUCUGGAUUGAGGACUACAUCCUCCAUAUCCACAUGGCUCGAGGAAACGAUCUCCAUGCCAUCAAGUACUUACCCCUCAAGCUCAAAGGACCAGCUCGGCACUGGCUUAAAAGCCUCCCCGAAUACUCCACUGGAAGCUGGGAAGAGCUCGAGGACGCUUUUCGGGCAAAUUUUCAAGGGACCUAUGUCCGACCACCGGAUGCAGACGAUUUAAGCCAUGUAACUCAACAGCCCGGAGAGUCAGCCCGAAAGCUUUGGAACAGGUUUCUCACUAAAAAGAACCAAAUAGUCGACUGUCCGGACACCGAAGCCUUAGCAGCUUUGAAGCACAACGUUCGAGACGAAUGGCUUGCCAGACACCUCGGCCAAGAAAAGCCGAGAACAAUGGCAGCAUUAACAAGCCUCAUGACCUGCUUUUGCGCGGGCGAGGACAGCUGGCUAGCCCGAUGUAGCACCAGCGAACCAAUUACAUCUGAAGUCAGGGACGGAAACGGGAAGCCACGACGCAGCAAAAACAAUUGCCGGAAUAAAGAAGACAGCCCGAAGAGCACGGCGGUAAACGCCGGAUUCAGAAGCUCACGUCAGCAAAAGUUGCCCUCCAAAGGCAAUAGAGAUGAAUUGUCCAGCCUAAACAAGAUUCUGCACAAAAUAUGUCAGAUCCACAACACCCCAGAUAAAUGUAACACCUCGGAUAUGAUUUUCCCAAUAUGUAAUCCAACUCUUGCUGUUUCCGGCGUUAAGUCAUUUUAUUUUCUCGGGUUCGGUUUUUUUGUCUCCGUUUAUUGUUAUCGUAUUCAUGCAUCUCAUAUCAUGUCAUCAUGUGCAUUGCAUUUGCAUACGUGUUCAUCUCAUGCACUCGAGCAUUUCCCCGUUGUCCGUUUGCAUUCCGGCGCUCCAUUCUCCUCCAGUGGUCUUUUCUACCUUUAUUUUGUGUGUGGGGAUUAAACAUUUCCAGAUUGGACCGAGACAUGCCGAGCGGCCUUGGUUUACUACCGGUAGACCGCCUGUCAAGUUUCGUACCAUUUGGACUUCGUUUGAUGCUCCAACGGUUAACCGAGGGACCGAAAAGGCCUCGUGUGUGUUGCAGCCCAACACCCCUCCAAGUUGGCCCAAAACCCACCAAAACCCUCUCCAUCAUCUAGAGCGUUCGAUCACGAUCGUGUGGCCGAAAACCGCACCUCGUUUGGACUCUCCUAGCUCCCUCUAUGUCUAUAUAUAGCCCCCCUCCGAAAUCCACGUUUCCCCUUCGUCCAAACCCUAAAAAUCGGAUCUCCGCCGCCGCCGGACAUGUCCGUCCCCGGCCGGACAGCGUCCGCCGCCGCCUCCGGCCAACCGGGGCGCGCCACGUGGCAACCCGGCGCCCGCCACCGCCGCGGCCCGCGGAAGCCCGCAGCCGGCCCUCUCCACCGUGCCACCGGGCCGCCUCCCCGCGCCUUCNNNNNNNNNNNNNNNNNNNNNNNNNNNNNNNNNNNNNNNNNNNNNNNNNNNNNNNNNNNNNNNNNNNNNNNNNNNNNNNNNNNNNNNNNNNNNNNNNNNNNNNNNNNNNNNNNNNNNNNNNNNNNNNNNNNNNNNNNNNNNNNNNNNNNNNNNNNNNNNNNNNNNNNNNNNNNNNNNNNNNNNNNNNNNNNNNNNNNNNNNNNNNNNNNNNNNNNNNNNNNNNNNNNNNNNNNNNNNNNNNNNNNNNNNNNNNNNNNNNNNNNNNNNNNNNNNNNNNNNNNNNNNNNNNNNNNNNNNNNNNNNNNNNNNNNNNNNNNNNNNNNNNNNNNNNNNNNNNNNNNNNNNNNNNNNNNNNNNNNNNNNNNNNNNNNNNNNNNNNNNNNNNNNNNNNNNNNNNNNNNNNNNNNNNNNNNNNNNNNNNNNNNNNNNNNNNNNNNNNNNNNNNNNNNNNNNNNNNNNNNNNNNNNNNNNNNNNNNNNNNNNNNNNNNNNNNNNNNNNNNNNNNNNNNNNNNNNNNNNNNNNNNNNNNNNNNNNNNNNNNNNNNNNNNNNNNNNNNNNNNNNNNNNNNNNNNNNNNNNNNNNNNNNNNNNNNNNNNNNNNUGGCGCCGCCUCGUCCGCCUCGACGCCGGCGACCGCCGCCUCCUCGCCUCCCCGCCUGUUCCGGCCAGCCUCCCUUGCUCCGACCGCCCUCAUCAACUCCGGCGAGCAAUCCGGCGAACCUCGAAGUCCUUGCGGCCAGAUCUGGAUCCGGAUUCCGUCUCGGUUGACUUUUAUCCCCGAAACCCUAAUAUUUUGCCCAUGUUCAUCAUGUCGUAACUUUGCACCCGUAACUCCGUUUUGGGCAUAUAGCAUAUCAAAAUGUUCGUCUCAGAGAGCACAUCAUUUCAUCUCAUUGCAUCAUUUUCAUUUGAGUUCGUCUUGAUGCCCGAAAUUCUGUUAGAAUAAGGCUAUUUGAGAUAAUUGUCAGAUCUUCUGCUCCAAUUAGAUAUUUGUCAUUUUUGCCAUGUUUGUUGUGUGCAUGAUAUGCCCCUGAGCUCUACAUGAGUUUUGUUAUAUGUUUUGUCAUCUAUCCAGAGGUGCAAUCCAUGUAUUUUUGUGAUGUGUGUGGUGACUAGCACAAGCUUGCAAAGUGGUGCAUUCGUUAAUGCUGAUUUCAGGUACUUAGCAUUUCCACUAAGUCUUUGAUCUGUUUAUCUCAAUAUGCCAUAUGUUCAUAUUGUUUCCUAGUGAUCCGUGCCUCUUUUGAGGAUGAUCAGUAAGGAUGUUUUGUUAAUCUUGUAGUGCUCUAUCCAUCCAUGUCUUUGUUUGUAAUUGUGGUCUUUGUUUGUAAUUGUGAAGCACCCUAGCUUGAGUCAAUCGAGCUCUACUUUUGUCAUUUCGUGAAUCUGGGCAGAUUGUCUACUUGUUAGCAAUUUUUCCAAGGGUGUUGUAGUUGAUCCGUGCAUGCUAUGUUAUUGUUCUUGCCAUGUCUAGCUUGUAUAAUGUGUAUUCUUGAUGUGUUUAUGCUUGGAUUGUCAUGACUUGCUCUGUAGUGAGUGCAUCGAGCUCGUAAACAUGCCUACUUGAUAUCUGUUUCAGCAUGCUCCAGUUUUCACUAAGUCUGAGAACUGAUUAUGUUUUUGCCAUGUUCACAUGCUUGCAAAUGUAUUUUCUGAUCCCUUUUGGCUCAAGAUCACUAAGGGACUUUUGUUAAGCUCUUUGAGUAUCUCCAUGCCUUGCUUUACUUUGCCAUGUUCAGGUCCUGUAGCAUAUAGUUUUCAUGCUCCAAAGUGUGCUACCUGAUCUGAAAUUCCAGACAAGUGUUAAUUUCACUAAGUCUGAAAUCUGUUUGUCAAAUGCAUUUUUGCCAUGCUUGUUUGAACCUGUUAAUGGAUGAAUUGGCCGUAGCUCAGUGCUAGUCUUUUGUUAAUCAUCAUGAAUGGAUCCCUGCCAUGUAUUUUGUUGCCAUGUUUGAGUGCUGUAGCAUGUCCAUCUUGUUGCUUUUAGAUGGCUACUUGCUGUAAAUCACAGAACGUGGUCAUAUUUGAAUUGCUUGCCAUUCCCAAACCGUAACUCCGAUUCCGGCGUUCUUUAUAUCGUUUUCAAGCGAUUUCAUCUAAUCUUUCCAGUGGCACACUUGGAUUUACAAGUUGAGGCCAGGUUCAUUCAUUCCUUGUCAAAUCUUAUAUAUGCAUCACAUAUUGCAUCCCGCAUAGCAUACCAUAUUUGCAUCAUAUUGUUUGAGCCUUGCACGUGGUUGAUUGUGUCCUUGUUGCUUGUUUGUCUUGUUUUGGUAGAGCCGGGAGACGAGUUCGCUAAUGAGGAGCCCGUUGAGUUUGUUUUCGAGGAUCCAGUCAACUCUGACAACUUUGCAGGCAAGAUGAUCAUACCCUCGAAAUCACUACUAUCUUUGCUUUGCUAGAUGCUCGCUCUUUUGCUAUGCCUAUGCUACGAUGCCUACCACUUGCUUAUCAUGCCUCCCAAAUUGCCAUGUCAAACCUCUAACCCACCAUGUCCUACCAAACCGUUGAUUGGCUAUGUUACCGCUUUGCUCAGCCCUUCUUAUAGCGUUGCUAGUUGCAGGUGAAGAUUGGAGACCGUUCCUUGUUGGAACAUUAUUUACUUGUUGGGAUAUCAUUAUAUUAUCUUGUUAUCUUAAUGCAUCUAUAUACUUGGUAAAGGGUGGAAGGCUCGUCCACUCACCUAGUGUUUUGUUCCACUCUUGCCACCCUAGUUUCCGUCAUAUCGUUGUUAUGUUCCCGGAUUUUGCGUUCCUUACGCGGUUGGGUGAUAAUGGGAACCCCUUGAUAGUUCGCCUUGAUUAAAGCUUUUCCAGCGAUGCCCAACCUUGCUUUUACCAUUUGCCACAUAGUCUCUUCUUCCCUUGGGUUUCCGGAGCCCGAGGGUCAUCUUAUUUUAAGCCCCCCCUGGGCCAGUGCUCCUCUGAGUGUUGGUCCAAACUAGAGUCCUGUGCAGUGCCCCCUCGGGGAAACUCGAGGUUUGGUUUUAGUUGUAUGGAGAGCUCAUCUGAGUGUGCCCUGAGAACGAGAUAUGUGCAGCUCCUAUCGGGAUUUGUCGGCACAUUCGGGCGGUGUUGCUGGAUUUGUUUUAACUUGUCGAAGUGUCUUAUAAAACCAGGAUACCGAGUCUGAUCGGAAUGUCUCGGGAGAAGGUCUAUUCCUUCGUUCACCGUGAGAGCUUGUCAUGGGCUAAGUUGGGACUCCCCUACAGGGAUUUGAACUUUCGAAAACCAUGCCCACGGUUAUGGGUAGAUGGGAAUUUGUUAAUGUCCGGUUGUAUAUAACCUGAACCUUAACUUAAUUAAAAUGAAUCAACAGUGUGAGUUACCGUGAUGGUCUCUUCUCGGUGGAGUCCGGGAAGUGGACACGGUGUUGGAGUAAUGCUUGCCGUAGGUUGUCCUCUAGUUACUCGUUCGCGCUUUGCCUCCUCUUCUCGCUCUCUUUUGCGAACAAGAUAGCCACCAUAUAUGCUAGUCGCUUGCUACAGCUCCACAUAUUUUACCUUGCCUUACCUAAAAGCUUAAUUAGUCUUGAUCGCGAGGGUGCGAGAUUGCUGAGUCCCUGUGGCUCACAGAUUACUUCCAAACCAGAUGCAGGGCCUGAUGAUUCCGUUCCAGAUGACGCGCUUGAGCUCAAGUGGGAGUUCGACGAGGACUCACGCCGAUACUACGUGUCUUUCCCUGAUGAUCAGUAGUGGUGCCCAGUUGGGGUGAUCGGGACCGUGUCGCAUGUUGGGUUGUCUUUUAUUUUGGCGCCGUAGUCGGGCCAUGAGUGUUUGAAUUGUUGUAAUGCUAUUUAUGUACUUUGAUUGACGUGGCGAGUGUAAGCCAACUAUGUAUCUCCCCUUUUAUUAUCUAUAUUACAUGGGAUGUUGUGAAGAUUGCCUAACUUGCGACAUUGCUUUCAAUGCGGUUAUGUCUCUAAGUCGUGCCUCGACACGUGGGAGCUAUAGCCGCAUCGAGGGCAUUACAAUAAACCUGCAAAUCAUACCCAUAGAGAAUGUUGGGUCUUCAAGCAGUCCGACAAGCUCAACGCCGAACACAAGGGGCAGGAUACACCAAGCGAAGACGAGGAUGAGCCUCGCAAGGAAAGCACUGUGGAACGGAGGAAAUUCCCACCAGAAGUCAAAACAAUAAACGUGUUACACGUGAUGAAGGGGAGAAACAAAGUGGCACUCCUAGAGACACAUGCCCCAGGGCCUAUCACCACGGACUUCUGCCACUGGUCGUCCCAACCGAUCACCUUUGACCAUUGGGACUACUCGGCAAGUAUCCGACAUGCAGGAUGGGCUGCCUUGGUGUUAGACCCGAUAAUUGACGGAUACCACUUCACACGAGUCCUGAUGGACGGCGGCAGUAGUUUAAACCUGAUAUAUCAGGACACAGUCUGCAAAAUGGGGAUAUACCCAACAAAAAUCAGCCAUAGCAAUACUACCUUUAAAGGAGUAACGCCAGGCCCAGAAGCCCAUUGCACGGGCUCCCUGCUACUAGAGGUUAUAUUCGGCUUUCCCGAUAACUUCCGCAGCGAAAAGUUAACCUUCCACAUCGCUCCGUUCCAAAGUGGCUAUCAAGCACUAUUCGGACCCGAAGCUUUCGCUCGCUUUAACACAAUAUCGCAUUACACUUCCCUCAUGCUUAAGAUGCCCGAUCCAUGUGGCAUCAUUACAGUAAAUGGAAAUAUUGAGCGCUCCUUGCACAUGGAAGACCGUGCGGCUGCCUUGGCAACCGCACACUAAACGGCCUCACCAACUAGAGCAUCUGACAGGUUGUUAAGACCACGGAUGCGGUUAGACGAGUCCGGUGUAGCUAUAUAUAAUUGAUACAGGUUUCAUGGCUAUACCCCUAUAACAAUACAAGGUGCUCAACGCGUGUAAACAAGUGGCAAUUAGGCUCAACUUUACUCAGCUUGAACUAUACAUGGUUUAUUUAGUAUAACCUACCUUUUGCACGACAACUUUUCAGCUAAGUUCCUCUCUUUUACAGAUGACCAUCGUGCUACACCCGUCCAGGAUAUGGCACAACGGAGACACAGGCGCAGACGUGCAGCAGGGACCCGUUCCAAGGAUUCUUUUUAGAUUAAGACCCUGCGUAAACUUUUUUACUGUCUCUUGUUGAUACACAUCCCUCAGAUUCUCAGUACAAUUGAGAAGGAUGCUGACGUAUUGGCAUGUGGCCACGUUAGAAUAUUGCAUGUACCUGGACACCAGGGGCUUAUUACAAAGGGCACUGUUUAGCCCGGUUUACAUCAUAAAGACCGAAUACCUUAGGGAGUGUUCGGCGUCGCGAGUUUGGACUUAUAUGGAUCAGCUCCGAAUCAUGUCUUGGUCAAAUGCUGGGUGUGCCUGGCUCUUGUGUUUUGCUGCCUUACGUUCUGCUCUAUCGGCUAAGGAGGCACCAGGAGAACUACUACGAUUGUGCCCUAGUUCAUCCGGACGACCACCUCAGUAGAGAAAGCCGAAAACUGACUGCCAUGAUAUAGCGUGAGACCGAUCAACCACUCGAUGACCUAGCGGAAUCUUCGGGAUUCCUCCACCUUAACGAAGGGCCAUUUCCCGGCCAGGCAUGUACGCGCCCCGAAUUCGGAUGAGCGCUGUAACACCCCGGAUGUAACUUUCCCUAUUUGUACUCUAACUCUUGCCGUUUCCGGCGUUAAGUUAUAUUUAUUUCCUCGGGUUCGGGUCUUUGUCUCCGUGUGUUGUUGUCCUUGUCAUGCAUCUCAUAUCAUGUCAUCAUGUGCAUUGCAUUUGCAUACGUGUUCGUCUCAUGCAUUCGAGCACUUCCCCCGUUGUCCGUUUUGCAUUCCGGUGCUUCGUUCUCCUCCGGUGGUCAUUUCUAGCUUUCUUUCGUGUGUGGGGAUUAAACAUUUCCGGAUUGGACCGAGACUUUCUAAGCGGCCUUGGUUUACUACCGGUAGACCGCUUGUCAAGUUUCGUAUCAUUUGGACUUUGUUUCAUACUCCAACGGUUAACAGAGGGACCGAAAAGGCCUCGUGUGUGUUGCAGCCCAACACCCCUCCAAUUUGGCCCAAAAUCCACCAAACUCUGCUCCAUGUCCUAGAGCGUUCGAUCACGAUCGCGUGGCCGAAAACCGCACCUCAUUUGGACUCUCCUAGCUCCCUCUAUGCCUAUAUAUACACCCCCUCCGAAAUUCACGGGUCUCCCCUUCCCCCUAAACCCUAGAUCCAGCCGCCGCCGCCGCCGGACGUGUCCGGACGGGGCUGGACAGCGUCCGCCCGCCGCCUCCAGCCACCCGCGCUUNNNNNNNNNNNNNNNNNNNNNNNNNNNNNNNNNNNNNNNNNNNNNNNNNNNNNNNNNNNNNNNNNNNNNNNNNNNNNNNNNNNNNNNNNNNNNNNNNNNNNNNNNNNNNNNNNNNNNNNNNNNNNNNNNNNNNNNNNNNNNNNNNNNNNNNNNNNNNNNNNNNNNNNNNNNNNNNNNNNNNNNNNNNNNNNNNNNNNNNNNNNNNNNNNNNNNNNNNNNNNNNNNNNNNNNNNNNNNNNNNNNNNNNNNNNNNNNNNNNNNNNNNNNNNNNNNNNNNNNNNNNNNNNNNNNNNNNNNNNNNNNNNNNNNNNNNNNNNNNNNNNNNNNNNNNNNNNNNNNNNNNNNNNNNNNNNNNNNNNNNNNNNNNNNNNNNNNNNNNNNNNNGUCGCCCCAGUUCCGGCCGCCGCCGCCUCGGCCACCGGCGACUGCGCCCUCGCCGGCCGCCUCCUCCCUCCUCCACGCCGGCUCCGGCGAACUCGGGUCCGGCCAGCUACAGUGCCGCGAGAUCUGAUCUGGGUCGGGGUUGCUACAGUGAACCCUAGGGGUAGUUUUUUUUCACUAAGUCCCGGAUAUUUUUAGUUCAUAUGCCCCUGUUCGCGGCCCCGUAACUUUGCAUCCGUAGCUGCGAUUUGGGCAAUAUAGCAUAUCUGAAUGUUCAUCUCAGAGAGUACAUCAUUUCAUUCCAUUGCAUCAUUUUCAUUUGAGCUCAUCUUGAUGCCUGAAAUGCUGUCAGAAGAGGGCUACUUGAGUUAAUUGUCAGAUCUGUUACUCUGUUUAGCACUUUUGUCAUUUUUGCCAUGAUUAUUGUGUGCAUGCUAUGCCCGUGAGUUCUUCAUGUGUUUUGUUAAGGGUUUUGUCAUCUUUCCAGAGGUGCAACCCAUAUAUUUUUAUGAUGUGUGUGGUGACUUGCGCAAGCUUGCAAAGUGGUGCACUUGCUUAUUCUGUUUUCAGGGACUUAGUAAUUUCAGUAAGUCUUGGGAUUGUUUAGUUCACGAUGCCAUAUGUUCAUGUUGUUUCCUAGCGAUCCGUGCCUCUUUUGAGGAUGAUCAGUAAGGGAGUUUUGUUAAUAUUGUAGUGCUCUAUCCAUCCAUGUAUUUGUUUGCAAUUAUGGAGCAUCCUAGCUUGAGUCAAUCAAGCUCUACUUUUGCUUCGUUGCGAAUCUGGGCAGAUCGUCAACUUGUUUGCGAUUUUGCCGAUGUUAUUGUAGUUGAUCCGUGCAUGCUAUGCCAUUGUUCUUGCCAUGUCUAGCUUGAAGUUUGUGCCUUCUUAAGGGAUGUAUGCUUGUCUUGCCAUGACUUUUAGCAUGGUGAGUGCAUCGAGCUCGUAAACAUGCCUUCGUGAGUUAUGUUUCAGCAUGUCCCAUUUUUCACUAAGUCUGAAAACUGAUUAUGUUUUUGCUAUGUUCAUGUGCUUGUUAGUAUAUUUUGUGAUCCCUUUUGGCUCAAGGUCACUAAGGGACUUUUGUUAAGCUUGUUGAGUAGCUCCAUGCCAUGUCUUUCUUUGUCAUGUUCAAGUCCUGUAGCAUGUUGUGUCAUGUUCAAGUCCUGUAGCAAGUCUGAGAUCUGUUUUACCAUUUGCGUUUUUGCCAUGCUUGUUUGAACCUCCUGAUGGAUGAAUUGGCCGUAGCUCAGUUCCAGACUUUUGUUAAGCAUCUUGUGUGCAUCCCUGCCAUGUAUUUUGUUGUCAUGUUUAGGUGCUGUAGCAUGUUCAUCUCAUUGCAUUUAGAUGCCUACUUGCUGUAAAUCGCAGACCGGUGUCAUUUUUGAAUCGCUUGCCAUUUCCAAACCGUAACUCUGAUUCCGGCAUUCUUUAUAUCGUUUUGAAGCGAUUUCAUCUCAUCUUUCCAGUGGCACACUUGGAAUUCCAAGUUGAGGCCAGGUUCAUGCAUUUCCUGUCAUAUCUUGCAUUUUGCAUCCCGCAUCACAUCCCGCAUAGCAUGUCACCAUUUCAUCUUAUUGCUUGUUCUUGCACGUGGUUGAUUGUAUCCUUGUUGCUUGUUUGUCUUGUUUGGGUAGAGCCGGGAGACGAAUUCACUAACGAGGAGCCCGUUGAGUUUGCUUUUUAGGAUCCAGUCAACUCUGACAACUGUGUAGGCAAGAUGAUCAUACCCUCGAAAUCACUACUAUCUUUGCUAUGCUAGUUUGCUCGCUCUUUUGCUAUGUCAUUGCUACGAUGCCUACCACUUGCUUGCAAGCCUCCCAAAUUGCCAUGUCAAACCUCUAACCCACCAUUGUCCUAGCAAACCGUUGAUUGACUAUGUUACCACUUUGCUCAGCCCCUCUUAUAGCGUUGUUAGUUGCAGGUGAAGAUUGGAGGUCGUUCCUUGUUGGAACAUCUUUUAUUUACUUGUUGGGAUAUCAUUAUAUUGCCUUGUUAUCUUAAUGCAUCUAUAUACUUGGUAAAGGGUGGAAGACUCGGCCUCUCGCCUAGUGUUUUGUUCCACUCUUGCCGCCCUAGUUUUCCAUCAUAUCGGUGUUAUGUUCCGGGAUUUUGCGUUCCUUAGGCGGUUGGGUUAUAAUGGGAACCCCUUGAUAGUUCGCCUUGAUUAAAGCUUUUCCAGCAAUGCCCAACCUUGGUUUUACCAUUCGCCACCUAGCCUCUUUUUCCCUUGGGUUUUCGGAGCCCGGGGGUCAUCUUAUUUUAACCCCCCCCCCCGGGCCAGUGCUCCUCUGAGUGUUGGUCCAAAUAGAGCCACUUGCAGCGCCACCUCGGGGAAACUUGAGGGUUGGUUUUAGUUGUACGUAGUGUUCAUCUGAGUGUGCCCUGAGAAAGAGAUAUGUGCAGCUUCUAUCGGGAUUUGUCGGCACAUUCGGGCGGUGUUGCUGGAUUUGUUUUAACCUGUCGAAGUGUCUUGAAUUACCGAGAUACCGAGUCUGAUCGGAGCAUCUUGGGAGGAGGUCUAUUCCUUCGUUGACCGUGAGAGCUUGUCAUGGGCUAAGUUGGGACUCCCCUACAGGGAUUGAUCUUUCGAAAGCCGUGCCCACGGUUAUGGGCAGAUGGGAAUUUGUUAAUGUCCGGUUGUAGAUAACUUGAACCUUAAUUAAAUUAAAAUGAAUCAACUAAGUGUGUUACCGUGAUGGCCUCUUCUCGGCGGAGUCCGGGAAGUGGACACGGUGUUGGAGUAAUGUUUGCGCAGGUUGUUCUCUAGUUUCUCGCUCGUGCUUGCCUUCUCUUCUUGCUCUCUUUUGCGAAUAAGUUAGCCACCAUACUUGCUAGUCGCUUGCUGCAGCCCCACUCAUAUUUUACCUUGCCUUACUAUAAGCUCAAAUAGUCUUGAUCGCGAGGGUGCGAGAUUGUUGAGUCCCUGUGGCUCACAGAUUACUAUUACACCAGAUGCAGGGCCUGAUGAUUCCGCUCCAGGAGACGCGUACGAGCUCAAGUGGGAGUUCGACGAAGACUCUCAAUGAUACUAUGUUUCUUUUCCCGAUGAUCAGUAGUGGUGCCCAGUUGGGGGUGAACGGGACCGUUGUCGCAUAUUGGGUUCUCUUUUAUUUUGGCGCCGUAGUCGGGCCAUGAGUGUUUGGAUGAUGUAAUGUUAUUUAAGUACUUGAUUGACGUGGCGAGUGUAAGCCAACUAUGUUAUCUCCCCUUUUAUUAUCAUAUUACAUGGGAUGUUGUGAAGAUUGCCUAACUUGCGACAUAUGCCUUCAAUGCGAUUAUGUCUCUAAGUCAUGCCUCGACACGUGGGAGCUAUAGUCGCAUCGAGGGUGUUACAAGCGCGGAGCCACCAGGGGCUAUAUAGUAGCCCCACUGUCAAACUCCUCUAGCUAAGUGAAAGUGUUAAAGCAUUAUAGUCCGAUUGCCUAGUUCGCUGCGCUAUCACAUCCUUAAUGGACCAAGACGUUGGAUCAACUUUGAACAUGCGUCUUCUGCGAGCACCCUCGCAUUAUAUGCGUGGGGGCUGAAGCCGACGACUGCCAUCUUUCAGGUUAUAUACAUAUAUACAUAAACGGCCGCACAGGAGGUAUUAUAAUUCUUUCAGGCACAACUAUAAAAUAGCCUUUACAAUUGAGUAAAACAUUGUUUUUCAAUGGGAAUACAUGUCAUUAGAACAUAAUAUUCUUCGAGCACUGCGCUUCUAUUGAACGAGCGCCCUCAAGAACUUCUCGAAAGUAGUGCUCGGCUGGUACUCGGCUCUCCUCCAAAUCUUGGGCUGCAAUGGCGGUAGCCUCCAUCUCCGCCCAGUAUGUCUUUGAAGGAAAUAUGCCCUAGAGGCAAUAAUAAAGUUAUUAUUUAUUUCCUUAUAUCAUGAUAAAUGUUUAUUAUUCAUGCUAGAAUUGUAUUAACCGGAAACAUGAUACAUGUGCGAAUACAUAGACAAACAGAGUGUCACUAGUAUGCCUCAACUUGACUAGCUCGUUGAUCAAAGAUGGUUAUGUUUCCUAUCCAUAGACAAAGAGUUGUCAUUUGAUUAAUGGGAUCACAUCAUUAGGAGAAUGAUGUGAUUGAAUUGACCCAUUUCGUUAGCAUAGCACUUGAUCGUUUCGUUUAUUGCUAUUGCUUUCUUCAUGACUUAUACAUGUUCCUAUGACUAUGGAUUAUGCAACUCCCGUUUACCAGAGGAACACUUUGUGUGUUACCAAACGUCACAACGUAACUGGGUGAUUAUAAAGGUGCUCUACGGGUGUCUCCGAAGGUACUUGUUGGGUUGGCGUAUUUCGAUAUUAGGAUUUGUCACUCCGAUUGUCGGAGAGGUAUCUCUGGGCUCACUCGGUAAUGCACAUCACUAUAAGCCUUGCAAGCAUUGCAACUAAUGAGUUAGUUGCAGGAUGAUGUGUUACAGAACGAGUAAAGAGACUUGCCGGUAACGAGAUUGAACUAGGUAUUGAGAUACCGACGAUCGAAUCUCGGGCAAGUAACAUACCGAUGACAAAGGGAACAACGUAUGUUGUUAUGCGGUUUGACCGAUAAAGAUCUUCGUAGAAUAUGUAGGAGCCAAUAUGAGCAUCCAGGUUCUGCUAUUGGUUAUUGACAGGAGAGUGUCUCGGUCAUGUCUACAUAGUUCUCGAACCCGUAGGGUCUGCACGCUUAAAGUUCAAUGAUAGUUAUAUUAUGAGUUUAUGUGUUUUGAUGUACCGAAGGAGUUCGGAGUCGACAUGACGAGGAGUCUCGAAAUGGUCGAGAUGUAAAGAUUGAUAUAUUGGAUGACUAUAUUCAGACAUCAGAAAGGUUCCGAGUGAUUCGGGUAUUUUCGGGAGUACCGGGGAGUUACAGGAAUUCGUAUUGGGCCUUAAUGGGCCAUACAGGAAAGGAGAGAAAGGCCUCAAAGGGUGGCCGCACCCCUCCCCAUGGGCUGGUCCGAAUUGGACUAGGGAGGGGGGAGCCCCCUUCCUUCCUUCUCCUUUUCCCUUCCCUUUCCUUCCCUCCAACUCCUACUACAUGGAAGGGCUCCUAGUUCUACUAGGAAAGGGGGAAUCCUACUCCCGGUGGGAGUAGGACUCCCCUAGGGCGCGCCAUGGAGAGGGCCGGCCCUCCCCCUCCUCCACUCCUUUAUAUACGGGGGCAGGGGGCACCCCAAAGACACAACAAUUGAUCUCUUGAUCUCUUAGCCGUGUGCGGUGCCCCCCUCCACCAUAAUCCACCUCGAUCAUAUCGUAGCGGUGCUUAGGCGAAGCCCUACAUCGGUAGAACAUCAUCAUCGUCACCACGCCGUCGUGCUGAUGAAACUCUCCCUCAACACUCGACUGGAUCGGAGUUUGACGGACGUCAUCGAGUUAAACUUGUGCAGAACUCGGAGGUGCCGUGCGUUCGGUACUUGAUCGGUCGGAUCGUGAAGACGUACGACUACAUCAACCGCGUUGUGCUAAAGCUUCCACUUUCAGUCUACGAGGGUACAUGGACAACACUCUCCCCUCUCGUUGCUAUGCAUCACCAUGAUCUUGCAUGUGCGUAGGAAAUUUUUUGAAAUUACUACGUUCCCCAACAGUGGCAUCCGAGCCAGGUUUUAUGCAUUGAUGUAAUAUGCACGAGUAGAACAUAAGUGAGUUGUGGGCGAUAUAACUCAUACUGCUUACCAGCAUGUCACACUUUGGUUCGGCAGUAUUGUUGGAUGAAGCGGCCCGGACCGACAUUACGCGUACGCUUACGCGAGACUGGUUCUACCGACAUGCUUUGCACACAGGUGGCUGGUGGGUGUCAGUUUCUCCAACUUUAGUUGAACCGAGUGUGGCUACGCCCGGCCCUUGUGAAGGUUAAAACAGCACCAACUUGACAAACUAUCGUUGUGGUUUUGAUGCGUAGGUAAGAACGGUUCUUGCUAAAGCCCGUAGCAGCCACGUAAAACUUGCAACAACAAAGUAGAGGACGUCUAACUUGUUUUUGCAGGGCAUGUUGUGAUGUGAUAUGGUCAAGACAAGAUGCUAAACUUUAUUGUAUGAGAUGAUCAUGUUUUGUAACCGAGUUAUCGGCAACUGGCAGGAGCCAUAUGGUUGUCGCUUUAUUGUAUGCAAUGUAAUUGCGCUGUAAUGCUUUAGUUUAUCAAUAAGCGGUAGCGAUAGUCGUGGAAGCAUAGGAUUGGCGAGACGACAACGAUGCUACGAUGGUGAUCAAGGUGUCGUGCCGGUGACGAUGGUGAUCAUGACGGUGCUUCGGAGAUGGAGAUCACAAGCACAAGAUGAUGAUGGCCAUAUCAUAUCACUUAUAUUGAUUGCAUGUGAUGUUUAUCUUUUAUGCAUCUUAUCUUGCUUUGAUUGACAGUAGCAUUAUAAGAUGAUCUCUCACUAAAUUUCAAGAUAAAAGUGUUCUCCCUGAGUAUGCACCGUUGCCAAAGUCCGUCGUGCCCAGACACCAUGUGAUGAUCGGGUGUGAUAAGCUCUAUGUCCAUCUAUAACAGGUGCAAGCCAGUUUUGCACACACAGAAUACUCAGGUUAAACUUGACGAGCCUAGCAUAUGCAGAUAUGGCCUCGGAACACUGAGACCGAAAGGUCGAGUGUGAAUCAUAUAGUAGAUAUGACCAACAUAUUGAUGUUCACCAUUGAAAGCUACUCCAUUUCACGUGCUGAUCGGUUAUGGUUUAGUUGAUUUGGAUCACGUGAUCACUUAGAAGAUUAGAGGGAUGUCUUUCUAAGUGGGAGUUCUUAAGCAAUAUGAUUAAUUGAACUUUAAUUUAUCAUGAACUUAGUCCUGCUAGUAUUAGCAUAUCUAUGUUGUAGAUCAAUAGCUCGCGAUGUUGCUCCCAUUUUAUUGUGUUCCUAGAGAAAAAUUAUGUUGAAAAGUGUUAGUAGCAAUGAUGCGGAUUGGACCCGUGAUCUGAGGAUUAUCCUCAUUGCUGCACAGAAGAAUUAUGUUUUUGAUGCACCGCUAGGUGACAGACCUACUGCAGGAGUAGAUGCAGACGUUAUGAACGUUUGGCUAGCUCAAUAUGAUGACUACUUGAUAGUUUAGUGCACCAUGCUUAACGGCUUAGAAUCGGGACUUCAAAGACGUUUUGAAUGUCAUGGACCAUAUGAGAUGUUCCAUGAGCUGAAGUUAAUAUUUCAACCAAAUACCCGAGUUGAGAGAUAUGAAGUCUCCAACAAGUUCUAUAGCUAAAAAGAUGGAGGAGAAUAGCUCAAGCAGUGAGCAUGUACUCAGAUUGUCUAGGUACUACAAUCGCUUGAAUCAAGUGGGAAUUAAUCUUCCAGAUAAGAUAGUGAUUGACAGAAUUCUCUACUCACCAUCACCAAGUUAGUAGAACUUCGUGAUGAACUAUGAUAUGCAAGGGAUAACAGAAACGAAUCCCAAGCUCUUCGUAAUGCUGAAAUCAACGAAGGAAGAAAUCAAGAAAAAUAUCAAGUAUUGAUGGUAGACAAGACCACUAGUUUCAAGAAAAGGGCAAAGGGAAGAAGGGGAACUUCAAGAAGAAUAGCAAGCAAGUUGUUGCUCAAGUGAAGAAGCCCAAGUCUGGUCCUAAGCCUGAGACUAAGUGCUUCUACUGCAAAGGGACUGGUCACUGGGAGCGGAACUGCCCCAAGUAUUUGGCGGAUAAGAAGGAUGGCAAAGUGAACAAAGGUAUAUUUGAUAUACAGAUUAUUGAUGUGUAUUUUACUAGUGUCCGUAGCAACCCCUCGGUAUUUGAUACUGGUUCAGUUGCUAAGAGUAGUAACUCGAAAUGGGAGUUGCAGAAUGAACAGAGACUAGUUAAGGGUGAAGUGACGAUGUGUGUUGGAAGUGGUUCCAAGAUUGAUAUGAUCAUCAUCGCACACUCCCUAUACUUUCGGGAUUAGUGUUUAACCUAAAUAAGUGUUAUUUGGUGUUUGCGUUGAGCAUGAAUAUGAUUUGAUCAUGUUUAUUGCAAUACGGUUAUUCAUUUAAGUAAGAGAAUAAAUUGUUGUUCUGUUUACAUGAAUAAAACCUUAUAUGGUUACACACCCAAUUAAAAUGGUUCAUUGGAUCUCGAUCGUAGUGAUACACAUAUUCAUAAUAUUGAAACCAAAAGAUGCAAAAUUAAUAAUGAUAGUGCAACUUAUUUGUGGCACUGCCGUUUAGGUCAUAUUGGUGUAAAGCGCAUGAAGAAACUCCAUGCUGAUGGACUUUUGGAAUCACUUGAUUAUGAAUCACUUGAUGCUUGCGGACCAUGCCUCAUGGGCAAGAUGACUAAGACUUUGUUCUCCAGAACAAUGGAGCGAGCAACUGACUUAUUGGAAAUAAUACAUACUGAUGUAUGCAGUCCGAUGAGUGUUAAGGCUCAUGGCAAGUAUCAUUAUUUUCUGACCUUCACAGAUGAUUUGAGCAGAUAUGGGUAUAUCUACUUAAUGAAACACAAGUCUGAAACAUUUGAAAAGUUCAAAGAAUUUCAGAGUGAAGUGGAGAAUCAUCGUAACAAGAAAAUAAAAGUUUCUACGAUCUGAUCGCAGAGACGAAUAUUUGAGUUACGAGUUUGGCCUUUAAUUAAAACAAUAUGGAAUAGUUUCACAAACUCAUGCCACCUGGAACACCACAGCGUAAUGGUGUGUCCGAAUGUCAUAACCGUACUUUAUUUGAUAUAGUGCAAUCUAUGAUGUCUCUUACCGAUUUACCACUAUCGUUUUGGGGUUAUGCAUUAGAGACAGCUGCAUUCACAUUAAAAAGGGCACCAUAUAAAUCCGUUGAGACGACACCGUAUGAACUGUGGUUUAGCAAGAAACCUAAGCUGUCGUUUCUUAAAAUUUGGGGUUGCAAUGCUUAUGUGAAAAAGUUUCAUCUUGAUAAGCUCAAAACCAAGUCGGAGAAGUACAUCUUCAUAGGAUACCCAAAAGAAAAUGUUAGGUACACCUUCUAUCACAGAUCCGAAGGCAAGAUAUUCGUUGCUGAGAAUGGAUCCUUUCUAGAGAAGGAGUUUCUCUCGAAAGAAGUGAGUGGGAGGAAAGUAGAACUUGAUGAGGUAAUUGUACCUGCUCCCUUAUUGGAAAGUAGUUCAUCACAGAAAUAUGUUCCUGUGACUACUACACCAAUUAGUGAGGAAGCUAAUGAUGAUGAUCAUGUAACUUCAGAUCAAGUUGCUACCGAACCUCGUAGGUAAACCAGAGUGAGAUCUGCACCAGAGUGGUACGGUAAUCCUGUUCUGGAGGUCAUGUUACUUGACCAUGACGAGCCUACGAACUAUGAGGAAGCAAUGAUGAGCCCCCAUUUCGCAAAAUGGCUUGAGGCCAUGAAAUCUGAGAUGAGAUCCAUGUAUGAGAACAAAGUAUGGACUUUGAUUGACUUGCCCGUUGAUUGGCGAGCCAUUGAGAUUAAAUGGAUCUUCAAGAGGAAGACAGACGCUGAUAGUAGUGUUACUAUCUACAAAGCUAGAAUUGUCGCAAAAAGGUUUUCGACAAGUUCAAGGUGUUGACUACGAUGAGAGUUUCUCACUUGUAUCUAUGCUUAAGUCUGUCCGAAUCAUGUUAGCAAUUGCCGCAUUUUAUGAAAUCUGGCAAAUGGAUAAAUAAAACUGCAUUCCUUAAUGGAUUUAUUAAAGAAGAGUUGUAUAUGAUGCAACCAGAAGGUUUUGUCAAUCCUAAAGGUACUAACAAAACAUGCAAGCUCCAGUGAUCCAUCUAUGGACUGGUGCAACCAUCUCGGAGUUGGAAUAUACGAUUUGAUAAGUUGAUCAAAGCAUAUAGUUUUAUACAGACAUGCGGCGAAGCCUGUAUUUACAAGAAAAUGAGUGGGAGCACUACAACAUUUCUGAUAAGUAUAUGUGAAUGACAUAUUGUUGAUCGGAGAUAAUGUAGAAUUAUUCUGCAAAGCAUAAAGGAAUGUUUGGAAGGAGUUUUUCAAAGAAAGACCUCGGUGAAGCUGCAUACAUAUUGAGCAUCAAGAUCUAUAGAGAUAGAUCAAGACGCUUGAUAAGUUUUUCAAUGAGUACAUACCUUGACAAGAUUUUGAAGUAGUUCAAAAUGGAACAGUCAAAGAAAGAGUUCUUGCCUGUGUUACAAGGUGUGAAGUUGAGUAAGACUCAAAACCCGACCACGGCAGAAGAUAGAGAGAGAAUGAAAGUCAUUCCCUAUGCCUUGGCCAUAGGUUCUAUAAAAUAUGACAUGCUGUGUACCAGAUCUAUUGUAUACCAUACACUGUUUUAUGGCAAGGGAGUACAAUAGUGAUCUAGGAGUAGAUCACUGGACAGCGAUCAAAUUAUCCUUAGUGGAAUAAGGAUAUGUUUCUCGAUUAUGGAGGUGACAAAAAGGUUCGUCAUAAAGGGUUACGUCAAUGCAAAUUUUGACACUGGUCCAGAUGACUCUAAAUCUCAAUCUGGAUACAUAUUGAAAGUGGGAGCAAUUAGCUAGAAUAGCUCCGUGUAGAGCAUUGUUGACGUAGAAAUUUGCAAAAUACUUACAGAUCUGAAUGUGGCAGACCCGUUGACUAAACUUCUCUCACAAGAAAAACAUGAUCACACCUUAGUACUCUUUGGGUGUUAAUCACAUAGCGAUGUGAACUAGAUUAUUGACUCAAGUAAAACCAUUUGGGUGUUGGUCACAUGACGAUGUGAACUAUGGGUGUUAAUCACAUGAUGAUGUGAACUAUUGGUGUUAAAUCACAUGGCGAUGUGAACUAGAUUAUUGACUCUAGUGCAAGUGGGAGACUGAAGGAAAUAUGCCCUAGAGGCAAUAAUAAAGUUAUUAUUUAUUUCCUUAUAUCAUGAUAAAUGUUUAUUAUUCAUGCUAGAAUUGUAUUAACCGGAAACAUGAUACAUGUGUGAAUACAUAGACAAACAGAGUGUCACUAGUAUGCCUCUACUUGACUAGCUCGUUGAUCAAAGAUGGUUAUGUUUCCUAGCCAUAGACAAAGAGUUGUCAUUUGAUUAACGGGAUCACAUCAUUAGGAGAAUGAUGUGAUUGACUUGACCCAUUCCGGUAGCAUAGCACUUGAUCGUUUAGUUCAUUGCUAUUGCUUUCUUCAUGACUUAUACAUGUUCCUAUGACUAUGAGAUUAUGCAACUCCUGUUUACCGGAGGAACACUUUGUGUGCUACCAAACGUCACAACAUAACUGGGUGAUUAUAAAGGUGCUCUACAGGUGUCUCCGAAGGUACUUGUUGGGUUGGCAUAUUUCGAGAUUAGGAUUUGUCACUCCGAUUGUCGGAGAGGUAUCUCUGGGCCCAUUCGGUAAUGCACAUCACUAUAAGCCUUGCAAGCAUUGCAACUAAUGAGUUAGUUGCAGGAUGAUGUGUUACGGAAUGAGUAAAGAGACUUGCCGGUAACGAGAUUGAACUAGGUAUUGAGAUACCGAUGAUCGAAUCUCGAGCAAGUAACAUACCGAUGACAAAGGGAACAACGUAUGUUGUUAUGCGGUUUGACCGAUAAAGAUCUUCGUAGAAUAUGUAGGAGCCAAUAUGAGCAUCCAGGUUCCGCUAUUGGUUAUUGACAGGAGAGUGUCUCAGUCCUGUCUACAUAGUUCUCGAACUCGUAGGGACCGCAUGCUUAAAGUUCGAUGACGGUUAUAUUGUGAGUUUAUGUGUUUUGAUGUACCAAAGGAGUAUGGAGUCCCGGAUGAGAUCGGGGACAUGACGAGGAGUCUCGAAAUGGUCGAGACGUAAAGAUCGAUAUAUUGGACGACUAUAUUCGGACAUCGGAAAGGUUCCGAGUGAUUCGGGUAUUUUCGGGAGUACCAGGGAGUUACGGGAAUUUGUAUUGGGCCUUAAUGGGCCAUACGGGAAAGGAGAAAAAGGCCUCAAAGGGUGGCCGCACCCCUCCCCAUGGGCUGGUCCGAAUUGGACUAGGGAGGGGGGGCGCCCCCUUCCUUCCUUCUCCUUUUCCCUUCCCUUUCCUUCCCUCCAACUCCUACUACAUGGAAGGGCUCCUAGUUCUACUAGGAAGGGGGGAAUCCUACUCCCGGUGGGAGUAGGACUCCCCUAGGGCGCGCCAUAGAGAGGGUCGGCCCUCCCCCUCCUCCACUUCUUUAUAUACGGGGGCAGGGGGCACCUCAAAGACACAACAAUUGAUCUCUUGAUCUCUUAGCCGUGUGCGGUGCCCCCCUCCACCAUAAUCCACCUCGAUCAUAUCGUAGCGGUGCUUAGAUGAAGCCCUACGUCGGUAGAACAUCAUCAUCGUCACCACGCCGUCGUGCUGACGAAACUCUCCCUCAACACUCGGCUGAAUCGGAGUUCGAGGGACGUCAUCGAGUUGAACGUGUGCAGAACUCGGAGGUGCCGUGUGUUUGGUACUUGAUCGGUCGGAUCAUGAAGACGUACGACUACAUCAACCGUGUUGUGCUAACGCUUCCACUUUCGGUCUACGAGUGUACGUGGACAACACCCUCCCCUCUCGUUGCUAUGCAUCACCAUGAUCUUGCGUGUGCGUAGGAAAUUUUUGAAAUUACUACAUUCCCCAACAGUCUUCACACGGGCAAGGGUCAUCCGCGCACCCUCUACACAUGCCGACCUCUUCAUCGCGUUGAUGUGCGGCACUGCACCAAGAAACUGCUGCACCAUACUAAAAUAAAUGUUUGGCUUUGGCCUUUCCGGCCACAGAUGAUCCACAACAGACCUCAUGGCGAGUCCGGACAACCUAUUCAGCUUGUCCCAUUCGGCCAACCGAUCAGUCAAUGAAAGCGGACGCUCUGGAACGUUAAAUUGUGACCAGAACAGCUUUUCCACUUCGCGAUCUUUUUGAUCUCGGAAGUAUUCGGCCGCAUCGGCAGCACUCGCCGCCAAGUCCAGAUAUGCGUCGGCAGAACUCCAUAGCCGGUCCAAAGGGGCGUACCUAGGAUCUCCGAACUUCAUCCGCAGCAUAAAGGGCUUCCCAGCCAUGAUAUCCCCGGCUUGACGCAGCUCCUCCUUCAUCGCUCUCAUUGCAGAGUGGGUGUCUUUGGUCGCCAUCGUGGCCUUCUCCAGUCCUAUCCUAUUCGCUCGAUAUUCCUUUUCAAGAAGCUCGUAAUGGUCAGUGUCAUUCUUCAAUUCCACAGCCAUCCUGCCUAUCUCCUCCUUGCUUUGGCAGUGAGCACCCUGUUCGGCUUUCAGCUCCUUAAUUGCCUUUAGGGAAGCUGCAUCGCUUUUCCUGGCUUGUUCUUUGGCUCGGGCAAGUUCCGCCCGAAGGUUCUCCACGGCCGCAGAUCCAUCUGCAUUCACACACAUGUUAUAGAUACUGGCAUCAUGCUCCUCUUCCAUGUGUCACCGGAGGAAUCACAAACCGUGUGGCUCGUCAAGCCCCUUGUUGACAAGUACGAUGUCGGCAUCUGCCACAUCAAGCUGCCGCUUUAGCUUGGCAAACUCAUCAGUCCGGCUGGCCACCGGACCCUCCGCCACCUGCAUAUUAAGGCCGCACGAUUAUUCCUGGGACUAUGAUCCUCUGUGCGUCAUCGUCUUCGACAGCACCCAGAGUCUCAGGGGCUACUAUCUACACAGGGCACAUCUAAAAAUGUGCGGUACUGUCAAAAAUGUACAUCAUUUCGCGUACCUCAAAACCCGUCAGUAGACUCAUAAAGGCUUCAUGCAACCUGCUUUCGGCGGACGAAAUCCUUUCAAUCACUGUACCCAUCAACGUGCGGUGCUCUUCUGAGAUAGCCACUCGCUCUAGCAGAUCCCUCAGUACAUCCGACCGCACACCAGACUGUGCCGGACUCUUUCGAUUGUUCUCUUCAAGAGCCAGAUAUUGAGGACUUCGGGUGGCCAUAGGAUUGCCUUCUGGCCUUGCCGGAUAAGGAGAAACCCUCCGCGAUGACACCUCAAAGUCGCUCGCCUCACGAGGCGGUAUUGCAGGGGGAGGCGUUUCGCUCUCCAUCAUCUCUGGAAGAAGAUCCCAUGAAGACGAGCUCUGCUGAGAAGGGCUAAGAUCCGAACUGCAAGAUAAAUGCUUCAGUUAUUUUCCUCAGAAGUAAAGCGAGGUAUUUUCAUUAUUAAGUACCCUUUUACUUACAGCUCGGUGGAGGGCUGAUCCCCUUGAGGGCAUAGUGUGGCCGGGGUAGCCUCCGGGGCAGGACCCUCCGGCGAAGAUUUCUUCCCCCAUUUGGAGACCAUUGUCUCCGGGUCCUCGGAGGCGGUCCUCUUCCUUCCCUGGGGAGAGGAAGUUUCAGUCCCUCCUCCCCGGCUAACCUCCUUCUCGGAGGCGCUAGCCACCUUGUUCCCCCCUUUAUCUUCUCCUAAGGGCGCUUGAUAAGGCGCGAUCUCUAGCAUCCUGGUUAGCACGAGAUUGGGUGAGGUCUUAGGGAGGCGGGCCGGACACCUGAUCAACUUUGCCUUUGCUAUCCAAUCCUGGUCAAAGAGCGGCUUUUUUAGGGCGACAUUGCGAUAAAUAAACAGACAUUGUGUUCGGAUGCGGGGCUACUUACUUGGGUAUCCGAACGAUUGCAACUCAGACCUGCAUCCUCAGUGAUGUCGGGACACAUUAUUUGUGGUCCGAAGAACAAUUUGUACAUCUCCUCGGGCGUCAUGCCGAGGAAGUGUUGGAUAGCUCGCGGUCCCUCCAGGUUGAACUCCCACAUGCGGAGGGGACGGCGUUUACAAGGCUGGACUCGGCGAACUAGCAUAACUUGCACUACCAUAACCAGACUGAAAUCUCUCUCAAAGAGAUAUCGUAUACGGCUUUGCAGUAUUGGCACGUCCUUGGCUGGACCCGAGCUCAACCCCCUGCUGAUCCAUGGCAUCAGUUGUGGUGGGGGGCCUGAGCGAAAGGUGGGGGCAGCUACCCACUUGGCACUUCAGGGAGCUGUGAUGUAGAACCACUCCCGCUGCCACAAUCCGGACACCUCUAGGAAGCUACCCUCAGGCCAUGGAGCGUCAGCGAUUUUGCUUAUUGAAGCGCCUCAGCAUGCUGCGUGCCGCCCCUCGAUCAUCUUCGGCUUCACAUCGAAGGUCUUGAGCCACAGGCCGAAGUGAGGGGUAAUGCGGAGGAAGGCCUCACAUACGACAAUAAAUGACGAAAUGUGAAGAAGGGAAUCCGGGGCCAGAUCGUGAAAAUCUAGCCCAUAAUAGAACAUAAGACCCCUAACAAAGGGAUCCAGAGCGAGGCCUAGUCCUCGGAGGAAGUGGGAGACUAACACGACGCUCUCGUUCGGUUCGGGAGUAGGGACGACUUGCCCUCGGGCAGGCAGCCGAUGCGAAAUUUCGGCGGUCAGAUUCUGGCCUCUCUCAACUUCUUGAUGUCCUCCUCCGUGACGGAGGAAUGCAUCCACCGACCUUGAAGGUUGGAUCCGGACAUAGUUGAAGGUUCGAAGUGCCUAAACCUGAGCUUUGGGUGCUGGAACUCGAGGCGAGAGGCGGAUUCGAUCAAGAUCGAGAGGAAAAAGCCUUGUCCCCUUUAUAAAGAGGGCGAAUAUCAAGCGUCCUCCUUGUGGUCGUUUGGGACUUGCCUAAGAUCUAGGAGUCCUACCCAUAGGCACGGUUGGGUUACCCACAUCGUAUUGAUGAGAAUCCUGUGAUAAAGGGGACACGAUCUCUGCUUCGACAAGAUGUGCCAAGGAAACCGCCUCGCGAAACACGCUGAGAUGGGUUAUGAAAAAUGAUUCAAAUAAAGACCUGGCUUUGGUGUGAUGUCGCACUACGGGGUACGUCAGCAGAUUAGAUUUGUGGAAAUAUUAUUCUCUCUACGGUGGUAUGUGGAACUCGUUUUGCAGAGCUGGACAUGAUCCUCGUGUUCAAAAAUCUUCUAUGAAGUAUUUGGAGGAGGAACCCGCCUUGCAAUGCCGAAGACAAUCUAUGCACCGGACUCAUCGUCAUUGAAGCGUGGUUCAAGGGCUACUGAGGGAGUCCUGGAUUAGGGCGUAUCCGGACAGCCGGACUGUUGGACUAUGAAGAUACAAGAUUGAAGACUUCGUCCCGUAUCCGGAUGGGACUCUCCUUGGCGUGGAAGGCAAGCUUGGCAAUACGGAUAUGUAGAUCUCCUUCCUUGUAACCGACUCUGUGUAACCCUAGCCCCCUACGGUGUCUAUAUAAACCGGAGGGUUUAGUCCAUAGGACAACAGACAAUCAUACCAUAGGCUAGCUUCUAGGGUUUAGCCUCUCUGAUCUCGUGGUAGAUCAACUCUUGUACUACUCAUAUUAUCAAGAACAAUCAAGAAGGAUGCAGGGUAUUACCUCCAUCAAGAGGGCCCGAACCUGGGUAAACAUCGUGUCCCCUGCCUCCUGUUACCAUCCGUCUAGACGCACAGUUCGGGACCCCCUACCCGAGAUCCGCCGGUUUUGACACCGACACCCACUGUAUACAAGCUCCGUGUAAUACGUGAGUAUCCGGACAGUGGUUGUUACGUCUAUGAGCAGGAUACCAGCUUGUUGGGGCCUUUAGGAUUUUUUAGUUGGAGGCGGGUAAACAGCCUUGGUUCACACUCUCUAUUUCUCGGACUCAAUUAUUCGAUUAACCAGGAGAUCACCGUUGGCAAGGACCUUGAUGGCAGAGAGGCUCUGUUUGCUAUGGAAAAUUGUGUCUACACGGCGAGCCCUAGGAGUUCGGGAGCAAACUCGCCUGAUUGUCAAUGAUACAGCCUGCAGCCAAAAGAAGGUGAGAAUGACAAAGGCAUCCGGAUUAGCUUUGAUCCUUGGAUGUCUCAAUUACGACAGGUAGUGAUGUGGUUCAAGCCUUCAGGUUGAUAGGUAAUUGGGAUGUUGCAUCGAAAGGGUGGAGUACUAGUGUCUCCGGAUCAUGGGUCGCUGAAGCGGGGCUGCAAAUUAUGAUGGUGUUGGAUCAUCUCUUCGAAUGACUUUGUUGUCUUUGCUGCUGGAUCUGGAUGGGUAGUUCUUUCUUUUGUUAUGCAUAUUCCUUGUCAUUUGUUCAUCCUCGUCUAUGUCACUCUUACUAUGUAAUAGUUGCUUCUAUUUAGAAUGUCAUUCUCGUCUGGAUCACGAGAGUCCGAGUGCUGCAGAUGGGUGCGUUUUGGUGGUGUAGCAAGACUUCUUAUGAACUAUCAUGUCUUGCUGUUUAUGUCAGUAGUAGUCACUAGUCAGUGUUUGAAUGUUGUAUAUAUCGUUGUUUCGAACUAUUUAUUGUCUCGAACUACUGGUGGGCUAAAUGAGGGCAUCACCAUUCUCCAGUGUUCAGAGUAUAUCUCCUUUUUUCAAGUUAUAUAAUUUGAGCUCAGUGUCUUUUCUAUGAUGUACACUUGUUUGGGCCAGUGAGGUGUUGUUGAAUAUGGGCCAAGUAGUAACGCAAUGCCAAAUAGGUCAAUUAUGACUCUCAGGCCGGGCUCUCAAAAGAUCCUGAAAAAAAGGCCGGGCUCUCCAAAAAAUAAAGAAUAAGGACUCUUAGGCCGACAUGUGGGCGCCACCGGUGUUUUUGUGUGCUUGCGCGCCGAGAGCAUAUUGGCGCGUGCUCGAAAUUCAUGCUACCUUUUCAUCCCCAGUCUCCCGCCCCUCCCCCACCUCUGGAAUCUCGAUUCCUACUCCAGUUCCCCCAAAUCCCCCUCCUGUACUCCCUGUACUCAAGUGCACUAUCAUGUCGCCGGUCAACGCGGAUCUCCGAGCCGGAGAUCCUGAGGUCCGUCCUGCCUUCGGUCACUGCAUGCUGUCGCUCAAUAGUGGCAUGGCGGUGCUUGACGACCAGUUUGCCGGCAAAGUGUUGAUGGUAACCAUCAACGGCGACCGGCCUCCCGUCUCGCCGGACGACCUUGUCAAAGCUCUUGGCAUUGCGCACGGCAUCCAUAUAAGUGACUUGCUUGUUGAAGUCUGUUCGCCACCGGCAGAUUUCUUCGUCUGGUCCCAGACAGCUUUCGACUGCAGUCGUGUGUUCAAAUCUUCCUGGCGUUUGUUCUGCGAUGGCGCGCUGGCAAGCUUUGAUCGGUGGCACCCAGGAUGGGGCUCGGUGCCCUCUGAGCUUGAGUUUUUAACAAAGCUUACCUCCCACGACAUGCCUCGACGUGCUUGGAAUAGCGAUCCAUGAACGAGCUUAUCAACGACCUUGGAGGUGAGCUCGUAAGUAUGUUUAUUCCUCCAGACAGCUGGGCUCUGACGGUUAUGGCAUGGAUGAAGAAGCCGUCCACCAUACCCAAGGUGAUUGGUGUUGAGAUACCGGUCCAGGAACUGGGGUUGUACUAUUCGUCGCCACUAAGGCCGCUGCGGACCACGUUAGGGAUGUACCUGUAUCGAGUGUUUGUGCAUGUCGAAGAAGUGGUCAAUCCAUCAAUCGAAGUCCUGCCACCGUCGCUGGUGCCAGGGUCCGUCGACGACGUCCAUUACAGGAGUCAACGUUAGACUUUCCCCGUGUUGCUCUGAAUGAUGGAUGGCAUAGGGCCUACUCCAUCGCAUGGCGGAGGCCACUGCUUCUUUGGGAGAAGAGGCAGGGUUGGCUGCCUGGAUGUGCUCUAAUUUGAAGUAACAACUGAAUCUUGUAAGAUACUAGUUAAAUCUGAGCAAUGGGUGUGAAGCACUAAUAUGCCAGUACAUUUGAUUGUGACAUGUUCUAAUUUUGUACCUGAACUUUUUUUAGAAAGGGUUGUACGUCAACUUAAUUUGCUAGCAGAACUAAUUGUGUUGUCUGUCUGUUUUCUUUGCGCAACGUUCAAGAUAUUUCCCCGUCAUUGAUAAAGACGAUGAACCGUUAUGUACGACUUCGUUGGUUUCAACAUAGCCCUUCCCAUAGCGAUCCACUGCUUCCAUCCUGAUUGUGUCGCCUGCGUGAAAUUUUUGUAUGCAAGUUUAGUGUGCUAUGAUGUUCUAUAUGAUUGUGUCAACUAUAUAAGUUUUUACUGAGCAUCAGCAAUGCAUAUGGCUGAAAGAUGUAUUUACGAGCAUCGACCGAUGGGUCUCUCUCUCUCUCUCUCUCUCUCUCACACACACACACACACACACGCACACACGCACAAGUGGAACCUGUUGAAUUAUUUAUUUGCUCGUGACAGCUUUUAAUUAGGUUCCACUGUAAUCUAAUUUUUUUUCUUAAGUUAUUAAUUGAGCUCAGUGACUUCAAAAAGUUGUACAGAAGCCUUGUUUGGGCCUUUCCGGCGUCGCUGAAUGUGGGUUGAGUAACCAUGUUUGGUUGUACUGUACUACACAGGCCUUUUUUCCAACAUCAACAAUGCAACUGGGCCGACAGUUGUACACAAUAUCCGGGUCAACUUGUUAUUCUCCGCCCCGCUGGGCUGCAAACUUUCCUAGGAGGUAUGCAUUAGGCUUAACAAGAAAAUGGACUUUAAGAAAUAAUAAAUGGGAUAUAAUUAUAAUAACUGGACAGUUACUGUGCACCAAACACGUAAUUAGUUUGAAAAUAUAUUAUUUUUGGAAUUUGAAAAUUUUAAUUUCAUUACUUGUUGCGCGCGCAAUAUUUCGUUGGAUUUUAACAUAAUACAACUUUAUUUUGAAAUUAUAUUUAACCUGACUAGAAAUUUCGGAUAAAAAUAUUUUGGAUCCCAUCAAAAUGUGGGAUUUUUUAAUUCUAUUUUGAGCGGUUGUUUGAAAUUAUUAAUCGUUGUCCUAGCUAGAAGUUGGGUUGUACUUUUAACAAACUGUAAAUGGGCUGUAUAUUCUUACAAAUCGCAAAUGGGCUAUAUGUUCUCUGCCAAAUCCGAGCUAUGGGCCUACUAAGUUGACGUGUACCAAGGGCAUUGUCAACUUAGUCAAUAUAAAUGAUUCUAGAUCCAGUGAUCGUACGAUAUCCAUACAAUGGCCGUAGUGCUUCUUCAACCUCUGGUCUUCUUGCUCCAGCCGCCCAAAGCAGCGCCGGUUGUGUCGCAUGCUCCUGCCUCCCAUGGCCGACUGUGAUGCUGCGGAGGCCUCACCACCCGUACUACUCCCACCGCUGGCCAGGCCAUCCCUCUACUCACCGGCGACGGCAGCCUCACACCGCAGCCGAACCAGUGAACCCUCAUACUCCUUUCCGCGUGGGCUUCCACUGCUGCGUCUUCCCCAGCUCCGCGUCGUCCCCUUCCUAGGCCUCGCCGUCGUCCAGACCACCGCCCUGGUGCUCUCGGUGCGGCGUGGUCAUCAUGGUCAACGACCGACUUCCAUCGGAAGAGUACUGUACGUGGAGAGGCUGAUAGCUGGGUCCAGGCGGCCGCAAGGAAGUGCCUCCUUAUUGCGCGCAAAAUAAUUAUUCCUCUACCUGACAACAGGGACCCACCGGACGGGCCACCUUAUUUCACAAAAAAAAUGUUUCCCCCCUGAUUGCUGGGACCCACCGGACGGGCCAGCGUAUUUCGUGAAAAAAACGUUCCCCCCGCUGUCAGCUCGGACCCACCGGAACUGCCUCCUUAUUACGCACAAAAAAAUGAAUACUCCCCCUGCUAGCUGGGACCCACCAUGGUGGGAGGCUGACUUGUGGGCCUACUAAGUUGACUGGGACGGGGGCCUUUGUCAACUUUAGUCAAUAGGAAUGAGUCCAGCUCCAGUGACCGUACGAUGUCCAUCCAACGGCCGUAGUGCUUCUUCAACCUCUGGUCUUCUUGCUCCAGCCGCCCAACGCAGCGCUGGUCAUGCCGCAUGAUCCUGCCUCCCGUGGCCGGCUGUGCUGCCGUGGAGGCCUCACCGCCCCCUACUAUUCCCACCGGUGGCCAGGCCCUGCGGUGAUGGCAGCCUCACACCACAGCCGAACCUGUGAACCCUCGUACUCCUCUCCGCGCGGGCUUCCACUGCCGCGUCUUCGCCGGCUCCCUGUCGUCCCCUUCCUAGGCCUCGCUGUCGUCCACUACCCUGGUGCUCUCGGCGCGGCGUGGUCAACGUGGUCAAGGAACGACUUCCAUCGGAUGUGGACUGUACGUGGAGAGGCUGACAGCUGGGUCCACGGCCACAGCAAGGAAGUGCCUCCUUAUUAUGCGGAAAAUAAUUAUUCCUCCACCAGACAGCUGGGACCCACCGGGCGGGCCACUGUAUUUCACGAAAAAAAUGUUUCCCCCUGACUGCUGGGACCCACCAGCUACAUCUUCGCACGCAAGGAAGUGUGUUCGGGCAAAACAAAACGAUUCGCCCCCCUGACUGCUGGGACCCACCAGCUACAUCUUCGCAGGCAAGGAAGUGCCUGACAUUUGGGACCCACCUGGUCGAAGCGUACAUAGCGUUGUCAUUCUGGUCGCGAACGUGUACGUACAUAUAUACUGGUGAAUGUAGAUGCACGCACAUGUCAUAGUAGAGGCGCGUAUGUGCUGUAGUAGAGGCGCGCACGUAGCAUGUACACGUACGUACAGCGGCCAGGGUGCAAGAAAGAAAAUAUGGCCAUGUAUGUGUACAUACGGGCGGGGUCUCGAACGCCUACUCGCGCAUAUGUACGGCCAGGGCUCGUGUACGUGGGUGGGUUGGAACGGAGAAACAGCGUCGUCGUCGUGUUCAUGGGAAGGCAACGGAAUGCGUCGUGUUCAUGGGAGGCAACAGAAUGCGUCGUGUUCAUCAGGAGGCAAUGGAACGAGUGGGAGCCAACCGGCUGGGUCGGAACGGAAUGUGUGGUCGUGUUCAUCGGGAGGGCUUGGACGGAACAGGCGAUGGAAACGAGGCUUGGCAUACCGCACAACAGAGGAAACAGACCUCCUACGUUCGGAACGGGGUCCUGUUGAUCGGGAGGGAUCUGGCGUACCGCAAAACGGAGGAAACGGACCUCCUACGGUCGAAACGGGGGUCUCGUUGAUCGGGAGGGGUGUGGCGUACCGCAAAACGGACGAAACGGACCUCCUACGGUCGAAAUGGGGGUCCUGUUGAUCGGGAGGGGUGUGGCGUACCGCAAAACGGACGAAACGGACUUGUGUUGGAGCGCUACGGUCAAAACGGGGGUCCUAUUCAUCGGGAGGGGGUGUGGCGUACCGCAAAACAGGACUCCACGGGAUACUGUUCAUCUCCCCCGUCAACCUCCUCCAGCCUCCACNNNNNNNNNNNNNNNNNNNNNNNNNNNNNNNNNNNNNNNNNNNNNNNNNNNNNNNNNNNNNNNNNNNNNNNNNNNNNNNNNNNNNNNNNNNNNNNNNNNNNNNNNNNNNNNNNNNNNNNNNNNNNNNNNNNNNNNNNNNNNNNNNNNNNNNNNNNNNNNNNNNNNNNNNNNNNNNNNNNNNNNNNNNNNNNNNNNNNNNNNNNNNNNNNNNNNNNNNNNNNNNNNNNNNNNNNNNNNNNNNNNNNNNNNNNNNNNNNNNNNNNNNNNNNNNNNNNNNNNNNNNNNNNNNNNNNNNNNNNNNNNNNNNNNNNNNNNNNNNNNNNNNNNNNNNNNNNNNNNNNNNNNNNNNNNNNNNNNNNNNNNNNNNNGCAACGCUCACUGUUCAUCCAAUCAAUCAGCUUCAGUUAGCAGUAGUAGCGAAGGAAUCACUCGAUCGGGUUCAGUUAACAGCCAUCGAUUGAUCGCUCGGGUUCAGUAACGCGUAGCCUGCAGUGCAAUCGCUCGGGUUCAGUUAGAGCCCAACGCCUCGCUCGGGUUCAGUUAGAGCCAACGCCUCGCACACACGCGCGUACGUGUACGAGAGAAACGUGCAUCGCUCGGCCCCCAACCUCCCACCGUAACCGGGAACUCCCCGAAAUUUUCCUCCCCCUCGCUUCUACCACGGUUUUUUCCGUCAUGGACGGCCCAAAGAAUUUCAUGCAGUUGCGUCUCCGGCCCGCCCAGGAAGAAAAACCCAUUUUCGGUCAUGAUUUUUUGUCAUAGAAGUAGGAGCCCAUCACAUCUAUGAUGAUACCGGGUUUUGUCACAAUUAUCGUCAUAGAAGUGUCAUAUGUAUGACAGAAAAAAAAUUCGUUCGGCCCAAAAUGUCACGGAUUUGUCUUUUUUUGUUGCGCCUCUACGUACUUCUAGGACUCCCACGAGGCCACCUAAAUCUCUAUGAAACUAAGUUGCUAGUGGUACCUGGAAUAUUGCCCCUGUACGACAUCGUUAUUUCCUUCUAGUUGCCGCACACUGAAACUAUACUAUGCAAUGAUGCAUGUUUUUAUCUUUUGUGUUAGCAAGUAGAGAAUAAUCAGAUUGUGGCUAUGAAAAAGGGGUAGCAUUAGGAUGGAAUCUCCGAAUUGGAUCAGGGACAUCCACUUCAUAACAUACUGACUGUGCAUCUAUAUAUUUGUUGUAAAUCCAGUUCUCUGCCAUAUAGUAUAAGUACGAACUGCCCCUGCCUGGCCUCUGUCAAGGGUUCAUCCCCGUUGCUACUUUGAGUCAUUUGCCACAACGAGAGCUUAGUAUGAUGGCGCAUCGCGUUAUCACCCGGUCGCCAUCUCACAUGUGCUUGUAAUUGUAUACAUGUGGUGCCUGGUGCCUGGCAUUCGUCCUAUUAUGUUAGUCACAGUUUUGUCUGUUCAUGAAAAAUUAAUGUAAUGUGGUGCACCUAUGAUUGUUACUCUGUAGUACUUUUAGCUUGGACCACAUGAAACUACCAGUAUUGGUAGUGUCUGUCUUAUUACAAUAGCAGUCGACACUUGCUGAUGUGAGAUCCCUUAGUAGUGGAGCUAUGAUUUUAACCCUAUGGCUGUAAGUGGUGACUAAUCAGGAGGAGUACCUGUCCUGGUCCUACUUCAUUGUAGGACUUCAUGUGAUUAUUAGUUAUUUUUAACCAAUGCUAGUCCUAGCAUGUGUAGUCUAUGUGGUGAUGUUCUUUAGAUUGCAACAAGCAAGAACAUGAUGAGAACAUAUUAGUAUGAAAUUUGAUCUUAGCUUAUUGAUCCUAGCUAUAAAUCCAUAUAUUUUGCAAUAAGUUUUUUGUUUGAUUUGCUCAUAUUAUUUGCAAUCUACAGUAGUACUGGUACUUUGAUUUCACCGCAAUCUACAGUAGUAGUUUUUUUCUUAUAAAGCUUCUUUGCCAUGUAUUUGAUUGCUCUUCUGGAUUCGUGGGACUGAAUCUAGGGUGCAUGCUAGAAGCUAGGGCCGCAGGAGGUUCAGUUACAUGCUCUUUAGUUUUUUUCCGUCAAUGCUAUGUUAUGGUAGUCCAUCCUAUACGUUUCCAGGUUUUCUAGCUUUAUGCAAAACUUCCUGUCGGCUCGGUGGGGGAUGCUCCACAAGCAUCCUGCUGCUUCGCGGUGGACGACAAGGACUUCCUCAUGCACAAGGUGUAUUCUAUGAUCUGCGGCGACAAGGUAAUCUCACUCUCUUCAACCCUGGUUGUUUUGUGUGUGUGGUUGCUGCAGAUGGUGGUCUGUGUGGACCUUGUUAUAGUGAGAGUGUUAUGCUGGUAGUAUAUUUAUCUUCUGCUUAUUAUCUUCUGCUUGAUCUGACACUAUUUAUGUGCAAGCCUGGUAGUAUGUUUUUUCCAAAUGGGUUGUUUACUUGAUUUAUCUGUUGUUUGAUUUGCUCCAUCGACUUUUUUGAUGUCCUUCUACAUAUAUAUGUUGGUUGUAAUCUUCUUGAAGAAUGCAAGUACUUGAUAUUCCAUUUUGUUCUUGUAGGUGAAUGGAACUUGUGUUGUUGGUAGAACUUCGUUGACGACUUCUACCCAUGUUGAAGAGCAUGUUCUGUGGUAUCCAAGAGUAGCUAGCUUUUAUAUUGGCAGAGCGGUUUAUUUGUAGAUCCCAAUAUUUAUGAUUGUGUGGAUCUGGGUGAAGUUUGAAGUUCCUGGGUAUGCAAGAUUCGAUGGUUAAACUAAUUGUUGUGAUGUGAAUGAGUGUAUGGAAACUGGUUGUUGUGAUGUGAAUGAGUGUAUGGAAUUUCACGUGUUCUGUUCUGUAUAGCAUAUUGUAAUAAACUUAUUUUAGCUGUUAUUUGAAUAUUUUCAUAUGCUUUCUCAAUUUCUCUCUUCUGUCUGUUUGAUAAUUGGGACCCAUCUGAAAAUUGGAGCUAACAAAAAAAGCUGGAAAUAAAAAAGAAAUGGACCGCAAAAUGUUGUGCGCUAGAAAAUAAAAAGGCCAAAUUGUAGGGCCAGGCCCAUGUAGCUAAUCGAAAUUAACAUAAAAUAAAUAUAUUAAAAGGGCUUGCCUAAAAAAUAAUAUAUGGGCUGAAUCAAUAGCCUAGGCCCAUGUAGCUAGUGAAAAUUAAAUAAAUAUUAGAAAGGCUGAAUUAUUGGGCUCGGCCCAUGUAAAACACCGAAUUGGACCGGGCUGAUUCUUAUCCACGUCAGCUUGCCACGCUGGAUCCUACGUGGCCUGGGGAGGUUGCUAGUGACCAAAAAUUUGGUCAUGGAACCAACGACCUUUUACAUAUCACAAAGAAGGUCGCUAAUUUCAGUUUAGGACCGCCAGCUUUUAACCUUUUGUUUUUGGUCACAAAAAGGUCGCAAAUGAAAAACAAUGACCUUUCAGUGACCAAUAGUGAUGGUCGCAAGUUGACAUAUUUCUUGUAGUGUCCUAGAGAAAGCUAAGUUGAAAGAUGAUGGUAGCAACUACACGGACUGGGUCCGUAACUUGAGGAUUAUCCUCAUUGCUGCACAGCACAAUUACGUCCUGGAAGCAUCGCUAGGUGACAAACCCGCUGCAGGAGCAACGCCAAAUGUUAUGAACACUUGGCAGAGCAAAGCUGAAGACUCCUCGAUAGUUCAAUGUGCCAUGCUUUACGGCUUAGAACCGGGACUUCAACGACGUUUUGAACGUCAUGAAGCAUAUGAGAUGUUCCAGGAGUUGAAGUUAAUAUUUCAAGCAAAUGCCAGGAUUGAGAGAUAUGAAGUCUCCAAUAAGUUCUACACCUGCAAGAUGGAGGAGAACAGUUCUGUCAAAGAACAUAUACUCAGAAUGUCUGGGUACCACAACCACUUGACUCAGCUGGGAGUUAAUCUUCCUGAUGAUAGUAUCAUUGACAGAGUUCUUCAAUCACUGCCACCAAGCUACAAGAGCUUCGUCAUGAACUAUAAUAUGCAAGGGAUGGAUAAGACGAUUCCUGAUCUCUUCGCAAUGCUAAAGGCUGCGGAGCUAGAAAUCAAGAAGGAGCAUUAAGUGUUGAUGGUCAACAAGACCACCAGUUUCAAGAAAAAGGGUAAAGGGGAGAAGGGGAACUUCAAGAAGAACAUCAAGGCAGUUGUUUCUCAAGUGAAGAAACCCAAGUCUGGACCUAAGCCUGAGACUGAGUGCUUGUACUGCAAAGGGACUGGUCACUGGAAGCGGAACUGCCCCAAGUAUUUGGCAAAGAAGAAGGAUGACAAAGUGAAAGGUAUAUUUGAUAUACAUGUUAUUGAUGUGUACCUUACUAAUGCUCGCAGUAGUGCCUGGGUAUUUGAUAUGGGUUCAGUUGCUAACAUUUGCAACUCGAAAUAGGGGCUACGGAUUAAGCGAAGAUUGGCUAAGGACGAGGUGACGACGCAUGUGGGAAAUAGUUCCAAAGUCGAUGUGAUCGCCGUCGGCACGCUGCCUCUACAUCUACCUUCGGGGUUAGUUUUAGACCUAAUAAUUGUUAUUUGGUGCCAGUGUUGAGCAUGACAUUAUAUCUGGAUCUUGUUUAAUGCGAGACGGUUAUUAAUUUAAAUCAGAGAAUAAUGGUUGUUCUAUUUAUAAGAGUAAUAUCUUUUAUAGUCAAGCACCCUUGAUGAGUGGUCUCUUUUUACUAAAUCUUGAUAGUAGUGAUACAAAUAUUCAUAGUAUUGAAGCCAAAAGAUGCAGCGGUGAUAAUGAUAGUGCAACUUAUUUGUGGCACUUCCGUUUUGGUCAUAUUGGUAUAAAGUGCAUGAAGAAACUCCAUUCCGAGGGACUUCUGGAAUCACUUGAUUAUGAAUCACUUGGUACUUGCGAACCGUGCCUCAUGGGCAAGAUGACUAAAACUUCAUUCUCCGGAACAAUGGAGCGAGCAACAGAGUUAUUGGAAACUAUACAUACUGAUGUAUGUGGUCCAAUGAACAUUGAGGCUCGUGGCGGAUAUCGUUAUUUUCUCACCUUCACAGAUGAUUUGUCAGGACCCCGACUCGAUGUCACAUUGAUCUAGCCGGUAACACCUCAUAUCACUUUGCGGCCUCACGCACGGUAUCCCCACGGGUGUCGCCUUACCUUUGCCCGGGACCGUUUGCGCCUUUUGGCUCACGUAUAUGAUAGUGUCGCUAGCAUCCAUAUGAUAAGGAGCCCGGGCUGACAUGACUAGUCGUAAACCCAAAGUGGCACAGACUUACAGGGACAGGCAUCCAUGACCCAGCUUCGAACGUGUCGGUCAUCAGCAAGUGGGUCCGGGCUGUAGCACUGGGCUAGCAGGACUCCGGUAAACCGGGCUGUAGCGGGCUAACAGGACUCCGGUACUCAAUGCGUGACAUUUCCCCGAAGGGACAGACACAGGAACGAAGAAGGACACAUGUCGGCCAGCCUAAGUGUUCCAGAGCAGUAGCAAGCUACCAUGGCUCAGCGGUAACACUAGGAGACAUUUCCCGGUAAGAGAGGCUACUAAAGAUAAACAACUAGAUAGUCAGAUCCCACACAUACCAAGCAUUUCAAUCAUACACACAAUAUGCUCGAUAUGUGCAAAUACAACGAAGCAUCACAACAUGACUCUAUGACACAAGUACUUUAUUUAAGGCUCAGGGAGCCAUACAUAACAUACACAAAGGUAUGGGUCUCACGACCCAGCAUUCAAGUCAUACAGUCAUACAAACCAGCAGCGGAAAUAAUUUGUCUGAGUACAGACAACUAGUAAAAUAAAAGAGGCCUGGAAAGCCUAGCUACACUACGUGGUCCUUCACAAGUUCAGGAUCACCACCUGGGCCUUUAGCCUACUCGUUGAUGUCAACGUCUACGUAGAACCCAUCAGAAGGGGUUGCAGCGUCUUCUGUAAAAAUGUAAAUUAUAGCAACAUGAGUACAAAGGUACUCAGCAAGACUUACAUCAGAUCCUACAUACAUGCAUAUUAUCAAGAAGGGUUGGUGGAGUUAUUGCAGCAAGCCAGCUUUGACUCUUGGCUAGGCUAACCUACGAGACUCCAACUUGAAAUAGUUUUGCGUACACGAGUCCACUACUCACCACUUCAAUACACUACCGAGGAUCCGCCUCCGUCUUCCUACGGAAGAGCCAUCCUCGGCACUCACACUUAUCUUGAGGCUUUUAGUAGUUUCCAUUUACUUGUCUAUGAACUGUAUAGGCAACCAAGUAGUCCUUUACCGCGGACGCGGCUAUUCGAAUAGAUCAUGGUAACCCUGCAGGGGUGUACUUCUUCAUACAUGUUUCCACCACUUAGCGUCUGCACACGACAUGUGCUCGGCAGACUUCAAGCGAAAGCCGACGUGGGUGUAGACCACGACCUACCUAAACACUUAAGCCUCUAGUCCAGGUUUAUCGCCUAUCCAGGUUCCAUCCACAGGGAGUCCGGCCGAGGUUUCCCAUACGGCCCCGAACGAUGUGAACAGGGUUCCCGAGAUACCUAACGGGUAUUCAGUACACCGUGCCAUGUACCUACCGCAUCACAGCCCACCCCUACGGUCAGCGCUGUCCACGGCCUCCAGUAGGCUACAAACACCAGAAACUACUUGCAACUCCUGGACAGAGAGCUAGGGUGAAUAAGAAGUCGAGCGGGGUCAUAUUUCAGGGCCCAAUGCAUGGUAGUAGCUGUAUCUUAAAUCACACAUACAGAUCUCAGUGCUUAAGGUCGGCUUCAAUGAAACAAUCCACCAUGUACUCCUACAUGGCCUCUCAUCGAUACCUUUACCAAAUCGUGUUCACCACACCACUCUUAUUACCGACAUAAUCAUUUCACUCUAGCCCAUCACCCGGAUGAACCAGACCUGACACGAUUCUAGGCAUAGCAGGCAUACCAAGGUAGGAACAACACAUACAUAUGGCUCAAUCAACUCCUACACAUGCUAGUGGGUUUCAUCUAGUUACUGUGGCAACGACAGGUCAUGCAGAGGAAAUGGGUUCAACUACCGUAGCACACAGCAGUUUGAAACGCGUGGUCUUAAUGCAGUAAAAGAGAGCAGGAGCGAGAACAUGGGUUUGUAUCGAUAUGAUCAAAUGGUUGGUUGGUUGCCUGAUGGUUCGAUGCACUGAUACGGUUCUUCGUUAGGGUAAUCACGGUACUCCUCGGAGGCAAAACCUGUCGCAAAGGACACCGAUACACAACCAUCACCAAACAAUGUGCAACAAUAUGAUGCAUGCAUGAAACAUGGCAAUAUGAGUGUGUUGGGCUAAUGCAACUAAAACCAGAAGGGUCUGAACCAAUUUGAAUCAAAGAUUCAAAUUUCAAACUCAAACAUGGCCUUUUAAAGUGCUUUUCCUUGUUCUGCUUUAAACAUCAAUUUAACUUGUUUGAUCAUGCAUGAAAAUAGUACAGAUGGAUAGAUUGGAUUUUUCUGAUCAUUUUUCAUAUAUAAUUUGUCUGAUUUGGAGUUACAGAAUAAAAGUUAUGAAUUUUUGAAGUUUAAAUUAUAUUCUGGAAUUUCCUGAUUUAAUUUAAAUCCAGAAAUAUAUAUAUUGCGCCAGCAUGACGUCAGCAUGAUGUCAGCGGUCAACUGCGGCUGGCUGGGGUCAAACCUGAGGUGUGGGGUCCACACGUCAGUGACAGGGGGGUUUAACAGAGGUUAGUUUAAUCCUAAUUAAGGGUUAGUGGCGCUGGGGCCCACUGGUCAGUGUCAGGGGGUUAAUUAACAGUGAUUAGCGCUAAGCUAACCACCUGGCCAACGGGGCCCACGCGUUAGUGACUCUGGGGGGGUCAAACCCCAGGUCGGACAGGUCAAACCCGCCGGCGGUUAGUCGCCGGCGAGGUCCGCGGCGUACAUGUGCCUCGGGUUUCCUCUGUGGUGCUCCAAACGGCGUGCGGCUAGGUGCAUUGGAAAGCUAGCUCGAUGGCGCGUCGGGCGGUGGCCGUGGCUGGGCCUGGGGUGGCCGGAGUCGAUGGCGGCGAGCUCGGCUGCGGCCGCCGGGGUUCGGUCGUGCACGGAAACGUGGCUGGAGCUCGAAGGCGAGCGAGGCAAGGCGCUAGGGAUGCUCUACGGGGCCUUACGAACUUGUUGGACUCGCCGGGGUGACCAAAUGGUCACCGGAGCUGCGUCGACGGCGAGCUCGGCGACGGCGGAGGUUCGGCCGUGGUGGGAAACGGGGUUACGGCGCGGGAACGAGGGGGAGAAGCGAGGGAAACGGUGGCGGAGCUCACCGCGGUUGCAGCGGGCGUCGAAGCGAGCUCGGGGACGCACUGGAGACGGCGAAUCGACGGCGAUGGUGGUCGGAGCCCGAGGAGGAAGACGAUGGCGACGGCGGCUCCACAGGGCGUCCGGCGUCUUGUGGCUUGACGGAGAGCUUCAGGGCGAGGGGGCGGAGCUCCUGCGCGAGUCGGGAAGGCGAGGGGAGGCCGGUGGCGGCGGCUAUGGCGAACGGCGGCGAUGGGUGCGUUCGGACACGGGAGAGAGAGAGCGAGGGAGAGGAGAGGAAGAACCGGGGGAGAGUGAGAGAGUACGGGGGGGGCGUCGUUCCAGGGCAUCCAGACGAGGAGGGGAGAGGCAGGCAGGCAGGCGAGCUGGUGGCGUGGCGCGGUGGCGCGCGCGCGCCCCGGGCACACUCCCCUCCCUCUGUCGAGGACGAAGACGACAGAGGAGGAGGCGGGCUGGGCCGCCUGCUGGCUGGGCCGGCCGGCUACUGCUGGGCUGCACAGGGAGGAGCCCCAGGUAAGCUUCUCCUUCUUUUAUUUAUUUUUGUUUUUCUAAUUUCUGUCAUUUGUUUGAUUUAAAUAAAAUAUUAAAUCAUUUUAUUACCUUAUGCCAAUUUUUGCAGGAGCUAGAUAUAUUAUUCCAGAGCUCCCCAACAGGUGGCAUAAUUUUUGGACAUAUAUUAAUAUAUAUAACUAAUAUAUUUCCAAUGCAAAUAGUUAUGCAUUAAUUCCAAAUGCCCAAAAUAAAUACCUAUGAGCUCUUAGAACUAUUGGUUUGAUUUUUAUCUCUGUCCAAUAUUUUCAGAGAGCAACAUGAGCAUUUUCUUGGACCCUUUUGGAGAAAUUUUUAUUUGGGUCAUUUUCAAAAUGAUUCUGAGGGUUUCACAAAUCCCCAUUUCAAGUUUCUGAUGAAAGAGUAAACAUGAUGCAACACUCUAAUGCAUGACUAGCUAGGGUGUGACAUGAUUUGAGCAGAUAUGGGUAUAUCUACUUAAUGAAACAUAAGUCUGAAACAUUUGAAAAGUUCAAAGAAUUUUAGAGAGAAGUGGAAAAUCAUUGUAACAAGAAAAUUAAGUUUCUACGAUCUGAUCGUGGAGGAGAAUAUUUGAGUUACGAGUUUGGUCUUCAUUUGAAACAAUGCGGAAUAGUUUCUCAACUCAUGCCACCCGGAACACCACAGUGUAAUGGUGUGUCCGAACGUUGUAAUCGUACUUUACUAGAUAUGGUGCGAUCGAUGAUGUCUCUUACUGAUUUAUCGCUAUCAUUUCGGGGUUAUUCUUUAGAGACAGAUGCAUUCAUGUUAAAAAGGGCACCAUCUAAAUCUGUUGAGACGACACCUUAUGAACUACGGUUUGGCAAGAAACCCAAGUUGUCGUUUCUUAAAGUUUGGGGCUGUGAUGCUUAUGUGAAAAAACUUCAACCUGAUAAGCUCGAACCCAAAUCAGAGAAAUGUGUCUUCAUAGGAUACCCAAAGGAGACUGUUGGGUACACCUUCUAUCACAGAUCCGAAGGCAAGAUAUUUGCUACUAAGAAUGGAUCCUUUCUAAAGAAGGAGUUUCUCUCGAAAGAAGUGAGUGGGAGAAAAGUAGAACUUGAUGAGGUAAUUGUACCUGCUCCCUUAUUGGAAAGUAGUUCAUCACUGACAUCAGUUCCGAUGAUUCCUACACCAGUAAGUGAGGAAGCUAGUGAUGAUGAUCAUGAAACUUCUGACCAAGUUACUACCGAACCUCGUAGGUCAACCAGAGUGAGAUCCGCACCAGAGUGGUACGAUAAUCCUAUUCUGGAGGUCAUGUUACUUGACCAUGACGAACCUACGAACUAUGAGGAAGCGAUUAUGAGCCCAGAUUCCGCAAAAUGGCUUGAGGCCAUGAAAUCUGAGAUGGGAUCCAUGUAUGAGAUCAAAGUUUGGACUUUGGUUGACUUGCCCGAUGAUCGGUAGGCCAUAGAGAAUAAAUGGAUCUUGAAGAAGAAGACUGAUGCUGGCGGUAAUGUUACUGUCUACAAAGCUCGACUUGUUGCAAAAGGUUUUCGACAAGUUCAAGGAGUUGACUAGGAUGACACCUUCUCACCCGUAGCGAUGCUUAAGUCCGUCCGAAUCAUGUUAGCAAUUGUCGCAUUUUAUGAUUAUGAAAUUUGGCAAAUGGAUGUCAAAACUGCAUUCCUUAAUGGAUAUCUUAAAGAAGAGUUUUAUAUGAUGCAACUAGAAGGUUUUUUCGAUCCAAAACGUGCUAACAAAGUGUGCAAGCUCCAGCGAUCCAUUUAUGGACUGGUGCAAGCCUCUCGGAGUUAGAAUAUACGCUUUGAUACUGCGGUCAAAGCAUAUGGUUUUAUACAGACUUUUGGAGAAGCCUGAUUUACAAGAAAGUGAGUGGGAGCUCUGUUGCAUUUUUGAUAUUAUAUGUAGAUGACAUAUUGUUGAUCGGAAAUGAUACUGAAUUUCUGAAUAGCAUAAAAGGAUACUUGAAUAAGAAUUUUUCAAUGAAAGACCUCGGUGAAGCUGCUUAUAUAUUGGGCAUCAAGAUCUAUAGAGAUAGAUCAAGACGCUUGAUGUCUACUACACAACCUUCUUCUUGUAGAUGUUGUUGGGCCUCCAAGUGUAGAGGUUUGUAGGACAGUAGCAAAUUUCCCUCAAGUGGAUGACCUAAGGUUUAUCAAUUCGUGGGAGGCGUAGGAUGAAGAUGGUCUCUCUCAAACAACCCUGCAACCAAAUAACAAAGAGUCUCUUGUGUCCCCAACACACCCAAUACAAUGGUAAAUUGUAUAGGUGCACUAGUUUGGCGAAACGAUGGUGAAAAAAGUGCAAUAUGGAUGGUAGAUAUAGGUUUUUGUAAUCUAAAAAUAUAAAACAGCAAGGUAGCAAGUGGUAAAAGUGAGCGUAAAUGGUAUCGCAAUGCUAGGAAACAAGGCCUAGGGUUCAUACUUUCACUAGUGCAAGUUCUCUCAACAACAAUAACAUAAUUGGAUCAUAUAACUAUCCCUCAACAUGCAACAAAGAGUCACUCCAAAGUCACUAAUAGCGGAGAACAAAUGAAGACAUUAUUGUACGGUAUGAAACCACGUCAAAGUUAUCCUUUCUGAUCGAUCUAUUCCAGAGUCCGUAGUAAAAUAACACGAAGCUAUUCUUUCCAUUCAAUCUAUCAUAGAGUUCAUACUAGAAUAACACCUUAAGACACAAAUCUACCAAAAAACUAAUGUCACCUAGAUACUCCAAUGUCACCUCAAGUAUCCGUGGGUUUGAUUAUACAAUAUGCAUCACAGAAUCUCAGAUUCAUCUAUUCAACCAACACAAAGAACUUCAAAGAGUGCCCCAAAGUGUCUACCGGAGAGUCAAGACGAAAACGUGUGCCAACCCCUAUGCAUAAGUUCACAAGGUCAUGGAACUCGCAAGUUGAUCACUGAGGGAGUCCUGGAUUAGGGAGUCUCCGGACAACCGGACUAUAUCCUUUGGCCGGACUGUUGGACUAUGAAGAUACAAGAUUGAAGACUUCGUCCCGUGUCCGGAUGGGACUUUCCUUGGCGUGGAAGGCAAGCUUGGCGAUACGGAUAUGUAGAUCUCCUCCCUUGUAACCGACUCUGUGUAACCCUAGCCCCCUCCGGUGUCUAUAUAAACUGGAGGGUUUAGUACGUAGGACAACAACAAUCAUACCAUAGGCUAGCUUUUAGGGUUUAGCCUCUACGAUCUCGUGGUAGAUCAACUCUUGUAAUACUCAUAUCAUCAAGAUCAAUCAAGCAAGACAUAGGGUAUUAUCUCCAUCAAGAGGGCCCGAACCUAGGUAAAAACAUCGUGUUCGCUGCCUCCUGUUACCAUCCACCUUAGACGCACAGUUCGGGACCCCCUACCCGAGAUCCGCCGGUUUUGACACCGACAUUGGUGCUUUCAUUGAGAGUUCCACUGUGCCGUCACCGUAAGGCUUGAUGGCUCCUUCGAUCAUCGGUAAUGAUGCGGUCCAGGGUGAGGUUUUCCUCCCCGGACAGAUCUUCGUAUUUGGCGGCUUCACACUGUGGGCCAACUCGCUUGGCCAUCUGGAGCAGAUCGAAAGCUACGCCCCUGGCCAUCAAGUCAGGUUUGGAAACUUAAACUAUGCUACCAACAUCCGCGGAGACUUGAUCUUCGAUGGAUUCACACCCAUGUCAGGUGCGCCACACAAUCACGACGAGCAUGACGUAACUCUGCCGUCGGACAGUGUUUGGGAGAUCACACCUGCAACUACUCCGGCCCUUAAUCUGGAGAAAAUUGCGCCAUCCGAGGACGGAGGGAUAGACCCCGCCAUGGAGGCCGCACUCUCAGUGGCGAUGGAGCCGGAUACUGACUUCACCCCUUACGAGAGCCAUGUUGGCGAACCACUAGAUUCGUCCCCGGCCACGGACUCCGAGCCGACUGCGUCCGUGACUAUCGAAUCUGAUUGGGCACCAACCAUGGAGUUCACCUCUGCGGAUAUCUUUCAGCACUCACCUUUUGGCGACAUGCCAAAUUCAUUAAGGUCUCUCUCCUUGUCAGGAGAACCUUGGCCGAACUAUGUCCGGCUAGAAUGGGAUGCAGACGACGAAGAAAUUCGCUCCCCACCCACCACCCACUUAGUAGCCACUGUCGACGAUUUAACCGACAUGCUCGACUUCGACUCCGAAGAAAUCGACGGUAUGGACGACGAUGCAGGAGACGAGCAGGAACCACCACCCACAGGGCGCUGGACAACCACUUCACCACAUGACAUAUACAUGGUGGAUACACCCAAAGAGAACAAUGACGAAGAACGACAUGAUGCAGCGAAGAAUAGCUCCCUCGAGAAGAAAUCAAAGCGUCGGCGUAGGCGCCGCUCAAAAUCCUGCCUCGGCAAAAACUGCGAUAACAACGCAAGAGAAAAUAGCACUCCAGUUGACUCCAGAGGAAACGACGACCACAUUGACCCAGCGGCAAAGCACGAUGAAACUGCAAACGGCGAACAUAGUACGGAUCCGAUGUCUGAACACGGCGACGCCGAAGAUAAACCUCAUGAAACCCCCUCUCGGGAGGAAAACAAUCUGGAUGAAGAUGCACACAUCAUCCUGGAAACGCACUUGGAUCAAGAGAACCUCCAUAGAAGCCUUAUUGCCACAGCGAGGAGUCUGAAGAAGCAGAAGCAAAGGCUUAAGGCCGCACAAAAUAUGCUCAACAGCAGGUGGAACAAAGUGCUCGACAACGAAGAAAAGUAUGGUGAAAGUUACCACACAAAGAGCUAUCCAAAGCACAAGCUAUUACCUGAAUUCGACGAUGAGGCCUUAGAGCCCACACAGCCGAAAAAUACAACGGCCAACCGACCGGAUCAACCACCUUGUAGCCGCGAUAGAGCGGCUAACAAGGCCGCACAUAAGUCAACACAUGAUCUACGUGAGGACUUGCGCCAAAAAUCCAGUAUGACCAGAUCCAUCUAUGGAUCUAGGAAGCGCGCUCUGGCACAAAAUCAAAACCGAAUACUACAACCGUCCGAACACCAUGAUGCAUCCAAAUACAGGGGUGCUGCACACCCCCUAUGUUUCACCGAUGAUGUGCUGGACCACGAAUUUCCAGAAGGAUUCAAACCAGCGAACAUAGAGGCGUACGAAGGGACCACAGACCCUGGGGUCUGGAUUGAGGACUUUAUCCUCCAUAUCCAUAUGGCUCGCGGAGACGAUCUCCACGCCAUCAAGUACUUGCCCCUCAAGCUUAAAGGACCAGCUCAGCACUGGCUGAAAAGCCUCCCCAAAAACUCAAUUGGAAGUUGGGAGGAGAUCGAGGAUGCUUUUCGGGCUAAUUUUCAAGAGACCUAUGUCCGACCUCCGGAUGCCCGGAGAGUCAGCCCGAAAGCUUUGGAACAGGUUUCUCACUAAGAAAAACCAAAUCGUCGACUGCCCAGAUGCCGAUGCCUUAGCAGCUUUCAAGCACAGCGUCCGAGACGAAUGGCUCACCAGACACCUCAGACAAGAAAAACCGAGAACAAUGGCAGCCCUGACAAGCCUCAUGACGUGCUUUUGCGCGGGCGAAGAUAGCUGGUUAGCCCGAAGUAGCACCAGCGACCCAAGCACAUCCAAAGUUAGGGAUGGCAAUGGAAAACCACGACGCAGUAAAAGCAAGCGUCGAAAUAAAGAAGACAGCCCAGAUAAUACGGCGGUAAACGCCGGAUUCAGGGGCUCUCGACCAGGUCAGCGGAAAAAGCCUUUCAAAGGCAGCAGAGGUGGACCGUCUAGCCUAAACAAGAUUCUAGACAAACUAUGUCAGAUUCAUGGCACCCCAGAUAAACUUGCAAAUCACACCCACAGAGAAUGUUGGGUCUUCAAGCAGGCCGAUAAGCUAAACGCCGAACACAAGGGGAGGGAGACACCAAGCAAAGACGAGGAUGAACCUCGCCAGCAGAACACUGGAGGACAGAAAAAAUUACCACCAGAGGUUAAAACAGUAAACAUGAUCCACGUGACGAAGAGGAUAAGCAAACACGCACUCCGAGACAUACGCGACGUAGAGCCCGUCACCCCUAAGUCCAACCCCUGGUUGGCCUGCCCGAUCACUUUUGAUCGCAGGGAUCACCCGACAAGCAUCCGACAUGAAGGAUUGGCUGCCUUGGUGUUAGACCCAAUAAUAAAUGGAUACCAUCUCACACGAGUCCUUAUGGACGACGGAAGUGGUCUAAAUCUGAUUUAUCUGGACACAGUCCGCAAAAUAGGGAUAGACCUGACAAAAAUCAGCCACAGUAAUACUACCUUCAAGGGAGUAAUACCAGGCCCAGAGGCCUGCUCCAUGGGAUCUCUAAUACUAGAGGUUGUAUUCGGUUCACCCGACAACUACCGAAGUGAGAAGUUAGACUUCGACAUUGCUCCAUUCCGAAGAGGCUAUCAAGCACUACUCGGAAGAAGAACUUUCGCUCAUUUUAAUGCGGUACCACAUUACGCUUCUCUUAAGCUUAAGAUGCCUGGUCCACGUGGCACCAUCACAGUUGGUGGAAAUAUUGAGUGUUCUCUAUGCACGGAAGAACGUGUGGCGGCUUUAACAGCCUAGUGAUACGUCCAUUUUGUAUCAUGCUUUUAUCUCGAUAUUUAUUGCAUUAUGGGUUGUUAUUUCACAUUAUGUCACAAUACUUAUGGCAAUUCUCUCUUAUUUUACAAGGUUUACAUAAGGAGGGAGAAUGCCGGCAGCUGGAAUUCUGGGCUGGAAAAGGAGCAAAUAUUAGAGACCUAUUCUGCACAACUCCAAAAGUCCUGAAACUCCACAGAAUACCUUAUAAUAAAUAAUGAAAAAUCCUCGCCAAAGAUGAAGACCAGGGGGCCCACACCCUUUCCAUGAGGGUGGGGGCGCCCCCCCUAGGGCGCGCCCCCUACCUCGUGGGCCCCCUAGUGGCUCUCCGAUGACCAUAUUCUCCUAUAUGAAGUCUUUUGUCGAGAAAAAAAAUAAGAAGCAACCUUUCGGGAUGAAACUCCGCCGCCACGAGGCAGAACCUUGGCGGAUCCAAUCUAGAGCUCCGGCAGAGCUAUUCUGCGGGGGAAACUUCCCUCCCGGAGGGGGAAAUCAUCGCCAUCGUCAUCACCAACGCUCCUCUCAUUGGGAGAGGGCAAUCUCCAUCAACAUCUUCAUCAGCACCAUCUCAUCUCAAAACCCUAGUUCAUCUCUUGUAUCCAAUUCUUGUCUCCAAGUCCGGGAUUGGUGCUAGUAGGUUGCUAGUAGUGUUAAUUACUCCUUGUAGUUGAUGCUAGUUGGUUUAAUUGGUGGAAGAUCAUAUGUUCAGAUCCUUUAUGCAUAUUAUUACCUCUCUGAUUAUGAAUAUGAAUAUUCUUUGUGAGUAGUUACGUUUGUUCCUGAGGACAAGGGAGAAGUCUUGCUAUUAGUAGUCAUGUGAAUUUGGUAUUCGUUCGAUAUUUUGAUGAGAUGUAUGUUGUCUAGCCUCUAGUGGUGUUAUGUGAACGUCGACUACAUAACACUUCACCAUUAUUUGGGCCUAGAGGAAGGCAUUGGUAAGUAAUAAGUAGAUGAUGGGUUGCUAGAGUGACAGAAGCUUAAACUCUAGUUUAUGCGUUGCUUCGUAAGGGGCUGAUUUGGAUCCAUAUGUAUCAUGCUAUGGUUAGGUUUACCUUAAUACUUUUGUUGUAGUUGCGGAUGCUUGCAAUAGAGGUUAAUCAUAAGUGGGAUGCUUGUUCAAGUAAGAACAACACCCAAGCACCGGUCCACCCACAUGUCAAAUUAUCAAAGUACCGAACAUGAUGAAAACUAGCUUGACGAUAUUACCAUGUGUCCUCGGGAGCGCUUUUCCUUAUAUAAGAGUUUGUCCAGGCUUGUCCUUUGCUACAAAAAGGAUUGGGCCACCUUGCCGCACUUUAUUUACUUUUGUUACUUGUUGCUCAUUACAAAUUAUCUUAUCACAAAACUAUAUGUUACCAGUUAUUUCAGUACUUGCAGAGAAUACCUUGCUGAAAACCGCUUUUCAUUUCCUUCUGCUCCUCGUUGGGUUCAACACUCUUACUUAUCGAAAGGACUACGAUAGAUCCCAUAUACUUGUGGGUCAUCAAGACUCUUUUCUGGUGCCGUUGCCGGAGAGUGAAGCGCCUUUGGUUGGUGGAAUUUUGUAAGGAAAAAUUUAUAUAAUGUGCUAAAAUUUAGUGUCACUUGUUACUAUGGAAAGUAAUCCUCUGAGGGGCUUGCUCGGGGUAUCUUCACCCCGACCAGUAGAGCAAAGAGUUGCUCCUCAACCUACUGAACAUAUUUAAGAUGAAAUUCCUUAUGAGUAUCCUUCGGGUAUGAUAGAAAAACUGCUAGCUAAUCCUUUUACAGGAGAUGGAACAAAGUAUCCUGAUGAACACCUAAUAUAUGUGGAUGAAGUUUGUGGAUUAUUUAAGCUUGCAGGUAUACCCGAUGAUGUUGCUAAGAAGAAGGUCUUCCCUUUAUCUUUGAAGGGAGACGCAUUGAUAUGGUAUAGGCUAUGUGAUGAUACAGGAUCAUGGAACUAUAAAAGAUUGAAAUUGGAAUUUCAUCAAAAGUAUUACCCUAUGCAUCUUGUUCAUCGUGAUCGCAAUUAUAUAUAUAAUUUUUGGCCUCGCGAAGGAGAAAGCAUCGCCCCAAUCAUGAGCUCUCAAGAGAAAUGAUUAUUCAAAAAAUUUAUGCUCGGCUUUCUGAAAACAAUCGCACCAUGCUCGAUACUUCUAGUGUUGGCUCUUUUAUGAUGAAGACUAUUGGGUUUAGAUGGGAUUUAUUGGAUAGAAUUAAACGCAGCUCUGAAGAUUGGGAUCUCGACAAAGGUAAGGAGUCAGGUAUGACACCUAAGUUUGAUUGUGUUAAAUCUUUUAUGGAUACCAAUAUUUUUCGUAAAUUUAGCACUUAAUAUAGACUUGACUCUGAGAUAGUAGCUUCUUUCCGUGAAUCUUUUGCUGCUUAUGUUGAUCUCCCCAAGGAGAAGUGGUUUAAAUAUCAUCCUCCCAUAGAAGUAAAAGUAGAUGCACCUAUUAAAGUUGAAGAAAAGACUGUCACUUAUAAUGAUCCUAUUGUUCCUACUUGUUAUGUUGAGAAACCACCUUUCCCUGUUAGGAUAAAGGAUCAUGCUAAAGCUUCAACUGUGGUUCGUAAAAGCAAUAUUAAAACAUAUACACCUCCUGAGCAAGUUAAAGUAGAACCUAAUAUUGCUAUCGUUAAAGAUCUCUUGUCUGAUAAUAUAGAUGGGCAUGUUAUUUACUUCUGUAAUGAAACUGCUAGAAUUGCUAAACCCCGUGAUACAGAUAAACCUAGACCUGUGGUAGGAAUGCCUGUUAUUUCUGUUAAAAUAGGAGAUCAUUGUUAUCAUGGCUUAUGUGAUAUGGGUACUAGUGCUAGCGCAAUACCUAUUGACUUAUACAACGAAAUUAUGCAUGACAUUGCACCUGUUGAGUUAGAAGAAAUUGAUGUUACUAUUAAACUUGCUAAUAGAGAUACUAUUUCACCAAUGGGAAUUGUUAGAGAUGUUGGAGUCUUGUGUGGGAAAACUAAAUAUCCUGCUGAUUUUCUUGUUCUUGGUUCCCCACAAGAUAGCUUUUGUCCCAUUAUAUUUGGUAGACCCUUUUUAAAUACUGUUAAUGCUACCAUAGAUUGCACAAGGGAUGUUGUUACUGUCGGCUUAGAUGAUAUGACUCAUGAAUUUAAUUUCUCUAAAUUUAGUAAACAACACCGUGAAGAAGAAUUGCCUAGUAAGGAUGAAAUUAUUGGUCUUGCUUCUAUUGUCGUACCUCCUAGUGAUCCUUUAGAACAAUAUUUGCUAGACCAUGAGAAUGAUAUGUUUAUGAAUGAAAGAUGGGAAAUAGAUGAAGUAUUCUUCAAACAGGAACCUAUGCUGAAACACAAUUUGCCUGUUGAAAUCCUAGGGGAUCCCCCUCCACCUAAGGGUGAUCCCAUGUUUGAGCUUAAACCGUUGCCUGAUAAUCUUAAAUAUGCUUAUCUUGAUGAAAAGAAGAUAUAUCCUGUUAUUAUUAGUGCUAACCUUUCAGAGCAUGAAGAAGAAAGAUUAUUGAAAACUCUGAAGAAGCACUGUGCUGCUAUUGGAUAUACUCUUGAUGAUCUUAAGGGCAUUAGUCCCACUCUAUGUCAACAUAAAAUAAAUUUGGAAGCAGAUGCCAAACCAGUUCAUGAUCCUCAACGACGUCUGAAUCCUAAAAUGAAAGAAGUGGUAAGAAAAGAAAUACUAAAUCUUCUGGAGGCAGGUAUAAUUUAUCCCGUUGCUGGUAGUCAGUGGGUAAGUCCUGUUCAUUGUGUCCCUAAGAAGGGAGGUAUUACUGUUGUUCCUAAUGAUAAAUAUGAAUUGAUUCCACAAAGAAUUAUUACAGGUUAUAGGAUGGUAAUUGGUUUCCGCAAAUUAAAUAAGGCUACUAAGAAAGAUCACUACCCCUUACCUUUUAUCGAUCAAAUGCUAGAAAGAUUAUGCAAACAUACACAUUACUGCUUUCUAGAUGGUUAUUCUGGUUUCUCUCAAAUACCUAUGUCGGCUAAAGAUCAAUCAAAGACUACUUUUACAUGCCCUUUUGGUACUUUUGCUUAUAGACGUAUGCCUUUUGGUUUAUGCAAUGCACCUGCUACCUUUCAUAGAUGCAUGAUGGCUAUAUUCUCUGACUUUUGUGAAAAGAUUUGUGAGGUUUUCAUGGACGACUUUUCCGUCUAUGGAUCUUCUUUUGAUGAUUGCCUGAGCAAUCUUGAUCGAGUUUUGCAGAGAUGUGAAGAAACUAAUCUUGUCUUGAAUUGGGAAAAGUGCCACUUUAUGGUUAAUGAAGGUAUUGUCUUGGGGAAUAAAGUUUCUGAAAGAGGUAUUGAAGUUGAUAAAACCAAGGUUGAUGCUAUUGAAAAGAUGCCAUGUCCCAAGGACAUCAAAGGUAUAAGAAGUUUCCUUGGUCACGCCGGAUUUUAUAGGAGGUUCAUUAAGGACUUCUCAAAAAUUUCUCGGCCUCUGACUAAUUUAUUACAAAAAGAUAUACCAUUUGUCUUUGAUGAUGAUUGUGUAGAAGCAUUUGAGAUACUUAAGAAAGCAUUAGUCUCUGCACCUAUUGUUCAGCCACCUGAUUGGAAUUUACCCUUUGAAGUUAUGUGUGAUGCUAGCGAUUAUGCUGUAGGUGCUGUUCUAGGGCAAAGAGUUGAUAAGAAAUUAAAUGUUAUCCAUUAUGCUAGUAAGACUCUAGACAAUGCUCAAAGAAAUUAUGCUACUACUGAAAAAGAACUUUUAGCAGUUGUAUUUGCUUGUGAUAAGUUCAGACCUUAUAUUGUUUAUUCUAAAGUAACUAUCCACACUGAUCAUGCUGCUAUUAAAUAUCUUAUGGAGAAGAAAGAUGCUAAACCUAGACUUAUUAGAUGGGUUCUCUUGCUACAAGAAUUUGAUUUGCAUAUUGUUGAUAGAAAAGGAGCUGAGAACCCCGUUGCAGACAACUUAUCUAGGUUAGAAAAUGUUCUUGAUGACCCACUACCUAUUGAUGAUAGCUUACCUGAUGAACAAUUAAAUGUCAUAAGUACUUCUCGUAGUACCCCUUGGUAUGCUGAUUAUGCUAAUUACAUAGUUGCUAAAUUUAUACCACCUAGCUUCACAUACCAACAAAAGAAAAAGUUCUUCUAUGAUUUGAGACAUUACUUUUGGGAUGACACACAUCUUUAUAAAGAAGGAGUAGAUGGUGUUAUUAGACGUUGUGUACCUGAGCAUGAACAGGAACAGAUCCUACGCAAGUGCCACUCCAAAACUUAUGGAGGACACCACGCGGGAGAUAGAACUGCACAUAAGGUAUUGCAAUCCGGUUUUUAUUUACCUACCCUCUUCAAGGAUGCCCGUAAGUUUGUCCUAUCUUGUGAUGAAUGUCAAAGAAUUGGUAAUAUUAGUAGACGUCAAGAAAUGCCUAUGAAUUAUUCACUUGUUAUUGAACCGUUUGAUGUUUGGGGCUUUGAUUAUAUGGGACCUUUUCCUGCCUCUAAUGGAUAUACACAUAUUUUAGUUGAUGUUGAUUACGUUACUAAGUGGGUAGAAGCUAUUCCAACUAGUAGUGCUGAUCAUAACACUUCUAUUAAAAUGCUUAAAGAAGUUAUUUUUCCGAGGUUUGGAGUCCCUAGAUAUUUAAUGACUGAUGGUGGUUCACAUUUUAUUCAUGGUGCUUUCCGUAAAAUGCUUGCUAAAUAUGACGUCAAUCAUAGAAUUGCAUCUCAGUAUCACCCACAGUCCAGUGGUCAAGUAGAAUUGAGUAAUACAGAACUCAAAUUAAUUUUGCAAAAGACUGUCAAUAGGUCUAGAAAGAAUUGGUCCAAGAAACUUGACGAUGCAUUAUGGGCCUAUGGAACUGCAUAUAAAAAUCCUAUGGGUAUGUCUUCGUAUAAAAUUGUCUAUGGAAAAGCAUGUCAUUUACCCGUCGAACUAGAACAUAAGGCAUAUUGGGCUAUUAAAGAGCUCAACUAUGAUUUUAAACUUGCCGGUGAAAAGAGGUUAUUUGAUAUUAGCUCUCUUGAUGAAUGGAGAACCCAAUCUUAUGAAAAUGCUAAGUUGUUUAAAGAAAAGGUUAAAAGAUGGCAUGACAAAAGGAUACAAAAGCGUGAGUUUAAUGUAGGUGAUUAUGUAUUGCUAUACAACUCUCUUUUAAGAUUUUUUGCAGGAAAACUUCUCUCUAAAUGGGAAGGCCCCUAUGUUAUCGAGGAGGUCUAUCGUUUCAGUGCCAUAAAAAUCAACAACUUCGAAGGCACAAAUCCGAAGGUGGUAAACGGUCAGAGAAUUAAACAUUAUAUCUUAGGUAAUCCCAUUAAUGUUGAAACCAAUAUUAUUGAAAUUGUAACCCCGGAGGAAUACAUAAGGGACACUUUCCAGAACGUUUCAAACUCUGAAAAGGAAUAGGUAUGUGGUACGAUAAGUAAAUCGAUUCCAAAACAGAUUUUAAGGCAAUAUUUAUCCGUUUUGGAAUAUUUAGAAAAAUAGAAAAUUAAGUAGCAGUCUGGGAAGGACACGAGGGCCCCACGAGGGUGGAGGGCGCGCCCUACCCCCCUGGGCGCCCUCCUACCUCGUGAGCACCUCGUGUGCCUUCCAGACUCCGUUUUCUUGCACGGUACGUAUUUUGGUCGAUAAAAAUUCACUAUAUAUUCUCCCGAAGGUUUUGACUCCUGUAUCACGCAAUUAUCCUCUGUUUUUGUUUCGGGCUGUCCCACUUCAGAUUAGAUCAACAUGUCUUCCUAGGAUUUGGAAGGAGAAAGCUAUGUGGAUGAUUACUUAGCUAAUCCUAAGGUCUAUGGAGAUGUGGAGCACGAUAGUUGGACCACGGAGGAAGAAGAGGACUAUGAACCCAAUGAGAAGGAGGAGACGAGCUCAGAUGAAGAUGAAGCCCCAUUACCUCAACCUGGGGAUAUGCACAUGGAGGUCAAAAAGUCAAGUAUCCCUGAUAGGGUAAAGAAACCAAAAUUCAGGUUUAUCCCUUUUCUUCUCUUGCAGGAAAAUAAGCAGGACCUAUGCAAAAAGAUAUUAACCCUGGAGUGGGAGAUUGAUGAUCUGAGGGAUCAAAAUGUCGUCCUCAAGCGUAAAUUAAGAAAGAAGUCUAUGUCAUCAACUAAGUCAGCAACACCUCCACCUUCUUCACCAACCAAGGAGAUAUAAUCACAUGGGUAUGGGCACUCCCCUUGGCAACCGCCAAGCUUGGGGGAGGUGCCCCGGUAUCGUAUCAUAAUCACAACUUUUAUCUUUACUGUUUUCCUUAGUUCGAUCCUGUUAGUAGUAUUUUGAUCUAGUAGAAUAAAGUUUAUGGCAUGAUCUAGUUUUAAGUUUUGCUUUAUGAUCUCUCUAUGUAAUCGAGUCCGUGAGCUAUAUAAUAAAGAUUAGUGUUGAGUCAAGGGCUUGAUUUUCUUGCUAUGAUCUUGGGUGAAUAAAAGAAAAGACAAAAAGAAUAAGAAGAAACAAAAGUUCAUGUUGAUCUUAUUGAUAGUAAUGACUUCACAUAGAAAGGGUGUGAUGAUUAAAAGUUAUUGGGAGCUUGAUGUCUACUACACAACCUUCUUCUUGUAGACAUUGUUGGGCCUCCAAGUGCAGAGGUUUGUAGGACAGUAGCAAAUUUCCCUCAAGUGGAUGACCUAAGGUUUAUCAAUCCGUGGGAGGCAUAGGAUGAAGGUGGCCUCUCUCAAACAGCCCUGCAACCAAAUAACAAAGAGUCUUUUGUGUCCCCAACACACCCAAUACAAUGGUAAAUUGCAUUGGUGCACUAGUUCGGCGAAGAGAUGGUGAAACAAGUGCAAUAUGGAUGGUAGAUAUAGGUUUUUGUAAUCUGAAAAUAUAAAAACAGCAAGGUAGCAAGUGGUAAAAGUGAGCAUAAACGGUAUUGCAAUGCUAGGAAACAAGGCCUAGGGUUCAUACUUUCACUAGUGCAAGUUCUCUCAACAAUAAUAACAUAAUUGGAUCAUAUAACUAUCCGUCAACAUGCAACAAAGAGUCACUCCAAAGUCACUAAUAGCGGAGAACAAACGAAGAGAUUAUUGUAGGGUACGAAACCACCUCAAAGUUAUCCUUUUUGAUCGAUCUAUUCAAGAGUCUGUAGUAAAAUAACACGAAGCUAUUCUUUUCGUUCAAUCUAUCAUAGAGUUCGUAUUAGAAUAACACCUUAAGACACAAAUCAACAAAAACCCUAAUGUCACCUAGAUACUCCAAUGUCACCUCAAGUAUUCGUGGGUAUGAUUAUACGAUAUGCAUCACACAAUCUUAGAUUCAUCUAUUCAACCAACACAAAGAACUUCAAAGAGUUCCCCAAAGUUUCUACUGGAGAGUCAAGAUGAAAACGUGUGCCAACACCUAUGCAUAAGUUCACAAGGUCACGGAACUCGCAAGUUGAUCACCAAAACUUACAUCACGUGGAUCACAUGAAUAUCCCAUUGUCACCACAGAUAAGCACAUGCAAUACAUACAUCAAGUGUUCUCAAAUCCUUAAAGACUCAAUCCGAUAAGAUAACUUCAAAGGGAAAACUCAAUCCAUUACAAGAGAGUAGAUGGGGAGAAACAUAGCUACUGGUAGAUAGCCUCAGCCCCGAGGGUGAACUACUCCCUCCCCGUCAUGGAGAGCGACGGGAUGAUGAAGAUAGCCACCUGAGAGGGAUCCCCCCUCCGGCAGGGUGCCGGAACUGGUCUAGAUUGGCUUUCGGUGGCUACAGAGUCUUGCGGCGGCGGAACUCCUGAUCUAGGUUUCUUUUUGGAAGUUUUGGUAUAUAUAAGAGGUGUUGGAGUCGGGAACAAGUCAGGGGGUCCCCGAGGCGGCCACGAGAUAGGGGGGGGCGCCCAGGGGGUAGGGUGUGCCCCCACCCUCGUGGUGGCCUCGGGACUCCUCUGGUCCAUCUCCGAUACUCCGUGGGCUUCUUCUGGUCCAAAAAUAAUCUCCGUGAAAUUUCAGGUCAAUUGGACUCCGUUUGAUUUUCCUUUUCUGCGAUACUCGAAAACAAGGAAAAAACAGAACUGGCACUGGGCUCUAGGUUACUAUUUUAGUCCCAAAAAUCAUGUAAAAGAACAUAUAAAUGCAAAUAAAACAUCCUAGAUGGAUAAUAUAAUAGCAUGGAACAAUCAAAAAUUAUAGAUACGUUGGAGAGGUAUCAACGCUUAAUUGGAGUUUCACAAAGCACAUACCUUGAUAAAGUUUUGAAGAAGUUCAAAAUGGAUCAAGCAAAGAAACGGUUUUAUCCUGUGUUACAAGGUGUGAAGUUGAGUCAGACUCAAUGCCCGGCCACUGCAGAAGAUAGAGAGAAAAUGAAAGUCAUUCCCUAUGCUUCAGCCAUUGGUUCUAUCAUGUAUGGAAUGCUGUGAACCAGACCUGAUGUGUGCCUUGCUAUUUGUUUAGCAGGGAGGUACCAAAGUAAUCCAGGAGUGGAUCACUGGACAACGGUCAAGAACAUCCUGAAAUACCUGAAAAGGACAAAGGAUAUGUUUCUCGUAUAUGGAGGUGACAAAGAGCUCGUCGUAAACGGUUACGUCGAUGCAAGAUUUGACACUGAUCCGGAUGACUCUAAGUCACGGAACGGAUACGUGUUUUUAUUAAAUGGUGGAGCUGUCAGUUGGUGCAGUUCCAAGAAGAGCGUCGUGGCGGGAUCUACAUCUGAAGCGGAGUACAUAGCUGCUUGAUAAUCCCCAAGUGCAGGGAAUCAUCGUAGCAAUUUCCAAAGGUGGAAUUGAUAAGUAUGGAGUGUCGAACCCACAAGGAGCUAAAGGUAAGAUCAAUAUUCUCUCAAGCCCUAUCUGCCACUGAUACGACUCUACGUACACCAAACGUUUGCUUACAACUACAAACGAGAAACAAAACUACGUUGUGGGUAUGAAUAGGAUAAUUUUGCAUGAUAUCGGAGAGCUAAAAUAUGAAAGUAGGUGUUGUUAUCACAAAGUUAGAAUAUAUUACCAAAUAUUAUAAAUAGCGAGUAUGGAAUAAUGGUGGAUCGGUGUGGGAAAUUGUCCUAGGCAAUUGUUAACAAGACCGGUAAUCACUAUUGUAGUUUCAUAUGAGGGAGAUGCAUAAGAUAACAUACUUUCUCUACUUGGAUCAUAUGCACUUAUGAUUGGAACUAUAGCAAGCAUCUGCAACUACUAAAUAUCAUUAAGGUAAAACCCAACCAUAGCAUUAAAGCAUCAAAUCCUCUUUAUCCCAUACGCAACAACCCCCUUACUCGGGUUUGUGUUUCAGUCACUCGCGCAACCCACUAUAAGCGAAUCAUAAACGUAUUGCAACACCCUACAAUAGGAAUCCCUCACGCUUGCACGACACGGAGGGCACCAUAGGACAGCACCAAAGUAAAACAUACAACUCAUACCAAUCUAGAUCAUCAAUCAACCCAAAGACAAAGGAUAUCUACUCAAAACAUCAUAGGAUGGCAACACAUCAUUGGAUCAUAAUAUGUGGCAUAAAGCACCAUGUUCAAGUAGGGAUUACAGCGAGGUGCAGGAGAGUGGACCGCGUAAAAGAGAUGAGGAUGGUGAUGAUGAUGGUGAUGUUGAUGAAGACGAUCACCGCGGCGAUGAUUCCCCUCUCGAUGGCACUCCGGUGCCCCCAAGAGAGAGGAGGAGAGGUUCUCCCCCUUAUGCUUCCUCCUCCAUGGCCUCCCCCUGGAUGGGGAGAGGUUCUCCCUCUGGUCCUUGUCCUUCAUGAUGCUUAUGGCCCCUCCGGGAACCUCCUCCAUGCCCUCCGGUGAUGAUAUCCCCCUCCGGCAGGGUGCCAGAGAGGGCCUAGAUUGGUUUUCGGUGGCUACGGAGGCUUCUGGCAGUGGAACUCCCGAUCUAGGUUAAUUUUCCGAGUUUCUGUGUUUAUAGGAUUUUUUGGCAUCGGUCUCACGUCAAGGAGGUGCCCCAGGCAUCCACGAGGCAGGCCCACGUGCCUGGGGGGUGUGGGCACGCCCCCACCCUCGUGGACGCCCUGGGACUCUACUGGCCCAACUCUUUUACUCCUGGGUCUUCUUUUGGUCCAUAAAAAUGUCAAAAAUUGGCACGUCAAUUGGACUCCGUUUGAUAUUCCUUUUAUGUAAAACUCAUGAAAAACAGAAACUGGCACUGGGCACUAGGUUAAUAGGUUAGUCCCACAAAUCAUAUAAAAUAGCAUAUAAAUGCAUAUAAAACAUCCAAGGUUGAUAAUGUAAUAGCAUGAAUACUUCAUAAAUUAUAGAUACAUUGGAGACGUAUCAGCAUUCCCAAUCUUAAUUCCUGCUCGUCCUCGAGUAGGUAAAUGAUAAAAAAAAUAAUUUAUGAAGUGUGAAUGCUAGCAAGUGCAUAAGUUUCAUCAAUGAUAGUCCCAGUCACUUUUUCUAGCAUCAUUAUAUAUCAUAACAGUAGCUCAUUUUCAUAAAGCUUUUCAUGAUCAAGUAACAAGUUAUUCACAUGUUAAAGUAUAGAUCAUAAACUUUCUUGAAACUAACAAACUAUAUUCUCAGUCAUCAAACAAUUGCAAUUCAUCUUAUUUUCAGGAAGGGUCUAUGUCAGAGCUUUGAUUUAGCAAACUCCACAUACUCAACUAUCAUUUAAUAUUUCAUAAUUGCUAACACUCACGUGAUAUUUAUGGGUUCAAAGUUUUAAUCGGACACAGAGAAAGAUAGGGGCUUAUAGAUUCGCCUCCCAACCUUUUACCUCAAGGGUAAUGUCAACAAUAAUAGUUCAUGAUAACUUACAUCCAAUUGGAUAUAUAUAUAUAUAUAUAUAUAUAUCAAGAUCUUUCCAACACAAUGUGCUACCAAAGGAUAAAAUGUAAAAAUAAAAGGUGAAGAUCACCAUGACUCUUGCAUAAGGGUAGAAGAUAAAAGUAAAAGAUAAGCCCUUCGCAGAGGGAAGCAGAGGUUGUCAUGCACUUUUAUGGUUGGAUGCACAAAAUCUUAAUGCAAAAGAACAUCACUUUAUAUUGCCACUUGUGAUAUGGACCUUUAUUAUGCAGUCCGUCGCUUUUAUUUCUUCCACAUCACAAGAUCGUAUAAAGCUUAUUUUCUCCACAUUAAUAGAUCAUACAUAUUUAGAGGGCAAUUUUUAUUGCAUGCACUGAUGACAACUUACUUGAAGGAUCUUACUCAAUCCAUAGGUAGGUAUGGUGGACUCUCAUGGCAAAACUAGUUUAAGGGAUGUUUGGAAGCACAAGUACUAUCUCUACUUGGUGCAAAGAAUUUGGCUAGCAUGAGGGGGAAAAGCAAGCUCAACAUGUUGGAUGAUCCAAGACAAUAUACUUUAUUUCGGAUAUAAGAAAACAUAACCCAUUACGUUGUCUUCCUUGUCCGACAUCAACCUUUUAGCAUGUCAUAUUUUAAUGAGUGCUCACAAUUACAAAAGAUGUCCAAGAUAGUAUGUUUAUAUGUGAAAUCUCUCUUCCUUCAAUAUUCUUUCUUGAAUUGUUCAAGUGACCAAUUCUACGUUUGCUAACUUUCAAUAAGUUUACUACCUAUAUUUAUUCUGUGUGAAGUCAUUACUCCCCAUGGUAUAAGCAUAUGAAACAUAUAUAAAUUCAUAUUUAUGAUAUUCAAUUCAUUCAACCAUUUACUCAUAGGAUAUAUGUGAAGCACGUGAGUAAAUGACAAACUACUCCAAAAAGAUAUAAGUGAAGGACACUGAGUAGUCAAAUAAUUAACUAGCCAUGGGAGGAUUCUUUUUCAUUCAAAAUUUCAGAUCCAAUGAUUUUAUUCAAACAGCAAGUAAAAUUGAAAAUACUCUCCAAGCAAAACACAUAUCAUGUUACAAAUAAAAAUAUAGCUCCGAGUAAGGUAUACCGAUAGUUUUUGAAGACGAAAGAGGGGAUGCCUGCCGGGGCAUCCCCAAGCUUAGGCAUUUGAGUCUUCCUUGAAUAUUACCUUGGGGUGCCUUGGGCAUCCCCAAGCAUAGGGUCUUUCCACUCCUUAUUCUCCUCAUAUCGAUAUCUCACCCAAAGCUUGAAAACUUCAAUCACACAUAACUUAAUGGAACUUCAUGAGAUAGGUUAGUAUGAUAAAGAGUAAACCAUUCACUUUGGUACUGUCAAAGACAAGACUCAUAAUUGUUCUCACACAAUGCCUACUGUACCAUAUCAUUUCUACAAUUUAUAUUGAGAAAUAUAAGUCAUAGAAACUAGAAAACAAGCAAACUAUGCAAUGAAAACAGAAUCUGUCAGAAACAGAACAGUCUGUAAUGAUCUAAACACUAACCAUACUUAUGCUACUAAAAAAAUUAUGAAAUAAAUUGGUGGACGUGUGGAAUUUUUCUAUUAAUCUUCUGCAAAAAGAAUCAGCACCAAAGCACUCUUAUGUAAAAAUGGCAGCUAAUCUCGUGAGCGCAAAGUUUCUGUUUUUUACAGCAAGAUCAUAUUAACUUUCACCCAAGUCUUCCCAAAGGUCUUACUUGGCACUUUAUUGAAACAAAAUCUAUAAAACAUGAUUACUACAGUAUCUUAAUCAUGUAAACACACAAAAACAGUAAGUGUAAAUAUUGGGUUGUCUCCCAACAAGCAUUUUUCUUUAAUGCCUUUUAGCUAGGCAUGAUGGUUUCAAUGAUGCUCACAUAAAAGAUAAGAAUUGAAACAUAAAGAGAGCAUCCCGAAGAAUAUGACUAGCACAUUUAAACCUAACCCACUUCUUGUGCCUAGGGAUUUUGUGAGCACAUGAUUUAUAGGAACAAGAAUCAACUAGCUUAGGAAGGAAAAACAAGUAUAACUACAAAACUUUAAGCAUAUAGAGAGAAAACUUGAUAUUAUUACAACCCUACAAGCAUGUAUUCCUCGCUCAUAAUAAUUUUCAGUAGCAUCAUGAAUGAGUUCAACAAUAUAACCAUCACAUAAAUCAUUCUUUUCAUGAUCUACAAGCAUAUAAAUUUUUCUAUUCUCCACAUAAGCAAAAUUCUUCUCAUUCGAAAUAGCGGGAUCACUAGUUCCUAAAGUUGACACUCUUCCAAACCCACUUUAGAUGAUAUUAUUAUUCAUACUACAAAAUAUAUAAGUGAAGUUCAUGGAGCAUUCUACAAUUAAUAUAGACUAACCAAUAUCCAAGCUCAAAAUGUAUAAGUGAAGCACACGAAACAUUCUAUAAAGCCACACUCAAAAGAUUUAAGUGAAGCUCAAAGAGCAAUUCUGUACGAUCAUACUUAGAAGAUAUAAAUGAAGCACAUGAAGUAUUCUAUAAAUUGAUUAAGGUACAUCUCAUACUAGCAUGGUUCUUAAAGGAAAAUAAAAGCACAAAGGACACAAAUCAUGUGAACAAAACAAAAACCGAGGUAUACUGAUAUUUGUUGAAGAAGAAAGAUGGGAUGCCAACCGGGGCAUACCCAAGCUUAGAUGCUUGAGUAUCCUUAAAAUAUUUACUUGGGAUGCCUUGGGCAUCCCCAAGCUUGAGAUCUUGCCUCUCUUUAUUCUUCUCACAUCAGUGACUCCUCGUUCUUCGAACACUUCAUCCACACAAAACUUUAACAAAAACUUUGUGAGAUCCAUUAGUAUAAUAAAGCAAAUCACUACCUUUAGGUACUGUUUCAAACCCAUUAAAAUUUAAUAUUAGAACUAUAUCUACUGUAUUCCAACUUCUCUAUGGUUCAUACCCUCCGAUACUAGCCAUAGAUGCGUCAAAAUAAGCAAACAACACACGAAAAAUAGAAUCUGUCUAAAACAGGACAGUCUGUAGUAAUCUGGAGGUUUAGUAAACUUCUGUAACUCCAAUAAUUAUGAAAUAAAUUUUAAAAUUUGAAACAUUUGUACAGAAGUAAUGUGCAAAAAGUUUCAGACCCAUUUGACUUCCCAGUAAAAAAUGUAAAAUCACGCGCUACAGCCAAAGUUUCUGUUUUUGUUCUGCGCAUAGUAGACAAGCAAUCUAAUCAUCCUAAAACCAAAGCUUAGCACAUUAUUUUUAUAAUAUCAUGGAUAUAUGUAAGGGGAUAAUUAUUUACACAGAAACUUCCAUGAAAAAUUCUACAUUGUUCCGUGAGCAUGAACACGAGUGCUCAAGGUCGAGCCUCACUUCUUCAAUGCAUAACUUUCCAAUCACUUCUCUUUUUGAAAAACUUUUUAGGCAUGAGAGGCAAGUAAAUUUUUUUGGAUUUUCAUUCUUUUAGUUUUUUGUAUGUUUCACCCACAUCUAAACAUAAAAAAAAGGAAAAACAAAAUCUACUUAGUGAAGAAAGCAAAUAAGCAUACACGAAAAUAUCAACCCCACGCUAUUGCUCCCCGGCAACGGCGCCAGAAAAGAGCUUGAUAAUCCCCAAGUGCAGGGAAUCAUCGUAGCAAUUUCCAAAGGUGGAAGUGAUAAGUAUGGAGUGUCGAACCCACAAGGAGCUAAAGGUAAGAUCAAUAUUCUCUCAAGCCCUAUCUGCCACUGAUACGACUCUAUGUACAUCGAACGUUUGCUUCCAACUAGAAACGAGAAAUAGAACUAUGUUGUGGGUAUGAAGAGGAUAACUUUGCAUGAUAUCGGAGAGCUAAAAUAUGAAAGUAGGUGUUUUUAUCAUAAAUUUAGAAUAUAUUACCAAAUAUUAUAAAUAGUGAGUAUGGAAUAAGGGUGGAUCGGUGUGCGGAAUUGUCCUAGGCAAUUGUUAACAAGACCGGUAAUCACUAUUGCAGUUUCAUAUGAGGGAGAGGCAUAAGCUAACAUACUUUCUCUACUUGGAUCAUAUGCACUUAUGAUUGGAACUCUAGCAAGCAUCCGCAACUACUAAAGAUCAUUAAGGUAAAACCCAACCAUAGCAUUAAAGCAUCAAGUCCUCUUUAUCCCAUAUGCAACAACCCCCUUACUCGGGUUUGUUUUUCAGUCACUCAUGCAACCCACUAUAAGCAAAUCAUAAACGUAUUGCAACACCCUACAACGGGAAUCCCUCAGGCUUGCGUGCACGGAGGGCACCAUAGGACAACACCAAAGUAAAACAUACAACUCAUACCAAUCUAGAUCAUCAAUCAACCCAAAGACAAAGGAUAUCUACUCAAAACAUCAUAGGAUGGCAACACAUCAUUGGAUCAUAAUAUGUGGCAUAAAGCACCAUGUUCAAGUAGGGAUUACAGCGGGGUGCGGGAGUGUGGACCGCGUAAAAGAGAUGAGGAUGGUGAUGAUGAUGGUGAUGUUGAUGAAGACGAUCACCACGGCGAUCAUUCCCCUCUCGAUGGCACUCCGAUGCCACCAAGAGAGAGGAGGAGAGGUUCUUCCCCUUAUGCUUCCUCCUCCAUGGCCUCCCCCUGGAUGGGGAGAGGUUCUCCCUCUGGUCCUUGGCCUUCAUGAUGCUGAUGGCCCCUCCGGGAUCCUCCUCCAUGCCUUCUGGUGAUGAUGGCCCCCUCCGACAGGGUGCCAGAGAGGGCCUAGAUUGGUUUUCGGCGGCUACGGAGGCUUCUGGCGGUAGAACUCCCGAUCUAGGUUAAUUUUCCGAGGUUUCUGUAUUUAUAGGAAUUUUUGGCAUCGGUCUCACGUCAAGGAGGUGCCCGGGGCGUCCACGAGGCAGGCCCACGCGCCUGGGGGGGCACCCUCGUGGACGCCCCGAGACUCUCCUGGCCCAACUCUUUUACUCCGGGGUCUUCUUUUGUUCCAUAAAAAUCGUCAAAAUUGGCACGUCAAUUGGACUCUGUUUGAUAUUCCUUUUCUGUAAAACUGAAAAAGAAGGAAAAAACAGAAACUGGCACUGGGCACUAGGUUAAUAGGUUAUUCCCAAAAAUCAUAUAAAAUAGCAUAUAAAUGCAUAAAAACAUCCAAGGUUGAUAAUAUAAUACCAUGAAUACUUCAUAAAUUAUAGAUACGUUGGAGACGUAUCACUGCUUUGAAAGUAGCAAAUGAAGGAGUCUGGAUGAAGGAGUUCAUAUCCGAUAUAGGUGUAAUACCUAGUGCAUCGGGUCCAAUGAAAAUCUUUUGUGACAAUACUGGUGCAAUUGCCUUGGCAAAGGAAUCCCGAUUUCAGAAGAGAACCAAGCACAUCAAGAGACGCUUCAAUUCUAUCCGCGAUCAAGUAAAGGAGGGAGACAUAGAGAUUUGCAAGAUACAUACGGAUCUGAAUGUUGUAGACCCAUUAACUAAGCCUCUCUCAUGAGCAAAACAUGAUUAGCACCAAGACUCCAUGGGUGUUAUAAUCAAUACAAUGUAAUCUAGAUUAUUGAGUCUAGUGCAAGUGGGAGACUGAACCAAAUAUGCCCUAGAGGCAAUAAUAAAGUUGUUAUUUAUAUUUCCUUAUAUCAUGAUAAAUGUUUAUUAUUCAUGAUAGAAUUGUAUUAACUGGAAACUUAGUACAUGUGUGAAUACAUAGACAAACAGAGUGUCACUAGUAUGCCUCUACUUGACUAGCUCGUUGAAUCAAUGAUGGUUAUGUUUCCUGACCAUAGACAUGAGUUGUCAUUUGAUUAACAGGAUCACAUCAUUGGAGAAUGAUGUGACUGACUUGACCCAUCCAUUAGCUUAGCACGAUGAUCGUUUAGUUUGUUGCUAUUGCUUUCUCCAUAACUUAUACAUGUUCCUAUGACUAUGAGAUCAAGCUACCGGAGGAACACUUAGUGUGAUAUCAAACGUCACAAUGUAACUGGGUGACUAUAAAGAUGCUCUACAUGUGUCUCCGAUGGUGUUUGUUGAGUUGGCAUAGAUCGAGGUUAGGAUUUGUCACUCCGAGUAUCGAAGAGGUAUCUCUGGGCCCUCUCGGUAAUGCACAUCAUUGUAAGCCUUGCAAGCAAUGUGACUAAUGAGUUAUUUAUGGGAUGAUGCAUUACGGAACGAGUAAAGAUACUUGCCGGUAACGAGAUUGAACUAGGUAUUGAGAUACCGACGAUCGAAUCUCGGGCAAGUAACAUACCGAUGACAAAGGGAACAACGUAUAUCGUUAUGUGGUUUGAAUUAUAAAGAUCUUCGUAGAAUAUGUGGGAGCUAAUAUGAACAUCCAGGUUCCACUAUUGGUUAUUGACCGGAGACGUGUCCCAGUCAUGUCUACAUAGUUCUCGAACUCGUAGGGUCCGCAUGCUUAACGUUGAGUGACGAUCGGUAUGAUGUACCAAAGGUAGUUUGGAGUCCCAGAUAUGAUUGCGGACGUGACAAGGAGUCUCAAAAUGGUUGAGACAUAAAGAUUUAUAUAUUGGAUGACUAUAUUCGGACACCGGAUGAGUUUCGGGGGUCACCGGAUAAUUAUCGGAGUAUCGGGGGGUUGUCGGAACCCCCGGGGGAACUAAUGGGCCACAUGGGCCUUAGUGGGAGAGAGAGAGAGGGCCGGCCAAGGCAGGGUCGUUCACCCCUCCCCCUCUAGUUUGAAUUGGACUAGGGAAGGGGGAGACGCCCCCCUUUCCUUCUCUUCUCCCCCUCUCUUUCCUUCCCCCUUCCUCCUCCUAGUAGGACUAGGAAAGUGGAGUCCUACUCCUACUAGGAGGAGGAAUCCACCCUUCCUUGGCGCGCCACCAAGGGCCAGCAGGCCUCCCCCUUGCUCCUUUAUAUAUGGGGGCAGGGGCACCCCAUAGACACACAAGUUGAUCAUUGAUCCCUUAGCCGUGUGCGGUGCCCCCCUCCACCAUAAUCCACCUCGGUCAUAUCGUCGUAGUGCUUCGGCGAAGCCCUGCGCCGGUAGCUUCAUCAUCACCGUCAUCAUGGUGUCGUGCUGACGAAGCUCUCCCUUGACACUCAGCUGGAUCGAGAGUUCGUGGGAUGUCACCGAGCCGAACGUGUGCAGAUCGCGGAGGUGCCGUACUUUCAGUACUAGGAUCGGUCAGAUCAUGAAGACGUACGACUACAUCAACCGCAUUGUCAUAACGCUUCCGCUUACGGUCUACGAGGGUACAUGGACAACACUCUUCCCUUCUCAUUGCUAUGCAUCACCAUGAUAGAUCUCGCGUAGGAAAAUUUUGAAAUUACUGCGUUCCCCAACAUCCAAAAACCUAAUUGCGGGCAAUUUCCUGGACUGACAAUGGCUGGUUUUGUCGAUGCUAUGAGGACAGAAAGUUUUAAGGGUACCAACUUCAAGAGAUGGCAAGUGAGAUGCCAACUUUGGCUCCAGUCCAUGAAAGUUUGGGACCUGAUAAGUAAUGGUCUUCUUGAAGGUGCAUCUGAGGAAGAUCAUAAAAAGCACAAGGAAACCAAUACUAAUUUCAGAGGCUGUGUUCUGAGCGUCCUUGAUGGGUGUCUGUGCGAUGUGUAUAUGCACAUCAAAGACGCUAAGGAGAUCUGGGAUGCAUUGAAUACUAAGUUCGGUGCAACCAAUGCAGGCAGUGAGUUGUACGUCAUGAGGAACUUUCACGAUUACAAGAUGGUGAAUAACCGUUCUGUAGUUGAACAGGCUCAUGAAAUACAGUGCAUUGUGAUAUGUCUCCAACAUAUCUAUAAUUUUUGAUUGUUACAUGCUAUAAUAUUAUCUGUUUUGGAUGUUUUAUAUGCAUUAAUAUGCUAUUUUAUAUGAUUUUUGGGACUAACCUAUUAACCUAGAGCCUAGUGCUAGUUUCUGUUUUUUCCUUGUUUUAGUGUUUCGCAGAAAAGGAAUACCAAACAGAAUAAAACUUUUGCCAUGAUUUUUCUUGGACCAGAAGACACCCAGGAGACUUGGAGUACAAGUGAAAGGAGCCUUGAGGAGGCACAAGGGUGGAGGGCGCGCCCAGGGGGUGGGGCGCACCCCCGGCCUUGUGGGCCCCUCGUAGCUCCCCUGACCUAAUUCUUCUGCCUAUAUAUACUCUUAUACCCCCAAAACAUCCAGGGGAGCCAGGAAACCACUUUUCCACCGCCGCAACCUUCUGUACCCGUGAGAUCCCAUCUUGGGGCCUUUUUCGGCAUCCUGUCGAAGGGGGAAUCGAUCAUGGAGGGCUUCUACAUCAACAAAAUUGCCUCUCCGACGAAGCGUGAGUAGUUUACUUCAGACCUACAGGUCCAUAGCUAGUAGCUAGAUGGCUUCUUCCUCUCUUUGAUUCUCAAUACAAAGUUCUCCUUGAUGUUCUUGGAGAUCUAUUCGAUGUAAUACUCUUUUGUGGUGUUUUUGCCGAGAUCCGAUGAAUUGUGGAUUUAUGAUCAGCUCAUUUGUGAAUAUUAUUUGAAUCUCCUCUGAAUUCUUAUAUGCAUGAUUUGAUAUAUUUGCAAGUCUUCGAACUAUCAAUUUGGUUUGGCCAACUAGAUUGGUUUUUCUUGCAAUGGGAGAAGUGCUUAGCUUUGGGUUCAAUCUUGCGGUGCUCGGUCCUAGUGAUAGUAGGGGCUAUUGUAUUGUUGCCAUCAAGGAUAACAAGAUGGGGUUUUCACCAUAUUGCUAGAGUUAAUCCCGCUACAUCAUGUAAUCUUAUUUAAUGCGUUACUCUGUUCUUAUGAACUUAAUACUCUAGAUACAGGCAUGAGUCGGUCGAUGUGUGGAGUAAUAGUAGUAGAUGCAUAAUCGUUUUGGUCUACUUGACAUGGAUGUGAUGCUUAUAUUCAUGAUCAUUGCCUUAUAUAUCGUCAUAACUUUGCGCUUUUCUAUCAAUUGCUUCAUAGUAAUUUGUCACCCACCGUAAUAUUUUCUAUCUUGAGAGAAGCCUCUAGGGAAACCUAUGGCCCCCGGGUCUAUUUUACAUCAUAUUAGUUUCCCGUCAACUUGCCAAUUUCUGUCGCCGUUCCCUUACUUUGCAAUCUUUUACUUUCCGUUCCAUAAACCAAAAAUACCAAAAAUAUUACUUUACCGUAUAUCCAUCUCUAUCAGAUCUCACCUUACGAAUAGCCAUGAAGGGAUUGACAACCCCUUUGUCGCGUUGGUUGCAAGUUGGUGUUUGUUUGUGCAGGUAUUCGGUGGCUUGUUGCAUCUCCUACUGGAUUGAUACCUUGGUUCUCAAAACUGAGGGAAAUACUUACACUCCUUUGCUGUAUCACCCUUUCCUCUUCAAGGGAAAAACCAACGCAAGCUCAAGAGGCAGCAAGAAGGAUUUCUGGUGCCAUUGUUGGGGAGAUCUACAGCAAGUCAAGACAUACCAAGUACCCAUCAUAAACUCUCAUCUCUUACAUUACAUUAUUCACCAUUCGCCUCUCGUUUUCCUCUCCCCCACUUCUAAAACGAUCUUCGAAAAGAUUCGCCUUUUCUUCGCCCCUCUUCCAUUCGUUUUCCUCGUUUGCUUUUUGUGUGCUCGUGUGUUGGAUUGCUUGCUUUGUCAUGAUGGCUCAAAAUAAUACCAACUUGUGUGACUUUUCCAAUACCAACAAUAAUGAUUUUAUUAGUACUCCAAUUUCUCCCGAUGCUAAUGCGAAAUCUUGUGAGAUUAAUACUGCUUUUGCUGAAUCUUAUUUUGAAAGAUCAAUUUUCCGGCCUUCCCAAUGAAGAUGCAGCAUCCCAUCUUAAUAAUUUCAUUGAUUUGUGCGAUAUUCAAAAGAAAAAAGAUGUGGAUAAUGAUAUUGUUAAGUUGAAGUUAUUUCCAUUCUCGCUUAGGGAUCGCGCUAAAACUUUGUUUUCAUGUUUGCCUAAAAAUAGUAUUGAUUCAUGGAAUAAGUGUAAAGAUGCUUUUAUUUCCAAGUAUUUUCCUCCCGCUAAGAUAAUCUCCCUUAGGAACAAUAUUAUGAAUUUGAAGCAACUUGAUCAUGAACAUGUUGCACAAUCUUGGGAGAGGAUGAAUGCUUUGUGUGAUUUGGGUGCUAGUGUUUCCACGAUUCCGAAAACUUUAUGUCAUGUGUUAGGUUUCCGUGAAUUUGAUGAUUGUUCCUUAAAUUUGAAUCUUGCGGAUUCCACUACUGAUAAACCCAUGGUAAGAAUUAAUGAUGUUCUUAUUGUUGCUAAUAGGAAUUAUGUGCCCGUAGAUUUCAUUGUUCUUGAUAUAGAUUGCAAUCCUACAUGUCCUAUUAUUCUUGCUAGACCUUCCCUUAGAAUGAUUGGUGCAAUUAUUGAUAUGAAAGAAGGAAACAUUAGAUUUCAAUUUCCAUUAAGGAAAGGCAUGGAACACUUUGCAAGAAAGAAAAUUAAAUUGCCUUAUGAAUCUAUUAUGAGAGCCACUUAUGGAUUGCAUGUCAAAUAUGAUAAUACUUAGAUCUAUUCGUGUUUUUAUGCCUAGCUAGGGGCGUUAAACAAUGGUGCUUGUUGGGAGGCAACCCAAUUUUAUUAUUGUUCUUGCUUUUGAGGUCCUGUUUUGCUUUGAAUAAACCAACUAGCCUCAGGUUAGAUGUGGUUUUGUGUUUUAAUUAGUUCUUGUGCCAAGUAAGACCUUUGGGAUAGCUUACGAUGAUAGCUAAUUUGAUCCUGCUGAAAAAUAGAAAAUUGUGCGCCCAGGAGAUUAGUUUUGAUUCUUAACAGAAGGGCGAUAAAAUACUAAUUAUUUUUGUAGAGGAUUAAUAAACAAAUUAUCUAGUACUUCCUAAUUUCUCAGAAGUUUUGUAGUUACAAAAGUAUUCGAAAUCUCCAUAUUGCUACAGCUAUUCUAUUUUUGACAGAUUCUGUUUUUCGCAUGUUGUUUGCUUGUUUUGAUGCAUCUAUGGCAAGUAUCGGGGGUAUGAACCAUGUAAAAGUUGGAACACAAUAGAUAUUACAGAAAUACAAAUAAAGAAUGAGUUCACAACAGUACCAAAAGUGGUGAUUUAUUUUCUUAUACUAACGGAGCUUACGAGAUUUUCUUUUGGAGUUUUGUGUUGUGAAGUUUUCGAGUUUUGGGUAAGGAUUUGAUGGACUAUGGAAUAAGGAGUGGCAAGAGCCUAAGCUUGGGGAUGCCCAAGGAACCCCAAGGUAAUAUUCAAGGAUGUCAAAAAGCCUAAGAUUGGGGAUGCCCCCGGAAGGCAUCCCCUCUUUUGUCUUCGUCUAUCGGUAACUUUACUUGAGGGUAUAUUUUCAUUCACCACAUGAUAUGUGUUUUGCUUGGAGCGUCUUGUAUGAUUUGAUUCUUUUCUUUUUAGUUUUCCACAAUAAUCCUUGAUGUACACACCUUUUUAGAGAGAUAGGCAUGAAUCAUGAUUUAUUAGAAUGCUCUAUGUGCUUCACUUAUAUCUUCUGAGCUAGGCAAAAUUUGCUCUAGUACUUCACUUAUAUCUUUUUAGAGCACGGCGGUGGUUUUAUUUUAUAGAAAUUGAUAAACUCUCGUACUUCACUUAUAUCAUUUUGAGAGUCUCUAAACAGCAUGGUAAUUUUCUUUGGUUAUAAAAUUAGUCCUAAUAUGAUAGGUAUUCAAGAGGGUUAUAAUAAAAACUUUCAUAUAAAGUGCAUUGAAUACUAUGAGAACUUUGAUUCCUUAUGAUUGUUUUGAGAUAUGAAGAUGGUGAUAUUAGAUUCAUGCUAGUAAGUAGUUGUGAAUUUGAGAAAUACUUGUGUUAAAGUUUGUGAGUCCCGUAGCAUGCACGUAUGGUGAACCAUUAUGUGAUGAAGUCGGAGCAUGAUUUAUUUAUUGAUUGUCUUCCUUAUGAGUGGUGGUCGGGGACGAUCGAUGGUCUUUUCCUACCAAUCUAUCCCCCUAGGAGCAGGCGUGUAGUACUUUGUUUCGAUGACGAAUAGAUUUUUGCAAUAAGUAUGUGAGUUCUUUAUAACUAAUGUUGAGUCCAUGGAUUAUACGCACUCUCACCUUUCCGCCAUUGCUAGCCUCUCUAGUACCACGCAACUUUCGCCGGUCCCAUAAACCCACCACAUAUCCUUCCUCAAAACAGCCACCAUACCUACCUAUUAUGGCAUUUCCAUAGCCAUUCCAAGAUAUAUUGUCAUGCAACUUUCCACCAUUCCGUUUACUAUGACACACUCCAUCAUUGUCAUAUUGCUUUGCAUGAUCAUGUAGUUGCCAUCGUAUUUGUCGCAAAGCCAUCAUUCAUCAUGUUUUAUACAUGUCUCUCUUGAUUCAUUGCAUAUCCCGGUACACCGCCGGAGGCAUUCACAUAGUCAUAUUUUGAUCUAAGUAUCAAGUUGUAAUUCUUGAGUUGUAAGUAAAUAAAAGUGUGAUGAUCUUCAUUAUUAGAGGAUUGUCCCAUGUGAGGAAAGGAUGAUGGAGACUAUGAUUCCCCCACAAGUCGGGAUGAGGCUCCGGACGAAAAAAAAAGAGGCCAAAAAAAUGAGAGAAGGCCCAAAUAAAAAAACAUGAGAGAAAAGGAGAGAAGGGACAAUGUUACUAUCCUUUUUACCACCCUUGUGCUUCAAAGUAGCACCAUGAUCUUCAUGAUAGAGAGUCUCCUAUGAUAUCACUUUCAUAUACUAGUGGGAUUUUUUUCAUUAUAGAACUUGGCUUGUAUAUUUCAAUGAUGGGCUUCCCCAAAUUGCCCUAGGUCUUCGUGAGCAAGCGAGUUGGAUGCACACCCACUUAGUUUCUUUUUGAGCUUUCAUAAACUUAUAGCUCUUGUGCAUCUGUUGCAUGGCAAUCCCUACUCAAUCACAUUGAUAUCUACUAAUGGGCAUCUCGAUAGCCCGUUGAUAUGCCUAGUUGAUGUGAGACUAUCUCCUUUUUGUCUUCUCCACAACCACCAUCUAUUCCAACUAUAGUGCUAUAUCCAUGACUCACGCUCAUGUAUUGCGUGAAAGUUGAAAAAGUUUGAGAACAUCAAAAGUAUGAAACAAUUUCUUGGCUUGUCAUCGGGGUUGUGCAUGAUUUAAAUAUUUUGUGUGAUGAAGAUGGAGCAUAGCGAGACUAUAUGAUUUUUUAGGGAUAAGCUUUCUUUGGCCAUGUUGUUUUGAGAAGACAUGAUUAUUUUGUUAGUAUGCCUGAAGUAUUAUUGUUUUUAUGUCAAUAUUAAACUUUUUUUUUGAAUCUUACACAUCUGAACAUUUGAUAACCCACAAGUAUAGGGGAUCGCAACAGUUUUCGAGGGUAGAGUAUUCAACCCAAAUUUAUUGAUUCGACACAAGGGGAGCCAAAGAAUAUUCUCAAGUAUUAGCAGCUGAGUUGUCAAUUCAACCACACCUGGAAACUUAAUAUCUGUAGCAAAGUAUUUAGUAGCAAAGUAAUAUGAUAGUAGUGGUAACGGUAGCAAAAGGUAAUAGUAGUAAAAGUAGUGUUUUUGGUAUUUUGUAGUGAUGAUAGCAAUAGCAACGGAAAAGUAAAUAAGCGAAGAACAAUAUAUGGAAAGCUCGUAGGCAACGGAUCGGUGAUGGAGAAUUAUGCCGGAUGUGGUUCAUCAUGUAACAGUCAUAACCUAGGGUGACACAGAACUAGCUCCAGUUCAUCAAUGUAAUGUAGGCAUGUAUUUCGAAUAUCGUCAUACGUGCUUAUCGAAAAGAACUUGCAUGACAUCUUUUGUCCUACCCUCCCGUGGCAGCGGGGUCCUUAUGGAAACUAAGGGAUAUUAAGGCCUCCUUUUAAUAGAGUACUGGAACAAAGCAUUAACACAUAGUGAAUACAUGAACUCCUCAAACUACGAUCAUCACCGGUAAGUAUCCCGAUUAUUGUCACUUCGGGGUUAACGGAUCAUAACACAUAAUAGGUGACUAUAGACUUGCAAGAUAGGAUCAAGAACUCUCAUAUAUUGAUGAAAACAUAAUAGGUUCAGAUCUGAAAUCAUGGCACUCGGGCCCUAGUGACAAGCAUUAAGCAUAGCAGAAUCAUAGCAACAUCAAUCUCAGAACAUAGUGGAUACUAUGGAUCAAACCCUAACAAAACUAACUUGAUUACAUGAUAGAUCCCAUCCAACCCCUCACCGUCCAGCAAGCCCAUGAUGGAAUUACUCACGCACGGCGGUGAGCAUCAUGAAAUUGGUGAUGAAGGAUGGUUGAUGAUGACGAUGGCGAAGGAUUCCCCUCUCCGGAGCCUCGAACGAACUCCAGAUCAGCCCUCCCGAGAGGUUUUAGGGCUUGGCAGCGGCUCCGUAUCGUAAAACGCGAUGAAUUCUUCUCUCGGAUUUUUUCUCCCUGAAACACAAUAUAUAGAGUUCGAGUUGGAGUUGGAGGAGCUUCAGGGGGCCCAUGAGGCACGGGGCGCGCCCCCCACCCUCGUGGACAGGUGGUGGGCCCCCUGGCCUUCCUCUUUUGCAGGUAUUUUUAUAUUUUCCAAAAAGUUGCUCUGUGAAGUUUCAGGUCAUUCCGAGAACGUUUCUUUCUGCACAUAAAUAACAUCAUGGUAAUUCUACUGAAAACAGCGUCAGUCCGGGUUAGUUCCAUUCAAAUCAUGCAAGUUAGAGUCCAAAACACGGGCAAAAGUGUUUGGAAAAGUAGAUACGACGGAGAUGUAUCAACUCCCCCAAGCUUAAACCUUUGCUUGUCCUCAAGCAAUUCAGUUGAUAAACUGAAAGAGAUAAAGAAAAACUUUUACAAACUCUGUUUGCUCUUGUUGUUGUAAAUAUGUAAAGCCAGCAUUCAAGUUUUCAGCAAAGAUUAUAACUAGCCGCAUUCGCAAUAACGCUUAGGUCUGAAGUUUACUCAUAUCAAUAGCAUAAUCAACUAGCGAGCAAUAAUAAUAAAUCUCGGAUGACAACACUUUCUCAAAACAAUCAUAAUAUGAUAUAACAAGAUGGUAUCUCGCUAGCCCUUUCUGAGACCGCAAAACAUAAAUGCAGAACACCUUUAAAGACCAAGGACUGGCUAGACAUUGUAAUUCAUGGCAAAAGAGAUCCAGUCAAGUCAUACUCAAUGUAAACUAACAGUAAUGACUGCAAACGACAGCGGUGCUCUCCAACUGGUGCUUUUUAAUAAGAGGAUGAUGACUCGGCAUAAAAGUAAAUAGAUAGGCCCUUCGCAGAGGGAAGCAGGGAUUUGUAGAGGUGCGAGAGCUCGGUUUUGAAAUAGAGAUGAAUAAUAUUUUGAGCGGUAUACUUUCAUUGUGAACAUAACAACCAAGAGAUGGCGGUAUCUUCCAUGCUACACACAUUAUAGGCGGUUCCCAAACAGAAUGGUAAAGUUUAUACUCCCCCUUCCACCAAUAGGCAUCAACACAUAGUAGGUGACUAUAGAAUUGACCAAAGCAUUAACACAUAGUGAAUACAUGAACUCCUCAAACUACGGUCAUCACCAGGAGUGGUCCUGAUUAAUGUCACUUCGGGGUUGCCGGAUCAUAACACAUAGUAGGUAACUAUAGACUUGCAAGAUAGGAUCAAGAACACUCAUAUGUUGAUGAAAACAUAAUAGGUUCGGAUCUGAAAUCAUGGCACUCGGGCCCUAGUGAGAAGAAUUAAGCAUAGCAAAGUCAUAACAACAUCAAUCUCAAAACAUAGUGGAUACUAGGGAUCAAACCCUAACAAAACUAACUUGAUUACAUGAUAAAUUUCAUCCAACCCAUCACCGUCCAGCAAGCCUACGAUGGAAUUACUCACGCACGGCAGUGAGCAUCAUGAAACUGGUGCUGGAGGAUGGUUGAUGAUGAUGAUAGCGACGAAUUCCCCUCUCCGGAGCCCCGAAAGGACUCCAGAUCAGCCCCCGAGAGGUUUUAGGGCUUGGCGGCGGCUCCGUAUCGUAAAACGAGAUGAAUCCUUCUCCUUUAUUUUUUUCUCCCUGAAAGAAAAUAUAUAGAGUUGGAGUUGAGGCCGGAGGAGCUCCAGGGGCCCACGAGGUAGGGGGCGCGCCCCCACCCUCGUGGCUAGGGGUGUGGGCCCCCUGGCCUUGAUCUUUUGCCAGUAUUUUUCAUUAUUUCCAAAAAGACGCUCCGUGGAGUUUCAGGUCAUUCCGAGAACUUUUGUUUCUGCACAUAAAUAACACCAUGGCAAUUCUGCUGAAAACAGCAUUAGUCUGGGUUAGUUCCAUCCAAAUCAUGCAAGUUAGAGUCCAAAACAAGGGCAAAAGUGUUUGGAAAAGUAGAUACGACGGAGACGUAUCAACUCCCCCAAGCUUAAACAUUUGCUUGUCCUCAAGCAAUUCAGUUGAUAAACUGAAAGUGAUAAAGAAAAAUUUUACAAACUCAGUUUGCUCUUGUUGUUGUAAAUAUGUAAAGCCAGCAUUCAAGUUUUCAGCAAAGAUUAUGAACUAACCAUAUUCACAAUAACUCUCAGGUCUCAUGUUUACUCAUAUCAAUGGCAUAAUCAACUAGAGAGCAAUAAUAAUAAAUCUCGGAUGACAAUACUUUCUCAAAACAAUCAUAAUAUGAUAUAACAAGAUGGUAUCUCGCUAGCUCUUUCUGAGACCGCAAAACAUAAAUGCAGAGCACCUUUAAAGAUCAAGGACUGGCUAGACAUUGUAAUUCAUGGUAAAAGAGAUCCAGUUAAGUCAUACUCAAUGUAAACUAACAGUAAUGAAUGCAAAUGACAACGGUGCUCUCAAACUGGUGCUUUUUAAUAAGAGGAUGAUGACUCAACAUGAAAAUAAAUAGAUAGGCCCUUCGCAGAGGGAAGCAGGGAUUUGUAGAGGUGCCAGAGCACGGUUGUGAAAUAGAGAUGAAUAAUAUUUUGAGCGGUAUACUUUCAUUGUCAACAUAACAACCAAGAGAUGGCAAUAUGUUCCAUGCUACACACAUUAUAGGCGGUUCCCAAACAGAAUGGUAAAGUUUAUACCCCUCCUCCACCAACAAGCAUCAAUCCAUGGCUUGCUCGAAACAACGAGUGCCUCCAACUAACAAGAGUCCCAGGGGGAGUUUUGUUUGCAAUUAUUUUGAUUUAGUUUGCAAAAAGCAUGGGACUAGGCAUCCUGGUGACCAGCCACUUUCUCGUGAGUGAGGAGCGGAGUCCUCUCCUCUUGAGAAUAACCCGCCUAACAUGGAAUAUACAGACAGCCCUAGUUGAUACAUGAGCUAUUCGAGCAUACAAAACAGGAUAUUUAUUUGAAGGUUUAGAGUUUGGCACAUACAAAUUUACUUGGAAUGGCAGGUAGAUACCGUAUAUAGGUAGGUAUAGUGGACUCAUGUGGAAUAACUUUGGGGUUUAAGGGACUGGAUGCACAAGCAGUAUUCCUUCUUAGUACAGGCGAAGGCUAGCAAAAGACUAGGAAGCGACCAGCCAAAGAGCGACAAUAGUCAUGAACAUGCACUAAAAUUAAUCAACACCGAAUGCAAGCAUGAGUAGGAUAUAAUUCACCAUGAACAUAAAUAUCAUGAAGGCUUUGUUGAUUUCGUUUCAACUACAUGAGUGAACAUGCGCCAAGUCAAGUCACUUAAAUCAUUCAGAGGAGGAUACCACGCUAUCAUACCACAUCACAACCAUUUUAAUAGCAUGUUGGCACGCAAGGUAAACCAUUAUAACUCAUACCUAAUCAAGCAUGGCACAAGAAACUAUGAUCUCUAGUUGUCAUUGCAAACAUGUUUAUUCAUAAUAGGCUGAAUCAGGAACGAUGAACUAAUCAUAUUUACAAAAACAAAAGAGGUCGAGUUCAUACCAGCUUUUCUCGUCUCAGUCAGUCCAUCAUAUAUCGUCAUAAUUGCCUUUCACUUGCACGACCGAACGAUGUGAAAAAUAAUAAUAGUGCACGUGCAUUGGACUAAGCUGGAAUCUGCAAGCAUUCUAUAAACAGGAGAAGACAAGGCAAUGUGGGCUCUUUUGUCAGAUCAACAAUUAUGCAUACAAGAGUCGCUUCAACAAUUUAAUUAUGGUCUUCUCCUAUCGACCCCCAAAGAAAAGAGAAGAAAUAAAACUAUUUACAUGGGAGAGCUCCCAACAAGUAAAAGAAGAACAUGAAAUCUUUUUGGGUUUUCUUUUUAAUUACUACUACAAGCAUGGAAAGUAAACUAAUUAAAAGCUACAACUAAUUUUUUUUGGUUUUUCUUAAGGUUUAUUAACCACACAAGAAGAAAGCAUAAAAAGGAAAUAAACUAGCAUGGAUGAUACAAAUGAAAAAGUAUGAGCACCGACAUCUAGCAACGAGUGUGUGAACAUAAAUGUAAUGUCGGUGGGAAAUACGUACUCCCUCAAGCUUAGGCUUUUGGCCUAAGUUGGUCUAUGGCCACGGCUGGCCUGGCUGAUAUCCAUAGUAAAAGUUGGGGUCGUACUGAGAUGCAGCGGCUAUCGCCUCCUGAGCUGCAGCGUGGCGACGAGCGGCCUCCGCUCUCCUCUCGUACUCAUCUGCCUCCUCUCUGGUAAUAACAUAUCUUCCUUUUGCCUGAUGAUCAAAGAAGGCAGGAGCAGGGAGAGUAAUAUGGACAGCAUGGCGUCUGUCAAAGAUUAGUCGAUACUGGAGAGGUGAUUCAUUCCUAUCGACAAACUGGUGGUGAACCAUAGCAUUAAAGUCUAGGUAAGUAGAGGUAAUUCAAUAUCAUCUUCGCGUAUGGCUACACCAAGCAAAUUAGCUAUGCGGGUUGCAUAAAUUCCUCCAAAGAAAUCUCCAUUAAAUCUAUUAAGAUGCAACCUACGUGCAACAAUGGCUCCCAAAUUAUAAGAUUUAUCUCCUAACACAGCACUCCUAAGAAUACUGAGGUCAGGGACACACAUGUGACAUGCCUCAUCUUUACCAUUAAUGCAUCUACCUAUGAAGAGAGCAAAAUAAUGUAUAGCAGGAAAGUGAAUGCUCCGUAUGGUAGCUUGUGUUAUAUCUCUAGAUUCUCCCACAGUUAUGCUGACAAGAAAAUCUCUAAAUUCAGAUUUGCGAGGAUCCCUUAUACUACCCCAUUGUGGAAGUUUGCAAGCAAUGGUAAAAUCCUCUAAGUCCAUAGUAAAAGAAUUUUCAUAAAGAUCAAACAGGACAGUUGGAGAAUUACGUGAAGAUGAAAAUUCAAACCUCCUCACAAAGAAACUAGUGAGAUUGUGAUACUGGCUGCACUUCUCUUCCUCGAAGCUCACAAGAUCAGCGUUACGCAAAUAUGCGUUGAAUUCUUCCUUAAUUCCUGCUCGAUCCAUAAAGUUUUCAGAAGGCCACUCACAAGGACGCAUUGGAGCGUCUCUUGGUGGCUCUUCAUCAGCAUCACGCAUUGCAAGCCCGGGUCCUUGCUUCCUUGAGGAACCACCUUGGAACAUUUUCCUAAGCAUUUUUCUUUCUCUGAAAAAUUCUGAAUUUUUUUAGUAAUUUCAAAAUAAAAGUAAACCAAACUCAAUAAUAUUGAUAGCAACUACUCCUACAAGUGCCUAGGGCCUAUAUCAUGCAUCAAAACUACUUUUGACCAUAUAAAUUUGACAUGCAAGCUCAAGAACAUGGUUACCUAAGCAGCAAAAAUUUGCAAUGAAUAAAGCACUAGAACAAAAACUAAUUGGACCAAUGGAGGAGUCACAUACCAAGGAACAAUCUCCCCCAAGCAGUUUUGUGAGAGGUGCUUUGAGCAAGGAGAUCGAAAAUGGAAGCAAAAUGAGCUUGGACUCGGGUUUGAGCUGGUUAUUCGUGUUUGGGGGAGGAAGGAGUGUGUGUGUGAAAGGAUAAGUGGAGGAGGGCCACUAUGGGCCCACGAGGCAGGGGGCGCGCCCAAGGGGUAGGGCGCACCCUCCACCCUUGUGGGAAGGUGGUUGACCCCCCUGUUGUGUUCUUAGUGCCAAAUAUUCUUAAAUAUUCCAGAAAAAAUCAUAUUUAAAUUUCAGGGCAUUUGGAGAGGUUUUAUUUUCAGGGUAUUUUUAUAUUGCAUGGAUAAUCAGAUAACAGACAGAAAAAUACUAUUUUUAUUUUAUUUAAUAUAAAUAACAUAAAGUAAAAGGAGGGUACAGAAGGUUGUGCCUUCUAGUUUCAUCCAUCUCAUGAUCAUCAAAAGGAAUCCACUAACAAGGUUGAUCAAGUCUUGUUAACGAACUCAUUCCGAAUAACAUGGAACCGGAGAAAUUUCGAAUAACACUAUGUUACCUCAACAGGGAUAUGAACAUCUCCAAUAAUAAGAAUAUCAUAUUUAUUCUUGACAGUAGGAAGAGGAAAUUCAAAACCUCCAAAUAUAAUCGAUGGAAUUUUUCCAAUAGAGUUGAUACUAUGAACUUGAGGUUGUUUCCUUGGAAAGUGUACCAUAUGCUCAUUACCAUUAACAUGAAAAGUGACAUUGCCUUUAGUGAAAUCAAUAACAGCACCUGCGGUAUUCAAAAAGGGUCUUCCAAGAAUAAUAGACAUACUAUCAUCCUCGGGAAUAUCAAGAAUAACAAAGUCCGUUAAAAUAGUAAAGUUUGCAACUACAACAGGCACAUCCUCACAAAUACCAACAGGUAUAACAGUUGAUUUAUCAGCCAUUUGCAAAGAUAUUUCAGUAGGUGUCAACUUAUUCAAAUCAAGUCUACGAUAUAAAGAGAGAGGCAUAACACUAACACCGGCUCCAAGAUCACAUAAAGCAGUUUUAACAUAGUUUCUUUGAAUGGAGCAUGGUAUAGGGGGUACUCCUGGAUCUCCAAGUUUCUUUGGUAUUCCACCCUUAAAAGUAUAAUUAGCAAGCAUGGUGGAAAUUUCGGCUUCCAGUAUCUUUCUUUUAUUAGUAACAAUUUCUUUCAUGUACUUAGCAUAAGGAUUCAUUUUAAGCAUACCAGUCAAUCGCAUACGCAAAAAGAUAGGUCUAAUCAUUUCAGCAAAGCGCUCAAAAUCCUCAUCAUCCUUUUUCUUGGAUGGUUUGGGAGGAAAAGGCAUGGGUUUCUGAACCCAUGGUUCUCUUUCUUUACCGUGUUUCCUAGCAACAAAGUCUUUCUUAUCAUAACGUUGAUUCUUUGAUUGUGGGUUAUCAAGAUCAACAACAGGUUCAAUUUCUAUAUCAUUAUCAUUACUAGGUUGAGCAUCAUCAUGAACAUUAUAAUUAACGUUAUUACUAGUUUCAGGUUCAUUACCAGAUUGAGUUUCAGCAUCAGAAAUAGAAAUAUCAUUUGGAUUCUUAGGUGUUUCAGUAAUAGGUUCACUAGAAGCAUGCAAAGUCCUAUCAUUUUUCUUUUUCUUCUUUUUAGAAGGAUUAGGUGCAUCCACAUUAUUUCUCUGAGAAUGUUGCUCAAUUCUCUUAGGAUGGCCUUCAGGAUACAAAGAGUCAUUCUACCACCUCUAGUCAUAACUCUAACAGCAUUAUCAUUAUCUUUACUAUUCAAUUCAUUGAGAAAAUCAUUUUGAGCUUUAAGCACUUGUUCUACUUGAGUGGUAACCAUAGAAGCAUGUUUACUAAUAAGUUUAAGUUCACCUUUGACAUUAGCCAUAUAAUCACCCAAGUGUUCAAGCAUAUUUGAAUUGUAUUUCAAUUGUCUACCAAAAUAAGCAUUAAAUUCUUCUUGCUUAACCAUAAAUUUAUCAAACUCAUCUAAGCAUGGGCUAGCAAACUUAGUAAAUGGGAUUUCAGCUCUAUCAUAUCUAUAGAGAGAAUUUACCUUUACUACAUGUGUCGGGUUAUCAAGACCAUGAGUUUCUUCAAUAGUUAAUGGAUUAAGAUCAUAUGUUUCUUCAUCAGGCGGUAAAUUAAGACCAUGUAUUUCUUCAAUAGGAGGUAAAUUCUUAACAUCUUCAGCUUUAAUACCUUUUUCUUUCAUAGAUUUAUUUGCCUCUUGCAUAUCUUCAGGACUGAGAAAUAGAAUACCCCUCUUCUUCAGAGUUGGUUUAGGAAUAGGCUCUUGGCUCCGGAGGUGUCCAAUUAUUUUCAUUUGUCAACAUAUUAUUCAAUAGAAUUUCAGCUUCAUCCGGUGUUCUUUCCCUGAAAACAGAACCAGCACAACUAUCCAGGUAAUCUCUGGAGGCAUCGGUUAGUCCAUUAUAAAAGAUAUCGAGUAUUUCAUUUUUCUUAAGAGUAUGAUCAGGCAAAGCAUUAAGUAAUUGGAGAAGCCUCCCCCAAGAUUGUGGGAGACUCUCUUCUUCAAUUUGCACAAAAUUAUAUAUAUCCCUUAAAGCAACUUGUUUCUUAUGAGCAGGGAAAUAUUUAGCAGAGAAGUAAUAAAUCAUAUCCUGGGACUACGCACACAACCAGGAUCAAGAGAACUAAACCAUAUCUUAGCAUCACCCUUUAAUGAGAACAGAAAUAUUUUAAGGAUAUAAAAGUAGCGAGUUAUCUCAUCAUUAGUGAACAGGGUAGCUAUAUCAUUUAAUUUAGUAAGAUGUGCCACAACAGUUUCAGAUUCAUAACCAUGAAAAGGAUCAGAUUCAACCAAAGUAAUUAUAUCAGGAUCAACAGAGAAUUCAUAAUCCUUAUCAGUAACACAGAUAGGUGAAGUAGCAAAAGCAGGGUCAGGUUUCAUCCUAGCAUUUAGAGAUUGCUUAUUCCAUUUAGCUAAGAACCUCUUAAGUUUGUGUCUAUCUUUGCAAGCUAAAAUAGCUAAAGAAGCUUCUUUAUCAAAAACAUAACCCUCAGGAAUAAUAGGCAAGUCUUCAUCAUCAAUUUCAUCAGUAUUAUCAGAUUCAAUAUUUUCAAUCUCUCUAGCCCUAGCAAGUUGUUCAUCAAGAAAUUCACCAAGUGGCACAGUAGUAUCAAGCAUAGAAGUAGUUUCAUCAUAAGUAUCAUGUAUGGCAGAAGUAGCAUCAUCAAUAACAUGCGACAUAAUAGAACAAAUAGCAGAAGCAGGUUUAGGUGUCGCAAGCUUACUUAAAAUAGAAGGUGAAUCAAGUGGAGAGCUAGAUGGCAGUUCCUUACCUCCCCUCAUAGUUGAGGGAUAAAUCUUAGUUCUUGGAUCUUUCAAGUUCUUCAUAAUGAUAAGCAGAUAUAAAUCCCAAGUGACUCAAAGAAUAGAGCUAUGCUCCCCGGCAAUGGCGCCAGAAAAUAGUCUUGAUAACCCACAAGUAUAGGGGAUCGCAACAGUUUUCGAGGGUAGAGCAUUCGACCCAAAUUUAUUGAUUCGACACAAGGGGAGCCAAAGAAUAUUCUCAAGUAUUAGCAGCUGAGUUGUCAAUUCAACCACACCUGGAAACUUAAUAUCUGUAGCAAAGUAUUUAGUAGCAAAGUAAUAUGAUAGUAGUGGUAAUGAUAGCAAAAGGUAACAGCAGUAAAAGUAGUGUUUUUGGUAUUUUGUAGUGAUGAUAGCAAUAGCAACGGAAAAGUAAAUAAGCGAAGAACAAUAUAUGGAAAGCUCGUAGGCAAUGGAUCGGUGAUGGAGAAUUAUGCCGGAUGCGGUUCAUCAUGUAACAGUCAUAACCUAGGGUGACACAGAACUAGCUCCAGUUCAUCAAUGUAAUGCAGGCAUGUAUUCCGAAUAUAGUCAUACAUGCUUACGGAAAAGAACUUGCAGGACAUCUUUUGUCCUACCCUCCCGUGGCAGCGGGGUCCUUACAGAAACUAAGGGAUAUUAAGGCCUCCUUUUAAUAGAGUACCGGAACAAAGCAUUAACACAUAGUGAAUACAUGAACUCCUCAAACUACGGUCAUCACCGGUAAGUAUCCCGAUUAUUGUCACUUCAGGGUUAACGGAUCAUAACACAUAAUAGGUGACUAUAGACUUGCAAGAUAGGAUCAAGAACUCUCAUAUAUUGAUGAAAACAUAAUAGGUUAAGAUCUGAAAUCAUGGCACUCGGGCCCUAGUGACAAGCAUUAAGCAUAGCAAAGUCAUAGCAACAUCAAUCUCAGAACAUAGUGGAUACUAGGGAUCAAAACCUAACAAAACUAACUCGAUUACAUGAUAGAUCCCAUCCAACCCCUCACCGUCCAGCAAGCCUACGAUGGAAUUACUCACGCAUGGCGGUGAGCAUCAUGAAAUUGAUGAUGGAGGAUGGUUGAUGAUGAUGAUGGCGAAGGAUUCCCCUCUCCGGAGCCCCGAACGGACUCCAGAUCAGCCCUCCCAAGAGGUUUUAGGGCUUGGCGGCGGCUCCAUAUUGUAAAACGUGAUGAAUUCUUCUCUCUGAUUUUUUUCUCCCCGAAACACAAUAUAUAGAGUUGGAGUCGGAGGAGCUUCAGGGGCCCCACGAGGCAGGGGGGCGCGCCCCCCACCCUCAUGGACAGGUGGUGGGCCCCCUGGCCUUCAUCUUUUGCAGGUAUCUUUUUAUAUUUUCCAAAAAGUUGCUCUGUGAAGUUUCAGGUCAUUCCGAGAACGUUUGUUUCUACACAUAAAUAACACCAUGGUAAUUCUGCUGAAAACAGCGUCAGUCUGGGUUAGUUCCAUUCAAAUCAUGCAAGUUAGAGUCCAAAACAAGGGCAAAAGUGUUUGGAAAAGUAGAUACGACAGAGACGUAUCAACAUUCAUGCCACAAUAAAUAUAAUUACAUGGAUAAAUAUGUUAGGUAGCAUUCCACAUCAAAAAAAUAUGUUUUUAUCAUUUACCUACUCGAGGACGAGCAGGAAUUAAGCUUGGGGAUGCUUGAUACGUCUCCAAUGUAUCUAUAAGUUUUUAUUGUUCCAUGUUAUUAUAUUAUCUGAUUUGGAUGUUUUAUAUGCAUUAAUAUGUUAUUUUAUACGAUUUUUGGGACUAACCUAUUAAACUAAAGCCCAGUGUCAGUUUUUGUUUUUUUCCUUGUUUUAGACUUUCGCAGAAAAGGAAUACCAAAUGGAGUUCAAAUGGAAUAAAACUUUUGCCAUGAUUUUUCUUGUACUAGAAGACACCCAAGAGACUUGGAGUACAAGUCAGAGGAGCCUCGAGGCGGCCACAAGGAUGGAGAGCGCGCCUAGGGGUGGGCCCCCCGACCUUGUGGGCCCCUCGUAGCUCCCCUGACCUAAUUCUUCUGCCUAUAUAUACUCUUAUACCCCCAAAACAUCCAGGGGAUCCACGAAACCAUUUUUCCAUCGUCGCAACGAUCUGUACCCAUGAGAUCACAUCUUGGGCCUUUUCUGGCAUCCUGCCGGAGGAGGAAUCGAUCAUGUAGGGCUUCUACAUCAACACCAUUGCCUCUCCGAUGAAGCGUGUGUAGUUUACUUCAGACCUAUGGGUCCAUAGCUAGUAGCUAGAUGGAUUCUGAUGUCUACUACACAACCUUCUUCUUGUAGACGUUGUUGGUCCUCCAAGUGUAGAGGUUUGUAGGACAGUAGCAAAUUUCCCUCAAGUGGAUGACCUAAGGUUUAUCAAUCCAUAGGAGGCGUAGGAUGAAGAUGGUCUCUCUCAAGCAACCCUGCAUCCAAAUAACAAAGAGUCUCUUGUGUCCCCAACACACCCAAUACAAUGGUAAAUUGUAUAGGUGAUAUAGGAUGAAAUCCUAGAGGGGGAUCUUUUCACACUUGGUGGGGGGAAAGGGCAAACUCUCAAGAACACAAAGAGGAGAUCACUCAAACAAUUCCCCAAUUACACAUCCACUAGAAUAGCAAUACAAGAUCCACAAGUCACAAACACAAUCAAAGGAAAGAUACAAUGGCAAAGUUCUUCCCACUCCUAGGAGAUGAGGUCUUGAAGAUAGUCUUCUCCUAAAGGAGGUCUUGAAAUCCACUAGGAUUCUUCCCAAAGGGGCCUUGAUCCCACAAGUGGGAAGGUAGAAGGAGAAAAGCUCACAAAUAUCUCAUCUCAUACUUUGCUAACCCUACACAUAGCCCUAGGUACGGUUUAUAUAGUCUUGGGGUCGAACUAGAUGAAGAGGGGUUCGGAUUGGGGAUCACAACCGUCCAUCCCUGGGAGGCCCGUGCGCACAGGGUAAGUUGGGCCCGUGCGCACGGGGGUCCCGUGGGCACGGUACAUGCCCAUGCGCACGGGGUGCUCCAGCGUCAACUCCCUGGAUAGUCUGUGGGCACGAGGUCUCGGGGGCCCGUGCACACGGGGUCACCAGGGACUUCCAGUUUUCCUGCUGUUGCACUCUGUCUUGGUCUGCAUGGCCUUGGGGUGGUUCCUAUUCUCCUUGGGGGUGCUCCUGAGCCUCUUGGUGGUGUUCCUCUUCAUACCUAAUGAGACAUAGCGUAUCUUGGUGAGGUAGCAACAAUGUUCCAUUCUUAUCCAUAUGCAAGCUAAGUAGGAAGGAGUUCACCUCGAUUUCCAAAGCACGUGCUCUAGCUCUUGUCAUAUGUCCACAUGGGGCUUGAUGUGUUGGUGUAGAGUCCAUGGGGAUGAUGGAAGGAUGCUCCGCAUCAUCUCCCCCCCCCCUUGGGAGAGAUCCGUCCACGGAUCGUGAUCUUCAUCACCAUGGUACUUGGCCAAGUCUUUGACGUUGAAUGUGUUGCUCACAUUGUAUUUGUCUCGUGGGAUGUCGACCUUGUAGGCGUUGUCGUUGUAGCGUGCGAGUACCUUGAAUGGGCCAUCGGCUCUUGGAAGGAGCUUGGACUUGAACUUCUUGGGAAAACGAUCCUUGCGGAGAUGUACCCAAACUAGGUCACCCGGUUGGAACACCAUUGGGAACUUGUUGGAGUUGCGCUUGGUCGCGAGUCGUUGUACUUGGCGCUCUAUGGUGUGCCUUGUAUCUUCAUGCAUCUUGUUGAGGUGAUUCACUCGGUCGCUCGCGUCCAUGUUGAUGCGCUCUUGUAGUGGUAGAGGAAGAAUGUUCAAAGGGGACAAUGGGUUGAAUCCAUAGACGACCUCAAAGGGGGACUUGUCGGUAGUCGAAUGUCUUGCACAGUUGUAGGCGAACUUGGCGAUUGGGAGACACGGCUCCCACUCCUUGGGGUUGACGCGGUAGGGCGCUUUGUUUGGAAGCGGUGCUCCGGGGAUGAGGUCGAUGUUGUGCUCAAUGCCUCGUAGUGGAGGUAUUCCCGGAGGUAGCUCAUCGGGGAAAACAUCUUGAAAUUCCUGCAAAAGAGUAGACAACACUAGAGGAAGAGUGUGAGAAGUGUUAGUUUGUGAUGCAUUGUCCUUGCACACGAGGACGUAGUGUAGGACACUAGAUGGGUUCUCACUGUUGGGGAACGUAGCAGAAAUUCAAAAUUUUCUACGCAUCACCAAGAUCAAUCUAUGGACUAAUCUAGCAACGAGGGGAAGGAGAGUGCAUCUACAUACCCUUGUAGAUCGCUAAGCGGAAGCAUUCAAGUGAACGGGGUUGAUGGAGUCGUACUCGUCGUGAUUCAAAUAACCGAUGAUCCUAGUGCCCAACGGACGGCACCUCCGUGUUCAACACACGUACAGCCCGGUGACGUCUCCUACGCCUUGAUCCAGCAAGGGGAAAAGGAGAGGUUGGGGAAGACUCCAUCCAGCAGCAGCACGACGGCGUGGUGGUGGUGGAGGAGCGCGGUACUCCAGCAGGGCUUCGCCAAGCACCGCAAGAGAUGAGGAGGGAGAGGGGUAGGGCUGCGCCAAGAAGGAGAUUGAAUCGUGUGUCUUGGGCAGCCCCAAACCUCAAGUAUAUAUAGGGGGAGGGGAGGGGCUGCGCCCCCACCUAGGGUUCCCUCCCUAGGGGUGGCGGCAGCCCCCAGAUCCCAUCUGGGUGGCGGCCACAAGGGGGGAGGGGGAGGCGCACCUAGGGUGGGCCUUAGGGCCCAUCUGCCCUAGGGUUUGCCCCCUUCCCCUAUUGGAGGCGCCUUGGGCCUUGGUGGGAGGCGCCCUAGCCCACCUAGGGGCUGGUCCCUUCCCACUAUUGGCCCAUGUAGGCCUCCGGGGCUGGUGGCCCCACCUGGUGGACCCCCGGACCCCUCCGAUGGUCCCGGUACACUACCGGUGAUGCCCGGAACACUUCUCGUGGCCAAAACCAUACUUCCUAUAUAUCAAUCUUUACCUCCGGACCAUUCCGUAACUCCUAGUGACGUCCAGGAUCUCAUCCGGGACUCCGAACAACAUUCGGUAACCGCGUACAUACUUUCCCUAUAACCCUAGCGUCAUCGAACCUUAAGUGUGUAGACCCUGCGGGUUCGGGAGUCAUGCAGACAUGGUCGAGACAACUCUCCGGUCAAUAACCAACAGCGGGAUCUGGAUACCCAUGCUGGCUCCCACAUGAUCCACGAUGAUCUCAUCGGAUGAACCACGAUGUCAAGGACUUAAUCAAUCCCGUAUACAAUUCCCUUUGUCUAUCGGCACGAUACUUGCCCGAGAUUCGAUCGUCGGUAUCCCGAUACCUUGUUCAAUCUCGUUACCGGCAAGUCUCUUUACUCGUUCCGUAACACAUCAUCCCGUGAUCAACUCCUUGAUCACAUUGUGCACAUUAUGAUGAUGUCCUACCGAGUGGGCCCAGAGAUACCUCUCCGUUUACACGGAGUGACAAAUCCCAGUCUCGAUUCGUGCCAACCCAACACACACUUUCGGAGAUACCUGUAGUGUACCUUUAUAGCCACCCAGUUACGGUGUGACGUUUGGCACACCCAAAGCACUCCUACGGUAUCCGGGAGUUGCACAAUCUCAUGGUCUAAGGAAAUGAUACUUGACAUUAGAAAAGCUUUAGCAUACGAACUACAUGAUCUUGUGCUAGGCUUAGGAUUGGGUCUUGUCCAUCAAAUUAUUCUCCUAAUGAUGUGAUCCCGUUAUCAACGACAUCCAAUGUCCAUGGUCAGGAAACCGUAACCAUCUAUUAAUCAACGAGCUAGUCAACUAGAGGCUUACUAGGGACAUGGUGUUGUCUAUGUAUCCACACAUGUAUCUGAGUUUCCUAUCAAUACAAUUCUAGCAUAGAUAAUAAACGAUUAUCAUGAACAAGGAAAUAUAAUAAUAACCAAUUUAUUAUUGCCUCUAGGGCAUAUUUCCAACAGUCUCCCACUUGCACUAGAGUCAAUAAUCCAGUUCACAUCGAUAUGUGAUUAACACUCAAGGUCACAUCCCCAUGUGACUAACACCCAAAGAGUUUUGGGUUUGAUCAUGUUAUGCUUGUGAGAGAGGUUUCAUUCAAUGGGUCUGCAACAUUCAGAUCUGUAUGUACUUCGCAAAUUUCUAUGUCAUCUUGUAGAUGCAACUACUACACUACAUUUGGAGCCAUUUCAAAUAACUGUUCUACUUGGAGCUAUUAUAAAUUGUUGCUCCAUUAUACGUAUCCGGUAUCUCUACUCAGAGCUAUCCGGAUAGGUGUUAAGCUUGCAUCGACGUAACUCUUUACGUCGAACUCUUUAUCACCUCCAUAACCGAGGAACAUAUCCUUAUUCCUCUAAGGAUAAUUUAGACCGCUAUCUGGUGAUCUACUCCUAGAUUACCUUUGUACCCUCUUGCCAGAUAUGUGGCAAGUCACACAUCAGGUGCGGUACUCAACACGGCAUACCGUAUAGAUCCUACGACAAAAGCAUAGGGGACGACCUUCGUCCUUCCUCUUUAUUCUGCCGUGGUCGUGCUUUAAGUCUUAACUUCAUACCUUACAACUCAGGCAAGAACUCCUUCUUUGACUGAUCCAUCUUGAAAACCUUCAAGAUCAUGUCAAGGUAUGUGCUCAUUUGAAAGUACCAUUAAGCGUUUUGAUCCAUCCUUAUAGAUCUUGAUGCUCAAUGUUCAAGUAGCUUAAUCCAGGCUUUCCAUUGAAAAACACUUUCCAAAUAACCCUAUAUGCUUUCCAGAAAUUCUACGUCAUUUCUGAUCAACAAUAUGUCAACAACAUAUAUUCAUCAGAAAUUCUAUAGUGCUCCCACUCACUUCUUUGGAAAUACAAGUUUCUCAUAAACUUUGCAUACACCCAAAAUCUUUGAUCAUCUCAUCAAAGCAUACAUUCCAACUCUGAGAUGCUUACUCCAGUCCUUAGAAGGAUUGCUAGAUCUUUGCAUACUUGUUAGCAUCUUUCAGGAUUGACAAAACCUUCUAUUGUAUCACAUACAACUUUUCUUACGAAAACUUGGUAAGAAAACUUGUUUUGACAUCCAUCUGUAAGAUUUCAUAAUCGAAAAAUACAGCUAAUGCUAACAUGAUUCUGACGAACUUAAGCAUCGCUACGGGUGAGAAAUUCUCAUCGUAGUCAACUCCUUGAACUUGUCGGAAAAACAUCUUAACGACAAGUCGAGCUUUCUUAAUGGUGAUACUUACCAUCAUUGUCCGUCUUCCUUUUAAAAUCCAUAUGUACCUAACAGCCUUAUGACCAUCAAGUAGUUCUUCCAAAGUCUACACUUUGUUUUCAUAUAUGGAUCCUCUCUCGGAUUAUAUGGCCUCGAGCCAUUUUGGAAUCCAGACCCACCAUCGCUUCUCCAUAGCUCGUAGGUUCAUUGUUGUCUAGCAACAUGACAUCCAAGACAGGAUUACGUACCACUCUGAAGUAGUACGCAUCCUUGUCAUCCCGCGAGGUUUGGUAGUGACUUGAUCUGAAGUUUCAUGAUCACUAUCAUAAGCUUCCACUUCAAUUGGUGUAGGUGCCACAAGAACAACUCCCUGUGCCCUGCCACACACUAGUUGAAGAGACGGUUCAAUAACCUCAUCAAGUCUCCACCAUCCUCCCACUCAAUUCUUUCGAGAGAAACUUUUCCUCGAGAAAGGACCCGAUUCUAGAAACAAUCCCUUAUUGCUUUCAGAUCUGAGACGGGAGGUAUACCCAACUGUUUUGGGUGUCCUAUGAAGAUGCAUUUUUCCGCUUUGGGUUCGAGCUUAUCAGCCUGAAACUUUUCCACAUAAGCAUCGCAGCCCCAAACUUUUAAGAAAUGACAGCUUAGGUUUCUCUAAACCAUAGUUCAUACGGUGUCAUCUCAUCGGAAUUACGUGGUGCCCUAUUUAAAGUGAAUGUGGUUGUCUCUAAUGCCUAACCCAUAAACUAUCGUGGUAAUUCGAUAAGAGACAUCAUGGUAUGCAUCAUAUCCAAUAGGGUGCAGUUAUGAUGUUCGGACACACCAUCAUACUAUGGUGUUUCAGGCUGUAUUAGUUGUGAAACAAUUUCCACAAUGUCUUAAUUCUGUGCCAAACUCGUAAUUCAGAUAUUCAUCUCUAUGAUCAUAUCAUAGAUAUUGUAUCCUCUUGUCACGACGAUCUUUCAACUUCACCCUGAAAUUACUUGAACCUUUCAAUAAUUCAGACUCAUGAUUCAUCAAGUAAAUAUACUCAACAUCUACUCAAAUCAUCUGUGAAGUAAGAACAUAACAAUAUCCACUACACGCCUCAGCACUCAUUGGAUUGCACACAUCAAAAUGUAUUACUUCCAACAAGUUGCUUUCUAGUUCCAUUUUACUGAAAACGAGGCUUUCAGUCAUCUUGCCCAUGUUGUAUGAUUUGCAUGUCUCAAGUGAUUCAAAAUCAAGUGAGUCCAAAUGGUCCAUUUGCAUGGAGUUUCUUCAUGCAUAUACACCAAUAGACAUGGUUCGCAUGUCUCAAACUUUUCAAAAACGAGUGAGCCCAAAGAUCCAUCAACAUGGAGCUUCUUCAUGUGUUUUAUACCGAUAUGACUUACGUGGCAGUGCCACAAGUAGGUGGUACUAUCAUUACUAUCUUAUAUCUUUUGGCAUGAACAUGUGUAUCACUACGAUCGAGAUUCAAUAAACCAUUCAUUUUAGGUGCAAGACCAUUGAAGGUAUUAUUCAAAUAAACAGAGUAACCAUUAUUCUCCUUAAAUGAAUAACCGUAUUGGGAUAGACAUAAUCCGAUCAUGUCUAUGCUCAACGCAAACACCAAUAUCGAUGGUAGAGGGAGCGUGCGAUGCUUGAUCACAUCAAGCUUGGGAAAAACUUCCAACACAUAUCGCCAGCUCACCUUUAGCUAGUCUCCGUUUACUCCGAGGCCUUUUAUUUCGAGUUUACUAACACUUAGAUGCCGAACCGGUAUCUAAUAACAUGGUGCUACUAGGAGUACUAGUAAAGUACACAUUAACACAAUGUAUAUCCAAUAUACUUCUAUCGACCUUGCCAGCCUUCUCAUCUACCAAGUAUCUAGGGUAAUUCUGCUCCAGUGGCUGUUCCCCUUAUUACAGAAGCACUUAGUCUCGGGUUUGGGUUCAACCUCGGGUUUCUUCACUAGAGCAGCAGCUGUUGCCGUUUCAUGAAGUAUUCCUUUUUGCCCUUGCCCUUCUUGAAACUAGUGGUUUCACCAACCAUCAACAAUUGAUGCUCCUUCUUGAUUUCUACUUUUGUGGUGUCAAACAUCGCGAAUAUCUCAAGGAUCAUCAUAUAUGUCCCUGAUAUAUCAUAGUUCAUCACGAAGCUCUAGCAGCUUGGUGGUAAUGACUUCGGAGAAACAUCAGUAUCUCAUCUGGAAGAUCAACUCCCACUCGAUUCAAAUGAUUGUUGUACUCAGACAAUCUGAGCACAAGCUCAACAAUUGAGCUUUUCUCCCUUAGUUUGCAGGCUAAGAAAAUCGCCGGAGGUCUUAUACCUCUUGAUGUGGGCACGAGCCUGAAAUCCCAAUUUCAGUCCUCAAAACAUCUCAUAUGUUUCGCGAUGUUUUAAAACGUCUUUGGUGCCUCAACUCUAAACCGUUUAACUGAACUAUCACGUAGUUAUCAAAAUGUGUAUGUCAGAUGUUCGCAACAUCCACAGACGACGUUCGAGGUUCAGCACACUGAGCGGUGCAUUAAGGACAUAAGCCUUCUAUGAAGCAAUGAGGACAAUCCUCAGUUUACGGACCUAGUCCGCAUAAUUGCUACUAUCAACUUUCAACUAAAUUUUCUCUAGGAACAUAUCUAAACAGUAGAACUGAAGCGCGAGCUACGACAUAAUUUGCGAAGACCUUUUGACUAUGUUCAGGAUAAUUAAGUUCCUGUUAUGAACUCCCACUCAGAUAGACAUCCCUCUAGUCAUCUAAGUGAUUACAUGAUCCGAGUCAACUAGGCCAUGUCCGAUCAUCACGUGAGACGGACUACUCAUCAUCGGUGAACAUCUUCAUGUUGAUCGUAUCUUCUAUACGACUCACCUUCGACCUUUCGGUCUUUCGUGUUUCGAGGCCAUGUCUGUACAUGCUAGGCUCGUCAAGUCAACCUAAGUGUUUCGCAUGUGUCCCGAGGCCAUGUCUGUACAUGCUAGGCUCGUCAACACCCAUUGUAUUCGAACGUUAGAAUCUAUCACACCCGAUCAUCACGUGGUGCUUCGAAACAACGAACCUUCGCAACGGUGCACAGUUAGGGGGAACACCUUUCUUGAAAUUUUAGUGAGGAUCAUCUUAUUUAAGCUACCGUCAUUCUAAGCAAAUAAGAUGUAAAACAUGAUAAACAUCACAUGCAAUCAAAUAGUGACAUGAUAUGGCCAAUAUCAUUUUGCUCCUCUUGAUCUCCAUCUUCGGGGCUCCAUGAUCAUCGUUGUCACCGGCAUGACACCAUGAUCUCCAUCAUCAUGAUCUCCAUCAUCGUGUCUUCUUGAAGUUGCCUCGUCAUCUAUUACUUCUACUACUAUGGCUAACGCUUUAGCAAUACAGUAAAGUAAUUACAUGACGUUUAUGUUGACACGCAGGUCAUAAAUAAAUUAAGACAACUCCUAUGGCUCCUGCCGGUUGUCAUACUCAUCGACAUGCAAGUCGUGAUUCCUAUUACAAGAGCAUGAUCAAUCUCAUACAUCACAUAUAUCAUUCAUCACAUCCUUUUGGCCAUAUCACAUCACAAGGCAUAUGCUACAAAAACAAGUUAGACGUCCUCUAAUUGUUGUUGCAAGUUUUUACGUGGCUGCUAUAGGUUGCUAGCAAGAACGUUUCUUACCUACGCCAAAACCACAACGUGAAUUGCCAAUUUCUAUUUACCCUUCAUAAGGACCCUGUUCAUCGAAUCCGAUCCGACUAAAGUGGGAGAGACAGACACCCGCCAGCCACCUUAUGCAACUAGUGCAUGUCAGUCGGUGGAACCGGUCUCACGUAAGCGUACGUGUAAGGUUGGUCCGGGCCGCUUCAUCCCACGAUGCCGCCGAAUCAAGAUAAGACUAGUAACGGCAAGAUAAUUGUCAAUAUCGACGCCCACAACUACUUUGUGUUCUACUCGUGCAUAGUAACUACGCAUAGACCUAGCUCAUGAUGCCACUGUUGGGGAACGUAGCAGAAAUUCAAAAUUUUCUAUGCAUCACCAAGAUCAAUCUAUGGAGUAAGCUAGCAACGAGGGGAAGGAGAGUGCAUCUACAUACCCUUGUAGAUCGCUAAGCGGAAGCGUUCAAGUGAACGGGGUUGAUGGAGUCGUACUCGUCGUGAUUCAAAUCACCGAUGAUCCUAGUGCCGAACGGACGGCACCUCCGUGUUCAACACACGUACAGCCCGGUGACGUCUCCUACGCCUUGAUCCAGCAAGGGGAGAAGGGGAGGUUGGGGAAGACUCCAUCCAGCAGCAGCACGACGGCGUGGUGGUGGUGGUGGAGGAGCGCGGUACUCUAGCAGGGCUUCGCCAAGCACCGCAAGAGACGAGGAGGGAGAGGGGUAGGGUUGCGCCAAGAAGGAGAUUGAAUCGUGUGUCUUGGGCAGCCCCAAACCUCAAGUAUAUAUAGGGGAGGGGAGGGGCUGCGCCCCCACCUAGGGUUCCCUCCCUAGGGGUGGCGGCAGCCCCCAAAUCCCAUCUGGGUGGCGGCCACAAGGGGGAGAGGGGGAGGCACACCUAGGGUGGGCCUUAGGGCCCAUCUGCCCUAGGGUUUGCCCCCUUCCCCUAUUGGAGGCACCUUGGGCCUUGGUGGGAGGCGCUCUAGACCACCUAGGGGCUGGUCCCUUCCCACUAUUGACCCAUGUAGGCCUCUGGGGCUGGUGGCCCCACCUGGUGGACCCCCGGACCCCUCCGGUGGUCCCGGUACACUACCGGUGAUGCCCGGAACACUUCCGGUGGCCAAAACCAUACUUCCUAUAUAUCAAUCUUUACCUCUGGACCAUUCCGGAACUCCUCGUGACAUCCGGGAUCUCAUCCAGGACUCCGAACAACAUUCGGUAACCGCGUACAUACUUUCCCUAUAACCCUAGCGUCAUCGAACCUUAAGUGUGUAGACCCUACGGGUUCGGGAGUCAUGCAGACAUGGCCGAGACAACUCUCCGGUCAAUAACCAACAGCGUGAUCUGGAUACCCAUGCUGGCUCCCACAUGAUCCACGAUGAUCUCAUCGGAUGAACCACGAUGUCAAGGACUUAAUCAAUCCCGUAUACAAUUCCCUUUGUCUAUCGGUACGAUACUUGCCCGAGAUUCGAUCGUCGGUAUCCCGAUACCUUGUUCAAUCUCGUUACCGGCAAGUCUCUUUACUCGUUCCGUAACACAUCAUCCCAUGAUCAACUCCUUGAUCACAUUGUGCACAUUAUGAUGAUGUCCUACCGAGUGGGCCUAGAGAUACCUCUCCGUUUACACGGAGUGACAAAUCCCAGUCUCGAUUCGUGCCAACCCAACACACACUUUCGGAGAUACCUGUAGUGUACCUUUAUAGCCACCCAGUUACGUUGUGACGUUUGGCACACCCAAAGCACUCCUACGGUAUCCGGGAGUUGCACAAUCUCAUGGUCUAAGGAAAUGAUACUUGACAUUAGAAAAGCUUUAGCAUACGAACUACAUGAUAUUGUGCUAGGCUUAGGAUUGGGUCUUGUGCAUCACAUCAUUCUCCUAAUGAUGUGAUCCCAUUAUCAACGACAUCCAAUGUCCAUGGUCAGGAAACCGUAACCAUCUAUUAAUCAACGAGCUAGUCAACUAGAGGCUUACUAGGGACAUGGUGUUGUCUAUGUAUCCACACAUGUAUCUGAGUUUCCUAUCAAUACAAUUCUAGCAUGGAUAAUAAACGAUUAUCAUGAACAAGGAAAUAUAAUAAUAACCAAUUUAUUAUUGCCUCUAGGGCAUAUUUCCAACACUCACACACUUCUCUCAUCUCACGUUUGGUGGCAAAUAGAACUAGGUUCUUGUUUUCGCUCAUCGUGGAGGCACUCGAUUUUGGCUUGCGGCGCUCACUUUCUUUUUGGUGUCUCGCUCUCUCACUAUGAUCUCCGCGAUGGGUGGCUUGCUUGUCGGCGAUCACUUGACUUGGCGACAUUGGACAGAGGACGUACUCCUUGCCCUUCAUCUUGAAGAUGUAGUGGUUCGUUCGUCCGUUGUGUACGACUCCUCUAUCGAAUUUCCAUGGCUGUCCAGGGAGAAGAUGACAAACGGUCAUUGGAACAACAUCGCACUGCAAGGUGUCUUCGUAGGCGCCGAUCUUGAAGGAGACUUGUACGCGGUGCUCGACUUGGAUAGUGCCGGAGUCACUAAGCCAUUGCACUUUGUAUGGAUGUGGAUGCUUCGUCUUGGGCACUUGGAGCUUGGAGCAAAGUUCUUCACUUGCGAGAUUAUGACAAUUCCCUCCAUCGAUGAUGACCUUGACGGAUUGGCCAUUGAUGCCGGCCUUGGUGUGGAAUAUGUGGCAUCGUUGGUCUUCUUCUUGGUGAUGUUGGAGAGUCAAGACUUUGGAGACAACAAGUGCGGGACUUGAAUAUUCAACACAAAAGACUUGUUCUUCUUCAUUGUUCACUUGGCGGUGCAUGGCGACUUGCUCGAGGGCUUCCAUUUCACCUUCGCUCAUGGAGUCAUAAGUGUCAUCGUCGUUGAAGACCAUGGUUCGCUUGUUGGUGCACUCGUAGGACUUGUGGCCUCGGCCUCCGCAAGUGAAACACUUGAAGGAACUCGUCUUGACGGUCUCAUCGAUUGGGGUUGAUGAUGAUGAAGCUCUCGGCUUGAAGUUGCUCGUAGGAGGAUGGCUUGUAGUUGAUGAAGCUUUCUUGGAACUUGACUUGUCGCCGGUACUUGGUGAUUCUCUAGUUGAGGUAGGAGUUGUCGAAGUCGCGGGAGCUUGAUAAGAGGAGCCAUAGGUCUUUGACGAGUAAUUGGCAUAUUUGAAGUCAUCUUACACUCGGCGUUAUGCUUUGGUGGCUUGGUGCACUAGCUCGAUGAGAUUUGAGUAUGGUUGGAAGUCGGCGAUCUUCUUGAUGGGAUGGUUGAGGCCAUUCAAGAAGCGUACCAUUGUUUGCUCAUCAUCUUCUGUGACAUUGGCUCUUAUCAUUGCAAUCUCCAUCUCCUUGUAGUAUUCUUCAAUGCUCUUGGUUCCUUGCUUGAGUUGUUGGAGUUUCUUGAAGAGAUCGCGGUUGUAGUAGGUAGGUACGAAGCGUGCUCUCAUGACAUCCUUCAUUUGUGCCCAAGUAGUGAUGGGUGGAUCACCUCUUGCCUCUCGGCGCUCAAUGACCUGUUCCCACCAAAUAAGGACAUAGUCUUGGAACUCAAGGGAUGUCAUCGCGAUCUUCUUCUCUUCUGCAUAAUUGUGCAAACGGAAGAUCUUAUCAACUUUUAGUGCCCAUGAAAGGUACUCUUCGGGAUCGUUGCUUCCGUUGAACUUGGGCAUGGUGAACUUGAGCUUGCCGUAGCGUUGCUCUCCAUUGUAUUGGGGUCGGGGAUGAUGACACCCAUGUUGUAGAUGAUUGUUCAACUCGUGGUGCUCUUGAAAAGGAGAGUUGUCAACCUCAUGUUACUCUUGUCGUGGAGGAUUUCCAUUGUCUUCAUGCUCUCGAUGAACUUGAUGGUGUUGGCGAGCUUGUGGGGGAGCUUCACGAGCUCGAGGAGGAACUUGACAAUGCACGCGAGCUUGAAAUCUUUGUUCUUGAAUUUCUUCGUGAAGUGCUUCCUCUUGUUCACGGGCUUGACGGCCUCGGUCAGCAACGGCUCGACUCGAAUCGCUUAGAGCUUGUUGUGCCGCCAGUGCUUGCUCGUCAUGGAGUUGUUGUUCUUGAUGUUGUGUCUCGGCAUCUUGUGCAUGUUGGUGUAGACGCGCGCGUUCUUCCUCUUCAUGUUGGCAUUGUCGUUGACUUUCUCGUGCUAGCGCAAAGGCUUCUUGGGUUUGACGUCGUCGAUGCUCUUGUGAGUCGGUGUCUCGUAGAGGAUUGAGGUUUGCGUGAUGCUCGUUGCGCGCGGCACGUCGAGAAGUGUUCGAAGACGGUGUACUUGCACCGGAGAUGGUGUCGUCGGCGUGUCGACUUGAGCGGCUCUGUCUUGAAGAGGACGAAGUUGAAGAAGAGCGAUUGACCAUUAUGGUUCGGAUAUCUUCUUUGAGGGAACUCAAUGAUGUGUCGAAGUAGUCCCUUGUAUGUUGCUCGGAUUGUCGUAGGUCGGGGGCGAGAUUGUCGAUGCGGUCGCCCAAAGCAAGUUGUUCUUGAUGCAAAGCUCGAUGUGCGCCAAAGAGUUGCGACUUGGUGAUGAAGUUUUUCAUGUUGUCAUCUUGUUCUAGGAAGAGUGGAUUGGUAGAAGAACUGGGCCUGUCCAUCAUGAGAAAGUGGUGGUGAGUAGGAAAAAUGAGAGAACAAAACCAAAGUUACCUUUUCCGAAGAUUGUGGAUGUAACAAGUACGAUCUCACGAUGCUAUAAUAGGGGAAUUGGUACCGGGAAUUGUUACUCACACCUACAAGUAAAAGGCUUAUGGAGGAGCUCGGUUAGGAUGGUGGAAAAAAUUUCAAGCAAAUGUUAGUCAAGAUAUCGAUAAGGUUGAGAAGAUUCACAAAAAUGCAAGUAAAAACAAAUAGAUCAAAUCCAAUGAUAUCACUAGGAACACACACACGAAAGAUAGAUGGGAUCCGCACAACCAAGGGGUGAGCUCAAAAUGUGCAACCACGUAAAAUGCUCUUGUUGUGCGAAUACUGGAGCGACGCUAGCUCGAUUGCUCAAAUGGGCUAGAUAUGCAUGUGCACCAACCUGUAAAAAAAACGUGACAUCUUCAAUCCCAACUAUGAUACGUAUGAGGUGUCAAAGAUGAUAUGCAAAAAUGACUCGAUGCUAUUGCUUACAAGCUUUUUGUUGCUCCUCUUUUGCUUAAAAGCUUUUAUUUUUUUGAAGCUAGAGCUAACUAUAAUAUGAGACAAGUAUGUAAGAUAUGCACGGGAGAGACUUAUGGCACUAAGAUGGUAACAAGAUCACUACGGUGCACAAUAGCGUGGCCUGACAAUUCUCAACUUGCUAGUCUCGAUGGGUAAGCGACACGAAAUGGCUCGGGUUAUCAAUGCAAAAGCAAAAUGAGAUGUCGUCGAGGUUACCGUCCGAUCGUGUGGUAAGAAUGAAGUUGUUGAAGCCGGUGUGGUGUCCGAGUUGAUGAUCGAGUGGCGGCGAUGAUGAUGUCCAAAUGCGCCUAAGUAGCCGAAACACCUUAGGACACAAGAGAAACCGCUGUCCGAAACUCAAACAACCACGAGAAAUAGUGCGGAAGAACACGAGUGUUGGUAUCGAAGCAAAAUGGUGCAAACAAAAGAUGGCCGAAAGUUACUGGACGGUCCGUGCGCACGGGGUAAGUGAGGCCCGUGUGCACGGGGUCCCAUGUGCACGGGGUCUCGAGGGCCCGUGUGCACGGGGUGUGCUGGGAGCAGAUGAAAGGAUCCGGAUCCAUGGGGAUUUUCCAAGGUAAGGCAAUUUCGAGGGUUUGGAAGGUGGGGAAGCAGGAAGAUGGGUAGAUCCACUUGCCAAACUCCAAAUUCGUGGAUGAAAACAACCAAAUCUCACAAGAUCCAACCAAAUCUCACAAGAUCCAACAAAUUGGACGAAAAACAACAAAAUCAAGCUAGCAAAUGGGGGGAGGGACUCCAAGAUGUGAAUCAACCUUUCUUAUGAUACCAAAAUGAUAUAGGAGGAAAUCCUAGAGGGGGAUAUUUUCACACUUGGAGGGAGAAAAGGGCAAACUCUCAAGAACACAAAGAGGAGAUCACUCAAACAAUUCCCCACUUACACAUCCACUAGAAUAGCAAUACAAGAUCCACAAGUCACCAACACAAUAAGAGGAAAGAUACAAUGGCAAAGUUCUUCCCACUCCUAGGAGAUGAGGUCUUGAAGAUAGUCUUCUCCUAAAGGAGGUCUUGAAAUCCACUAGGUUUCUUCCCAAAGGGGCCUUGAUCCCACAAGUGGGAAGGUAGAAGGAGUAAAGCUCACAAAUAUCUCAUCUCAUACUUUGCUAACCCUAAACAUAGCCCUAGGUACGGUUUAUAUAGUCUUGGGGUCGAAGUAGAUGAAGAGGGGCUCGGAUUGGGGAUCACAGUCGUCCAUCCUGGGAGGCCCGUGCGCACGGGGUCACCAGGGACUUCUAGUUUUCCUGUUGUUGCCCUCCGUCUUGGUCCGCGUGGCCUUGGGGUGGUUCCUCUUCUCCUUGGGGGUGUUCCUGAGCCUCUUGGUGGUGUUCCUCUUCGUACCUAAUGAGACAUAGCGUAUCUUGGUGAGGUAGCAACAAUGUUCCAUUCGUAUCCAUAUGCAAGCUAAGUAGGAAGGAGUUCACCGCGGUUUCCAAAGCACGUGCUCUAGCUCUUGUCAUAGGUCCACGUGGGGCUUGAUGUGUCGGUGUAGAGUCCAUGGGGAUGAUGGAAGUAUGCUCUGCAUCAAUAGGUGCACUAGUUCAAUGAAGAUAUGGUGAUACAAGUGGUAUAUGGAUGGUAGAUAAAGGUUUUUGUAAUCUGAAAAUAUAAAAACAACAAGGUACCUAAUGAUAAAAGUGAGCAUAAACGGUAUUGCAAUGCUAGGAAACAAGGCCUAGGGUUCAUACUUUCACUAGUGCAAGUUCUCUCAAUAAUAAUAACAUAAUUGGAUCAUAUAACUAUCCCUCAACAUGCAAUAAAGAGUCUCUCCAAAGCCACUAAUAGCGGAGAACAAACGAAGAGAUUAUGGUAGGGUACAAAACCACCUCAAAGUUAUCCUUUCUGAUCAAUCUAUUCAAGAGUCCGUAGUAAAAUAACAUGAAGCUAUUCUUUCCAUUCAAUCUAUCAUAGAAUUCGUACUAGAAUAACACCUUAAGACACAAAUCAAACAAAACCCUAAUGUCACUUAGAUACUCCAAUGUCACCUCAAGUAUCCGUGGGUAUGAUUAUACGGUAUGCAUAACACAAUCUCAGAUUCAUCUAUUCAAACCAACACAAAGUACUUCAAAGAGUGCCCCAAAGAUUCUACCGGAGAGUCAAGAUGAAAACGUGUGCCAACCCCUAUGCAUAGGUUCAUGGGGCGGAACCCGCAAGUUGAUCACCAAAACAUACAUCAAGUGGAUCAAUAGAAUACCCCAUUGUCACCACGGGUAUCCCACGCAAGACAUACAUCAAGUGUUCUCAAAUCCUUAAAGACUCAAUCUGAUAAGGUAACUUCAAAGGGAAAACUCAAUCCAUUACAAGAGAGUAGAGGGGGAGAAACAUCAUAAGAUCCAACUAUAAUAGCAAAGCUCGCGAUACAUCAAGAUCGUACCACCUCAAGAACACGAGAGAGAUAGAUAGGGAGAGAUUAAACACAUAGCUACUGGUACAUACCCUCAGCCCCGAGGGAGAACUACUCCCUCCUCAUCAUGGAGAGCACCAGGAUGAUGAAGAUGGCCACCAGAGAGGGAUUUCCCCUCCAACAGGGUGCCGGAAUGGGUCUAGAUUGGUUUUCGGUGGCUACGUAGGUUUCUGGCGGCGGAACUCCCGAUCUAUUCUACUCCCCGAAGUUUUUAGGGUAUAUGGGUAUAUAUGGGAGGAAGAAGUACGUCGGUGGACCUUUGGGCUGUCCACGAGGCAGGGGGGCGCCCCCAAGGGGGUAGGCGCGCCCCCCACCCUCAUGGGCAGCUCGGGACUCUCCUGGUCCAACUCCGAUACUCCAUGGGCUUCUUCUGGUCCAAAAACAACUUCCGUGAAGUUUCAGGUCACUUGGACUCCGUUUGAUUUUCCUUUUCUGCGAUACUCUAAAACAAGGAAAAAACAGAAACUGACACUAGGCUCUAGGUUAAUAGGUUAGUCCCAAAAAUCAUAUAAAAUAGCAUAUAAAUGCAUAUAAAACAUCCAAGGUUGAUAAUAUAAUAGCAUGGAACAAUCAAAAAUUAUAGAUACGUUGGAGACGUAUCAGCAUCCCCAAGCUUAAUUCCUGCUCGUCUUCGAGUAGGUAAAUGAUAAAAACAGAAAUUUUGAUGUGGAAUGCUACCUAACAUAUUUAUCCAUGUAGUUCUCUUUAUUGUGGCAAGAAUAUUCAAAUCCAUAAGAUUCAAGACAAAAGUUUAAUAUUGAUAUAAAAAUAAUAAUACUUCAAGCAUACUAACCAAGUAAUCAUGUCUUCUCAAAAUAACAUGGCCAAAGAAAGCUAUCCCUACAAAAUCAUAUAGUCUGUCUAUGUUCUAUCUUCACCACACAAAAUAUUUAAAUCAUGCACAACCCCGAUGACAAGCCAAGCAAUUGUUUCAUACUUUUGAUGUUCUCAAACUUUUUCAAUCUUCACGCAAUACAUGAGCAUGAGCCAUGGACAUAGCAGUAUAGGUGGAAUAGAAUGGUGGUUGUCGAGAAGACAAAAAGGAGAAGAUAGUCUCACGUCAACUAGGCGUAUCAACAGGCUAUGGAGAUGCCCAUCAAUAGAUAUCAAUGUGAGUGAGUAGGGAUUUCCAUGCAACGGAUGCACUAGAGCUAUAAAUGUAUGAAAUCUCAACAAAAGAAACUAGUGGGUGUGCAUCCAACUCGCUUGCUCAUGAAGACCUAGGGCAUUUUGAGGAAGCCCAUCAUUGGAAUAUACAGGCCAAGUUCUAUAAUGAAAGAUUCCCACUAGUAUAUGAAAGUGACAACAUAGGAGACUCUCUAUCAUGAAGAUCAUGGUGCUACUUUGAAGCACAAGUGUGGUAAAAGGAUAGUAGCAUUGUCCCUUUUAUUUUUUAUUUUUUUAUUUGGCCUUUCUCUUUUUUGGCCUUUUUUGGCCUUUCUUUUUUAUGGCCUUUCUCUUUUUUUGGGACAAUGCUCUAUUGAAUGAUGAUCAUCACACUUCUAUUUAUUUACAACUCAAUGAUACAACUCGAUACUAGAACAAAGUAUGACUCUAUAUAGGAGACUCUCUAUCAUGAAGAUCAUGGUGCUACUUUGAAGCACAAGUGUGGUAAAAGGAUAGUAGCAUUGUCCCUUCUCUCUUUUUCUCUCAUUUUUUUUUAUUAUUUUUAUUUUUUAUUUGGGCCUUCUCCUUUUUAUGGCCUCUUUUUUUAUUUUUUUAUUUGGGCUUCUUUGGCUUCUCUUUUUUUCGUCCGGAGUCUCAUCCCGACUUGUGGGGGAAUCAUAGUCUCCAUCAUCCUUUCCUCACUGGGACAAUGCUCUAAUAAUGAUGAUCAUCACACUUUUAUUUACUUACAACUCGAUACUUAGAACAAGAUAUGACUCUAUAUGAAUGCCUCCGGCGGUGUACCGGGAUGUGCAAUGAUGCAUGAGUGACAUGUAUGAAAGAAUUAUGAACGGUGGCUUUGCCACAAAUACAAUGUCAACUACAUGAUCAUGCAAAGCAAUAUGACAAUGAUGGAGCGUGUCAUAGUAAACGGGACGGUGGAAAGUUGCAUGGCAAUAUAUCUCGGAAUGGCUAUGGGAAUGGCAUAAUAGGUAGGUAUGGUGGCUGUUUUGAGGAAGGUAUAUGGUGGGUUUAUGGUACCGGCGAAAGUUGCGCGGUACUAGACAGGCUAGCAAUGGUGGAAGGGUGAGAGUGUGUAUAAUCCAUGGACUCAACAUUAGUCAUAAAGAACUCACAUACUUAUUGCAAAAAUCUAUUAGUUAUAGAAACAAAGUACUAUGCGCAUGCUCCUAGGGGAUAUAUUGGUAGGAAAAGACCAUCGCUCAUCCCCGACCGCCACUCAUAAGGAAGACAAUCAAUAAAUAAAUCAUGCUCGGACUUCAUCACAUAACGGUUCACCAUACGUGCAUGCUACGGGAAUCACAAACUUCAACACAAGUAUUUCUCAAAUUCACAACUACUCAACUAGCAUGACUCUAAUAUCACCAUCUUCAUAUCUCAAAACAAUCAUCAAGUAUCAAACUUCUCUUAGUAUUCAAUGCACUUUAUAUGAAAGUUUUUAUUAUAUCCCACUUGGAUGCCUAUCAUAUUAGGACUAGUUUCAUAACCAAAGCAAACUACCAUGCUGUUCUAAAGACUCUCAAAAUAAUAUGAGUGAAGCAUGAGAGUUCAUCUAUUUCUACAAAAUAAAACCACCGCCAUGCUCUAAAAGGAUAUAAGUGAAGCACUAGAGCAAAUGACAAGCUACUCCAAAAGAUAUAAGUGAAGAUCAAUGAGUAAUCGAAUAAUUAUGCAACUAUGUGAAGACUCUCUAACAUUUAAGAAUUUCAGAUCUUGGUAUUUUAUUCAAACAUCAAGCAAAACAAAAUAAAAAUGACAUCUAAGAAUAGCAAACAUCAUGUGAAGAAGCAAAAACUUAGGAUCAACCGAUACUAACCGAUAGUUGUUGGAGAAGAAAGGUGGGAUGCCAACCGGGGCAUACCCAAGAUUAGACGCUUGAGACUUCUUGAAAUAUUAUCUUGGGAUGCCUUGGGCAUCCCCAAUCAUGAGCAUUUGUGUCUCCUUAAUUCCUUUCAUAUCGCGGUUUCCCUAAAUCUUAAAAGCUUCAUCCACACAAAACUCAACAAGAACUUGUGAGAUAGGUUAGUAUAAGUCCAUGCAAAACCUUAUCAUUCUCUACUGUAUAAAAUCACUAAAAUUAUUAUUUAACAUUGAAUACUAAAUGCCUUUGCAUAUUUAAAAGUCCUAUCCUCAAAUAGAAUCAUUAAAAAAGCAAUCAUAUGCAAACAAUGCCAACAUAACAACAAUCUGUCUAAACAGAACAGUCUGUAAAGAAUGCAGCAAGAUCCAUACUUACCUAGCUCCAAAAAUUAUGAAAGAAAAUUCCCACUGUAGUAAAUUUGUCAUAGUUUAUUAUGCAAAAGGUUUCAACAGUUUAUCACAUUCUGACUUUUCUAGGGAAUUUUUGCAACAGCGGUAAACUUUAUGUUUUCAAGCAGCAACAUGUAAACUUGUAAAAUAGGCAUAGUAAAGGCUAUCAAUGUCAUUUUUAUUGAAAUAAAAGAUGCAAAACAUUGUUAUAAAUAACAGCAAGCAAAUCCUAACAUAAUAAAUUGAUGCUCCAAGCAAAACACAUAGCAUGUGGUGAAUAAAAAUAUAGCUCCAAGUAAAAUUACCGAUGAACGAAGACGAAAGAGGGGAUGCCCUCCGGCGCAUCCCCAAGCUUAGGCUCUUGGUUGUCCUUGAAUAUUACCUUGUUAUGCCUUGGGAAUCCCCAAGCUUAGGCUCUUGCCACUCUUUAUUCCAUAGUUCAUCAAAUCUUUACCCAAAACUUGAAAACUUCACAACACAAAACUUAACAGAAAACUCGUAAGCUCCGUUAGUAUAAGACAAUAAAUUACCACUUAGGUACUGUUGUGAACUCAUUCUAAAUUCAUAUUGUUGUAAUAUCUACUGUAUUACAACUUAUAUGGUUCAUACCCUCCGAUACUACUCAUAGAUUCAUCAAAAUAAGCAAACAACACAUAGAAAACAGAAUCUGUCAAAAACAGAACAGGCUGUAGUAAUCUGUAGGUUACGAAUACUUUUGUAACUCCAAAAAUCCUGAGAAAUUAGGAAGUCCUAGGAAAUUUGUUUAGUGAUCUACUGCAGUUGGAAUUGGUAUUUUAUCGCUCUCUGGUGAAAAAUGAAAAUUAUUCUCGUGAGCGCAUACUUUCUGUUUUUUACAGCAAGAUCAAAUAACAAUCACCCAAGAAGGUCCUAAAGGCUUUACUUGGCACAAACACUAAUUAAAACAUAAAACCCCAUCUAAACAGAGGCUAUAUGAAUUAUUUAUUACUAAACAGGAGCAAAAAUCAAGGAUCAAAAAUAAAAUUGGGUUACCUCCCAACACGCGCUAUCGUUUAACGCCCCUAGCUAGGCAUGAUAAUUUCAAUGAUGCUCACAUAAAAGAUAAGAAUUAAAUCAUAAAGAAAGCAUCAUGAAGAAUAUUACUAGCACAUUUAAUUCUAACCCACUUCCUAUGCAUAGGGAUUUUGUGAACAAACAAGUUGUGGGAACAAGAAUUAACUUGCAUAGGAAGGUAAAACAAGGAUAACUUCAAGAUUUUCAAGACAUAGAGAGGAAACUUGAUAUUAUUGCAAUUCCUACAAGCAUAUGUUCCUACCUCAUAAUAAUUUUCAGUAGCAUCAUCAAUGAAUUCAACAAUAUAACUAUCACAUAAAAGCAUUCUUUUCAUGAUCUACAAGCAUAUAAUUUUUAUUACUCUCCACACAAGCAAAAUUCUUCUCAUGAAUAAUAGUGGGAGCAAACUCAACAAAAUAAUUAUCAUGUGAGGCAUAAUCCAAUUGAAAACUAAAAUCAUGAUGACAAGUUUCAUGGAUAUCAUUAUUCUUUAUAGCAUACAAGUCAUCACAAUAAUCAUCAUAGAUAGCAACUUUGUUCUCAUAAUCAAUUGGAACCUCUUCCGGAAUAGUGGAUUCAUCACAAAAUAAAGUCAUGACCUCUCCAAAUCCACUUUCAUCAAUAUAAUCAUCAUAAAUAGGAGGCAUGCUUUCAUCAUAAUAAAUUUGCUCAUCAAAACUUGGGGGUCAAAAAAUAUCAUCUUCAUCAAACAUAGCUUCCCCAAGCUUGUGGCUUUGCAUAUCAUUAGCAUCAUGGAUAAUCAAGGAAUUCAUACUAACAACAUUGCAAUCAUGCUCAUCAUUCAAAUAUUUAGUGCCAAACAUUUUAAUGCAUUCUUCUUCUAACACUUCGGCACAAUUUUCUUUCCAUCAUACUCACGAAAGAUAUUAAAAAGAUGAAGCGUAUGAGGCAAACUCAAUUCCAUUUUUUUGUAGUUUUCUUUUAUAAACUAAACUAGUGCUGAAACAAGAAACAGAAAGAUUUGAUUGCAAGAUCUAAAGAUAUACCUUCAAGCGCUAACCUCCCCAACAAUGGCGCCAGAAAAGAUCUUGAUGUCUACUACACAACCUUCUUCUUGUAGACGUUGUUGGGCCUCCAAGUGCAGAGGUUUGUAGGACAGUAGCAAAUUUCCCUCAAGUGGAUGACCUAAGGUUUAUCAAUCCGUAGGAGGCAUAGGAUGAAGAUGGUCUCUCUCAAGCAACCCUGCAACCAAAUAACAAAGAGUCUCUUGUGUCCCAACACACCCAAUACAAUGGUAAAUUGUAUAGGUGCACUAGUUCGGCGAAGAGAUGGUGAUACAAGUGGUAUAUGGAUGGUAGAUAAAGGUUUUUGUAAUAUGAAAAUAUAAAAACAGCAAGGUAACUAAUGAUAAAAGUGAGCGUAAACGGUAUUGCAAUGCUAGGAAACAAGGCCUAGGGUUCAUACUUUCACUAGUGCAAGUUCUCUCAACAAUAAUAACAUAAUUGGAUCAUAUAACUAUCCCUCAACAUGCAACAAAGAGUCACUCCAAAGCCACUAAUAGCGGAGAACAAAUGAAGAGAUUAUGGUAGGGUACGAAACCACCUCAAAGUUAUCCUUUCUGAUCGAUCUAUUCAAGAGUCCGUAGUAAAAUAACACGAAGCUAUUCUUUCCGUUCAAUCUAUCAUAGAGUUCGUAUUAGAAUAACACCUUAAGACACAAAUCAACAAAAACCCUAAUGUCACCUAGAUACUCCAAUGUCACCUCAAGUAUUCGUGGGUAUGAUUAUAUGAUAUGCAUCACACAAUCUCAGAUUCAUCUAUUCAACCAACACAAAGAACUUCAAAGAGUGCCCCAAAGAUUCUACCGGAGAGUCAAGGCGAAAACGUGUGCCAACCCCUAUGCAUAGGUUCAUGGGCGGAACCCGCAAGUUGAUCACCAAAACAUACAUCAAGUGGAUCAAUAGAAUACCCCAUUAUCACCACGGGUAUCCCACUCAAGACAUACAUCAAGUGUUCUCAAAUCCUUAAAGACUCAAUCCGAUAAGGUAACUUCAAAGGGAAAACUCAAUCGAUUACAAGAGAGUAGAGGGGGAGAAACAUCAUAAGAUCCAACUAUAAUAGCAAAGCUCGCGAUACAUCAAGAUCGUACCACCUCAAGAACACGAGAGAGAUAGAUCAAAUACAUAGCUACUGGUACAUACCCUCAGCCCCGAGGGAUAACUACUCCCUCCUCGUCAUGGAGAGCACCGGGAUGAUGAAGAUGGCCACCGAAGAGGGAUUUCCCCCUCCGACAGGGUGCCAGAACGGGUCUAGAUUGGUUUUCGGUUGCUACGGAUGGUUCUGGCGGCGGAACUCCCGAUCUAUUCUGCUCCCCGAAGUUUUUAGGGUAUAUGGGUAUAUAUGGGAGGAAGAAGUACGUCGGUGGACCUCCGGGCUGUCCAUGAUGCAGGGGGGCUCGCCCAGGGGGGGUGGGCGCGCCCCCCACCCUUGUGGGCAGCCCAGGACUCUCCUGGUCCAACUCCGAUACUCCGUGGACUUCUUCUGGUCCAAAAAUAAGUUCCGUGAAGUUUCAGGUCAAUUGGACUCCGUUUGAUUUUCCUUUUCUUUGAUAGUCUAAAACAAGGAAAAAACAGAAACUGGCACUGGGCUCUAGGUUAAUAGGUUAGUCUCAAAAAUCAUAUAAAAUAGCAUAUAAAUGCGUAUAAAACAUCCAAGGUUGACAAUAUAAUAGCACGGAACAAUCAAAAAUUAUAGAUACGUUGGAGACAUAUCAGCUUCUUCUCUCUCUUUGAUUCUCAAUACAAAGUUCUCCUCGAUGUUCUUGGAGAUCUAUUUGAUGUAAUACUCUUUUGCGAUGUGUUUGCCAAGAUCCAAUGAAUUGUGGAUCUAUGAUCAGCUUAUCUAUGAAUACUAUUUGAUUCUCCUCUGAAUUCUUAUAUGCAUGAUUUCAUAUCUUUGCAAGUCUCUUCGAACUAUCGAUUUGGUUUGGCCAACUGGAUUGGUUUUUCUUGUAAUGGGAGAAGUCCUUAGCUUUGGGUUCAAUCCUGUGGUGUCCUUUCCCAGUGACAGUAGGGGCAGCAAGGCACGUAUUGUAUUGUUGCCAUCGAGGAUAACAAGAUGGGGUUUUCAUCAUAUUGCUUGAGUUAAUCCCGCUACAUAAUGACAUCUUACUUAAUGCGUUACUCUGUUCUUAUGAACUUAAUACUCUAGAUGCAGGCAGGAGUCAGUCGAUGUGUGGAGUAAUAGUAGUAGAUGCAGAAUCAUUUCGGUCUACUCGACACGGACGUGAUGCCUAUAUUCAUGAUCAUUGCCUUAGAUAUCAUCAUGACUUUGUGCUUUUCUAUCAAUUGCUCGGCAGUAAUUUGUUCAUCCACCGUAAUACUUUCUAUCUUGAGAGAAGCCUCUAGUGAAACAUAUGGCCCCCGGAUCUAUUUUACAUCAUAUUAGUUUCCCAUCGACUUGCCAAUUUCUGUCGACGUUCCCUUACUUUGCAAUCUUUUACUUUCCAUUUCAUAAACCAAAAAUAUUACUUUAUCAUUUAUCCAUCUCUAUCAGAUCUCACUUUGCCAAUAACCGUGAAGGGAUUGACAACCCCUUUGUCGCGUUGGUUGCAAGUUGGUGUUUGUUUGUGCAGGUAUUCGGUGGCUUGUUGCGUAGUCUCCUACUGGAUUGAUACCUUGGUUCUCAAAACUGAGGGAAAAUACUUACGCUCCUUUCCUGCAUCACCCUUUCCUCUUCAAGGUAAAAACCAACGCAAGAUCAAGAGGUAGCACAUUGCAAAAGAGCUCGAAUUCCUCAAGGGUGUGUUGCCUGACAGAUUUGUGGCUGGCUGCAUUAUUGCAAAGUUGCCUUCUUCGUGGAGGAACUUCGUCACAUCUCUCAAACAUAAGAGACAUGAGAUAUAGGUUGAAAAUCUGAUAGCGUAUCUUGAUGUCGAGGAGAAAGCCAGGGCAAAGGACAUUAGUGACAAAGGUGGUGAGAUUAAGGCUAGCGCCAACAUGGUGUAAAAGAAUCACCAUGUCAAGAACAACAACAAGAACAAAGGUUACCACAAGCCCCAGUUCAAUGGUCCUACCAAUAUUACUUCAUUCCAGAAUAAGAAGAAGAAGAAGAAGAAGAAGAAGAAGAAGAAGACGAAGAAGAAGAAGGUGAUGAACAAAGCUGGGCUCAAGUGCUAUGCCUAUGGAUCGCUCGACCACUUUUCCAAGGAGUGUCUUCAUCGUGCGGACAAGAGAGGGAAAACGGCACAAAGAAUGUCAACGUUUUGACCGCUAGCAAUACUGAUGGGUAUGGUAAUUUUCUGAUGGCACUUUCAGUCUUUCAGUCUCCAUGUUGGUGGAUUGAUACGGGUGCUAAUGUUCACAUGUGUCCUGACAUCUCUAUGUUCACUUCUUAUCAGGUCGCUCGGGAUUCUUCCAUCCUAAUGGGGAAUGGAUCACAUGCUACUAUUCGUCCUGUUGUCAUGGUAGAUCUAGAGUUUACUUAGGGGAAGAUCGUGCAGCUGAGGAACAUGCAUCAUGUCCCUACUAUGAACAAGAAUCUCGUUAGCGGCUUCCUUCUUUGCAGAGAUGGGUUUAAAGUAGUGGUUGAGUCCAAUAAAGUAGUUGUGUCAAGAUUUGGACAAUUUAUUGGUAAAGGCUAUGAGUGCGCAGGCAUGUUCCACUUUUCACUUUCCGAAUUUUGCAAUAAGUCUGUAAACCAUAUUUGUGGCAAUGUUGAUUCAGAGGCUGAUAUUUGGCACUCUCAUUUAUGUCAUGUUAAUUUUGGUUUACUAUCUCGGCUAUCCAAUUUGAGUUUAAUUCCGAAUUUGACCACUGCCAAAGGUUCUAAAUGCCCUAUGACGGUGUCCUUGACUAGGGAUACUCAACACAUCAUCUUCCGAUCUGUUAGAUUGGGCCGAGGACCCCCAUGGCCGUAUACUCAUGGGCCAGUUCGGACAGCUGCCGCAUACAUGAAAGAUUUCACAAGACUUGGUGAUCAAGACAAGGACUCCUCCCCACCAGCGUAUUCGGCUAGGACUCUUGUUAUCCUAGGCCAUUGGUGCAUUAUAUAAACCAAGGCCAGGCUAGUCGAUAGGCAACAUAUACAUACAAUCAUACCAUAGGCUAGCUUCUAGGGUUUAGCCUCUCCGAUCUCGUCGUAGAUCAACUCUUGUAAUAUCCAUAUCAUCAAGAAUAAAUCUAGCAUGACGUAGGGUUUUACCACCAUCAAGAGGGCCCGAACCUGGGUAAAACAUCGUGUCCCCUGCCUCAUGUUACCAUCCGCCUUAGACGCACAGUUCGGGACCCCCUACCCCAGAUCCACCUGUUUUGACACCGACAUUGGUGCUUUCAUUGAGAGUUCCAAUGUGUGAUCGGCAAAAGGAUCGAUGGCUCGUCUGCGGAUUAAUUGCGACGUCAACAUCUUCGUCACCGGCUCGACUUGUCACCUUGACUCGACCGAGGACUGCGCUCCAUAUCCGAUCGUCGUGAUUCGGACUGGGGCCUUCAUAAACAUCAACUCCGAUCUCUAUCAUGAUCAUAGAGGAGUCAUCCAUGGAGCUCGAGGGCUCAACGCCAACAUUGCCCUCGGGCGGCCGUGCUGUUUUUAUGGACAGCGAACUUGUAUUCACCGUCACCACCUCCUCGAGUGUCGAUUUGACGAUUGCUUUGGUGGAAUAGUGUGGAAUUACGUCUACAACAGCCAUGCAAAAUUUCGUCGAGUUUCGAUGGAGGAAUCUCCGACAAUCUACGAUAUACCGGAGCCCUAUCAAAUCUGGACGGGAAUCUGGACGAGUUUAGGGCGUGGUCUCCAGAGCCCAGCUCGGAGGUCCUUUGAAAGAUCCAACCGUUCAUCUACUGCGGAAUUCCCAUAUCUACUACCUCUCCCAAUUUCAGCUCGAUCCGACGGUUCAAACUCCGGGAACCUUCCGAUGAGUGGACCAAUUUUCGGAUCUGUUUUCUGCGCGAAUACGGAUCCGACCCGAAUUCAUGUUUCUUUAUCAACGUGAUAUUGGACAAUCUUUUUAGAGGAAUUCUCUUCUAGGGCAUUGUGCGUGCCCGUAAAUUUUUAAGCCUCCCCUAAGGUCAUCUUCAUCAUCAUGCUAGUGUCAAACCAGUCCGGCAAUAUUGCUCCAAGGCUGCCAACCUGCGCUAGACACGUCGUCACUUUGUUGAGCCGAGCUCAACUUCUUCAGAUUAUCAUCUCGGCAAGCCGAACAAGAGUCCGGCAUCGCGAAGGAUAAAUCAUCAUCAACAUCGCCGCCCCAUGGAUCACAUGGAGCGGGCAUACCGGCAUCGCUGCACGGUCACUUCAUCAAGCCGACAUCGACCACGUCACGACCUGCAUCGGCAGGGCCGCAUUAUUGCUUCUUCAAGCUAGUGUCCAUCCCGCCGACCUACUUCGACUCAUCGGCUGACAUCGAGGCUUCGACAUCUCGGCUGGACCGGGGGCUUCGCCAUCUCUUUAUCAACCUACUCCGGAGACUUCGGCGUCACUAGCCGACCAGCUCCGUCACGUUAGCUGGACCGAGGGCUUUGCCUCGGCGAGCCAACCUUUGCCAGCAUCACCAUACCGUCGCUUUAUCGCCCAUCAGGCAAUGGGUGUGCAGAUCGAGUCCCAAUUUUUGGAUUCACCUUUCUUCGGAUCGCUACAACAAAUAAACCCAGGUGCUAUUAAUCCUAGUAUUUUUUGCUUGUUCGGAUUCAUUUUUCCCAAGGAAUUUUUCCCAGGUGUUAUUUAUUAUGCAACAUUUUUUUAUUAUUACUAUUAUCUCCGGUUUGCACUAUUUUUUGUGCACAGGAAAAUGAUCCAGCUAGACUAUAUCUUUUGGCGUCACAUCAACUGGACGGGGGGCUUCAUCAACACUUCAUUACCCCAUGCCGGGGACUUCAACAUCACUCUGCCGGCCUGCAUCGACUAUGCUGUGUCACCACUUCAUCAAGCCGAGUUCUUUACUCGGACAUCUCGGGACCGGCUUGGGGGUUGGGAUCUUGUCCCGCCACAAUCUCGGCCUGUGUCAUCAACAUCGAACACAUUAACCAGCUAAGUUGCCUUCAUGCUCAAAGUUUUAAAUUUUUAACUUGUGUUCGGUUCGACCAAGCAUUAUACUUUUUUGGAAAAAAAGUUGCUUGUAAAAAAUUUCCUUGUCCAAACUUUGUUUGUGAUGCACAAAUUCAAAUACCCCGUUUAUUUGGGGGCUUCCUUUAUGAAGCUUUUCCUCUUGCAUAUGAUUAUAUUUGUACGGCUUCGUUCCUUGUUCGUGUAUUACGCCACAAUAUGCACCAUAUUGACUUAAGCGAUUUGCAAGCUGGGUUGCCUAGCUCCUAUGCUUACCCCUACGUUCCCGAUUGUUCGGCUAGGGAGUAAAGGGAGCACCUCUGCGAUUGUCACGACCGGGUCCUCCGAGCUCUGACCUCAGACUGGGUGAGGCCGAAAGUUAGCGCUCUUAUUGUUUUCAAUCAUGGUCGGCACACAACGGAACUCAUGAGUACAAAAAAUCUAUUGCACAAGUCUCAUAGUAAUAAUGAGCACCGAAGAAAGGUAUUGAUGGGGGUACUAUUUUCUUCGAAGAUGCUUCUUACACUUCGUCUGUAAUAUAGCAUAAGUUCCCUGAGCGCGCUUUGUCUGUUACAGCCUUAUGACCCGGUUGCCUGGUUAUCGGAAACACUAUCGAUAUUCUCGACACGUGGAGUACAUAACACUUUUUGGUCCUUGACCGAAGAAGGAGAAGCCGAUGGUCGGUUAAGACACGUUUAAAGUUCGGGUGAACAAAUAUAUGAUAUUGGUACUUCGAUACAUACAAUCAUUAUACACAAAAUUCUUUGGCCCAAGUCACUUGGGGGCUCUUAAAUUUAUAUGAGCCAUUUUAUAAUAAGUGUUCUUCUUCUUAGUUGCUGCAAAUUUUUUAUUACUAAUAUUAUUCAUCACUCCUUUUUUGACACGAGUGUGUGGUCACUAGCCGGGGAGCCUAAUUUCUCUCUCAAAGCCGCUAGAGUUUAGUUUGCUAAACUGGCCUAAUGAAAAGUACUCCGCCUUCGGGAUAGGAGGUUGAAGCCGUAGGCUGACCCGCUUGGAGUCUUGAGAUAGGAUGUGUCAUGUUAAAGCACGACAGAAGCAUUCUUUUUUCUAAGACCAAUUUUCGGAUUGGCACCGAACACUUGAUCUUGUUUGGACGUCAUGUUUUUACUGACGUUUUUUGGUUCUCCAAGCUUUUGGCACUAUUAAACUAUUUGUGUGUUUUCAGCACAAGUCUUGCAGUGCAACACCGAACACCUUUAGAGAUUCGGCAAAAACAUUCUCAGAUAUUGAUAUAUAUGCAUCGGUUUCGAAUUGUGUCUUCGGCCAAUAGUUGGGUUGCCCGACUCCUGCGCUUGCCUCCUACGUUCUGCUUUGUUCGGCUAGGUGUGCAAAUGGAGAACCACUGCGAUUGUGCUUUCAGCUCACAUGGUUAAGCACCUCAGUGGAGAAAGCCAAAAACUGACUGUCACAAUAAGCGUAAACUGGUCAGCGAUCCGAUGAUUGUGUUAUAUGAUGGGCCAUUCAUAACAUUGGCCGAAGUGUUUACGGCUUGACCUCGACUGUCGCCGAACACUACCGGGGGCUAGUAACUGGCCUCCCAAACUAAAUCCCCAAUAUUUUGCUCUUACAUUGGAGAUAAGGUUUCAUGACCAUGCUUAGCAUGACAACCCAAAGAAAGGAACCGCUAGCAGGAUUAUUUUCUUUGGAAGACAUUUCUUAUGUUAAACAGUAAUAUAACAUAUCUCUCUGCGUACCUUUGUUUAUAAAAUCGUAUGGCCAAUUUUCCUUGUUUGUCGUAAAUCUUUGCCCUCAUAAAGGCUUUAUAAAGUAGGACAAACACUCCUCGGCUACUGGCCGAGGAGGUUGAAGCCGAUGGUCGGUCAACAAAGUUUUGUACAAUGCGGAUCCGAGCAUUAAUAACGUAAAGUACUUGGAUACAUAGAGUCAUUACACAUAAUUUGUGAUUUUACUAUGGAUAUCGAUCCUCAAUUCGGCCACCCGUGCCCGCAUUAAGGCUCGGGGGCUACUGGGCUUCGGGCUUAUUAUUUACAAAUAUUAAAUGGGCACAUCGAUCCCCUGAUCUGGUGUUGCCACCCGACCAGUGUCUCGGGGGCUACUGCAUUGCCUGUCCAAUGCAGAAAAUUUUAUGUGCAAUAUAGUUUCCGAGGAGAUUUUGAUCCUCAGGUUGGUCGGCCGCACCCAACCUGAGUCUCGAGGACUGAGCAAACCGCUUUUUGUGUCCCGAAGUAUUCUGCCGAGCUAAGACUUGAUCCUCAGGCCGAUUUUGCAAAUCAACCUGAGUCUCAGCGGCUACUGGGAUCAGCGGUCUUACGUCAUCCUUCAGGUGCAUCUCGGGUUUUAGACCGAUACACACCUUGAGGGCUACUGGCUGUAUAUCUCGGCAGAGAAUAAAUUGCACCAAUAAAAAAUAUUGACAAAAAAUCGGCCCACAGUCGGGGUGGUGCACCACCUCGGAAGCAGUCCGGCAUAAAGCUCGGGCGCUAGUGGCUGGCUCCAUAGAGGGCAUUUCCAGCAUUAAGCUCGGCUAAACUCCUUUAACUUUUUUGGACCAAGAUGAUCUAUGACAUCUUGGAUAUAGUCCGGCGUUGGAGCUUGGACACAGUCCGGCGUUGGAGCUUGGAUACAUUUCUGCGUUGGAGCUCGGAAGUAGUUCGGCAUUGGUGCUCGGCUGCAAAAAAUACCUCGAAUGCAGUCCGGCGUUAGAGCUCGGACGCAAGAGGGCACUGCCUCCCGGGAACAACUUCAAACCCGAGGUGUGGCAUAAAAAUAACAAGGCAUUGAUAAAGGCCAGAAACUUAAAGGGGCUCCUCGGAUACCCGACAUAUAAACUUGUCGAAUGCAUUUCGGCGAUCCUCAAGAUCAAAGAUGAGAAGAUUUGUUGAACCAGUUUUCAAGACCGACAACCGAAGCUGAAAAAUAGUUCGGAAGAAUCGAGGAGCGUCCCUAACUUGAAGACCGGUUCAGGGGGCUACUGACGGUGUCCUGGACUAGGGGGUACUCAACACGUCAUCUCCCGAUCUGUUAGAUUGGGUCGAGGACCCCCAUGUCCGUAUACUCAUGGGCCAGUUCGGACAGCUGCCGCAUACAUGGAAGAUUCCACAAGACUUGGUGAUCAAGACAAGGACUCCUCCCCACCGGCGUAUGCGGCUAGGACUCUUGUUAUCCUAGGCCAUUGGUGCAUUAUAUAAACCAAGGCCAGGCUAGUCGAUAGGCAACAUAUACAUAUAAUCAUACCAUAGGCUAGCUUCUAGGGUUUAGCCUCUCCGAUCUCGUGGUAGAUCAACUCUUGUAAUACCCAUAUCAUCAAGAAUAAAUCAAGCAGGACGUAGGGUUUUACCUCCAUCAAGAGGGCUCGAACCUGGGUAAAACAUCGUGUCCCCUGCCUCCUGUUACCAUCCGCCUUAGACGCACAGUUCGGGACCCCCUACCCGAGAUCCGCCGGUUUUGACACCGACACCCUAGUUGUGUGCAAUUUAAGCAACCUCGGAACCGCCGGUUUUGACACCGACACCCUAGUUGUGUGCAAUUUAAGCAACCUCGGAAGCCUCAGAAGGCAACCGAGGAGAGAAACUUGGCACCUCUAGAACUUAUACAUUCUGAUCUAUGCGAGAUGAAUGGUGUGUUGACAAAAGGUGGAAAGAGAUAUUUCAUGAUGUUAAUUGAUGAUACUACUAGGUUCUGCUAUAUUUAUUUGUUGCAAACUAAAGAUGAAGCUUUAGACUACUUUAAAAUCUAUAAGGCUGAAGUUGAAAAAUCAAUUAGAGAUAAAGAUCAAACAUCUUAGGUCGGAUCAUGGUGGGGAGUAAUUUCCCAAAAUAUUUUAUGAAUUCUGUGAGGAACAUGGAAUUAUAGAGGACGCCGCCCUACUCGCCCCAAUCAAACUGUGUUGCUGAGAGGAAAAACCGCACGCUGACCGACUUGAUGAAUGCCAUGUUGGACACUGCUAGUUUAUCUAAGGCAUGGUGGGGGAAGGCUUUUUUGAUUUCGUGUCAUGUCCUGAAUAGAAUUCUGAACAAGAAUAAAGAGAAAAAAACCUUAUGAGGAGUGGCUUGGGAGAAAACCAUCACUUUCAUAUUUGCGCACUUUGGGAUGUUUAGCGAAGGUCAAUGUUCCAAUCCCGAAGAAACGUAAACUAGGACCAAAGCAGUACAUUGUAUCUUUCUACGCUAUGCUCAGCGUAGCGUUGGUUAUAGAUUUUUAGUGGUUAAAUCCAAGGUACCUGACAUGCAUGUUGAUACUAUUAUGGAAUCUCGUGAUGCAACAUUUUUUUAGAAUAUUUCCUAUGAAAUAUAUGCAUAGCACUGCUAGAAUAUCUUCUAAGAUAAUAGUUGGAUCUAGUACAUCAAAUGAUUAUUCUAAACAACCACAUGAGGAACCACAUGAUAUAGUCCUUGAGAUGGAUGACAAUGAAGCUCCUAAACGGACACGUUACAGUCUAGUCGGUUCAGGUCGCUCCCGCAAUCGACUCGGGCGUGCGGCAUGGGCCUCCCACGUUGCACCCGUUAGGGUUUUCCAAACCGCUAUAUAAGGACAUGUCGCGGGCGCCGCAACACACACAGAAACCAAUCUAGGUUUUGCCACACCUCGUUCCUUGCACCGCCACCGUAGUCCAUCCCAUCCCGAGCGCCGGCGUGCACCGGCGAAUGGGAGAGCAGGUCUUCGGAACCACUCGCCUUUGUGAUCCUAUACGGGAGAGGGCGAAUGAGAUUUUCGGGAAGCACCACGCGCGCGAGUGCUCGCUGUCUUCAUCACGGCUUGCCUACCGUCCAGGUCGAGCGAUCUUGCUCAUCGACUCAUCGCCGUCUAUAACGUUGUCUUCUGCGACCAGUCUUCACCAACGUUGUCAUCAACAACAUCGCUGCACCAACGGCUACCUCAUCUGCAAACGAUCGGUAUAACCGUAGUGUCCCAUCUCGUUGGUUAAACAUGUUUGCCAGUUUCAUGUUUUGUGAUGUUGUGUUGCUGCUGUUCAUGUUGUUUAGUGCUUCUAGUAUGCUUGAGUUUCACAUGCCAGUAGCUGCAAUCAUCAUGUUUAAUAUUCUGGAAUUAAUCAUGAAAAUUAUGCCUAAUUACUUAACAAUAAGGGUGUGCACAAGUCGAUCCUUCAAGAAAUCGCGUUUCGUCGUUGAUGUUUCACAGAGGUUCAUUUCGCUCACGAGGGAAGGGCUUCCAAUUCAGUAGAUCACAAUCUUGUAAAGAGUUCGCUGUCCCUCAAGCAUGGUCGUCACACUUGACUCGCGUAGCCAAAUGAUACUGCUAUUGUAGCUUAUAUAUCAUGCAAUAAAGCGACCAUAUUUAUCCCUAAAACAGUACGUAGGUAUAUCUGGAGAGGAUUUUUCCUGUGACGAAUAAUGAAUCAAGUUUUGUGGCAUUGGAGAAAAAUGAUUACAACAUUUACUGGUUCAGUCAUUUUGUCAAGACCAAACAAAAAAAUGAAUGCACUUUUCGGAUUCCCUGUCGAGGCUUAGCUAUCGACAGAAACAACCAUGAACAUAGUGGUACAUGAACAUUGACAGUUACUAGAAUAUUAUUAUAUCUUUAUUAACACACCACAAAACCACACACAUAUACAGAGUUUUAGUAUGAGAAAACCAACGACGGCAUUGUUCGGAUUCCUUGUCAGGGCUUAGCUCAGGACCCCGCUACUCGGUGUCAGUUUUUAAUCGACAAAAACAACCAUGAAAAUAGCCGUACGUGAACAUACACGGUUACUUAUAUAUUAUUAUAUCUUUAUUAAUAUAUCAAAACACACACACAUACAGAGUUUUAGUAUGAUACACCAAAACACACGCACAUACAGAGUUUUAGUAUGAGAAAACCAACAACGGCACCAGCUAGGCAAAGUUAGAUCUCCUCCAUGGGGGGAUCCAGACAUGGAGCCGGCCAACUACCAGGCAUUACUACUGGCCCGUACUAGUUGUUGACUCUCCAGCAUACCUUCCUGAUCUCUGCGCCUUGCUGGUUGCCUAUGGUCUUGACCCCGAUUUUCCCCAUAGUCUCCAUGGCUUUCUCGAACUUCCUCUCCCACGCCCCGGUCAUGUUCGCGUUUUCUGUCACCUGCGUUAUCGUUUUCGUCGAGUUGAGCACGGCAUCUGAGGUGAACAACACUUUCUUGUCGACCACGUUCUGGUAGUACUGCUUAUCCAGGACGUUGGGGGUCACAUCAUCUUGGUUCACGUUGGUGCCGUCGUUGCCGUUGCACUGGGCCCUAAGCUUGGCGGCAAAUGCCGGUUCCAUCUCAGAGAAACGGGUGGAGAAGAACAAGCAGCGGGCGCGGCCGAUGGUGUGCGCGCCGGAGAGCGUGACCAUCUCGUCGGAGGUGAGUCCCUUGGCCGCGAAACUCCCCUGAAGCGCCGUGAGGUUAGAGAAGGGCCCAGGCAGCUGGUCUGUCUCGUUGGAGAAUGACUCGCGGCCGUCGUAGCGGCCGCCCGGCAUCUGGAUGUUGAUCUUGCGGUCGCUGAGGAAGUAGGACGCGUCGCGGGCAGCAUAGGCGACGAUGUCGGCACAUGAGACUGUGUCGGGGCAGGCAGCCUCGAUCGCCGCCUUGGCCUCGUCAAUCACCUCGAACCCUCGGAGGCUGUUCUGGUUGGGAGGGCCUUCCCUCUCCGUGUCGCUGUUCUUCGAGUUGGUCGUGUUGAGGAGGACGGAACCAUCGCAGCCCUAAAUAUAAUGAACAUGAAGGACCUCAUAAUGAACAUGCUAGUAUAUAAGCUAGUAGAAUUGACGAGGUGUGUCAGUG